rnacentral:lncRNA from 1 species
CUCUGUUUCAACUAAGCGAAAAUUUACAUAUUAAAGCCUGGCUCAAAUUCCUUUUUUCAAUCGAAAUUAAACGUAGCCACAAAACCCUAAUUCACCACACCAAUUUAUCUCUGCCCGGUAUUCAUUUAAACCCUACCUCGCGGUUCAAUGUCAUUCAAUACGAUUGCAGAUGCUGUUUCAACUUGUCAUUUAGUUAGCGCCAUCCAGUUCUCUAUGGUAAGCCUUAACCCUAACAACUAAUCGACUGCGGUAGCACGUUGCUUGUUAGGAGUGGGGAUACAUUAUUUGAAUAUAUGAAUUGGGUGAUGUUAGUGAUUCAUUCCCCUAUUUGUCGUGAAUUGAGAUUUGUGCAUAAUGCUAGUAAGAUUGCUAAAAAUUUCAUAUUUUGUAUUGUUCCAGUUGAAUUUCUUGCUUGUGGAAGAUAAAACAAAAGUUCAAUUUCAUGUUGAUUUAAUUCUUCUUUUCCUUCUUUUUAUUUUUCUUCUUUAUAGUCACGCUCUGGCUUUGGUGCUAUGCUUAGUGCAGUUUAUGGUUUCAAGAUUAAGUCAUGUUUAUUUGAUGGCAUCGAUUCCAUCGUUGAGGAUUGGAUUGUUGAUCAAAUGCACAUAGUAAGCUCUUCUUAUUUUAUCUCAAUUUUAAUUUUCUUUUAUUAUCUGCCUCUACCUGAAAAUGGACGUGUUUUACUAGUAAGCAUAGACCUUGUUUAUUUAAUUGAUAUUUUAAUUUUAUGUAUAAGAAUGGAGGUUUAUUUUGGAAAAAAAAAGAAAUAAAAAAAAUACUCUGUUGAAGCUAAUUAGUACUGAAUUUUUUUUGGUGGUGCGACCAGAGGUGGAAACAGGGUAUGAAAAUGUGUUACUGGUGAGGCUGCUGCUUAAGAUGAGAAUGCAUUCUUUUCAAAAAUCCUUGGAAGGUGUGAUCUAAUUAUAUUUGAUGGAAUAUUAAAUGGCUAAAAAUCUGUCAUACGUUCAAACUUUGUUUGUGUUUAGAAGAAUGGUGUUGACUGUAUAUUCGUUUGGAAGAAUGGUGUUGAUUGUAUAUUCAUUUGCUUAGCCUUUUGACAGAUGGAUUUGGAACUGACGAUAAAUGUGAUUCAAUUUACAAGGUUUUCGAGGGGCUCACAGUGGAAGGGAUAUUGAAGAACUGGUCGAAGUUAAAGCCUAUGAUUGUGAAAGAUUGGAGUGAGAAUAUAGAUGCUCAUUUAAAUCUUUUUGGCAAGGUCAGAGAUGAAUGGAUAGAUAAGGAUUUAUUUGACAACUUGGACUGGUGCUAAUAGGUAUUUUAAGCAAGCUUUUUGAGAUAACACUGAGCAAGUUAUACUACUAUUUUGCACAUGAUGAUCAAAACUCUCGAAAAGUAAAUAAAAUAAAGUAUUAACUUUUACUUUCAUCUUUUGCAUAGCAAUCAAUGUGGUGCUUGUUCUGUGACAACUUUGAUAAUCUACUUAAUUACUGGUUAGCAUUUGGACCAAAAAAGUUCUUAUGAUUUACAUGUUUUGUAGAAAUGCAUGAACCUUAAAUGUGCUGAUCAGGGAGUUUAAUUAUUGCACCUUGAAAUUCAUUUACUGUUAACUAAUUGGCUUUCCUUUGCAUAAAGCCGCUUAUAAGGCUUGAGUGGACGUCUUUAUGGGCAUAUUUUUUGUAUUUCUCGAUGCAUGCCUUUAUCAUUUAAUGUGGUGCUCGUAUUUCUUUAUGCAUGCCUUUAUCAUUUAAUGGCCAGCUCCCUUUCCUCUUUUGUAAUUUGAAUAGUAGUAUGGGCCUCCAUUUUACAAAUCUUUAACAUUUUUUGCUGUAAAUUAAUUUUUCUUUCAAAUAUUUUGGAGGUCAUUGGAAUUCCUGUAGGUCUAUUUACCAGAUUUUAGUAUGUUUAAGGUUAUAAUUUUGCUUAGACUUUAAUUUUUCUGAAAGAUUGUAGUAUUGAUCCUUAAAGUAAGAUCAUGCUACUUCAAAUUAUUUUGAAGUGUUGCUAGUUAUAGCCUUACAUAUCAAAUUCCAGUUGUCUGGAAAUUUAUUGAUAGCUGUUACAGCAGCAUAUUUUAUGACUCUACUUCUUAGUUAUGUAAGUUCAUUAUGUUUAGGUCAGAGGCAGUCAGCUGUGGGGAAUCGAUUUAUACACAGAUGACUUUGAUCUUGUUGCUGGUAUGUGGUUCUAUGAAUAAUUGUUCACAAUAAUUGUGUUUGCCUCACUGUUUUUGUUUUAUGAGAUCUAUAAUUGAUCUUGGGAUAUUACUUUUUAGUUCUCAUGCAGGCAAGUUACUACCUUCCCACUGCAUCUCCUCCUUUAUCUGCUACUCAAGAGUUGCGUGCCAUAAUCUGGUAUUACCUCUGCAAGAUUGUGAAUGAAUAUGAUGCCUCUAAAUUUAUUUUAUACAUAAUGCUAAUGCUGAAUAAUAUAUUGUAGCUCCUGUCAUAUUCUACUUUGACUUUUUAUAUUCCGUUUCAAAUAAAAAUCUUAUUCAACUUUAGUUGUUCAUGAGCAAAUGUCACAUGUAUAAGCCCAAAUGAUGUUUAAAGGUAGCGCCGCUACCUUCAGUUUGAGCUUACAAUGGGUGAAAAAGAAAUUGAAACUGAUAUUUUGCGGUUUUUCUUAUUUUUCAAAGUAUUUUAGAUCAUGACUUUUGUUUGGACUUGAUGGUUAUAGAUUGUGUCUAGAUUUGUUAAGUCGUUUCCAACACCUCGUGCCAAAUCAAAGCACAAUCUUUCUGAUUCAGAUGUUUUGUUAAUUGUGCUUCAUUUUUUCGUUAAAGGUUGGAUGGUUGAAUGGAUUGAUGGAGUUGGAGUUCAACCAAUAAUUCUAAUUUUUUGGACUUAAAAUGCCUUUUUCUUCUGUAUAAAAGCUUUAGUAAGUGCUAUUGAGUUGACAGAAGUUGAAUACUUACAGGUUGUUUCACACUUUUUAAUAGUUUUACAUAUAUGAAUUUCUGUUUUUUGAAUUGCAGAAAGGAGGUGGAACUAUUGAUUUGGAGCCUUAUCUUACUCACUCAUCAACAACGGAGCCUACCCUCGCUCCUAUGGCAGUGGAACGGACAAUGACUACUAGGGCUGCAACAUCAGUUGGUUCGGGUCUGUUUUGAUAGCGAAUUUUGAUAUGUCAAUAUAAUGUGUAAUUGUUUUGGGUUGAGCUGGUAAUUAUGCUGGAUUAGAUUGGUUUGGUUUUGGUGCUUCGCUGAUGGAACACUGGUUUUUUAGAAAAUUUGAAUGUAAUAUGAGACUACAUUUAGUUUAAUUGAACACUGCAUCUAGUCUAAUUACUAGAAGUGUGGCAUUUGGUUUGGUUUAUCCGAUAUUCUCCAGAAUUUCACUUGCAUCUGGUUUUGUUGCAUAUGUUUGCUUGCAUUUGAUGGCAGUAGCAGACUGUUUGGUUUUGUGGCAUUUGAUGGCAGUUUGGUCUGUUCUUGGUGCUGAUUUACGAUUGUUCCUGAUGUGUUGAUGUUAAUUGCAGGUGCUUGAAUCAGCUAGGGUUGCUGGUUUUUUCAGAUGGUUGACUCAGGCGUUGUUACUGGUUGAUUCAGGUGGCUGGCUCAAGUUGUUCAUUUAAUGUUAGGAAGCAAAUUAAGAAUUAAUGAAGUAUUCAUUUAACUAUAAUUAUUGUAGUUAUUUUAUUUCAUAACUGAAUUAUAAUCUAUGAUACUUGUGAACAAAUUAGAGAAUUUUUAUAUAUAAAUUAUAUAUAUGUGUGUGUAUGUACAUUUUGCUUUUUAUAUAAUAAUUUAAAGAAUAUAUUUCAAUUCCCACAAAAAAAUGGCCCCAAUUUCAAUAAUUCCUGCCAAAUAAUUAAUUUUUUUUAAUUUACCGCCAAAAUAUAUCUUAAAGAAAUGUUAGUUAUUCUUGCUAGAUUUAACAAAAAUAAUUUAUAGGAUUAACAUUUAAUUAAAAUAAUUAAAUAAUUUUACUAUUUCAAUUAAAUGUCAUGUUUAUAUCACAGACAAUAGUCAUGAAUGGGAAGUAUUAGUUACAUAUUUUUCCUUGUAGUUAUUUUAUUUCAUAACUGAAUUAUAAUCUAUGAUACUUGUGAACAAAUUAGAGAAUUUUUAUAUAUAAAUUAUAUAUAUGUGUGUGUAUGUACAUUUUGCUUUUUAUAUAAUAAUUUAAAGAAUAUAUUUCAAUUCCCACAAAAAAAUGGCCCCAAUUUCAAUAAUUCCCGCCAAAUAAUUAAUUUUUUUUAAUUUACCACCAAAAUAUAUCUUAAAGAAAUGUUAGUUAUUCUUGCUAGAUUUAACAAAAAUAAUUUAUAGGAUUAACAUUUAAUUAAAAUAAUUAAAUAAUUUUUCUAUUUCAAUUAAAUGUCAUGUUUAUAUGACAGACAAUAGUCAUGAAUGGGAAGUAUUAGUUCCAUAUUUUUCCUUGGGAUUUCAGGCAAAUGAAAAAAAGAUUGAGAAUGAUUUCAAGAGGACAGGUGGAUGAUAAGUAUUCAUUUUUGUAUAUUUGGCUAAUGUCCUCAUUAGUGGAUUUUUAUGGUAUUGAUUUUUUUUUUUUUGGUUUAUAAUUUUCAAUUAGUUGUUACCCUAGAGGAAGAGCAGGCUGAUCAAAUUGAUUUGUCUUAUUUUUCCGGCAAUCUGCGACACGAUGACUGUGAUAAUGCUCGUGACUGCUGGAAACUUUCUGGUGGAAAUAACUUUAGAGUUCGUAGCAAGCAUUUUUGUUAUGACAAAACAAAGGUUCCCCCAUAUUUUGGUUGUUUGUUAUGGUAUUUAUAUAUCCUGCAUAUGCUAGGUCGACAGGUUAUGAUGUAGUUUGGUUGGCUCUUGUGCUUUGUGCAAUUUGUAACUGCAGAUACCUGCGGGAAAACAUUUAAUGGAUCUUGUUGCUGUUGAUUGGUUCAAAGACACAAAGAGAAUGGACCAUGUAGCUCGGCGUCAAGGCUGUACUGCACAAGUAACUGAAGAAAAAUGUGAAUUGGUUCCUCUUUUUCUUACUUUCCAGAACAGUAUGUACAGGGAAUAUAUACAGCAAAAUAGGAGAGAAAAUAGGAGACUACAUCUAUCCUUUCCUAAAUAAUAGGAAACAAAAUCUGGAAAGAAUCCUAAUGAAUCUUCCCAUUAUAAUUUAACUUAUUCCUAAAAUAGCCUAGAUUACAAAUAAAUCAUAACUUUGAAUCUUUAUUUUCAACACUCCCCCUCAAGCUAGUGUGUGUAUAUCAUACAAACCCAGCUUGUUACUUAAGUCUUCAAAGUUAGGUCUUGGCAGUGCUUUAGUAAGGAUGUCUGCAAUUUGUUGUCUAGUUGGAAUGUACUUUAGUUCCACACUUCCACUAGUGACCUUCUUUGAGAUGAAGUGCCUAUCAAUCUCGACAUGUUUGGUUCGAUCAUGAUGCACUGGAUUUUUUGCGAUGCUGAUUGCUGCUUGAUUGUCACACCUCAUUAGAAUGGAUGAAGGGUUGCACACACCGAGUUCUUUGAGUACACGCUUUAUCCAAAUUCCUUCACAGAUUCCAUUUGCCAAAGCUCUGAACUCUGCUUCUGCACUACUCCUAGCUACAACUGAUUGUUUCUUACUCCUCCAGGUUACUAGAUUUCCCCAGACAUAGGAACAGUAAGCAGAUGUUGAUAUUCUAUUUGUGAUGUCUCCAGCCCAGUCUGCAUCAGAGUAGAUCUCAAUAUUCCUAUAUUCUGAUUUCUUGAAAAACAAUCCUUUUCCAGGUGUCAUCUUUAGAUACUUCAAAAUUCUAAAGACUGCAUCCAUGUGUUCCUCUGUAGGAUUGUGCAUGAAUUGGCUCACAGCACUAACAACAAAGCCUAUGUCCGGACGGGUAUGUGAGAGAUAAAUUAAACGACCAACCAGUCUUUGAUAUCUCUCUCUAUUGACUGGAACACUAUUCUCAACUGAGCCUAGUUUCUUGUAGGGAUCCAUAGGAGUAUCUACUGGUUUGCACCCAAUCAUACCAGUCUCCUUUAGUAAGUCCAGGGUGUAUUUCCUUUGGGAGACAACAAUUCCCUUCCUAGAUCUUGCCACCUCCAUCCCAAGAAAAUAUUUCAGAUUCCCUAGAUCUUUAACUUCGAAUUCCUGAGCUAGCUGUUUCUUCAACUUCUGCAGUUCUUCCUCAUCAUUUCCUGAGAGAAUGAUGUCAUCAACAUAUACGAUUAGGAGAGAGAUCUUCUUUGCUUGUGAUGUUCGGAGGAAUAGAGUGUGAUCUGCCUGACACUGAGUGUAACCAAGUCUCACAACUGCCUUCGCAAAUCUAUCAAACCAUGCUCGAGGGGAUUGUUUAAGCCCAUACAAAGAUUUCUUGAGCUUGCACACUUUAUUUCUAGUAAGAUUCAGAUCAAGACCCUGGGGAACUUCCAUAAACACUUCUUCUUCAAGAUCGCCAUUGAGAAAUGCAUUUUUUAUAUCUAGUUGGUAUAAGUACCAAUCUAGAUUUACUGCUAAGGAGAGCAAGAUUCUAAUGGUGUUGAGCUUCGCAACCGGAGCAAAGGUUUCAAGAUAAUCAAUCCCAUAUGACUGUGUGAACCCUUUAGCUACAAGACGAGCUUUGAGCCUCUCAACACUUCCAUCUGCCUUGUAUUUAACAGUAAAAAUCCACUUACAUCCAACUGGUCGUUUCCCUGCAGGAAGAUUUGUUAUAACCCAUGUAUCAUUUUUCUCAAGAGCAUUUAUUUCUUCAUGAACAGCUCUCUUCCACUCAGGAUGACCGAGAGCCUCUUGUAUAUUGUUGGGAACAUGUAGAUUAUCUAAAGAAGAAACAAAGGCUCGGUAUGAUGGGGACAAACCAUCAUAUGAGACAUAUUUGGCAAUUGGAUGAGUGGUGCAACUUCGAACCCCCUUUCUUUCUGCAAUUGAUUUAUUAGAAUCAUCCACACUUGGAACCAUGAACUCAACCGAGGCAAGACUAUCCAUACCUGUGUUGUCUUCAUAAGAGCUUGGAUUUGGUUCAGUUUCUUGGACAUGUGGCUGAGUUCUGUGCUCUAUCUGCUCUCCAGUUCUUCUCCUCCUAUAAACAUUAAGAUUAUCAACAGCAAGCUGUGGAAGAGGUGAGAUUAGAGGUUGUAGUUGAUGAGCUGAUGGAUGACGGGGUGACUCGGCUGGUUGUGGUUGGGAGGACUCAGAUGACUCAAAAGGUUGUGAAGAUGUUGGGAGGAUUGCUGAUUGUGGCUGUUGGAUAGAUUGAUCAUGUGUGGUGGUUGAGUUAUGAGGGUUUUCAUGAGGGGUUUCCAGCCAAGAUUGCCAAGAAGAUUCCCAAGGCUGAUGUUCGCUCAUACUCUCUCCCUGAACAACAGUUUUGGAAUAGAAAGGCAGGUUUUCAACAAAUGUUACAUCUCUGGAAAUGUAUAUUUUUCUGGUAUGAGGAGAAUAGCAUUUGUAUCCUUUUUUAUGUGGAGAAUAGCCUAAAAAUAUACACUUGAGAGAUCGGGGAUCAAGUUUAGUCCUGUGUUGAGAGUGAACAUGGACAUAUGCUGUGCAACCGAAUAUUUUUUGUGGUAAAUCUGCUGAAACAAUCCUAGUGUGUGGAAAGAAAUUGAGAAGAACUUUUCUUGGGCAAUGAAACCCCAAGACUCUAGAAGGCAUUCGGUUGAUUAAGUAGGCUGUAGUGAGAACAGCUUCACCCCAGAAAAAAUUAGGAACAUGAGAUGAGAACAAAAGACAGCGAGCCACUUCAAGAAGGUGUCUGUUUUUGCGUUCAGCGACCCCAUUUUGUUGUGGGGUGUCAACACAAGAACUGAUGUGAAGAAUGCCUUGAUGGAGAAGAUAUGAGCUGAGGGAGUCUUUGAAAUAUUCCUUGGCAUUGUCGGUUUUAAGGACUUGGAUUUUGGUAUUGAAUUGGGUUUGAAUCAUGGCGUUAAAGUUUUGGAAGAUUUGACUAACUUCGGAUUUGUUUUUCAUGAGAAACACCCAAGUGAGACGAGUAUGAUCAUCCACAAAUGACAAAAACCAGCGAGCCCCAGAAACAUUUUUAAUUCUUGAGGGACCCCACACAUCAUUGUGAAUUAAAGCAAAUGGACGAGAAGGCUUAUACUUAACGCUUGAAUAAACAUUUCGAGUAUGUUUUGCAAAUUGACAAAUUUCACAAUGAAAUGAUAAAGGGUUUUUAUUGAUGAAUAGAUUGGGAAAAAUUUUUGCGAGAUACAUGAAACUAGGAUGACCUAAUCGAUAGUGUAACAGAACAAUUUCACUAUCGUUAUUGACAUUUGGACUAACAAUAGAAUGAGGAUAACUAGUUGACAGACUAUUGGACUUGGCACAGUUUGCUCUCGAAUCUUGUAUGAAGGAGGAUUGAUCGCUUUUGAGUAGAUAGAGUCCAGAACAUAGCUCAGCACUGCCAAUCGUCUUCGCGAAUCCAAGUCCUGAAAAACACACAUAUUUGGAUAGAAUUUAGUUACACAAUUCUGAUCACGAGUGAAUUUACUGAUUGAAAGUAAAUUGCAAGCCAAAUUAGGCACAUAAAGUACAGAAUUAAGGUGUAACUCCUUAGUGAGUCUGAUGGAACCUGUCCCUGCUAUAUUGUGUGAGAGCCAUCUGCGAUCCGGACUGAAGUGCUGUUGAUGCUAGCUUUAUAAUCCUGCAACAUUGAGGCAUCUCCAGUCAUGUGAUCAGAAGCACCAGUGUCAAUUAUCCAGGGUUUGCUUGCUCCAUUAGUGGCUGCAAAUGCUGAAUGAGUCUCUUUCUAAGCCACUAGACUUGUCCCUGCAUUGGAGUUCAAAGUGGCUUGAUCGAAAAGCUUUUGAAGAAUCUCCAUUUGCUCCUUGCUGAAUGGAUUUGGCUCGGGUAGGGCCUGAUUGUCCGUGGUGGAUGCUGCAUGAGCACGAGAUUCACGGUCACCUUUGGAACGAGGUUUCCAAUCAGCAGGUUUGCCAUAAAUUUUCCAGCAACUCUCCUUAUAGUGGCCUGCCUUACGACAGUGAUCGCACCAUGGUCUUUCUUUCUUUGUACGAUUUUCACUAACCCCUACAGAGUUGGAUGCACGGGCAACAAGUGCAGAGGCGCCCAGUGUUGGUUCUGAUGACCCCAUCAUCACCUUUUUCCUACUUUCUUCAUGCCUAACUUCAGAAAAGGCUUCACGAGGGCGCGGUAGAGGCUUUGUCCCGAGUACACGGCUCCUAACCUGAUCAAGAUCUUUAUUGAGUCCGAGGAGAAAUUUAAACGUUCUCUUCUGUUCCACAAUCUUCUUGUACAAGGUUGUAUCGUCGGUGCACUUCCAAGGGUAUGUUUCAAAUAGAUCAAGGUGUUGCCAAUGCCUAGUCAGAGUAUUAAAGUAUUGAGUGACAGAUUGUUCUCCUUGGCGGAAGUCAUGGAGGAUGGUUUCAAUCUGGAAUAACUCUGAUGUGUUCUCAGAGCUAGAAUAGGUUUCCUUUGCAGCAUCCCAUAUGUCAUUUGCAGUCCCAAACAGAAGAAAAUUCUCACCAAUAUCAUUGUUCAUGGAAUUGAUAAGCCAUGACAUGAUCAUGUUGUUCUCUGACUNNNNNNNNNNNNNNNNNNNNNNNNNNNNNNNNNNNNNNNNNNNNNNNNNNNNNNNNNNNNNNNNNNNNNNNNNNNNNNNNNNNNNNNNNNNNNNNNNNNNNNNNNNNNNNNNNNNNNNNNNNNNNNNNNNNNNNNNNNNNNNNNNNNNNNNNNNNNNNNNNNNNNNNNNNNNNNNNNNNNNNNNNNNNNNNNNNNNNNNNNNCACGUAACAGAGGUUGAUGAGGAAGCCAUCCCGUAUUUUGCCACAGAGAAUACAACUGAUGGGAGAGGAAGGAAGGUAGAUUGUUCAAUUUAUGAGAGAAGAAGGAAAUGGCGGCUGAUAGGAGAACUAGGGUUUAGAGCCAGGCUCUGAUACCAUGAAGAAAAAUGUGAAUUGGUUCCUCUUUUUCUUACUUUCCAGAACAGUAUGUACAGGGAAUAUAUACAGCAAAAUAGGAGAGAAAAUAGGAGACUACAUCUAUCCUUUCCUAAAUAAUAGGAAACAAAAUCUGGAAAGAAUCCUAAUGAAUCUUCCUAUUAUAAUUUAACUUAUUCCGAAAAUAGCCUAGAUUACAAAUAAAUCAUAACUUUGAAUCUUUAUUUUCAACAGUAACUAUUCUUUUCUUUUUAUUUUUCCUUUUCUGAAAGAAACUUAGUUUUGUAUUGUUUGGCAAGCUAGAAAAUGAAAGAAAAUAAAAGAAAGCGCUGUAAAGAAGUUUGUAGAACCUUUAUUACUCUAGCAUUACAACUGAAUGAAUACAGACUGAUAUUUCUAUUAAGCUACAAUUUUCUCAACACACACACAAGUUUGUUACAUCACAUAACCAUUUGCUGCAUAACUAAUUUGACACAUCAGCUCAACCAGCUAACUAACUUUGCCAGGUCAAGCCUAGUGAGUUGAUCUGCUAAAGUCAGCUACACAGCAACAUCAUGCUCUGCUCCAACUUCAUUCAAUUCACUAACAUCCCCCCUCAAGCUGAAAUGUUUAGGAUGAACAUUCAGCUUGCUUCUUAAGUAACUAAACUGUUUGAGAGUAAGCCUUAGUCAACACAUCUGCUGUUUGAUCUUGACUGGGCACAAAACAUACUUCAAUCUCUUUUGCAGUAACUUUAUCUCGAAUAAAAUGUAUAUCCAAUUCGACAUGCUUAGUUUUAGCAUGAUAGACUGGAUUGUAAGCUAAAGCAAUUGCUUCUUGAUUAUCACACCACAUCAUAGGAGUAGAGCUCAAUUUGAUGUUAAGUUCACCAAGUAAAGAUUGUAUCCAGGGAACCUCUGAAGCAGCAUGAGCAAGAGAUCUAUACUCAGCCUCUGUGCUGGACCUGGAAACAACAACUUGUUUCUUUGAUGACCAUGAGACUAGAUUAGGGCCUAGGUAAACAGCAAAGCCAGCCACUGACUUCUUAUCAUCACGAUCACAAGCCCAAUCAGAAUUUGAAAAACAAUGUAGUUGCAAAGUUCCUUUGUUAUUAAAUUGCAGCCCAAGAUGUAUAGUGCCUUUUAAGUACCUCAAUAACCUUUUGCAUGUUUCCCAAUGUUGUGUUCUAGGACUUGAAAUGAAUUGACUUAGGUUGUUUACAGAGAGAGCAAUGUCAGGUCUGGUAAGAGUAACAUAUUGAAGAGCUCCUAUAACACUCCUAUAUUGAGAAACAUUAUCAAUUAGCUCUCCUGAUUCUUUUGUGAGAUAAUAACCAGUAGACAUUGGAGUAGGCACAGGACUGCAAUCUGUCAUGCCAUGUUUAUCCAGAAUGUCAGUAAUAUACUUUGCUUGUGUCAAGGAAACCCCUUGUGAAGACUUGCUGACUUCAAUCCCCAGAAAAUAGCUAAGUUCCCCCAUGUCUUUUAAAGCAAAGGCUUGAUUCAUAAUCUUAAUAACUUGCUGAAUUAGUGUUGGACUGGAACUAGUGAUGAUAAUAUCAUCAACAUAGACCGAAACAAGAGUUAGAUGACCACUGUUCCAGGCAUGAAACAGAGAGUUAUCAGACCUUGAAUGCUAGAAAUGCCGUUUAGAGAUCAUUGCAUCCUUGAAUCUAUCAAACCAGGCUCUAGGUGCCUGUUUUAAGCCAUACAAAGCUUUAUUCAGCUUGCAGAUAUGAUUAGGUUUAGUUGAGUCAACAAAACCUUCAGGUUGAGCCAUGUACACCUCUUCAAUUAAAAUGCCAUUUAGAAAGGCAUUAUUAACAUCUACUUGCCUAAUCACCCAUUGAUUCAAUACUGCUAAGCUAAGAAUAACUCUAACAGUUGAAGCUUUAACUACUGGACUAAAAGUUUCUGUAUGGUCAAUCCCAUGUGUCUGAUGAAACCCCUUUGCAACAAGCCUGACUUUAUAUCUUGAAACUGAACCAUCUGAGUUAUACUUUAUUCGAAACACCCAUUUGCUGCCAACUAUCUUCACUGGAGUAGCAUGUAAAACUAAAUCCCAGGUGUGAUUAGUUUUAAGUGCUAGAUACUUUUCUUGCAUAGCCUUAUACCACAUAGGAUCAGAAAGUGCUUGGGAAACAGAAGUUGGUUCUGAUUUCUGGGCUAAUAAAGCUGACAAAUAAAUUUUUGGCUUGAAAAUACCUGCUUUUGACCUGGUUAUCAUUGGAUGACCAGUUGAUGCAGGUUGUGGCAAUGUAUGUGGAGGUGAAUUAUGUGGUAGUGAAGAAGAAGAAGCUGAGUUGGAAUUAUCAGAAAAAUAAAGUGGAGUAGAAUUUGGUGAGGGAGUAGGAGCAUCUGAAUGAUGAACAUUUUGAUGGUGUUCUGAUGAUGCUGCUAAAGGUGCUUGUAACUGAGUAAUAGAAGGAACAGAGGAAUUGAAAGAAGACUUAUAAUUUUUUGUUGACUAACAACUUGAAGAGAGUGAAGAAAAAUCUGCUCCAGACUCAUAAGGAAAAGAAUUUUCAUCAAAGGUGACAUGAUUUGAAAUGUAAACCCUCUUAGAAGAGUGAAGACACUGAUAUCCCUUGUGUUGUGAAUUGUAGCCAAUGAAUAUACAUCUGGCAGUUCUGAAAUCAAACUUAUGUCUAUUGUAUGGUCUGAGUGUUGGAUAACAAGCACAACCGAAGGUUUUAAGUGUUGAAUAAUCUGGUUGAUGAUGAAAUAACUUUUGGAAAGGAGAAAUGUUGUUUAGAAUUGGAGUUGGAAGUCUGUUUAUCAAAUAGACAGCUGUGUGGAAUGCAUUCCACCAAAAUUUGAGUGGUAAAUGUGCUUGAGCUAAUAAGGUCAGACCUACAUCAACUAUGUGUCUAUGUUUCCUCUCAAUUCUUCCAUUUUGAUGAUGAAUAUGUGGGCAAGGGUGUCUAAAAUGGAUACCAGAAGCAGUGAGUAAUGAGGAAAAUGUUCUGAACUCUUCUCCCCAAUCAGUUUGGACAGUUUUGAUUUGAAGUUGAAGAUGCUUUUCAAUAAAAAUUUUGAAAUUGGUAAACACUUCAAGAGCAUCAGAUUUGGCUGACAAUGGAAAUAUCCAGGUAAAUCUACUAUAAUCAUCUAAGAUUGAUAAGUAGUAAUUAUAUCCUUGGGUAGAACAGACAUGAGAAGGACCCUGAUGGCUGUCGAAGCCAACAAAAAUAAAUUCCUACUCUAAAUAAAUUGUGUAUAGUGAUUGAGCAGGGUCGUGUCCACAGAGAUCGAUAAUUAUUUAAAUCCUUUUGAAACGUAAAACGUAAAAUGGGGGAAUUGUUGACAAUAAUAAAAAUCAAAUUAAAAAUAACAAGAAUGCAAAUUAAAGUUGUAAUUUAAAUUGGAGAAAGCUCUGGUUGAAGGAAUUAACUCAGCUUGAUUCGACUACUGAUCAUUGAUUCAAAUAUAGAUUAUUAUUACUCAUGAAUAGACCGGUUAUAGCUACUGAGACCCUCUAAUAGCCAAUCUCUCCUUAACUAGUCGAUAACCAAGGUACGACCGUUGGUUAUUUCCCUAAUCAAUAGACAACCCUAGAUACGAUCAUAGAAUUUAAUCAAUUGACAGCCUGAAAAACCAGAGAGACCCAAAUCCUAAUCAACACAUAUGAUGAUUCAUUUAAAUUAGAUUGUUUAUUCUCACAACACAACUCUCUGCUAUGUUAUUAGUCACAAGCAUUAAAUUCUUCAUACGAUGAAUCCUUUAAUUGACAAUAGAUUAAGUUGAUAAUUAAAUAGUGGCCAAUUACCUAAUUAACAAACAUAAUCAUGAAAAUAAUUCAGAGAAUAAACAAAUACCCAAAAAGUAAUAAAACAAUUAAAGCACAAGAAAGAUCUCACAGUAGUGAUGAAUCAAAGCUUCAUUAACCUUCAACCAGAAAAAUGGGUUUAGUUUCUCAUAGAGAGAAGAGAAAAAUUAGAUCUAGGGUUUCUUUUUCUCCAAUCCAAAAUUCCCCCCUUUCACAAUAGAUUCCUCCCUUAAAUACUCUCUCUCUCUUCUCCUCUAGAAUUCUAUUUAAAAUAAAAUACUAAUAUCUGAAAUAUUAAAUUCGUAAUUACAAAAAUAACCAAAAAUACAAAACACGUUAAACUAAAAACUGCAGGUCCGCAGUUGACAGCACGCGCCCACGCCUUAUCAAUAAAGUUCUUCUGCCGCUCAUAAUUUCUCCAAGAGAACAAUCAUCCUUAAAAAUCAUCUUGUAGCUCAAUUUUAUCACCAAUCAAUAGAAUUGCACCUACAAAAGUAAAACACAAGUAAAUCAUUAUUAUUAAGUGCAAAACAUCGAUAUUAAGGGAAGUAAACAAUGCAAAACUAGUGCAUAAAUUGCACUCUAACAAAUUCCCCCACACCAAGAUGAUGCUUGUCCUCAAGCAUAUAACUCAAGAUUAAUCCCAAAUCUCCACUCAAUUCUCAUCUCAACUCAUCCAAAAAUAGAAAUUAAGUCGAUCAACAUUCGAGAGACAAGGAUUUUAAAGCAUAGAAUCUCAUAAGAUAGAAUAAGAACAUUCAACCACCAAGAAGAUCCAUUCAAAAUUCAAGUGCAACAAGAUGUAAUAGCCCUCUCAAUAACUUCACUCCAUGCACUCAAAGUGUUUAGGGUGUCAUUUAUCCACUCAAAUCAAAUCAAAGAAUGCUAUUACCAUAAGCUUGCUCAUAUAUCACAUCUCAAUCCACAAAACAUGAAUAAAAUGCAAAAAUCUAAGGGUCUUAAAAGGAUUGUAAUGGGGUUAAAUGGGUUAAAUGAAAAAGAAAGGUUUACGAAAGAAAAAGAGAUCAAAAUGAGAAGAAUGAACUCAUUGAAUGAACUUAUGAUAUCAAAAUGCUUAUUUCUACUCAAGUCACCAAGAAUGUAAACAUUUUUUUUUUCGAUUUUUCUUUUUCUUUUUUUUUCUUUUUCCUUUUCUUUUUCUUUUUUUUUUUCAUUUUUUCAUUUUUUUUUGUUUUUUGUUUUUUGUUUUUUUCGAAUCAAACAAAAGAAACGAACCUUGCACAAUUUAAUUCAAGCAUAAUGCUUGUUGAUCUAAUUGAGAAACUUCAAUACAAGGUAGAAAAAGCAACAAAAUAUAUCCACACAAUGAGUCCAAAAAUCUCCUUAAAUUGAGGCUCAAAAAGAAGAAAAAUGGUUAAGUAGACGGAGAGAAUUAGAUGGGUAAUGGUUAAGGCUCAAACAAAGGUAGCAAAUAAAGGUCUUCGGGUAGAGAAAAAGGAAAAUGCGAGAAUAGAAAAAUGGUAAAUGGUUUGCCCUUAUCAUUUUAAUGCCUAAAAUCCCGUAAUGUGGCUUCAAUAUGCAUAACAAAGCAAAUUCUAGAAUAAACAAACUAGGAUUGAUAUUCACAUAACAAAAAUAAUUAGAGCAAAGUGGUUGCUCAUAGGCUCAAAUCCUCACAAAGUUGGUAAAUUUGCCAUCAAAUCAUGUACACUCUUCAAAUGAAUCAACCAUCAAUAGUGGUGUAGAAUGAGAAGAAGGUAUGAGUGAUAUAUAAAAGAAAAGGUAAAAAUUAUAAGAAGUGAGAAAGAUGUAUGUAGUAAUAUGAAAAGUGAAAGAUAAAAUGUGAGUGAUGAAAGAGUAUGGUAAAAUAAAAAUAGAUAUGAAUAGUUUGAGAUAGAUGGGAAAAAAGUAGUGAGAAAGAAAAGAAAAGAAAAUUAAUAAUAUAUGAAGCAUACUAACUCCAAAAUCAUUUAAGGAUGAGUAGAGUGAAAAUAGAUGAGUAGAGUGAAAAUAAUAAUUCCAGACAUCAAUAAUGCAAAAAUCCCUCCCCCACACCAAGAACUUACAUUGUCCCCAAUGUAAGAUAAUCAAAGCUCACAUAAAAAUUAAAGCGUAAGGAUAAAAGAUUAAGGGCAAAAAAAAAAACUUCCCUGAAUUGUGAGCUUUGAUCCACAUAACGUCUAUGGGCUUGGCGGAAAUGGUGGGGUAAAUCCCACACUCUCGAAGUAUGCGGCCAAAUUCUGCUCCAUCUUGUUCAGCUUGUGCUCCAUUUUCUCUAACUGAAUACUCAAAGGUGGUGCGGAUGUAGAAGGAAUAGUUGGCGGGGCAGCAGUGUCGUCGUCAAACUCGUCAUCAGAGGUAGCACCACUCCUAGCAUAAAGCUUCUUCGGAAGUUGAGUGGGUCCUGGUUCAGUAAACUGAAAUCUCCCCUCCUUGAAUUCAACCACACCUGUUCUUUCAAACACAGACAUAUCCAAAAAUUCCUUUUUGCAAGCAGGAUGCAAAUCAUUAUUGUCGGGAUCAAGAACACAUAGGUUUAUAGCUAACAGAGUAAUGUAUGGACCAAGAAAUAAAGUCCUAUACCGUUUAAGCACAUUUUGAAAUUGAUCCGCUAACCAAAAACCUAAAUUAGGCCUCACAUCAUUUAACAUGCACCAGAUAAAAUAAAAUUCAGUUUUAGAGAAAAUUCCCGAGUGAUCUUUCUUGCCUAAAAAAUUAUAUGCUAAGAAUCGAUGCACACAUUUCAAAACAGGAUCACGUAAGAAAGAACUCUUUGAUUUACUCGGGUCAUAGGCAUUGUGAUCAACAGAUAAAUUACGCCAAAGACCAUAAGGCUCAAAAUUUUCGCUAAAGUCACAAGUUGUUCCUAAAUAUGCAUCACUAGAAGAAUAAUCAUCAUCAAUGAAUCCUAAAGCUAGGUUAAAAUCCGUGAUAGAGUGUGAAAAAUUUCGUCUCAUUAACCUAAACUUAAUGACAUUCGGGGUAUGCAAAGUAAAAUCAUUCGGCAUAGUAAAUUGAAAAGUAGCAUAAAACUCCCUAAUCAACUCAACAUAACCCAAACAAUCAACAUCAACAAAUUUACGCAACCCAAUCUUAUCUAUCAAAGAAUCAAAAUUAUCCUUAACAUUCAAUUUUUCAAGAGUCGGGUAAUGAAUAUACUUAGCUGGAAGUAUUUUGCAAGUGGAAAUAUCUUUGUACCUCUCUUUCUCUUGUUGAGUCGCGAACGCGAGGCACCCUCCGAGAUUGGAUUCCGCAAGUGGCAAAACACUCAUGCCUUUUCCAUGCUUCGAUCUUUGUCUCACGGCUUUGCGUGAAUCUGAAAUUGUGUUCCAUGGAACCGUAGUGGGAGCGGCAAUCUUAGAUUUCUUUACGACGGGUUUCUUUUUCGAUGACUUGGAAGUAGAUGCUUUCCUCUUCGGCAUUGUUACAAUAAUUGCACUCACGGAUUUCGAUUUACCCGGCUGGAAUACAUGACGUAGGCUGGUUGCGUUGCGUUGCUGCUCGACUGGAGCUUGCUGUGCGGGUUGGAGCUGGUUGCGCACUGCUGGGCUGCGAGACACGGGAUGCUGGUGCUGCGCUCGCGGGGGCUUGCGUUGCGAGCUGGUGAUUCGCGUUGCUGGUUCGUGCUGCGUUGCGGGGCUGCUGGUGGGACUGAUGUUGCGCGUUGCGGCUGGGGCUGGAUCUACGCACUGCUGUGUGAUUCGCGAGAGCCGGUUCGUCUGCGUUGCUGUGCUGCACUGAGGUUGAUUCGCGUUGCUGCUGGUUGCGGUGCGCGAUGCUGCGCCCGGCGGCUGGGGCUGGUGGGGCUUGCUGCUGGAAAACGAUAAUCAACAGUAAUUUUUUUGAAUUAGGGAUUUGUGAACAGUGAUUUUCGAAUUUUUUUUUUUUUUUUUUUUAGUGAUGAAUCACUUUGAGACACUAAAAAUUUCAGAAGUACUUUUUUAAUAAGCACGUGGGCACGCCUUAUCAAAAAUUUUCUUCUGGCCAAAAUAAGCAAACACAUUAUUUUAAAAAAAAAUCUGAAUCAAAAUUAAAAGAAGAUAUAACAAAAACCAAAAUAAAUAAAUCAUUUGGGUUGCCUCCCAAAAAGCGCCUUUGUUUUAUGUCUUUGGCUAGACACGUUUAUGCAUCAAUCUCCAUAAUUGGGACUCUCGAGAGCCACAUCCUCCACAAUAUUCACCGAAAAACCUUCAUAAAAAGGUUUUAAGCGAUGACCAUUAACCUUAAAAACUUUGUCAGAGGUCGGACUCCGAAUCUCAACUGCACCAUGAGGAAAAACAUUAGUAACAAUAAAAGGUCCAACCCAGCAAGAACGUAAUUUACCCGGAAAAAGUUUAAGCUUAGAAUGAAAAAGAAGAACUUUUUGACCAACAGAGAACUCCUUUCUCAAAAUCAUUCUAUCAUGAAAUGUCUUCGUCUUUUCCUUGUAAAAAAUUUCCUGCGCUAUAGGGUUAAUAACAUCCACAGAAAAUACCGAAUGUUCCUCACUAGGAUAUUUCAUGGUAUCAUUCAUAUUGAAUCCUAUAACCUCUCCAUCAAACUCCAUAGUGAGAGUCCCUUUAUGUACAUCCAUUUUAGUCAUAGCAGUCUUAAGAAAAGGUCUUCCUAGCAAAAUUGGGACAGAAUUAGAGGAGUUAUCAUCUUCCAUAUCAAGUACAUAAAAAUCAGCAGGAAAAACCAACUCAUUAACUUGUACUAAGACAUCUUCUAAUACCCCAUCAGGAUAUGCAUUAGACCUAUCAGCUAGUUGAAUUAUCACGCCAGUUUCUUUUAAUGGACCAACAUUCAAAGAUGAAUAAAUGGAACGAGGCAUGACAUUAAUAGAAGCUCCUAGAUCUAACAUAGCCUUUUCAACUCUAACACUACCAAUUUUACAAGGGAUAGUAAACAUACCUGGAUCCUUGCACUUAGGAGGUAGUUUCUUUUGGAAAAUUGCUGAAACAUUCUCCCCCAUGUGAACUUUUUCAUCUCCUCUUAAUUUUCUUUUGGAGGUGCACAGUUCCUUAAGGACUUUAGCAUAUCGAGGUAUUUGUUUUAUAGCAUCUAAUAAAGGAAUAUUUACCUCAACCUUGCGAAAUGUCUCAAGGAUGUCUUUCUCUUGUUCUUCCUUCUUGGAUUUUGCAAACCGGCUUGGAAAAGGAGGAGGUAUCACAAUAGGUAGGGGUUUCGCUCCGGUGGGUUGUGCAUCUUGAGAUUGAGGCAUCAAUUCAUUCUUCUCAAGCUCAUCUUCUACAUGCUCUGUCACUUUCUUACUAGGCUCUUGCAACUCCUUCCCACUUCUAAGGAUGAUAGCACUAACGUUUUGCUUUGGAUUCACCUCAGAUUAUGAAGGCAAUCUUCCUAAUACUCGAGACUCCAGAUGGCUUACUGUAGUCGCCAAUUGACUCAUUUGGUUCUCCAAGUUCUGAAUGCUUGCUGUAGUUGCCUGCUGAAAUUGUUGAGUGUUAGUCGCAAGUGAUUUAACAAUUUCUUCAAGAGAUAUACCUGACUUGGAGUUUGACUGUGGAGGUGCUGGUUGUCUUGGUGGAUACUGUUGUGGGAAUCCUGACGGUUUAACUCCAUAGCUGAAGUUGGGAUGAUCCUUCCAUCCCAGAUUGUAUGUUUGUGCAUAAGGAUCAUACCUCCUCUGAGGCAUGCCUGGAAAUCCUCCAACUGCAUUGGCUUGUUCAACGAGUUCUUCUUGGAGUGUAGGACACAUAUAAGUUGAAUGACCCAUAUUGUAACAAAUGCCACAAGUCUUCACCUGUUGCACAUUACCUACAACAAACUUUUCCACAAGAGAAGUAAGUUUAUCUAAACGUUGUUCAACAAAAGAAAUAUUUACCUCAUUCACCUUCCUUGAAGUGGGAUCUUGCCUGCUACUAAAUUGUUGUGCAUUGGCAGCCAUAUUUGAGAUCAACUCCCUUGCUUGAGUAGGGGUUUUGUUCACCAACACACCUCCACUAGCAGCAUCUAUCAUACUUCUAUCCAUUAAUGAUAGUCCUUCGUAAAAAUAUUAAAUAAGAAGUUGAUCAGAAAUCUGAUGCUAAGGACAGCUGGCACACAAUUGUUUGAAUCGCUCCCAAUACUCAUACAAAGUCUCCCCAGGAAGUUGUCUGAUCCCACAAAUAUCUUUUCUGAUGUUGGCAGCUCUUGAAGUAGGAAAGUACUUCUCAAGGAACUGCUUUUUCAAACCAUUCCACGUUGUAAUUGAUCCAGGAGGCAAGUAGUACAACCAAUCUUUAGCUAGCCCAUCUACAGAGAAUGGAAAAGCACGCAACUUAAUCUGCUCUUCAGUCACGCCUUGUGGCCUCAUACUUGAGCACACAACAUGAAACUCCUUGAGAUGUUUAUGAGGAUCUUCACCUGCAAAACCAUGAAACUUGGGUAAUAAAUGAAUAAGCCCAGACUUUAAUUCAAAAUUUACCUCCAAGUCUACAUAUUGAAUGCAGAGUGGUUGUUGAUUCAAGUCUGGUUCAGCUAACUCUCUAAGAGUUCUUUCUACAGGUGCAGGUCUAUCCAUCACUUGUUCUUCUGAAUCGCUAGAUGAUUCAACUAAAUCAGGCACUGUAUCUGUUUCAGAAAGCAAAGGCGACGAGGAUCGUUGCUUAGCUCGCUUUGUCUGCUGUCUCAGUUGGCGAGCUGUCUUCUCAAUUUUAGGAUCAAACGAAAGUGUACCUGUACGAGAAGAACGAACCAUACACCAAGUAAAACGUAAAAAAGAUUAAAUAAAUGACACCAAUCCCCGGCAAUGGCGCCAAAAUUUGAUGGGUGUCGAAGCCAACAAAAAUAAAUUCCUACUCUAAAUAAAUUGUGUAUAGUGAUUGAGCAGGGUCGUGUCCACAGAGAUCAGUAAUUAUUUAAAUCCUUUUGAAACGUAAAACGUAAAAUGGGGGAAUAGUUGACAAUAAUAAAAAUCAAAUUAAAAAUAACAAGAAUGCAAAUUAAAGUUGUAAUUUAAAUUGGAGAAAGCUCUGGUUGAAGGAAUUAACUCAGCUUGAUUCGACUACUGAUCAUUGAUUCAAAUAUAGAUUAUUAUUACUCAUGAAUAGACCGGUUAUAGCUACUGAGACCCUCUAAUAGCCAAUCUCUCCUUAACUAGUCGAUAACCAAGGUACGACCGUUAGUUAUUUCCCUAAUCAAUAGACAACCCUAGAUACGAUCAUAGAAUUUAAUCAAUUGACAGCCUGAAAAACCAGAGAGACCCAAAUCCUAAUCAACACAUAUGAUGAUUCAUUUAAAUUAGAUUGUUUAUUCUCACAACACAACUCUCUGCUAUGUUAUUAGUCACAAGCAUUAAAUUCUUCAUACGAUGAAUCCUUUAAUUGACAAUAGAUUAAGUUGAUAAUUAAAUAGUGGCCAAUUACCUAAUUAACAAACAUAAUCAUGAAAAUAAUUCAGAGAAUAAACAAAUACCCAAAAAGUAAUAAAACAAUUAAAGCACAAGAAAGAUCUCACAGUAGUGAUGAAUCAAAGCUUCAUUAACCUUCAACCAGAAAAAUGGGUUUAGUUCCUAAUAGAGAGAAGAGAAAAAUUAGAUCUAGGGUUUCUUUUUCUCCAAUCCAAAAUUCCCCCCUUUCACAAUAGAUUCCUCCCUUAAAUACUCUCUCUCUUCUCCUCUAGAAUUCUAUUUAAAAUAAAAUACUAAUAUCUGAAAUAUUAAAUUCGUAAUUACAAAAAUAACCAAAAAUACAAAACACGUUAAACUAAAAACUGCAGGUCCGCAGUUGACAGCACACACCCACGCCUUAUCAAUAAAGUUCUUCUGCCACUCAUAAUUUCUCCAAGAGAACAAUCAUCCUUAAAAAUCAUCUUGUAGCUCAAUUUUAUCACCAAUCAAUAGAAUUGCACUUACAAAAGUAAAUCAUUAUUAUUAAGUGCAAAACAUCGAUAUUAAGGGAAGUAAACAAUGCAAAACUAGUGCAUAAAUUGCACUCUAACAGACCCCAAAGAUCUGCAUAUAUCACUUGUAAGGGUGCUGAAGUUUUUGUUUCAACUGAAUCAAAAUGCAGCAUAUGAUUUUUCCCAUAUUGACAUGCUGAACAAAAUUUCAAGCUUUCAAUUUUAUUAUAAGCAGUAGAGUUGUUACAAGUUUUGAGUAUAGUUUUGAGAGUAUAAGAUGCUGGGUGUCCUAAUCUUCUAUGAAGAAGAUUUACAUCAAUAGAACUCUUUGUAACAACUGACAGACAUGGCUUUUUAUUCAAUUCAUAAGAACUAACAGCAGUGAGCUGAUCAGAAUUGAAAACAGGAGAACAAGCAAAGAGAGUGAAUUUUAUUUUGACCAACUGAAUUGAGAAAGACUGAAUGAGCAGCAACAUGUGAAGAGACUCUAUACAAGUCACCUUUAGCAACACCUUCAAGUAAAAUUUUCCUUGUGUUCCUAGCCUUUAUAAAAAACAAAUCACCAAGAAAUUCCAACAGUAACUGGAUUGUCAGCCAAUAAUUUUGAAAUGCUAAGCAAAUUCUUAGUAAUAAAAGGGACAUGAAGAACAUGGUUUUUAAAGGUUUAGAAGUUGAAGUAUUUAGCACAACUGAUCCUACAUGUGUAAUAGCUAAUGCAUUUCCAUCUCCAACAAACAAUUUUUCAGUACUAGUAUAAAUUUGUGAAUCCAGAAGUUUACCUAGAUCAUUUGUAAUGUGAUUUGUUGCUCCACUAUCAAUAUACCAUGAAGGAUCUUCAAUGUGUUCUGGUGGAAGUGAAGAAGGCAUAGCUGAGGAAGAUGAAGCACUUGACUGUCCAGGAUUAUUAUUUCCUUGACCAGAAACAAAAGUAGAUGGUCUAGGGGUGAAUGAGUAAUAAGCAGAAGGAUUACUAUCUGGAUACACCAUAUUUCCUUGAUAGCCAAAACCAGCAUUUAAACCAAAACCUCCAAAACCUCUGCCACCAUUACCAUUAAAAGCUCUUCCUCUACCAUAUUGCCCUUGAUUAAAACCUCUGCCACCAUUCAUAUUACCUCUGCCAUAGUUUCUCUGUGGAACAAAAGAUGAAUUGUACCUAUUUUUGCAUCUAUUGGCUGCAUGACCAGGUAUGAAGCAGAUUUGACAAACAGUUUCAGAGGAAUUACCACCAUUAUUAAACUGACCAUAUCCAUAUCCAUUAAAACCUCCAUACCUAGAAUUAUUUCCAUAAUUUUUUUGAAAAUUGCCAUUAUUCUUUCCAGCAUAUGAGUUCUUCUGAGCAAUAUUUGCUGUCAUAUUGUGCAUCACAUCACCAGCAAUUUUUCCUUUCUUUUGUUCAACUCUAUUUUCAUGAUUCAAUAGCAAAGGAUAUAGUUCAUCUAAUGUUAUCUUCUCACCUCGAGCUAAAACACCUGUGACUAAAGAUUCAUAAUCUGAUGAAUCAAGACCAGUUAAUACAUGAAUCACAAGAUCACUUAACUCAACAGGUUUUCCAGCUAGAGCUAAAGUAUCAGCUAUACGUUUUACUUUUGCAAAGUAAUCAGACAUAUGCAUUGCACCUUUCUUAAUAGUUUGAAUCUGCAUUCUAAGUGUUUGAAUUCUAGCUUGUGAUUAAGAAAUAAACAUACUAGUAAGAGUCUUCCAAAGCUGUUUUGAAGUUGUGGAGUCAAUCACAGUAGCAAGUAGAUUUUGCUGUAUCGACGACAUCAUCUAACUCAACAGAAGUUGAUCAGUCUUCAUCCAAGCUAUGAACUCUGGAUUAAUAGAUUUGGAUUCAGAUUCAGUAAAAAUUUCAGCUCCAUUGUUGUUUCCAAAAGAAAGAAACUACUCAGGACAUUCUUGAUCACCAUUGAUAAACCCUUCCAGACCGUUUCCUUUGAUCGAUGCUAAAAUUUGUGCCCGCCAUAAAAUGAAGUUGUUUUGGUCUAGCUUUGCAGGCGUAACAAAACUAAAAGAGUUGUUAUUUUGAACUGUAUUCGCCAUUUAUGGCUCUAAUACCAUGAAAGAAACUUAGUUUUGCAUUGUUUGGCAAGCUAGAAAAUGAAGAAAAUAAAAGAAAGCUCUGUAAAGAAGUUUGUAGAACCUUUAUUACUUUAGCAUUACAACUGAAUGAAUACAGACUGAUAUUUAUAUUAAGCUACAAUUUGCUCAACACACACACGAGUUUGUUACAUCACAUAACCAUUUGCUGCAUAACUAAUUUGACACAUCAGCUCAACCAGCUAAUUAACUUUGCCAGGUCAGCUUAGUGAGUUGAUCUGCUAAAUUCAGCUACACAGCAACAUCAUGCUCUGCUCUAGCUUCAUUCAAUUCACUAGCAUUUUCCCUUGAUACAUUAGGAGAAAAGACUGCCUGUGAGAUACAACAAUGUAAAUAACUUCUCAUGGUUCAUUGAAUCUAUAACGCACUGAGCCCUAUUCUAAAAUAUGUAGGUUGCUUCUGAAAAAGGGCUUUUCUCACUGAUCUUUAAUCUUCAAGAAAGUUUGUUUCAUUUCAGAAGGUAUAAGUUUCAAACUUAUUGUAUUGGGAGGUUGUAUAGUUGUAACCUAAGCAUCUGCAGGUUCCUGGUUCAACACAUUAUAGUAUGGUAUUUUAUUUUGUCACAAGGCAAUUGGUUACGGGAUCACUUUUGCAACGGUUUGUUGAUGGCGAUGAUGAAUUUCGCAAUAGUAGGUUGAAACUUAUUCCAUCUGUUCCUAAGGUAUCCAUCUUGGCCUUCAUGUAGUAGGACUAUAUUAACGUAUACUUACCCUUUACUGCAUGGUACACUUCAAUUUGUACAAAGAAGGCAUGCAUUUAGGUGUGAAUGUAUUGAUGGGUUGUACCUUCAAACUUUAUCUCCUUUUUACCCUCUUGAAUUUGUUUUGCACUUGUUCUUGAUUUUCAGCACUGAAUCAUGCAGGGGUCAUGGAUAGUGCGCCAGAGUGUUGGAAGCACCCCUUGUUUAUUGGGGAAGGCAGUUGAUUGUAACUAUAUUCGCGGUCCCAAGUACUUAGAAGUAAAUGCUCUUGGAAUUUCUAUAGUACAUGAGAUGUUCCCCUUUCAAAUAGCGUCCAAUACCUUUAACAUGGUUUAACAUUGUUCAUCUUUCUGUAGAUUGAUGUUGACAUCGAUUCUUCUACUGUUGCUAAUGGAGUUUUGGGCCUUGUAAUUGGUGUAAUUACGACAUUGGUGGUUGAGAUGGCUUUCCUUGUACAGGUAUGUAUGAUUGUUUUUUUCCCCCACUGCUAAAUGGACACAAGGGAAAAGACAUGAUUUUGAGAUAUUGCACUGCAACUUGCAUUUUUGCAUACUUGAAUGUUCUCAGAAUGAUAUAAUGCUUCUGUGUGUGUCUUCUUUAUCUUGCUCUUCUGUAUGCAGGCAAAUACUACAGAUGAAUUACCGGAGCGGCUGAUUGGUGCUGUACGUGUUUCUCAUAGAGAACUCAAGUCUGCUGUUGUCCCAAAGCUGGAACCAGAGAUAUCAUGACUCUGGUUUCAUUUCAGCUCAACUGUGUUUUUUUUUUAAUUAAAAAAAUCAUUUGUUUUAGGUAUACAUACAUGUAUUUUGAUUCUAUUUUCAUUGUAAUUUCUCAUUUACUUUGAAUGAAAGUCAUUGGUGUUUUCGAAUGGGAAUUUUGCAUUAAAAAAUGAAGAAUAAUGAAUAGGAAAUUUCCUGAUUCUUUAGUUACUAUUUUUGGUAUGAGUGUAAUUAGUAGUAAAGUAGGUUUCUACUCGCAAACAAGUGAACUACUCGAUUCCCGAGUGGUAUCAACCAGUUUCCAACUUUUUAAUAUACACUAAUUGUUAUUGUUUAAUAGCUACUACUAUUAAAACUCAACAGCUAGCAAAAAUACUUAAAAAAAAUGAUUUUUCUUAUGAUGCUGUGAAAAAAAUUACGGGUGUACUUCUUUCCAUGAGAUCUAUAACAUGGUCUCGACUUCACGAAAUUCUUUUAAUUUAAAGCGUGCUGGUGUGAGGUCAGUUUAACUGAUUAAUUCUUUUUAACAGUGGUCGAGAUAAUUUUACUAUACUAAAAAAUAUUCUUAUUCUGAUAAUGCCACAAAUGUUAUGCUGUUUUCUUCAGAUAAUGAUCUUCCAUUAGGAGAGGUUAGAAAUCAAAUGCUUAAAAGACCAAUUGAACGAAUAAUACAGAAAUUUAGGCAGAAUCUAAUAGAAUAUUGCAUGAAACAUGAAACAUCAAUUCAAGUCCUUUCUUAAACGGAGAAUGCAUCAAACAAAAUCCAAAGUGUCUUGCAAGUCUGUAGCGUGAGCAAAAAAUUGUAAAUAUGUAGAACCAAAUUAUUCAAGUACAGAAGAACGAGCAAGCUAAAUCAUGUAUAAGAGAUUGGCCUGGUUCGGGAUAGCUUCUUCACUGUAUCUGAAGGGUUGGCUCAAUCUCUUCUUUAGAAUUCUGCAGAUUUUGUAAUUACUCGUGUAAGCAAGUAUACAUUGCCACCAUAAGAAUAAUGAAGCUAGAGUAAUGAUAUGACCACCACCUCUUGUGCACAAACAAUAUUGUAUAAACUAAUGCGACAUAAUAUGAUUGGUUAAACAAAAACAUUACAUGGCCCUCAUAAUUUAUUUAUUUAUUUAUUAUUAUUAUUAUAUAUUUUCAGUCAACCAAUCAUAUUAUAUCACAUUAGUUUCUAUAAAAUAAUUUGCUAAAUAGCACCAAAACUUAAUUGAUACUCACCAUUUCAUUGAACAAUUUUUUUAUGGUGUCAUUGAGGUUGCCUUCCCAACAUCGUUCAUCAUCAUCUUUUUCUUCUUUGGUGACGUUCACUUUGUUUAGCAUUGGUGUGUCUAAGAGUCCUUGAGAGAAGAUCUUCAUUUUUGGACACUGUCUCACAACUACUUGUUUCAAGGACGGGAAUUCAAGAGCGUAAUUACCUAAACAAAAGCUUGUUAGGCUUGGCAAACAAUCAAGUCUCAAGUACUCCAAUUCCUUGAAAACAUUGCAAUCUUUCGCUUCUUCUCCAACCUGCAAUUGUAUGAUUUGUUCUAUCAUUUUGCAAUCAACUAUCAUCAUUCUUUUGAGAUUCACUAGAUUUUUAGAUGCUGAGAGCGUCAACACAUUUAUCAAUCCGUGACACUUCGAUACUGCCAAAGCCUCAAGAUUUUCCAAAUGCCACGAAGGUGGUACUAAUUUUUGCAACUUACUACAUUCCGAUAUUUUUAGACUUUUCAAGUUUGCAAACACUUUGUUGGAUUCGGCAUUUUCCUUCCAGAGAUGGUGCACUUUGUGUAAUCCAGACAGCUCUAACCAUCUCAAUCGAGGGAAUGAAACCUGAAAAUCAACAAAAUUAAGUUGUAAAUGAAAAUAUGUAUCCAAUCUCUGCAGUCUUCCCCUGCAUAUUUUAUGGACAAGAUUAAUCACGACAUUUUAUAUUUUUUUUCCAAAUUAGAAUGCUUUGCAGUAGGAUCCCAAAUAUAAGUAUCAAAUCGAUUACCCUUUGAAACACAUAAAUGAAAUCUGAUACUAAAUCCAAUAUGAAUUAGCUAGGAAAACAGAGAUGUUACACACAUAAUUAAUAGAGUUCAUCACCUCGUGUUACCAGGCAUCCAAUUAAUUUAAGACAUUUUAAUAAUUCAUAUUAUAAAGUUAGUUGAUAGCGGAGGUUAUAUUGUUAAAUCAUAUAUAAAUUAAGACGACGUGCAAAAAGAGGAGUCAUUAAAUUCGAUUUGAUUCUAACGAAAUUACAUCUAUGCGAAUGAAAGUGAAGGGAAAUAAUAAUAAUAAUAAUAAUAAUCACCUUUUCAUCGAAGAGAGGUUGUACUUGAUGAGCCAGCAAGAAGUUCUCUUCUGAUGUUAAUUUUUGAGGUUCCUUAUUAUCCGCUGUCAUGUGCAGUACAGAGUUGGAUAUGAAUGUUUCUAUAUCUCGGCAAUUCUCAAUAGUUAGAUUUCUCAACAUAGGCAUUUCAAUUAUAUUCCCAGUGAAGUUGCAGAAUCUUUUGAGUUUUGGAAGAUCAGUGAGCCUCAGCCUGUAAAGCUUAGGAAACAGGGGGCUUAUAUGUUCUUUGUCAGCAUUUAGCUCCUCCAAAUGAAGCACCUCUUCUAUUGAAUCACAAUUCCUCUCUUCCAGCCAUACCAAAUUGUUCAAGCACCGUAGCAGAUUGGCAGGAAUAGCACUCGACAUAUUCGUGCAGUCAUCCACAGCCAGUUGUCGUAAAUUGUUGAAGAAGCUGACAGGCAGUGCUUGGCCAUGCCAUAUUUCUUUCAAACGUGGAAAAUGUGAGAGUUGCAAAUCCCAUAUGUCACGGAAUCCAAUCUGCACAAACAAAAACAAUUGCACUGGAUAUAUAUAAAUUUUUUUUUUGAAUCAACUUACAUGUUUUGUGUUUUAACUUCUAAAACUAUAUAUACAAGGCAGGUGUAUAUGUUCAAAUGUCCAAGUGCAAGGGAGAUGCAUAAGUAAUUUCGACGAAUCGAUUUAACACAUACCAUUUCUUCGUAACACUUUUGUAUAGUGGAAUUAAGGUUGCCUUCCCAAUGGCGCAAUUCACCCUCUCCCUGUUAAGAAUAGAAUUAGUUAGUUAAUGAGUAUGCUGACAUGGCAGCUGAGUCAGCUAAAGGUUGUUAUAGAGGUUGUUAGUAGUAAACUGUGCGUGUGUGCAAUGUGUGUAGAAUCUUCUAUGCACAUAUAAAAAGGCUUGUAAUUUCCAGAUUCAUUAGAUCAAUAAUAACAGAAUUCUCAGCUUACAGAAGUUUUCUUUCUUCCUAUUUUCUUAGUAACCAAACAACAUCACAGUUUCAUAUAAAACUUAAUACUUCCUUUUUACUCACAUGCACUUCGUGCAGCUUUGGUGUGGAUACGAUUCCCUGAGAAAAAGUCUUCAUGUUCGGGUAACAUGUCAUAGAAACUCGUUCCAAUGAUGGGAAUUCAAGAGUGUAAUCCUCCAAACAAAAGCUGGUAAGCCUUGGUAAAUGAUUUCAGGUAAUUUUUAAAUAUUCUAAAUUCAUUUAGAAUAUUUAAAUGAAUUUAGAAUAUUCACUAUUUAGUAUUAGGAAUGGAGAAAGAAUUUCAGGUAAUUUUUAAAUAUUCUAAAUUCAUUUUUCAUCUUGAUUCUAGUUUUUUAAAAAAAUUUAAUUUUCAAACAUGCGUAUUUUUAAAAUAACUAAACUAAAACGCUGUAUUUCCCUUUUUUUCCCGAUAUUCAUGCUUUUAAAAAUGGAAAACAUUUCUGGAAAACACUUCCCAACGCCAUCAACAUGGGACUGUUAUAGAUGAAUUAAGGAAAAGAGAAAUAUAUAGAUGAAUUUGUGAACCUAUAAGAUGAGUGACUAUCCUUUAAUUUUUGAAAAUUGUACUUAUUAAGAUAUGAGCAGAAACAAUUAAAUUGAAUUAUAUUAUGCUGUUGAAUCGUGAUUAAAAAAAUUAUAUUGUUGAUUCUAAUGCUGGCGAACCUAAAAACUGGACUUAAAAUGUAGAUUUGAGAGUGGUGGUUCGAAGUACAAUACUUGAAAUAAAUAAUCAGUGGCUGAAUAUCAUUUGUAAACAAAAAAUGGUUAAAAUAUUGUUGGAUGUAAUUUGAAAAAAAAAAAAAGAUUCGAAAUGAAUACAGCAACCUUACCAAUGGAGGAAAAAUAUUCUUUAGGUUAUCACACUCAAAUAUCUCUAAAUUCUUCAAUUUGCUGAAAGACUCCGAAGCAAGUUGGUGGUGCCAUAUUAUUCUCAAAUUAUUCAUCCAGCUAAUAUGUAAUACCUCCAACCUAGGAAGUCGUACCUGGCAGUUAAAGAUUAAAUAACUAAUUAAUCAAUUAAUUGCAUAAUCAAUUGAUAACUAAAUUAGAGGCAGAUAUUAACUAAACUUGAAGACUCAAAGAAAAGACAAAUUAAAUAUUGUGACUAAAAUUAAUUUUUUUUAUUAAAAAAAAAACCUUUUCGUCAAAGAGAGGAGGAGGUUGCAUUUCAGAAUGAUUGGUGUCUUCUGGUGAGCUCGUAGAGAUGAAUCUUAACAUAUUCCAGCAACUCUGAAUCUCGAGGUUUAGCAAAGAAGGGAAUUCAACAACUAAAUCUGAAUUAAUAUGUCCCGUAUUGGCAAAGCUUGUUAGUUUAUAAAGCCAAUAGAGCUCCAGGGAGUGUAGUUUAGGAAAAACCUUUAAUUCAAUCAACUUUCCUUCUUCUCUUUCUGACCACCCCGUGGUGUCGACUACCCCUUCCAUUGACUCACAAGAUCUUAUCUCAAGAUGCUGGAGUUGCAAAAGACUAUUAACCAUAGAAUAGGAAAACAGAUACUUCAUACGAUGACAACUGCUCACGUACAGCUUUGUUAAAUUUCGACAACAGUACAUUCCUUGAUUAUGAUCGGCCCAUAAUUUUUUCAUGUUUCUUAAUGACCUGAGAUCCAAUUCCUCUAAGCUCGGAAGAAUAACCUGCAAAGAAUACCCGUACAUUUUUGUUCCUUCAAGUACAACCGUCUAGUAUAAUAUUCUUUUGAUGAUCGAAGAUUAAUCGUGAUAAUAAAUUAAUCAAUUAAUUAUUGAACAGAAAAUUAUCACCUUUGGAGCAGGAUCAUCAUCAGCAGUGAUUUCGUUGAAUCCCAAAGAAGUUGUUGGUUUCUCCCUGUCGGGUCCUAUAAACAAACAAAAACAAUAUACAUAAUUAAUCUUUGUUUUUUUUUUCAAAAUAAUUGAGGCGAAGUCAAUUAUCCCACCGGUACUUAAUUUCAACACUUACCAACAAUCAUUUCCUGAUCAUCGCAAAAAGCCACUUCUACCUUUUGAAGCCGCAGUAGGUUUUUGGCUAUGGAGAAUGAGAAAAGAUGCUUCAAUUUGUGACAGAAUUUUACUUCUAUAAUCCUUAAGUUGCUGAAAGAUUGAUCUUCUGUGAGUUGGCUGUCACAUAUUGUCUCCAAAUUGAUCAAACGACGAAGAGACAAUGACUCCAGCAAGGGGAAGACUUUGCGACGAACCCGUCCAACUGAACAGACAAUAUGCAAAAUCUCAGAACAACUUUCUGCAGAAAGAUGCUUCAAUCGUGGAUAACCUUCCCCAUCAUCUAAUUCAUGAACAACAUUCUGAACACCCUUCAGUUCUUCUAGAUAGAGAUAUUCAGUUCUCGUCAACAACAGUUUCAUCCUGUAAUUCUGCAAAAGAACGCCAAACUUUUCCAGCCCCUGGAGCUUCAUCAAUCUUGAUAAUCCAGAUUUAACGGACCAGCUGCUCCACCACUUAUUUCCUAUACAUAUCCUAUAGCUUUGUAAUUCCACAGAGACGAAAUCCUGCGGUAAAAUUUCGGCAUCCCGAACAUGUAUCUCCAAAGUAGUUAGCUUUGACAGCCCAUUCAAUUCAGCAAGACUGGCGUUACUUCCUCCUUCAACCUUCUCCCACUGUGAAAAGCUGUUACCAAUAUAUAGUUCUUCUAAUCGAGAUAAUUUUGAUAUGACAUUUGGAGCUAUCACCACAAGACUGCUACAAUUUCUCAAAUCUAGCAACUGUAAUCUCGUCAAUUGUCCAAUUACAACUGGCAACUCCUUAACAUCAGAAUCUCGGAAGCUGAGAAUCUCUAAUUUCCUUAGCUGUCCAAUUAUAGUUAUUUCGUUCAGUCGGCAACCGUCUAAACACAAUGUUCGAAGGUUAAUGAGGCGACCAAGUGAUGAAGGUAAUGAAGAGAAAAAUAUGCCAGUAAAAUCUAAAACUUUGAGUUCUUCUGUCCCUUCAAAAAAGAGGUCUGAAAUUUGCAAAGAGCUAUCACGCUUUGAAAACAACAAAAGUAACUCGAGACGGGGACAUCCCAACCUUUCGGGAAGCUCUUGAAUAUCUCUAUAAGGUAAAGAAAUAGCAAUUGGACCUUCCCGUAUUGUCUCUUCCAUCUUUUUCUCCACGUAGGCAACAUUUGGAAUAUUAAACAUGAGCUCCUUUUCUGCAAUUGAUACAGCAACAGCAUGAAUGAUGUCAUGCAUUUUAACUUCAUCUUCAGCAUCACCGUCCAACAAUAAGCAUGAAGAUUUGAGUUUGUCGAUCAAUGCAUCCACUCUAUUCCUUGCAUUUUCCAAUGUGCGAACAUAUUUAAACAAACCCAAACCCAUACCCAUACCAUAUCUCAACAAGGAAGCAACUUGUAUAGGAGUACCUUCACCAAAUAGAGAACAAAGAAGGAACAAAGAUUUUGCUUCAUCACUUUCCAAGAAGUCGUAACUCAAUUUUAUGGAAGAAUACACAUCUGCAUCCAUACCAUGAAUUUCUCUUAGAUUGGAACUUCUUAGCUGAUUCAACGCAUCCUUCCAAAUGGCAAGACUCUUAUUUUUCAGAGCACUUGCAACUGUUCUCAGUGCAACAGGCAAUCGUCCGCAUUUUCCAACAAUCUCAUCCGCUAAAGGUUGAAAAGCAGAUGCUUUUGCGGAAUUGCCCACGAUCUUUUCAAAAAAUUGCAAUGCUUCUUCCUUUGAUAAAACUUCAAUUGGGAAAAUCUUCUGAGAAUUCAUAUCAUUGAUCAAUAAAUCUUGACUUCUAGACGUCAAUAUUAUCGUGCGUCUCCUUAGAUCUUGCUUUCUAUCUUUCUCAUCAACAUCCCCAGAAGGAAUUCCAAUUUCUUCCAACCUAAGUUUUUUCCAAAUAUUAUCUAAUAUAAUGAGGACUCGCUUCUCUUUCGUCAAUCUUUGACAAAGUUGUUUUGCUCUGUGGGGUUUGCUAUCAUUCAAGUCAAAGUUCAUGUCUAAAUCGGAAGCGAGCUUGUCUUGAAUUUUCUGAACAUCUGGGUUCUCUGUUACCUCAGCCAUAACGACCUUAUCGAACAACUUAUCUUCCAUAACUUGCUUUGCAAUUUGCUUGACUAGCGUGGUUUUACCCACGCCGCCCAUACCGUGGACCCCAAUUAUGUUGAGCUUAUCAUCCCUCAAUGCCUCCACAACAUCUUGAAAUAAUUUCAUUCUUGAAUCAAAGGCCUCGAAAUCUUUCGCUUGCAUAUGUUCUGUACUCUCUGGAGCAGGACGGUGGGAAACACUAGAGAAGUUGCCUUUUCUCACGAGACUAGCGGCAGCUUCUGCGGCCUUUACUGCUUGUUUACUAAGUUUAUAACGAGAAAUCAAGUUGGGGCACAAUCCUUUGAAGCAGGACUUCUUAGCUCUAUCUUCAUCAUCAAUGAUGGAUUUUGCAACCCCUUCACUGAUGCAUUCAUCAACGCCAUUAAGCCAGUCUGCAACAUCCUUGUAAAUCUCAUCUCUUUGUUGAGUAGCCUGACGAACGGGUAUUCCCACCCUUUCUCUUUUAUAUUCCAGCUGCUUCACUUGAUCUUUUAGCUCAGCUAUGUAGCUCUGGUACUUGAACACAUAAGAUAUCUGCCGCAUAAUCCGUUCGAGCAAUGCCUUUGCACCUUCUGAUACAAUGCUUGAAAAAGCUUCGAGACCCACUUCUGAAGCCAUUGCCUAGCCUGUUGCAUAUAUAUAUACAUUAGCCGAUGGAAAAAUUGGAUUCAAAUAAAUUAAAGUGAUCCAGAGGGAAGGACAAAGAAAGAAAUGACAACGAAUGACUUUUUAAACAAAGGUUUCAAGAGCCUGAAUCGAAAACCAACAAUUUGAAAAAAAAAAAAAGAAUUGGAAGAUGGAUGCAAAUUAACCAUUGCUAAUACUACAUAAGAACACAUAAGUUAACAAUGAACAGUUACUUAAGAAAAUUAAAUGACAAGAUUAAAACAAACAAGCGCUAUUUUUUCUUGGACAAAUGUACCUGUUUAAUUAUUAAAGACUUAAUGAGCUUCACUAUUGGCCUUGAGUAUAUAAGAAUGAGCAAGAGAUCAAUGUCAACUGCAGAGGAAUGUCAGUAAAGGUUUCAUGAGAGUGAGUAAUACAAAUGAAUUGUAAAAGAACAAGACUUAAGCGUGCACCCCCUGUUUUGUUUUAUUCGUUAUGAAAAUGAUAUUGUACCCAAUUUUAAGAGAGCAUAAUAAUAACCAUUUAAUGCAUAAAUUUAGAAUUAGCUUUUUUUUUUGUAAUUCUUUAUUUAAAUAUACACGUCAAUGGAAAAUUUUGAAAAUUUGGAUACAAAAUUUUAAAUCACCAGAAAAAAAAAAGCACGGGAACGGAAAUAGAGGAAUCUUGUUUUACCUUUUUUUUUCCCCCCUUUAACUCUCGUUCUUAUAUAAAUAAUCUUGUUUUGAUGAUUGUGACUCGUGACUGCGGGAAAAAUUCUAAUGGAAACAACUCAAUUUCGGAAGAUAAGCUUAAUUCUGCAAGUGAUGAAUUUGUUCAAUAGACUCUGUACCUGAACUCGUUGGAUUGGUUGAUUGAUGAUUGACUAAAUUUGAAUUAAGUUUAAUAGCUUAGCUAUCAUGUACUCCUUAAAAGCAAACGUAAAUCUUUUUUAGAUUUGACUGAAUUUGGGAACCUGUUGGAUUGAUUGUUUUUAGAUCAUUAAUAUCAGAUACUACAAACGUAAAUAUUUUCUUGUGGUUGAGUCCUAUUCAAAUCACACAAAAUUGCACGACCAAAUAUUAAGAGAACGUAAUAAUAAUCACUCAGUGCGUAAGGGUAAAUUUAGAAUUACGUAUUCUUUUUUAUUUAAUAAAAUCCCAGCGAGAAAAUCAUAAAAUUUAGAUAUAAAAUUUUCAAUCACCAAACAAAAAACAGGGGGAAUGAAAACACAGGAAACUUGUUUUACCUUUUUUUCAUCUAACUCUUGUUCUUAUAUAAUAUUUUCCCUAGUGUUUCAGGCAAGCAAAAAAAAAAAAAAAAUCAAUAAAGAGCAAGUUGCUCAAAUUGAUUUAUCUUGUUUUUCAGGCAAUCUUGUGAUAUGAUGAUAAUGCUUAUGAAUGCUAGAAAAACUUCUAAUGCAAACAACUCUAUUUGGGAUGAUAAGCUUAAUUUUACAAGUGAUAAAUAUAAAUAACUUUUUGUGGUUAAUUCAAUUUGUAAUUACCCUUAGCCCUAUUCUAAAAUUUGUUGGCUGCUUCAGAAAAAAAAAAAAAAAAAUUUCACUCAUCUUUAAUCUUCAAGUAAAAAACAAAUCUAAUAAAAUGACAAACAAACAAACAAAUAAAAGACAGCAAACAAACAACAUUUAGCCAACUGAUAUUUAAACAGGGAUUAGAGUUUUUGUUAUUAACUGAAAGGUUUCAAGGGUCUGAAUAAAAUCCCAGACUUUUUUUUAAAACUUUUUUUUUAAUUAACCAAAGCCAUAUAAUAAGAUCACAGACUUUAACAAUGAACAAUAAUUUGAAACUCAAGCAAAACCAAUCACAAGAUUAAAACAAACCAGAGAAUUUUUUUCUUGGAAAGUAGAUGAAAAGCAAGUAAGAACUGCUAUUAAAGGAUAUUAUUAAAGGAUUUAGAACAUGUAUACCUCUUUAUUUAUAUGGGAUCAGAGAGUCGAUGACCUUCUCUAUUCGCUUCGGAUAUUUAGUAAGAACUGCUAUCAAAAGAAUGAAUUGAUGAGUAAUAACAAUGAAUUGCAAAAGAGGAAGACUUAAUCACGUACCCCUAUUGUACCCGAUUUUUAAGAUUUAAUUUUGAAGUCCAGAAUCAAGACAAAAGACGAAGCCUUAACAAAUAUGCAGUGAGAAUAGUUAAGUUGAAGAAAGCACUAGUUUAUGGCUCUGUGUUUCAUAUGCCGUAUUGAAAUAAUUAAGUUGAAGUUUUCAACGAAUAAAUACCUGGUGUGCUGGAAUAAUUUUAGAAGAAUAUUGGCUUAUAGAGAUUAGAGCAUAUUAGGAGGGAUCAGAUUUGUAAGAUGCCUGAUAAAAGAUAAAGCGAAUGUUAUUAUGGACAUACCAAUUUCCGACUUUUCGGAGUGCAUCCGUCUAUCCAUGACUUGAAAAGAGACCCAAUGUGUGGACAGACUUGAUUACAUNNNNNNNNNNNNNNNNNNNNNNNNNNNNNNNNNNNNNNNNNNNNNNNNNNNNNNNNNNNNNNNNNNNNNNNNNNNNNNNNNNNNNNNNNNNNNNNNNNNNNNNNNNNNNNNNNNNNNNNNNNNNNNNNNNNNNNNNNNNNNNNNNNNNNNNNNNNNNNNNNNNNNNNNNNNNNNNNNNNNNNNNNNNNNNNNNNNNNNNNNNNNNNNNNNNNNNNNNNNNNNNNNNNNNNNNNNNNNNNNNNNNNNNNNNNNNNNNNNNNNNNNNNNNNNNNNNNNNNNNNNNNNNNNNNNNNNNNNNNNNNNNNNNNNNNNNNNNNNNNNNNNNNNNNNNNNNNNNNNNNNNNNNNNNNNNNNNNNNNNNNNNNNNNNNNNNNNNNNNNNNNNNNNNNNNNNNNNNNNNNNNNNNNNNNNNNNNNNNNNNNNNNNNNNNNNNNNNNNNNNNNNNNNNNNNAUUUAAUAAUUAUAGAAGAAUAUUGGCUUAUAGAGCAUUUUAGUAGGGAUAAGAUUUGUGGACAGAAUAAAUGAAAUAAUAAAAAGCAUAACUGAUCAAGUCAUUAUUGAUCUUACUUUGAUUAUUACAUUGCACAUUAGUUUCUUUCUAAAAAUGCCAUUCUUCAUUCAAGCUUUCGCUUUAUCUUUUAUCAGGCAUCCUACAAAUCUUAUCCCUACUAAUAUGCCCUAUAAGCCAAUAUUCUUCUAAAGUUAUUAAAUGCCAUUCUUCAUUCAAGCUUUCAUGGACAUUAUCUACAAACUGAAUCUUCAAUGUAAUAAAAUAAUGAUCAGCCUCACAGGAUACAUAAAAAGCUCAUUUAUCACAAUCAUUUCCUAGUGCAUCAUAAACUUAGAUUAUUUAAUUUUACUAUUAGGAAACCUACUUAUAAAAGGCGCACACUACAAAUUCUAAAUUAAAUUUCUAACUAAGAAUAAAAGGUAAACCCUAGCAAUUUUCCACCAGGUGCCGUGUAGCCUGCAUCAUAAAUUUUGAUUUAAAUCUUUGUAAUCACCGAACAGAAAAACCGGGGAAUGAAAACAGAGGAGCCCUAUUUUUCCAUUUUUUUAACCCUUAACUCUUGUUCUUCUAAUUAUAUUUUUGCUUGGAAUUUCAGGCAAACGAAAAAAAAUAGUGACAACUAUUUAGAGAGAACAGGUGGAUGAUAGCAAAAAUAUUUUUAAUUAAUAUGCAUGAUUAACUCUUGUUCUUCUAAUGUAGUGGCUUGAUUAAUUAAUAUUUUUAAUCAAGCCAUUACAUUAUUGGUAGUCUCUGUGGGCUCAUUUCGUCUCCAGACCUGAUAUUGUAUAUCUCUUUUUGAAUAUGUUUAAUUAAUAUGCAUGCUGCUGAAUAAAGACGAUGAUUUCCAAAUUUUUGUUGCUUUUUUUUUUUCUUUUUGCUGCUUUGGUACAUGAAGAAUGUGGAAAUAGAAAUAGCUUUCGAAGUUUAAUGGCUUGCUUCAUUAGUAAAGAAAGACUAGGAUAUCCGUCCUUUUUGUUACUGAAUUAUUGAUCAAUUGACGGUUGAAGUUAGUUAUAUUAAUUUGUUGUACAAGAAUUGAAGCUUAUAUCUUUACCGUUUCGUGAAAGUGUCAAAUAUGUUCUUUCCUUGCAAUUGUUCAAAAUAUGUUACACUUUUGAAGUCACUAUUACAUAAAGGGUGUUGUAAAAUAGGGAAAGGCGGGUUUAUGAUUAGAUUUUAAUAUGUUUAAUUCAAGGAUUAACCGAAGCUAUUAACCAACGGCUACUAACCGAAAACCGAAUUUAACAAUAAACACUAACUCAGAAUUCAAGAAAAUUAAAUGACAAGAUUAAGACAAAUGAGAGAUAUUUUUCUUGGACAUUAAGAAAGAACUACUAUCAAGAUCAAGGAUUAGAGAUUAUAUAUGCUAUUAUUAAUAGAAAUUAUUAAAGGAUUUAGAACAAGUUCACCUCGUUGAUUAUCUGGGAUGAUGAGUUUCUAUAUUCACCUUGAAUAUAUAAUAACAAUUUUAGUGAGCAAAAGAUCACUGGUAACUGCAGAGGAAUGUGUGAGUUUAAGAGCUUAUUAGAGUAAGCAAUACAAAUGAAUUUUCAAAUUAUGUACUUGGUCAUUGUUGUCCUACUGACGCACGUUUUUUUUCAUGAAUAAUUGCCAGAUCAGAAAAGAAUAAGUUCGGUGGAUUGAAAGAUUGCUGAAGCAAGUAAAACAAUCUUCAUAUCGAACAUGAUUCCAAUUAAAUUAAUCUUUUUAUAAGAUGACUAAUAAAAGACAAAAGUAGAAGCUUUGAUGAAUGAACGAUGACCAAAACUUUUGUAAAAGCGGAUGCCGAUAAAAUAAACAAAAGGCACUUUAAAAAGAAACUAAAGUGCGAUCAUCAAAGUAAGAUCAAUAAUGACUCGAUUUAUUUCACCUAUUCUGUCCACAAAUGAUGCUUCGCUAUUACAAGGUCCGAAUGGACAUUAUUUACAAAUUGUUCUUAUGUUUCACAGAAAAAUGAAAAACCGUUCAUCAUCAUAUAAUUAUGAAAUAAAUAAAUUUUAUUAAUGGAUUAUGGGGAUAUGUUAAUGUUAGGGAUAUGUUCAAAUCAUCAUAUAAGUUACUAAACGCUUCAACAAGAACAAGAAUUAAUGAGUUAAAAGUAAAAAAAAAAAAUUUUAAAAAAAGUUAAAUAAAUAAAACUUAGAAGUAAAGAAUGUUAUUUGCAAUCACCAAAAUGAAAACAGUGGAACCCUGUUUUUCCUCUCAUUUCUCUUUCUCUCUUUUUCAUUUGUUGGGAAGUGUCGCCUAAAACACUUCCUCUGCUAGGUGGAAUUAUUGGCUUGAAGAGAUGAGUUCUUGUCACAAGCACAAAUUUUAUCUGUACAUUAUUUCAUUUUAAAUGAUGAGUUCUUGUCACAUGAUCAUUACUUUUUUUGUUUUGAUUUGGUUAGUUCAUGAUAACAAACAAAUUAUUUUGCAUCACAUUAUGGUAAAAAGUUGCCCUCUUUGUUACUUCCACAGCUAUAUAGUUUAAUAUUUUGUAAUAAGAUCACAAAGUGCAUGGGAACCACUGUUCGAGUACUUCAGCCUAAUAUGAAGAUCUAUUGAAAAUUUUCCUGAUGUCAUGAUAUUAAACAAAAAAAGGUACCUCUUUUACUAAUUAAUAAGAGAAGUUUUGACCGAUUUCAUGUGACUCUCUUUUACUAAUUAAUAAGAGAAUUUUUGGCCUUAUAUCCUUGCUGUGGCGUUAGACUGUUGGUCAUUUUGAUUGUUUCCUACUUUCCGUUUACGCCAGCUGUAACAUUGUAUUAUCACCAUUUUAGCCAUUUAAAUGAAAUUUAUUUUUGUCAAAAAUAAAAUGACACCCUUAAAAUUAAAAAAAAAAUAGUUAUGUAGACCUCAAAUUUUUAAUAAAGAAUGCCAAUACCCCUUUUAACUACAAGAUUCUUAGUAGAUGAUAACUAAAAAAAUUAACUUCAAAAAUUUUCACUAAAUAUAAAUCUAAUUGAAAUAGUUUAAAUUUUCUAGUAGACUAAUAUAUAUAACUUAAAUAAUUAAUUUCAUUAUUAAUUUUUAAAAUGUUAAAUAAUAUAUUUUAAUUUAUUAUAAAAAAUUUAAAUAAAUUCUUGGAUUAGAUAGAUUUUACAAUUAAUGUAAUACUGCUGAUUUAUUAAUAAUAUUAAAAUUAUUUUAUAUGAUAUUCAAAAUAAUUUAAACUUUUAUAUAUUUAUUUUAAUAUUAUGUCUAUUUAUUAUAAAUUUAUAAUUUGGUUUAAUAUAAUACGGGAUUGUAAAAUAUUAAAAUAUUUUUCAAUAUCAAAUUAUUUUAAUAUGUAUAUAUCAUUACAUUUAUUUUAAUAUUGCAUUUAUAUUUAUUAAAGAGUAUUGCAGUAAAGUAAAAAAAAAAAAAGUCUUAUUAUCCCUUAUUCACGAUAUGAGGUUCUACAGAAUUAUUUCCCCAAACGGGUGUCCUUUUCUCAUUUUCAAAAGAAAAAAUAAAGUAAGAAUAAGACCAUGGAUUUCAAAAAACUUAUAGUCCUAUCCCGGGACCAAACGUCUAUUCAUUAUUUUAUUUAUUCAAUAUAAAUGGCCAACUUAAAAAAAUGAUAAAAAUCACACAAAGCUCAAGUGAAAAUUUAGAAUUACAUUUUUUAAUACUCUCGGAGUCUUCUCUCCUGCCCCCUUUUUUUCUUAAAAAAAAAAACCUUAGUGUAAAAUUAGAAGAAUUUUAGAUAUAAAAUUUGACAAUCGCUAAACAGAAAAGCAGCGGAUUAAAAAUAGAGGAGCUCUGUUAUCAUUGCAAUAUUGAUUAUAGAUAAUAUAAUAACUUGUUGUGGUUCAUUGUAGCACUCUGAGCCAUACUUUAAAAUUUACUGGUUUGUUAAUGCUUUUAUUAUUGACAUUAUUGUGUCAAUAUUAUUAUAAUUUAUUCAUUUUAUUGUAAUGAUAAUUUGUCUAGUCUUAGGUACUUAUUAUAUUAAAUUAUGUAAAUUAAUUGAGAAUACUUUUACAGACAAAAGAAACACGUGUAUGUAGGAUUAAUAAGCGAAGAGUUGUAAAUGAAGCUGAUUGCUUCAUUGAGAUGCAUAUUAAAUAAUUAUGGAGAGUUGCUCUAUUUCAGAAGCAUAUAUUUAUACUUCCCUAUCAGGAUUUGGGGUAAGCGAAGUGCUUUAUGUAUUGCAGUAAGCAAAUGUGGGCAACAUCAGAGCCGAAAUAUUAAAAGAUCAUAACGCAUAUAAACGAUUAGUAUAUUCAAGGCACAUAUAGCGGAAAGAGUGCAGAUCUGGCCGUAACUAUUAUGAGGAUUUCCUCAAGUAAAUAUUAAAAGAACAACUAUUCUGAACUAUAUAUUCUUCAUUGUGGGCAGAUUUACUUAAAUACCAACACAAUGAUUCAAUACUUCAAAAGUCAAGGAAAUGUCAAAAUAUGAAAUGAAAAUACUUAAAUACCCUUCUCCCUAACAAAACUUAGUACUUCUAACUGCCAUCGCAGAGAAUAUAUAAAAUUUAAAAAAAAAAUCAUCCAUGAAAAGUUUCGUAACAGAAAAACCGUCUUUCAAAAAAUAAAAAAUAAAAAAUAAAAACAGAAAAAUUGACUCAUUUAUCUGCCAAUGAACCAGUCGGGACUCAUUUAAAAAAGAUUACAAAGCAAAAGUAAAUGACACAAAUUGCAUAGAUAUCUAAGAGCCGCAUCAAAGGACAAAGGUGUUAAUUUGUCCAAGUAAUAAAUUCUCCUAGGUCAAAAGCAAUUAACGAUGAAAACUUUCUUCAUUAAGGUUCUGGCCUACGUAAAAAAACAGAAAAAACCACCCCAAGGUCAAAGCACAACGAUAAGUUUAGAAUUGCAGUUUUUAAUUUUUCUUUUUAAUAAAUCAACGUGUAUUAAAAAUAGAUAAAAAUUUUGAAUAAUGUUUUUUUGAUAAAUAUAGACAUAAAAUUUAAAAAUCACCAAACAGAAAAACAGGGCAAUUAAAAGAGAGCCCUUGUUUCUCCUCUGUUUUGUUUGUUAUUAAACGGGGAAAUGAAAAGAUCGCAAGCAUAAAUUUUGUUUCUGCGUUGUCUCUUCUCAAUGUUGCAUGCAUUCAAAUUAAACCUUAUAUAUGAUAGCAAACUAGCUACUCUGCAUGUACGAUAAGUCUAAAUAAUAGAAUAAUUGUAAAAUGUUCAAAUUCAGUAAUUAAUUAUACAUAUUUAUUUAUUCAAAAAUUAUUAUUAUUAUUAAUUAUUGUCAAUAAUAUAUUAAUAUACUAAUUAAUUAUAAAAAUUUUUAUCAUUCAUAACAAUAACAAUGAUGAUGAUGAUGAUAAUAAUAAAAAUUCAAAAUAUAUUAAUUAAUUAUAAUAAUAUAUUAAUUAUUUAAUACUAAUAAUAAUAAAAAUGUAAAAUGUAUAAAUUGAUUAGAAUAGUUAUAUUAAUAAAUUAUAAACAUAUAUUAAUUAAUCAUAAUAAUUUUUUAAUUGAGGACAAAAUAGACAUUUUAUAGUUUGUGAGAGGGGGCAAAAUGGUCAAUUUUGGGAAUGGGAGAUUGAUUCCCACCACCUUCCUUGGGAAUCAAUUUUCCAUUCCUCAUUCCUAAAUUUGGGUGGCCCCAUAAUUCUGAUUUGGAUCCCUGCCUCCAUCAUUAAUGAUUUCGAUUUCGGAUUCCGAUUCCCCAAUCCAAGAAGUAAAGGCACCAUUAUUGUUAAUUGGUUCAAACACACAAAGAGAAUGUACCGUGUAGCUAGGCGUCAAGGUUGUGUUGCACAAGUAACCUUUUUCUUUUCUUUUUAUUUUUCUUGUUUUCCUUAACGGAUCAGAAGAAAUUGGUGCCUUUGAGAUACCACAAUGUAAAUAAUUAUUUGUGGUUCAUUGAAUCUGUAACACUCGGUACCCUAGGGUUGCUUUGGAAAAAGGGCUUUUCUCACCGAUCGCCAAUAUCCAAGUAAGUUUGUUUCAUUUCAGAAGGUGCAAAGUUUCAAACUUGUUGUAUUGGGAUGUAACAAACUUUGGCCUUAUAUGCCUGCUGUGACGUGAGACUGUUCAUUUUGAUUGUUUCCUACCUUCCACUUACGCACUGUAGCACUGUAUUAUUCACCAUUUUAGCUGUUUAAAUGAAAUUUUAUUUUUGUCAAAAAUAAAAUGACACCAUUAAAAUUUAGAAAAAUAAUCAUGUAGAUCCCAAAUUUUUAAUAAAGAAUACCAAUAUUCCCCUUGACUACAAUACCCUUAGUAGGUGGUAAUAAAAAAAAAUUGGCUUAAAAUUUUUACGAAAUGUAAAUAUGAUUUAAAUAAUUUAAAUUUUCCAGUAGACUACUAUAUAUAAUUUAAAUAAUUAAUUUAAAUAUUAAUUUUUAAAAUGUAAAUUAAUUUAUUUGUAUUUAUAAAAUAUUUGUAAUUAUUUUAAAAUUUAACUAAAUCCUUAGGUUAAAUAGAUUUUACAAUUAAUAUAAUAUUUCUCAUGUAUUAAUAAUAUUAAAAUUAUUUUAUAUGAUAUUGAAAAUAACCUAAAUUUUUAUAUAUUUAUUUGAAUAUUAUGCUCUAUUUAUUAUAAUUUGGUUUAAUAGAAUACGAGAUUGUAAAAAAUUAAAAUUUUUAGAUAUUGAAAUUAUUUUAAUAUGUAUAUAUUAUUAUAUUUAUUUUAAUAUCCUAUUUAUAUUUAUCAUAAAUUAUUAGAGUUAAUUUUUUUAGUUAAUAAAUUUAAAAAAUAUUAUAAUUUAAAAAAAAGUCUUGUUGUCCGUUAUUCACGAUAUGAGGUUCUACAAAAUUAUUUCUCCAAACGGGUGUCCUUUUCUUUUUUUCAAAAGGAAAAACAAGUUCAGGGCCUCAGGGGUUUCAAAAAAUUCUGGUCCUAUAUACCACUAUGACUAAUGGGAAACGACAUUGCAAUUGACAUUGCUUUCCACAAUAUGAUAGAUUAUUGGAGGGAUAUGAGAGAAUUGUCAAACGUUCACACACGCGAGAGCUUUAGGUGGGAUAGGGGAGGAUUGUCAAGAGUUCACACCACGAUAAACUAAUGAUAGGCCUAAUUUUGUUGUCAGUUCUUUAUUUAUUUAUUUUAUGUAUAUCAUACAUUAUUGUAUUUUGUCAAGGUAUAAUAGUACAAGUAAAAUACUAGGGGUGCUGUUAAGUUACAACUUAUGUAACUUGCAAUUUUUUCAAAAAUUAUGUAAAAAAUUUAAUAGGUGGUGGAACCCACAUAUUUUUUAAGAGACUUAAGUUACAGCAGUUGUAACUUAACAAAAUCUAAAUAUUAGACAAUAAUGCAUAUAAUUUGGGUUUGAUUUUUAAAAGAUUAUUUGAGUACCACCUAUCCUUAUGAUAUUAAUGUGAUUAUAUCUUAAUAUUAAAUAAUCAAAAUUUGUUUAAUUAUUAUUUGUAUUUCAUACAUUACAUAUUAGAUUUGUUUGAAUUUUAAGUUGUUGCUAAUAAAUAUUUAUGUUGUCAAAGUCAAAGUCAAUAGCUACAAAAGUAGAGAUAAUGGUAUUGUAUAUAGUUUUUAAGAAUGCAAGGAUAAGCUGGAUAAUUGACAUAAAUUCUAAUGAUUAAAAGAGCAACUAUCCCUUAAGUUAUAAUGUCAAUUUCUUUAAUUAGAAUUUUUUUUUCAUGUGAUAUAACCUUAAUUGCUACAAUUUUUUUUAUAAUAAUAAUGGGAGUUAUAAAUUAUUUAUAUAAAAUUUGGGUUGAAACUAAUGUAACCUAAAAGUGGUUGCUGAAUAACAAUAUUUGAAACUUUAGGUAAUUUUCAUGAGUCCUUUUUAUAUUCAACAACUUGAAUUGGGGGAAAUCCGACUUGAAUUGGCGGUUGAUUUUGGUGAUGUGGCUUUCGGUUUACGCCGGCUUUACAGUGGCGGAAGACUGGAUUUACGGUUGCCGACUGCUAGGGAUUAUGGUGGUAGUGUAAAUUGACGGAAAAAGAAGGUGUUUUGGUGGCGGCGCGUCUAGGAAGCACUCGUGGGUUGUUGUUUCGUGUGGUGACAGCGGGCGGCGAUCAAGGGCUGAAGUUGGUCGGUUUUUGGUCAGCAGAGGCCGGCGAGUUUGUUGGUGGAGGUGGCUGGUGGAGAAAGUGGCUGAAUGGUGGUGGGUUGCUUGGUGGAGCCGCGGGUUUGGGUUGGUGAUUUGCGGCUGUUCAAGCGGUGGUUGAGGCAGCGAUGACUAAGGCUUGGUCGACGGUGGCUAGGGAGGUUUGUGGUGGUGUUGGCUGGCUGAUCGGCGGUGGUGGACGGCGGUGGAGGUUGAUGUGACAGGUAGGGUUUUCAAAUUUGUAAAUUUUUUUUUUGAUGGAUUUGGUUUGGAUAGGUAUGGUGUAUCUAGGAAAGAUGUGCGAUUCGCACAUAAUCAUUUUGAUACCAAUUGAUGGAGCGAGGCGUAGCGGAAGCAGAAUUGAUAGGGUAAGAAACAUUAGAUAUCGUUCUAGUACUAGACCAAGCCAACACGAUUAGUUUACGCUCUAAUUGAAGCGUGAUUAGAUAUCGUUAUAAUCCAAAUGACUCAGUGAGAUUUUUAAUAACGCGUAAUACGAGAUUAGAUGACACUCUAAUCCAAAUGACUCUACAAAAGAGAUUUUGAUAACUAAUCCUAGAGGAAAUUAUAAAAGAGGGGGUUUAUUUAAUAAUUGAACUUGAAGUUAUGAAAAUAAUGACAAGACAUCUUUAUUUUUUUUAUUACAGGCAUCUUUAUUUAUAAUAGAAGAAACCCGCUUUCCUAAGUUAACCUAAAAAGAAAAUUUAAAUCAUAAUUAUAAUGGAAAUAAAAGAUUAAGAUACAUACCAUAAUUAACUCAAACUAAAAUAGAAAAUCAUAAAAUAAUAAAUAUUCUAGAAUUAUAAAUUAUCUAAAAUAACGUUAAUUAACUUCCUAAAUCACUUCUUUGGUGUAAACCAUUUUGCAUCCAUCCUCGCUUUAAAGGUUUGAACCAACGUUACCAACAAUAAUGUAUCAAAGUCCAAUCUAACUUAAGAUCUUGAUACAUCUACCGAUGUCCUUGUUUGAUUAGACAAUAAUGAGUCUAUCUCAUCACUUGUUACCUCUUUCUUGAAGGCUGCAUCUGUUGAAGUGAUAGUCUCGCUUAGAGUUUAAAGAUCUUCUUCCAUGUUAAAUAAAAUGGGCAUUUGAUUAAAAAACUUUAUCUCUAUCUCCUUCUAUCAAAUAACGACAACUAUCCGAAGGAAAAAAAAAAUAGAAAAGUCCAUGGGUCACAAUAAUUUAUGGUCUGUCCCCGGACCCCAUUAUCUGCCACUAUCAAUGAUGAAAAUGAAAAUAAAUGGCAUCUUCCCAAAAUGGCGAAAGAUUUUUGGGGGAUAUGGGGGAAUUGUCAAAAGUUCACACAACGCGAAACAAGUGUUACAUCCAAUUUUAUUUCGUCAUAUAAUGAUAAUAUCAAAUAAUGACAACCAUCCAAAAGUAUGAUGGGUCUUCCAAAAUUUUGAAAAUGUCGUCAACAUUUAAUCUUCAAUGCUAAAGAAGAUGAAAUGACCAAAAAUGACACGCAUGACUCACUCACAGACUAAAUGGCUCUGACCACAUGUAACAAACUUUGAUCUUAUGUCCUUACUGAGGCGUUAGACUGUUGGUCAUUUUGAUUGCUUUUUACCUUCCAUUUAUGCCAUUGUAGCAUUAUACUAUUCACCAUUUUAGCUGUUUAAAUGAAAUUGUUAUUUUUUUUCCAAAAAUAAAAUGGCACCCUUAAAAUUUUAGAAAAUAGCCAUGUAGACCCCAAAAUUUUAAUAAAGAACACUAAUAUCCUUUUUUACUAUAGUACUCUUAGUAGAUGGUAACAAAAAAAAAAAUGACUGUAAAAGUUUUUACUAAAUGUAAAUAUGAUUUAAAUAUUUUAAUUUUUCUAGUAGACUAGUAUGUAUAAUUUAAAUAAUUAAUUUUUAAAAUGUAAUUUAAUAUAUUUAUUUUAAUAAUAUAUUUAUUAUAAAAAUUUUAAACAAAUCCUUGGGUUAAAUAGAUUUUAUAAUUAAUAUAAUAUUUCUCAUGUUUUAAUAAUAUUAAAAUUAUUUGAUAUGAUAUUGAAAAUAAUUAAAACUUUUAUAUAUUUAUUUGAAUAUUAUGUCUCUAUUUAUUAUAAUUUGGUUUAAUAGAAUCAAAUGAAAGUGUACAUGUACAAGAAGAAAGAACCAUACACCAAGUAAAACGUAAAAAGGAUUAAAUAAAUGACACCAAUCCCCGGCAACGGCGCCAAAAUUUGAUGGUUGUCGAAGCCAACAAAAAUAAAUUCCUACUCUAAAUAAAUUGUGUAUAGUGAUUGAGCAGGGUCGUGUCCACAGAGAUCGGUAAUUAUUUAAAUCCUUUUAAAACGUAAAACAUAAAAUGGGGGUUUUGUUGACAAUAAUAAAAAUCAAAUUAAAAUAACAAGAAUGCAAAUUAAAGUUGUAAUUCAAAUUAGAGAAAGCUCUGGUUGAAGGAAUUAACUCAGCUUGAUUCGACUACUGAUCAUUGAUUCAAAUAUAGAUUAUUAUUACUUAUUAAUAGACCGGUUAUAGCUAUUGAGACCCUCUAAUAGCCAAUUUGUCCUUAACUAGUCGAUAACCAAGGUACGACCGUCAGAUAUUUCCCUAAUCAACAGACAACCCUAGAUACGAUCAUAGGAUUUAAUCAAUUGACAGCCUGAAAAACCAGAGAGACCCAAAUCCUAAUCAACACAUAUGAUGAUUCAUUUAAAUUAGAUUGUUUAUUCUCAUAACACAACUCACUGCUAUGUUAUUUGUCACAAACAUUAAAAUCUUCAUACGAUGAAUCCUUUAAUUGACAAUAGAUUAAGUUGAUAAUUAAAUAGUGGCCAAUUACCUAAUUAACAAACAUAAUCAUGAAACUAAUUCAGAGAAUAAACAAAUACCCAAAAAGUAAUAAAACAAUUAAAGCAUAAGAAAGAUCUCACAGUAGUGAUGAAUCAAAGCUUCAUUAACCUUCAACCAGAAAAAUAAGUUUAGUUCUUCAUAGAGAGAAGAGAAAAAUUAGAUCUAGGGUUUUUUUCUUUUUCUCUCAUCCCCCUUUUUCACUAUAGAUUCCUCCCUUAAAUACUCUCUCUCUCUUCUCUUUUAGAGUUCUAAUUAAAAUAAAAUACUAAUAUCUGAAAUAUUAAAUUCGUAAUUACAAAAAUAACCAAAAAUACAAAACAUGUUAAACUAAAAACUACAGGUCCGCAGUUGACAGCACGCGCCCACGCCUUAUCAAGAAAGUUCUUCUGACUCUCUAAAUUUCUCCAAGAGAACAAUCAUCUUUAAACAUCAUCUUAUAACUCAAUUUUAUCACAAAUCAAUAGAAUUGCACCUACAAAAGUACAACACAAGUAAAUCAUUAUUAUUAAGUGCAAAACAUCGAUAUUAAGGGAAGUAGACAAUGCAAAACUAGUGCAUAAAUUGCACUCUAACAAGUUCACACCACGAGAAAUUAAUGAUAGGCCUAAUUUCGUUGUCAGUUCUUUAUUUGUUUAUUUUAUUGAUUUCAUACAUUAUUGUCUUGUUGGUACUAUUUUGUAAAGAUAUAAAAGUACAAGUAAAAUAUUAGGGGAAGUAAAAUAAAAUAUUGGAGGUGCUGCUAAGUUACAGCUGCUGUAACUUACAGUUCCUUCAAAAAUAAUGUAAAAAAUUUAACAUGUGGUGGGACCCACAUUAUGUUUGAAGAGGCCGUAAGUUAUAGCAGUUGUAAAUUAGUAAAAUCCAAAUAUUAGAUAACAAUACACAUUAACAAUGCAUAUAAUUUGGGUUUGAUUUUUAAAAAAAUUAUGUGAGUAUUACCUAUCCUUAAGAUAUUAAUGAGAAUAUAUUUUAAUAUUAAAUAAUCAAAAUCUGUUUAAUCAUAAUAUGUAAUUCAUACAUUGCAUGUUAGAUUUGUUUGGAUUUUAAGUUGUUGCUAAUAAAUAUUUAUGUUGUGAAAGUCGAAUUCAAUAGCUACAAAAGCAGAGAUAAUGGUAUUUUAUGUAGUUUUUAAGAAUACAAGGAUAAGACCAUAACGCAUGAGAUAAUGGUAUUUUAUAUUAAAAGACCAUAACACAUGUAUUUGAGCCAUUUAUAUUGAGGACACAUAUAGAGCGAAGAGUGCAGAUCCGGCCGUAACUAUUGUGAAGCUUUCCUCAAGUAUUCUCAUGCACGCAGACCUUAGCUGGUCAAGUUUUCUGAUUCAAUAUAAUCAAUUUCCGCGCAGUACUAACGACAGCUUCUUUGUAAAGCUCUUCAACCACAAGCAUUUCUACAAGGCAAAAGACUAGGACGUGUCAGAAUGAAUAUCAAUAAGGGAAUGUCUUAUGAAUUUAGUUUAUAUCCUAAUAUAAGACAAUCAAUAAAUAUUAGAUGCAAUCUAAGGGAAUGUCUUAUGAAUCCUGAUUGAUGGCCUCUCACAGUCAGUUAUAUGACAAAGUAGCCACCACAACAAACUUGAACUUGGCUGGAGGUCUCAUUAGCAGUAUACCUCAGAAAUUAAGACAAAGACUUUAAAAUGCAAACUUAUGGAGCAAUUUAAGCACUGAAACUAAUAACAGUACUGUAUUAGCAAUUGACCUCUGCUUUUUUCUUGGACAAAGGUUCUCAUCACAAGGGACUCAUUAGUUGCCCUUGCCUCAAACGUUUGGAUGCUAAGGGGAAAAAGGAAGUUUGAAUUAGUCAAUCUCAUUUCUAAUGGCAUUCACAGAGAACCUAUAAAACAAAAAAAUUAUAAAAAAAAAAAUCAUCCAUAAUUCGCCAAACCGAAAAGAAAAACAGGGGAAUGAAAAGAGAGCCCACGGGAAUGAAGAGAUCAGCUCUUGUCGCGAAAAUGCAGUCGACUGUAACUAUAUCCGGGUCCCUAGUACUUAGAAGUAAAUGCUCUUGGAAUUUCUAUUAUAGAUUGAUGUUUCCCGUUCAAAUAGCUCUUCCGAUACCAUUAACAUGUUCAUCUCUCUAUAGAUUGAUGUUGACAUAGAUGUUAUUCUACUUUUGCUAGUGGAGUUUUCCUUGUACAGGUAUGUAUGAUUGUUUUUUUUGCACUUCUAAAUGGACACUGUUGAAAAGCUUAAAAUUGAACUGAUAAUUUUGUUUGGAAGCUCAGAAAAUUCAUGAGAAAGUGAAAUAGAAUAUUCUGGAUUUCUUUUCUUUCCAUAAUAUACAAAUGACAAACGUAGCAGUAUUUAUACUCGUUGCUUACAUCAUAAAAACAGAAUUAAAACAAGGUACACAACUAUAACAGAAUCAAAAGCGUGCUUAACUAAUUGGCAGAGCUGGCAUAUACUUCUUUAACUAACAAUGCUGCUGACUGGACUUUAGCUCACACAUGCUUAUCGUGCAGCUACUCUUAGUUCACACGUGCUCAGUCUGCUGUUGGCCCAAAGUUGGAACCAGAGAUAUCAUGACUCUGGUUUCAUUUCACCUCAACUGUGUUUUUUUUUUUAAAUUAAAAAAAUCAUUUGUUUUAGGUAUACAUACAUGUAUUUUGAUUCUAUUUUCAUUGUAAUUUCUCAUUUACUUUGAAUGAAAGUCAUUGGUGUUUUCGAAUGGGAAUUUUGCAUUAAAAAAUGAAGAAUAGUGAUUUUUGGAGUGUAAUUAGUAGUAAAGUUGGUUUUUACUCGCAAACAAGUGAACUGCUCGAUUCCCGAGUGGUAUCAACCAGUUUCCAACUUUUUAAUAUACACUAAUUGUUAUUGUUUAAUAGCUACUACUAUUAAAACUCGACAUCUAACAAAAAUACUUAAAAAAAAUGAUUUUUCUUAUGAUGCUGUAAAAAAAAAUUACGGGUUUACUUCUUUCCAUGAGAUCUAUAACAUGGUCUUGACUUCACGAAAUUCUUUUAAUUUAAAGCUUGCUGGUGUGAGAAGGUCAGUUUGACUGAUUAAUUCUUUUUAACAGUGGUCGAGAUAAUUUUACUAUCUAAUCGAAUGUUAUGCUGUUUUCUUUUUCUAAUCUGGUGUGAGAUAAUUAAUUCUUUUUCACAAAUGCUAUGCUGUUUUCUUAGGCUAAGGAUCUUCUAUCAGGAGAGGUUAGAAAUUCAAUGCUUAAAAGAGAAUAAUACAGAAAUUUAGGCAGAAUCUAAUCGAAUAUUGCAUGAAACAUGAAAAAUCAAUUCAAGUCCUUUCUUUAAACGGAGAAUGCAUCAAACAAAAUCCAAAGUGUCUUGCACGUCUGUAGCAUGAGCAAAAAAUUGUAAAUAUGUAGAACCAAAUUAUUCAAGUACAGAAGAACGAGCAAGCUAAAUCAUGUAUAAGAGAUUGGCCUGGUUCGGGAUAGCUUCUUCACUGUACCUGAAGGAUUGGCUCAAUCUCUUCUUUAGAAUUCUGCAGAUUUUGUAAUUACUCGUGUAAGCAAGCAUACAUUGCCACCAUAAGAAUAAUAAAGCUAGAGUAAUGAUAUGACCACCACCUCUUGUGCACAAACAAUAUUGUAUAAACUAAUGCGACAUAAUAUGAUUGGUUAAACAAAAACAUUACAUGGCCCUCAUAAUUUAUUUAUUUAUUUAUUUAUUUAUUAUUAUAUUUUUUCAGUAAACCAAUCAUAUUAUAUCACAUUAGUUUCUAUAAAAUAAUUUGCUAAAUAGCACCAAAACUUAAUUGAUACUCACCAUUUCAUUGAACAAUUUUUUUAUGGUGUCAUUGAGAUUGCCUUCCCAACAUCCUUCAUCAUCAUCAUCUUCAUCAUCAUCAUCAUCUUCUUCAUCAUCAUCUUCUUCAUCAUCAUCUUUUUCUUCUUCUGUGACGUUCACUUUGUUUAGCAUUGGUGUGUCUAAGACUCCUUGAGAGAAGAUCUUCAUUUUUGGACACUGUCUCACAACUACUGGUUUCAAGGACGGGAAUUCAAGAGCGUAAUUACCCGAACAAAAGCUUGUUAGGCUUGGCAAACAAUCAAGUCCCAAGUACUCCAAUUCCUCGAAGACAACGCAACCUUUCGCUUCUUCUCCAACCUGCAAUUGUAUGAUUUGUUCUAUCAUUUUGCAAUCAGCUAUCUUCAUUCUUUGAAGAGUCACUAGACUUUCAGAUGUUGAGAGCGUCAAUAAAUUUAUCAACCCAUGACACUUCGAUACUUCCAGAGUCGCAAGAUUUUCCAAAUGCCACGAAGCUGGUACUAAUUUCUGCAACUUACUACAUUCAAAUAUUUCUGGACUUUUCAAGUUUGCAAACACUUUGUUGGAUUUGGCAUUUUCCUUCCAGAGAUGCUGCACUUUGUGUAAUCCAGAUAGCUUUAACUUCAUCAAUUGAGGGAAUGCAACCUGAAAAUCAACAAAAUUAAGUUGUAAAUGAAAAUAUGUAUCCAAUCUCUGCAGUCUUCCCCUGCAUAUUUUAUGAACAAGAUUAAUCACGACAUUUUAUAUUUUAUUUCCAAAUUAGUAUGCUUUGCAGUAGGAUCCCAAAUAUAAGUAUCAAAUCGAUUACCCUUUGAAACACAUAAAUGAAAUCUGAUGCUAAAUCCAAUAUGAAUUAGCUAGGAAAACAGAGAUGUAACACGCAUAAUCGAUAUAGUUCAUCGCCUUAUGUCACCAGGCAUCUAAUUAAUUUAAGACAUUUUUAUAAUUCAUACUAUAAAGUUAGUUAAUAACAGAGGUUAUAUUGUUAAAUCAGAUAUAAAUUAAGACGACCUGCAAAAAGAUGAGUCAUUAAGUUUGAUUUGAUUCUAAUGAAAUUACAUCUGUGCGAACGAAAGUGAAGGCAAUAAUAAUAAUAAUAAUAAUAAUCACCUUUUCAUCGAAGAGGGGUUGUACUUGAUGAGCCAGCAAGAAGUUCUCUUCUGAUGUUAAUUUUUGAGGUUUCUUGUUAUCUGUUGUCACGUGCACUAAAGAGUUGGAUAUGAAUGUUUCCAUAUCAGGGCAAUUCUCAAUAGUUAGAUUCUCCAACUCAAGCAUUUCAAUUAUAUUCCCAGUGAAGUUGCAGAAUCUUUUGAGUUUUGGAAGGUCAAUGAGCCUUAGCUCGAAAAGCUUAGGAAACAGGGGACCUAUAUGUUCUUUGUCAGCAUUUAGCACUUCCAAAUGAAGCACCUCUUCCAGUGAAUCACAAUUCCUCACUUCCAACCAUUCCAAAUUGUUCAAGCACCGUAGCAGAUUGGCAGGAAUAGCACUCGACAUAUUCGUGCAGUCAUCCACCACCAGGUGUCUUAAAUUGUUGAAGAAGCUGACAGGCAGUGCUUGGCCAUGCGAUAUUUCUUUCAAACGUGGAAAAUGUGAGAAUUGCAAAAACUCCAUGUCACGAAAUCCAAUCUGCUCAAACCAAAACAAUUGCACUGGAUAUAUACAAUUUUUUUUUUGAAAGGCAUUAGAUAUAUAUAUAUACAUUAAACUUACAUGUUUUGUGUUUUAACUUCUAAAAAUAUAUUUAAAUGUGCAAGUGCAGGGGAGAUGCAUGAACAAUUUGGAUGAAUCGAUUAACACAUACCAUUUCUUCGUAACACUUUUGUAUAGUGGAAUUAAGCUUAUUGCCUUCCCAAUGGUGCAGUUCACCCCCUUCCUUUUCAGUCACUUGCACUUUGCAUGGCUUUGGAAUGGAUAAGAUUCCCUGAGAAAAAGUCUUCAUGUUUGGACAACGUAUCAUAGAAACUCGUUCCAAUGAUGGGAAUUCAAGAGUGUAAUUCUCCAAACAAAAGCUGGUAAGCCUUCGUAAAUCAUCAAGUAUCAAAACUUUUAAUUCGCUGAAAGCAAUACGAUUCUCCUUCGCUUCUUCUCCAACAUGUCCUACGAUUUCUUCUAAUUCUUUGCAAUCCGAUACUUUAAGAUUCACCAGACUACUAGGAAUUCCAACCUGAAAAUAAGCAAAAGUGUGCGCAUGUGUGGUGUAUUAAAAAAGUAUGUUAAUCAUACAAUUAUGCAUUUUAUAAACAUAACAAACCAUGAAAUGUCUACUAGAUAAUUUUUUGUUAAACAAAAACGGAACAAGAUAAAUAAAUAAAUAAAAUCCAGAUAAACAAAGAUAAUAAAAAUACAUUUACACUAUUUAGUAUUAGAAACGUAGAAAUAAUUUAAGGCAAUUUCUAAAUAUUUUAGACUUAUUUUGCAUCUUGAUAUCAGUUUUUAAGCAUAAAUUUGCAAAUUUCAACUAUUCCUUCUUUUUUUUUUAAAAAAAAAGGGACCAUUUUCCUUGGUCCCUUUUUUUUAUGUAUAUUUAAAAAUGGAAAAAAAAAUUUGGAAAAGACUUCCCAAUACUGUCAACGAGGGACUGCUGUAAAGUGGAUCUUUAUUAAGUACUUCCAGACUAGAGGAAAUUUCUUUACAAUCAAGGGUCAGUUGUAAAUAAUCAUGAAUUUGUGGUUAAUUAAUGGCAUAAUCAAUUCGUAACUAAACUAGAGAUAUUAAUUAAAUUUGAAGACUUUUAUUUUCUUUUUUUCUUUUUCCAAUCGAAAUGUGAAGAAUUAAGGAAAAGAGAAAUAUAUAGAUGAAUUCGUGAACCUAUAAGAUGAGUGACGAUCCUUUAAUUUUUGAAAAUCGUACUUAUUAAGAUAUGAGCAAAAACUAUUUAAUUGAAUUAUAUUAUGCUGUUGAAUCGUGUUUAAAAAAUUUAUAUUGUUGAUUCUAAUGCUGACGAACCUAAGAUACUUGAAAUAAAUAAUCAGUUUGCUGGCUGAAUAUCAUUUGUAAACAAAAAAUGGUUAAAAUAUUGUUGGAUGUAAUUUGAAAAAAAAAAGAUUCGAAAUGAAUACAGCAACCUUACCAAUGGAGGAAAAAUAUUCAUUAGGUUAUCACACCCAAUUAUCUCCAAAUUCUUCAAUUUGCUGAAAGACUCCGAAGCAAGCUGGUGGUGCCAUAUUUUUCUCAAAUUAUCCAUCAACCUAAUACGUAAUACCUCCAACCUAGUAAGUCGUACCUGGCAGUUAAAGAUUAAAUAACUAAUUAAUCAAUUAAUGGCAUAAUCAAUUGAUAACUAAAUUAGAGGCGGAUAUUAACUAAAUUUGAAGACUCAAGGAAAAGACAAAUUAAAUAUUGUGACUAAAAUUAAAUUUUUUUAUUAAAAAAAAAACCUUUUUGUCAAAGAGAGGAGGAGGUUGCAUUUCAGAAUGAAUGGUGUCUUCUGGUGAGCUCGUAGAGAUGAAUCUCGACAUACUGUUGCACCAACUAAUCUCGAGGUUUAGCAAAGAAGGGAAUUCAACAACUAAAUCUGAAUGAAUAUGUCCCGUAUUGGCAAAGCUUGUUAGUUCUGGAAGAAAAUGGAGCUUGAGGGAGUGUAGUUUAGGAAAAACCUUUAAUUCAAUCAACUUUCCUUCUUCUCUUUCUGACCACCCCGUGGUGUCGACCACCCCUUCCAUUGACUCACAAGACCGUAUUUCAAGAUGUUGGAGUUGCAAAAGACUAUUAACCAUAGAAUACGAAAACAGAUACUUCAUACGAUGACAACUGCUCACGUACAGCUUUGUUAAAUUUUGACAACAGUACAUUCCUUGAUUAUGAUCGGCCCAUAAUUUUUUCAUGUUUCUUAAGUCCCUGAGAUUCAAUUCCUCUAACCUCGGAAGAAUAACCUGCAAAGAAAACCCGUACAUUUUUGUUCCUUCAAGUACAACCGUCUAGUAUAAUAUUCUUUUGAUGAUCGAAGAUUAAUCGUGAUAAUAAAUUAAUCAAUUAAUUAUUGAACAGAAAAUUAUCACCUUUGGAGCAGUAUCAUCAUCAGCAAUGAUUUCGUUGAAUCCCAAAGAAGUUGUUGGUUUCUCCCUGUCGGGUCCUAUAAACAAACAAAAACAAUAUAUACAUAAUUAAUCUUUGUUGUUUUUUUUUUUCCAAAAUAAUUGAGGAGAAGUCCAUAAUCCCACCAAUACUUAACUUCAACACUCACCAAAAAUCAUUUCCAGAUCACCGCAAAGAGCCACUUCUACCUUUUGAAGCCGCAGUAGGUUUUUGGCCAUGGAGAAUGAGAAAAGAUGCUUCAAUUUGUGACAGGCUUCUACUUCUAUAAUCCUUAAGUUGCUGAAAGAUUGAUCUUCUGUGAGUUGGCUGUCACAUAUUGUCUCCAAAUUGUUCAAAUAGCUAAGAGACAAUGACUCCAGCAAGGGAAAGACUGUACAAUGAACCCGUCCAACUGAACCGACAAUAUGCAAAAUCUCAGAACAACUUUCUACCCAAAGAUGCUUCAAUCGUGGAAAACCUUCCCCAUCAUCUAAUUCAUGAACAACAUUCUGAACACCCUUCAGUUCGUUUAGAUGGAUCUCUUCAGCUUCCUUCAGCAACAUUUUCGUCCCAUAAUUCUCCAAAAGAGUGCUAACAUUUUCUAGCCCAUCGAGCUCCACCAUUCUUGAUGUUUUAGAAUUAACGCCUCACAUGCGCCACGCUUCUCCUAUACAUAUCUUAUAUCUUUGCAAUUCCACAGAGACCAAAUCCUGCGGUAGAAUUUCGGCAUCCCGAACGUGUAUCUCCAAGGUAGUUAGCUUUGACAACCCCUUCAAUUCAGCAAGACUGGCGUUACUUCCUCCUUCAACCUUAUCCCACUGCGAAAAGCUGUCACCCAUAUAUAGUUCUUCCAAUCGUGAAAAUUUUGAUAUGACAUUUGGUGCUAUCACUACAAGGCUCCUACAAUUGCUCAAAUCUAGCAAUUGUAACCGCGUCAAUUGACCGAUUUCAAGUGGUAACUGCUUAAUGUCGGAAUAUCGAAAGCUAAGAAUCUCUAAUUUCUUUAGCUGUCCAAUUGCCGCUACAUCUUCUUGUUGGCACCAGUCUAAACACAAUGUUUGAAGGUUAAUGAGGCGACCUAGUGACGAAAGUAAUGAAGAGAAAUGAAUUCCAGUAAAAUCUAAAACUUUGAGUUCUUCUGUCCCUUCAAAAAAGAGGUCUGAAACUUGCAUAGGGCCAUUACCCUCCGUAUACAACAAAAAUAACUGGAGAUUGGGACAUCCCAACCUUUCGGGAAGCUCUUGAAUAUCUCUAUAAGGUAAAGAAAUAGCAAUUGGACCUUUCUGUAUUGUCUCUUCCAUCUUUUUCUCCACGUCAGCAACAUUUGGAAUAUUAAACAUGCGCUUCUCUGCUGCAAUUGAUACAGCAACAACAUGAAUGACGUCAUGCAUUUUAACUUCAUCUUUGGCAUCACCGUCCAACAAUAAGCAUGAAGAUUUGAGAUUGUCGAUCAACCGAUGCACUCUACUCCUUGCUUCUUCCAAUGUGUAAACAUUUUCAAACAAACCCCAACCCACACCAUGUCUCAAUAAGUCAGAAACGGGUAUGACAUUACCUUCACUGUAUAGACCACAAAGACGGAACAGAGAUUUUGCCUCCUCACUUUCCAAGAAUUCAUAACUCAAUUUUAUGGAGGUGUACACAUUUGCUUGCAUGCCAUGAAUUUCUCUUGCAUCCGAUCUUCUUAGCUGAUUCAAUGCAUCUUGCCAAAAGUAACGCUCCUUAGUUUUCAGAGCAUUUGCAACUGUACUCAGUGCAACAGGCAAACCUCCGCAUCUUUCAACGAUCUCAUUUGCUAUACUUUGAAAAGCAGAUAUUUUAGUUGAAUCACCCACUAUCUUCUCAAAUAACUGCAAUGCUUCUUUUCGUGGCAAAGCAUCGAUCGGGAAAUUUUUCUGAGAAUUCAUAUCAAUGCUCAAUAAAUCUUGCUUUCUAGACGUCAAUAUUAUUGUGCAUCUUCUCUGAUCAUCCUUUCUAUCUUUCUCAGCAACAUCUCCAGAAGGGAUUCCAACCGCAUCCAACUCAAGUCUUGUCCAAAUAUUAUCCAAUAUAAUGAGGACCCGCUUCUCUUUCUUCAAUACUCGACGUAGUCGAUUUGCUCUGUCGAAUAUAUUCUCAUUCAACUCAAACUUUAUGCCUAAAUCUGAAGCGAGUUUGUUUUGAAUUUGCUGAUUAUCUGAUUCAUGUGUUAGCUCAGCCAUAACGACCUUAUCGAACAACUUAUCUUCCAUCACUUGCUUUCUAACUUGCCUGACUAGCGUGGUUUUACCCACGCCGCCCAUGCCGUAGACCCCAAUUAUGUUGAGCUUAUCAUCCUUCAACGCCUCCAUAACAUCCUGUAAUACUUUCUUUCUUGAAUCAAAGGCCUCGUUAUCUUUCCCGCCCCUAGGUGAUUCGCUCUCUGGAGGAGGAUCGUAGGAAACAUCACUCUUCAGUUUGUCGCCUUUUUCCAUGAGAUUAGCAGCAUCUUUUGCGGCCUUUGCUGCUCGUUUACUGAGUUUGUAACGAGACAACAAAUUUGGACACAAUCCUUUGAAGCAGGACUUCUUGGCUCCAUCUUCUUCGUCAAUGAUAGAUUUUGCAACCCCCUCCGUAGAUUCAACCCUACUUCGCCAGUCUUUGACACGCUGAUAAAUCUCUUCCCCUUGUCGGGUAGCAUGAUAAACAUGUUGUUGCACCAUUUCGUUUAUACCUCCCAACUCCUUCACUUGAUCUUUCAGCUCUUCUAUGUAGCUCUGGUACUUGAACACAUAAGAGAUCUGCCGCAUAAUCGGUUCGAACAAUGCCUUUGUGCCUUCUGAUAUAAUGCUUGAAAAAACACCUUGACAGAAUUCUACAGCCAUUGCCUGCUGCUUAACGAUAUAUAUGUAGUUUUUGGCUGUUAAAAAAAAAAAAAUUGGAUUCAAAUAAAUUAAAUGAACUAGAGGGGAAGAAAAAGAAAGAAACGACAACAAACAACUUUUUAGAGAAAGGUUUGACAGGCCUAAAUGGAAAACCAACAACUUUUUGAAGAAAGAAAACUUUGGAAGAUAGAUGCAAAUUAACCGUUGAUAAUAAUACUACAUUAAGAACACAGAAGUUAACAAUAAACAGUAACUUAAAACUCAAGAAAAUUAAAUGACGAGAUUAAGACAAACAAGGGAUAGUUUUUGUUGGACAUUAAGAAACAACUGCUAUCAAGAUCAAGGAUUAGAAAUUAUGCUAUUAAAAGAAGUUAUUAAAGGAUAGUGCUCGUGACUGCAGGAAAAUUUCUAAUGGAAACAACUCAAUUUCAGAAGAAUUUAUCCAAUUGACUCUGUACUUGAACUCGUUGGAUUGGUUGAUUUAUGAUUGACUGAAUUUCAAUUCGGCCCAAAAGAUCUUUAACCAAAGUUUAAUAGCUAUCAUCUACUCCUUAAAAGCAAAUGUGUAUCUUUUUUAGAUUUGACUGAAUUUGAUCUUGUUGGAUUGGUUUUUUUUUAGACAAAGUUGUUUUCCUACUGAUUUUUAUUCUUCAAGUAAACUUAGAUACAAAGUAAAUCUAAAAAAAUGACAAACAAACAAUGAAAUAAACGACAACAAACUGGCAAUUUUGAUACAAAGCCAACAAAUAUUAAAAUUUAGAACAUUUUGUUUUCUUGCUUUCUUUUGUUGGAGGAUUAGAGAUUUUGGUAUUACCCGAAAGGUUUCAAGGGUCUGAGUAGAAACCUAUAAUCUUUUUAAAAACUUUUUUUUAAAAAAUUUUUUUUGGGGAAAAGGAUGCAAAUUAACCAAAGGAAAUAAUAAGAGCACAGGCUUUAUCAAUGAACAAAAACUUAAAACUCAUGCAAAAUAAUUCAAUAUUAAAACAAAUCACUGAGGAAUAUUUAAGAACAACUUGAAAGAGCAAAAAGAUCACUGAGGAAUGUGUGAGAAAAGAGUUGACGAGAGAAAUAACAAUGACUUGCAGAAGAAAAACCAUUAAUAAUUAUGUGCAUUUUUAUUUUAUUUUUAUCCGCAUGCACUUUAAUGAUUAGUGCUCCUUUCAUAAAGCAGCUACCGGAAACACACAAAUAUCAUUUGAGAGAGAAACUAAACAGCAAAUCAUCAAAGUAAGAUCAAUAAUAUAUUAUUUGGUUAAUGCAUAUUCAAGAACAAAAACAAAAAUAAAUAAAUAAAUAAAGAAGGUUUGAUUUUGUAUUGCCAACGCUGCUUUUUUGUUAUUUCAUUUGUUCUUUCCACAAAUGAUGCUUGGUUAUAAUUAAGUUUCACAUGGCCAUUACUUACAAACUGUGUUUGUGUUAACAGAAACAUGAAAUUCACAUCACACAAAAUUGCACUAUCAAUUCUUAAUAGAACAUAAUAAUAAUUACUCAACGCAUAAGGGUAAAUUUAGAAUUACAUUUUCUCAAUGCAGAAGGGUAAAUUUAGAAUUACAUUUUCUGAUUCUUUUUUAUUUAAUAAAACCCCAAUGGAAAAUCAUAAAAAUUUAGAUAUAUAAAUUUUCUCCACCAAACAAGAAAAAAAAAGGGGGAAUGAAAACACAGGAUUUAUUUUACCUCUCUUUCAUCUUAACUCUUUUUCAGGCAAACCAAAACAAAAAAAUUUCAAUAAAGAGCUAGUUGUUGAAAUUGAUUUAUCUUGUUUUUCAGGCUAUCUUGUGACGUGACGAUAGAUAAUGCUCGUGAAUGCUAGAAAAUUUCUAAUGCAAACAACUCAAUUUGGGAUGAUAAGCUUAAUUUUGCAAAUGACGAAUGUAAAUAACUUGUUUUGAUUAAUUGAAUUUGUAAUACUCUUACCCUAUUCUAAAAUUUGGAGGUUGCUUGAGAAAAAAGGGUAUUUCUCACUCAUCUUCAAUCCUCAAGUAAAAUUAGGUAAAAAUCAAAUCUAAAAAAUCACAAACAAAUUAACAAAAAAAAAAAAAAAAACAACAACAUUGAUCUUGAGACAAGUGAUAUUUAAACAGAGAAUUCUUUAUUCUUUUUUACUUCCCCCUCCCCCCCCGGGGGGCUCGAGGAUUAAAGUCUUGCUAUUAACAGAGAGGUUUUAAGAGUCUGGAUAAAACCCGUGCUUUUUUAAAAAACCACUUUUUUUUUUCUUUUCUCUUUUUUUUGGGAAGAUAGAUUCAAAUUAACCAAAGCUAGUAAUAAGAGCACAUACCUUACAAAUGAACAAUAACUUACAACUCAAGCAACAUAAAUGAUAAGAUUAAAACAAACCGGAGAAAUUUUUCUUGGAAAAUAGACGGAAAUUAAAUAAGAACUGCUGUUAAAAGAAAUUAUUAGAGGAUUUAGGAGCAUGUGUACCUCUUUAAUUAUUUGGGAUCAGAGAGUUGAUGAGCUCUCUAUUCGCCUUUAAUAUUGAGUAAGAACUGGUAUUAAAAGAAAUUAUUAAGAACAAUAUUUCAGUGAGCAAAAGAUCACUGUUAACUGCAGAGGAAUUUGCGAGUAAAAAUUAAGCUGAAAAGAGCAGUAACAAUGAAUUGCAAAAGAAGGAGACUUAAUCAAGCACCCCUUUUAUACCCGAUUUUUAAGAUUUAAUUUUGAAGUUCCCAAUCAAGAACAAAGACGAAGCUUUAAUGAAGCAUGCAGUGAGAUACAAGAAAUGGAUCGGGCAAAAUACCUUACGAAGCGUUUCAUAUUUUCUAAUGAAAUAAUUAAGUUGAAGUUUUCGACGAAUAAAUACUUGUUGUGCUUGAAUAAUUUUGGCAUAUACAUUACUUGUAUCCGGCGAAAUUGAAAAGCACAUUCAUUUACAGAGCUUGUUAGUAGGGAAAAGCUUCGUAAGAUGCCUGAUAAAAGAUAAAGCAAAAGCUUGAAUGAAGAAUGACAUUUUAGAAAGAAACUAAAGUGCAAUCAUCAAAGUAGGAUCAAUAGUGACUUGAUCAGUUAUGCUUUUUGUUAUUUCAAUUGUUCUGUCCACAAAUGAUGCUUCGUUAUUACUAAUUCCACAUGGACAUUAUUUAGAAACUGAUCUUAUGUUUAACAGAAAAAUAAAAACUCGUCAUCAUAAGCAUUCUUGGUUGUCCUAAACCAGAAGUAGGUGUUUUGCCUGAAAGUACCACUUUGCUAGCAAAUCUAGUGGGUAUACUGAAUAAAUUUUUACAUUAUUCUAUUUGAUCUCUCUGUCUUUAUCCUAAGCAUUCUUGGUUGGGAUCGCUGCAUUGUCCUGUAAUCUGUGUGACUUAGUGAAAAGAGGAAUGGGUAACUGUGGUUAUGGGUACGUGAGAGGUAACGAUGAGGGUAGAUUGUUAAUUUUGAGGAGCGAUUUGCUUGCAUAAUUCAAUGCAUGGACAGAAAUGUCCCUGACCAAAAAAAGGGACCAUCCAUAUCUGAAUCUGAGCAUCAGAGCUUGACUUAUUUGAUAAAUAGAUAUACUUGAACUGUUUUUGCAUAAUAACUAAAAUAUUUAUUUUUAUAUAUUCGAUAAACGAGCUCACUAUUGAUAGAACUUAUUAGAUACUACAACUCAAAUAACUUCUUGUGCUUGAUUGAGGUUUUUAUAUAUUCGUAUGUUUGAGUUUUUUUUUUUUUUUUACUUUCUAAGAAUUAACUUCUACCUUGAUUCUAAAAAAAAAUAUAUAAUUUUACAAAUAAUUUAGUUCGGCAUUUGGUAAAUGAUAACUAUUUGAGAAUAAGUUUUAAAAUGGUUUACUGUACAAAUCUGGUAAAUGAAAAUUAAAAGUGUAAAAUGUUCACAUAAUGAAAAUUAAAAGUGUAAAAUGUUCACUUGCAAUGACAACAAAUACUUAUUUACUUAUUUGUAAUUUAUUUUGAAUAUUAUUGUUUAAAUCAUUUUUUUUACUUACCAGAUUUUUUAAGAGCAUUCUAUUUUCUUUAUUACAUAGUUAAAUAAUUUUUUAUUAGCUAUUUUAUUUUGCAAUAAAAUUAACUUCAAUAUUUUUUUAACUAAAAAUUUUGUUAUGUAGUUCGUGAUAUAACAAAUACUAACAUAUCAUUAAAUUGAUUAAUAAAUUAAGUGCAAAAAAGAAAAUGCAGAAAUUUAAUCUUUAUAUAAACUUUUAUGUACAUAAAAUCAUUGUAAUCAAACUAGUUCAUAGAAAUAUAAUAUUAUAUACAUGUGUGUAAAAAAAACAUAUGACCAUAAUAUUAUCCACUCAUUAAACUUGCUGCACUAUUAUUUCUCAAUCUCUCCAUCUCUCGACCUUCAAGAACAUUACUACCAUAAUCUUCUUCUUGAAUUCAACCUCCAUUUCCUCAUCAUCAACAAUGCGACCAAUUUGCCUUGAUAGCCUUUCAACUCCUCCCACUUUCCUCCCUUUUUGCAGACACUCUUUUUCUUUUUCUUUUUCUUCUUUAAUAGCUUCAAUGGGAACAACCUCAUCUAACGACAAGUCCAUUCUUCAACUAGAAUAGAGUUGGUAGUAGAUAUUUUAGUACUCUCAAACUAUGCCCAAACAGGGUCACCAAUGAUUGUCGUAUUAAAAGACAUUCUAUUUAAUUUUCCUCUAACUCUGGGUCGAUACCUUUUAUGCAAAAUCUAUUUACUUCAGGAAUUUUCUACACAUGUCGAUAGCAUAUUAAAGUGAAUUCAGAUCCUAUAUUAUUGACAUUAAAAUUUAGCCGAAUAGUAAAAAAUUUCCCUUUUUGUUUGUCACACAGCCAUAUAGUCCCAUUUUUGGUUAUAAGCUCACAAUAUGCAAGGGAAAUGAAGAUCUAUUAAAACUUCCCCAUAAUGUUCAUUUUGUUGCUCGGAGGAAUAUAACUACCUAUUAAUUAAUUAGCAAGAAUUGCGUUGCGAGUCCAUGUUUUUGUCGUUUGGAUGGAGGAUGUGCUAUCUUUUUGUUGUAGAUGCUUUGUAAGGCUUUUGAUUUAAUGAUUUAAUGCAGUCAAUUAACAAAAGCUUACAUAUAGUAUUAUGUAGUUGCUGAGAUGUCUGUUCUUGAUAAAGUCGAUUUAUUUACACCCAAGCCAACGGAAUCAAAGCCUUUUCGUUAAUAAUAUACACGGUAAUUGUUUUUGUUAAAUUGAUUUCUAGCUAACAAGAUCUUUGAAAGCAUUUAGGUAGCGUUUACAUUUUAUGUUGGAGUGAGAAUCAUGAGGAGUGAGAAUCCUGGGAUUAGAAGUGUGGAGUGGGAGUCGAAGUAUGUUGUUUACUUACACUGGAAUGGAAGUAUGGAAUUGAAAUCAGAAUCCAAUUUAUUUGUUUACAUUGUCUUGGAUUGGGAGUAAAUGAUUUUAAAUUACAACUUUACUCUUAAAAAAUUAUAGUUAUUACUUACAAAAUUAAUAAAAAUUAUAUUUAAAAAAUAAAAUAUUUAUUUUAUUAUAUUUUUAAAAUAAUAAUAAUAAUUAAUAUUCUUAACUAUGUAAAUCAAAAUUAUUUUAUUAAUUUAAAUUUAAAUUAUAUAAAUAAAAAAUUAUUAAUAACAACAACACAAAUGAAACAUUAUUAUUGUACAAAAUUGAUUUUUAGAAUAAAAUAUUUAUUAUUAUUAAUCACUAAUAUUAAAUAAAUAUAAUAGUAUUAUUUUUAAAUAAGUAUAAUAAUAUUAUAUUUUCAAAUAAAAAUAGAAUAUAGUAAUAUUAUUAAUUCUUUAUGAAUAUAAUAAUAUAAUUUUUAAGUAAUUUUAAAUUAGAAUCAAUAUAAAUUAUUAUUUUUAACCAAAAAAUUAAUAUUAUUUUCAAUAUGUUUAAUAUUAUUAUUUUUAAUAAAUGUAAUUUAUAAAAUAAUAUAAUAAUUUAAUUUAAAUAAAUAUGAUAUUAUUUAUUUUAUUUUAUUAAAUAUAAAGGUAAAAAAUGAAGAGAGGCGAGUGAAUUCCCACUCCCACCUUGCCCCAUGAGAGUGGGAAUCCCAUUCAGUCACUCCAAAGUUAGGUGGGAUCCACAGAGUGGAAUUCUCACUCUCCCUUUGAAAAUUGUAAGUAAACACUAGAGUAAAAGAAAUCCACACUCCUCACUCUCACUCCAAAAAGUACACACUACAUUGAAGAAGCCAUUGACUCAUAAGAAAGCCAUGAUUAAAUACAAGGCGAAGCAUGUGAGCUCGUUUUUCAAUCUCUUUGAUCACUCAUAAGUUUUUCUAUACCACUCACUAUAUCAUCCUUUUAAGUCAAUUUUGACUGAUCAUCAGAGAUCAUGCACCCCACCUUGAGAUGAUUGAUCACCAAUUUGGCAUUGUAACAUUGAUCACCUCUAAUUGGCCAAGCUAAAAUUGGGACCCCAAAACCAAUUGCUUCUACAGUUGAAUUUUAUCCACAGUGAGAUAAAAAUCCACCUGUUAAUUGAUAACUCAGUAUCAAUAAUUGUGGUGCCAUUCCAUCUAUUAUCAAACCCUUUUUACUGGCUCUACUAUCUAAACCACUACGAAAAUAAGCUGGUUAAAUGACGUAGAGGAUCCAAUCUAUUUACAUAAGUUUGAAUUACCUAAAUAAUCGGUGGAUUUGAUGCUUAUAAAUCAGAGGGAAUUGCAGCAGAUACACCUUCAUACUUUAAAAAUUACCUCAAUACCUUAAAAUUUGAUUUUUCCAAAAUUUUCAUCAAUAUCCUUUAAAAGCUGAUAGGAAAUGACUAAGUUAUCCUCGUUUUAAAACACUUCAACUCAACUGGCAGCACCUCUCCCUCCCUCUACUCAAACAAACAAACACUCAUAUAUGCUACAAUUCCCUCCACUACCUUUACUCAAACAAACAAACAUUCAUUCUCCAUACAUGCUAAAUCGAACUUCAACACGAGCAAAUUGAGCUGAGAAAGGGAAGCUGCUACAACUGAGAAAGAGAAGCCUAGUUCGUCGCUACAUAAUCGCCAGCGAGAGUUGAUCCUUUAUUGCAAAAUGGUCAGAAUGUAACUAGUUGAGGUAAGUAAUUCCCUAUAAUUUGUUUUCUUGUUGAUAUUCAAGGGAAAAAACAAAAAGUUAGGGUUUUAUAUUGAAAAAAUAAUUAAUUAGUUGCGGGUCUCUCAUAACAUGUUCGAAAACACAUUUCUAGUUGUUUUGUUGCAUGCAAAUUGUGAAAAAUUAAUGGAUUGUGCCGAUUAUAAUUUUUUCAUGUAACACACGAUUUGGUCAUGUAAGGUUAUGUAAGAUUCAAGGUUGUGUAUUACACGACCUUCAUGUAUUGCACGAUUACAUGACCUUCAUAUAUUGCACGAUUACACGAGCUUUAUGUAUUACACAAUUACAUGACCUUCAAUUCCAGAUUGAGGAGUAAAAAGUUUAUCAUCUCUCCAGGUGUGUUCUGUAAUUUAAUUUUUUGUUUCUUGUCGAUAGAAUAUACACAUUACAUUUAGUUUAAUUAGGCUCACAAUUGGGGACAAUAAAUUGGAAUGGUACAUAUGCCUUUACCUUGUGGAAUGUCAUUACUUAGAGAGAUCCUUAAUUUGCAAUUAUAAGCCAUGGUAAGUCAUGGUAUGUCUAGUUAUGAGUGGAAACACUUUGAUCAUUGCGAAUGGUGUUCUUAUGUGUAUAACAUUACAUUAAUUUCCUAUAGUUAAUUUUUUUUCCUAAUUGAUUUCAUGGAUUAAUUAUAUGCAGGCAUUCCUCAUGUAUGCAUGUAUGUUUGGGCAGAGGAAGAAAGCACUUUGAAGAUUAAAAAAGCUUUUUAAAUGGUUGUACUAUGUUUAAUAGCGAUGUUCAUUAGUGUAUCAUAUCCAAAUAUUGAAAAAUUUGUACACUGAUAACUUUGUUUAUUUAUACUAAUUAAUCUAAUCAUUUCUCAAACUGUCGGAUGUUCAAAUUUAGUUUUUUUUUUCUGCAAUUUAUGAACACACGAUUUGGUCGUUUAAGGUCAUGUAACAUAGGAUUCAAGGUCGUGUAAUAUACUCAUGUAUACAUGACCCUCAGUCGUCUAUGACAUGACUUUGUAUAUUAUUACGCGAUCUUGAAUCAUGUGUUACGAGUCUUUCAUGACCUUCAGUUAUAUAUUACACGACUUUCAUGUACUACACGACUUUAUGUAUUACAUGACUUUAUAUAUUGCGCGAUUAUACAGCCUCCAUGUAUUACACGACCUUAAAAUUACACGAAAUUUUCCAUUAAUCAUUAGAUUAAUUUAGUUCAUUAAAGACUUAAUUUGUGCUAAGAAUUUAUAUUUGCUGCUAUGCAGAAAAUGUCAACGAAAAUUAUUAAAAAAAAGAAGUGAAAUUAAAUUGGAAUCUAAAAAAAUUCCACAUCAUCAUUGGUUUGAAUUGUAAGUGGUGGCAUAGGAUCAGAUGUCUUAAGCUUGAACUUCAUUGUGAUUUCGAAUUCCGAAGUAUCUAUAUCAAUAAAUUGAGCUAAUCUUCACCAAUCCGGCAUAUGUUGUCGAUCGUGGUAUCAUUAUCCCUUUAGCCUUGGAACCUUUGAACUUAUACUCAUCAUUUUGGUCAAUCCAUUCACCAUUGAAGAGAAUAGGUACACGUACCAAAACCAUAUCUGAUGAUACAAUAAAAACAAUAAUAUCAAAUUUCAUAUACAAGUAACUACACGACCUACAUGACUACAUUACUUACAUGACUUACACGACCUACAUGACUAUAUUACUUACAUGACCCACAUGACUUACACGACUAUAUUACUUACACGACCUACAUGACUAACUACAUGACGUGCACGGUAUCAAAAGGAAUGCACGACGCAAAACAUUUUCACCAUAAAUAAAUUAUAUUGCUGAAAAAAAUAAUUAAACAACCUACAUUGCAUAUAAUUCUACAUAUAAGAAAAAAUGGUGAAAAUACAACAUUAUAGAGUGAGGAAAUUUUCUAAAUUUUCCUAAAAAUUAAAAAAAAAUUAAAACCCAACAACAUUAACAUAUCUUAUUGGGUUGUUUAAUGAGCAAUGCACCUAAUUUCAGUUAAAGAAAGAGUGGGUGUUAAAGAAAUGAAUAUAUAAUUGUAUUUGUGUAAGAAGUUAUGAGAGAUUUUGAGAGAUUCUAGGAGAUUUUGAGAAAAUUUCGGCAGCAAGAAAAGAUUUGGGUGAAAGAAAUAUGAAGACAAUGAAGUUGAGUGAAUUUGAUGCAUUCAUUAAGGACAUUUCAAACUUUACUUACAUUUAUUAGGGUAUCCAUGAAAACAAAAAAGGGAGGGGAUAUUUAAAUAAUUUUGAAACUAUUAAAGGGUAUUUAAUUAAAAAACCCUCUAAAUCAUUGGCUAAUGUUGAAUAAUUAUUUAAGGUAGGACCCAACAUGUAUAACACAGAUCCAUAUGAUUUCAAAUCUAAUCAUUUAAUGAUCUCAUCUUCGGUCAUGUUAGAACUCCGCCGGUUGGUUCUCAUCUCACAAUCACGAAGCACUGAACCGGCCGAUUUGUAAAAUUGUUUAGGUAACAAUGGGCCCACUCCCCACACUGGCAUCAACACCAUCGAUCCCUCCACUUGCUUCAUCCAGUGUGGUUGAUCACUCGGUUCUGAUGGACCUAUUUUCUCUGAACCGGGUGCACCUCACAAAGGUUGUGGACCACCAGGAAGGGACCCGUGAGGCCUGCGUUUAAGAUCCGAUUCGAAUAAAGCAAUAUCCUUGGGUAACCCAAGAAGUAAACGGGCCUCUCCCGGUUUGACAUCCUGGAUGCGAGCCUGCCACAUGGCACACUCUACAGCUGCUGAGCAAGCAUCAGAAGUGAAGAACCCAACAAUGGGAACUUCAAAAUUCUUGAAAACAUCAGCCGUCCAGCCCAUCAUAACGCCGAUGACUACGCAAACAGGUCGGCUUUCGGGUUCCCGGGUUGAAAGGAGGUUUCGAAGGCCUUGAAGCAUAUGGCUGUGCAUGACAACAUGGUGGUGAGAAGGAGGUGAUGGUAGUGGUUGAGAUGGGAGGGUAUUUCGGUAAUUUCACAUAGAGGGUAUUGGUGAAGAGAGGAAGGGGUGAUGCUGGUGGUGGAAACGUGAGAGGGAAUAAUGAGGGUAGAUUUGUAAUUACGAGAAGCAAUUUGCUUGCAUAAUUCAAUGCAUGGAAACAGAUGUCCCUGACCGAAGAACGGGACAAUCCAAAUCUCAGCCUCAGCAGCAUUCGCAACAGAGCUUGACAUCUUUUAUGAAUUAUUUGAGACUUAAUUGUUAUUGACUGCUUUUGCCAUCUUUCAUAAAACAUUCUUUGUUAUAUAUUCAAGUAAAUAAAUUUAUCGUUUAAAAUUAAUUUUUCAUGUGGUAAAAGCAAUACUAAAUAUGGGGUGGAGAGAAUAAUUUGUAGGGCAUACCCCCACCAUUUAUUUAAUUUCAUUAAAAAAGAAAGAAAAGAAAUAAAGGCUUGUUCAACAUUCAAUUAAAAUUAACAAUUCCAUGAUAAAAUUACUUGAGAAUAAAAAUUUUUAAAAAAAAAGUAACUCAAAAACGAGGAAUUUUUGAGUAACUGAAGAACCAUAGAUGUUUUUUGGUCAUGAGCAAUUUUUGAGUUGAGACAGAACUUGUAUAAAAAAAUAGUUUUGAAAACUUCUUUUCUUUUUUCGUAAAUAUAGAUAUAAAAUUUUAAAAUCACCAAACACAAAACCAGGAAAAUGGAAGGAGAGCCCCUGUUUCUCCUCUGUUGCAAGAACAAAUUCGGUUUCUACAGUUGUACCUUCUAAAUGCACCAUUUGUAUUGCUUUGUCUCCACUUGAGCUAACGGAAUUUGAUGAAAACAAAAUAGAUAUGAGUGGUGCUAUUCACAGCCCUCAAUAAUUCUCUCAAAACCCCUUUUCUAAUUAUACCCCGUUGAAUAAGUUCAAGACCAACUUUUCCUCUUAUAACACCACCUUCAAUUCCGUUAAUACCCUUGUUCGCUAUGAAAAUGAGGAAAAUGCCUACAUAAAAAGCUGGCUCUGAUAAUCUACCUGAAUUUACAUUAGAAAAGAGUGGACUUUGAGAAAUAAGAAGACAAUAUAGGGAAUUUUACCAAAAUAAUCCAUUUUUAUAUACAGGGAAUGGUAUUUUCUGAUAUAGGGAGGAGUGGAGAAAUUAAAUUCAGCAAAAUAAAGAACCUCCAUCGAGAAGUAAAAAUGAUGAUAUCUUUGUCGUGAAGAGAUUUCUGCCUCAUACAAAUUUUUUAUUCUAGAAUGCUUGAAACCGAAAAGUUCUGUAGUUGUUUCAAUUCAAUUGCAUACAUUGACGAAACAUUAAAUACGGAAAAAAACAAAAAAGAAAUAAUAGGACAGGGGGAUUUCGAGAAGUUCUAAAGAGAGAAAUCUAUUUAUAAGCAUUGAAAAUUAGCUCAUUAAAUUUGACAGAAUAAUAUACAAUCUCACUGUUGGCCAGAAAAUAAUAGUAAGAACUUGUGAACAUAUAUAAUCAAUUGUUUAUUACUUAAGCUCUUUUUCUUCGUUAUUUUGAAUGGGUGCAAAGAAGAGAAGUUUUGUACCCAAAUUCCAACUCGAAUUGUGUAGGCUGCUUGCAAGAGCUUCAUUAGAUUUUUAUUUGUCUUUUAAUAGUGCUUCUCGACAAAUACAGCUAGCUAUCUGUCCUUUUUGUUACUGGACUAUAGAUCAAUUGACAGUUGAAGUUAUAUUAAUUUGUUGUGCUGGAAUUGAAGCUUGUAUCUUAGCCAUUUGGUGAAGUGUCAAAUAUAUUUUUAAUUUCCUUAAAAUUGUUCAAAAUAUGUUUACACUUUUAAAGUCACUAUUAUACAUGAGUGCCCUAAAAUUGGAGAAGGCGAUUUGCCUGACAUUACCUGUAUUCGCUUGUAUAGAGAGGACGAUUUAGAUAAGUCGGAACGGAACAACCUUCAUCACAUGCUUCCUCACGUGGUUACUUAAACUGAUAUGUAAAACGUGCUCCAUCCAUGUCGUUUCCACUAAAUCGUUUUCUGUUAAGAAUCAGCUGAGCAGCACGUGAGCUAAUGAAGCUUUUACGGCUUCAAAACGCAGCCGUUUCUGGGAACCAAACUUGAUUCAUCACCUCACAACUACAGAUGAAUUAUCGAAGUGGCUGAUUGGUGCUAUACGUGUUUUUCGUAUUGAACUCAACUCUGCUAUUUUCCCAAAAGCUGGAAAACAGAAACAUCAUCCCUGUGGUUUUAUUUCACCUCAACCUUUUUCUGAUCCCAUUUUCAUUGUAAUUUCUCAUUUACUUUGAGUGAAAGUCAUUGUUGCUUUCGAACGAGGUUUUGCAACUAAAAAGGAAAAGGGGGCGGCUAUAAUACAUGCGUGCAUCUGAUACAUGCACAAAAACUGACCAUUGGAUUAAAUGGAGUGGAUCUAAUGGCUGAGAUUUGUUUUAUUAUUAAGCAAUAAAAAAAUUUGAAACAACCAGAAACCUGUAAAACCGGUCAUUUGGUUUAAGUUAAAAAUAUAUAAAUGAAAAUAACAAAAAAACCCACCACUCCCCCGCCUCACACGCGCCUCACCGCUCCCCGCUCCCUCGCCUCACCUCUCUUCUUGUUCCACGGCCAUCAACGGCGGCACGAGUCGGCGACGAUCGACUGCGGCUGUAAAUUGACCACGAUCAUCUCUCUCUCUCGGCUUGCUCAAAUUUGGCCGAUCUGUGCGCUUGCUUAAGCUUGGCCGAUCUAUGCUUGCUCGAUUACUCUUCCUAUCUUCAGUCAGAGUCAACUGUUUGACAAGAGUCGAAGUCCAAGGUUCUUUUUUACAGGAUUUGAGCUAUUCCUUUUAUUCUUCUUGCAUGUUCACUGAUAUGAAGCUUUGAUGUGGUGUUCUGAUAGCGGGUGGAAUUUGAGAUUCUCCUUUCUUCUCUAUAUGAAGGUGCUUGUCAUGUGUCAAGAAAAAUAAAAUUAUUUACCAAAGAUUAUUUUAAGGAGAUUUAUUAUUAUUCGUGGAUCGGGAAGUUUAUUUUGUUUUUUGGUCUCUUAUUUAUUUAUUGUUUUCACGAGGAAAUUGCUGUGCUUUUGGAAAUUAAUAUGCUGUGUUGUCAAUGUUGUGUGAAAUCCUUUUAUUGGUGUCUAUGUAAAGUGUUUCAGAUUUCAGACCUGAGAGUUAAUCUUCGCGUACCAGUUGGCUUUUGGGUUUAGUAUUGCUACUUUUAACAUAAUUGACCUAUGGCCCAAAUCAUUUCUAUAGGGCGAAGCAUAUGAAUGAUACAUAUUAUCUUUUUUUGGCCUUAUGUAUUGUUAUUUGCAGUGUGAUUUGGUCUAGCUUAAGAGCUUAAGCUUGCAGGUUGGAUUUGUCUGACAGGGAACAAUUUAAUUUGCUCAUCGUGAUGUUUAUAUCCAUUUUGUACUACUAUCAAUUUCAAUCAUGCCUAAUUUUUAUAUGUAUUUCUCGUGGACUCUCAGGUUCAGUGCACAAGAGGAUGAAGACGAUGGACACCCAAAUUUGAUGUGGAGAACAACUAUUGCAAAUGGUCCUUGAUUUACUUCUCCAAUUGACUUGAAUUGGUUUGACGCAAUUUAUAGUGUAUUUUUGUCAUCUUUGUACGACUAGCAGGUCGUCCUGAUUUGGUACAUGACUGGACACAGGAAUUGGACUCAUAUUUUUCAAACCAGAAUGCCAACAAUCAAGCAUUUUCUUUUGAAAGCACUGGCGUCUUCUUCAAUGCCAAAAAGGUUAGAGAUUUUCUGUAUCUUGUUUUGUAUUUAAUCAGUUUAGCAUGUGGGUGGCAAUCAAGAAAAGUUAUUAUAACAUUUUUGUGUUCCCGAAAAACUGCUGAUGAUGUGUAGUGCAGGAAAUGAAUUGUUUUUGACUUCUUUUUAUUUGUAUUCUUUCUUUUUUCUUUUCUCCCCAACAGGAUUAUGCAUUUCUGAAGAGCUUCUUGAAGUUGAUUACCAUGUAUGCCACUUUCUUUACUCUAUGCUCAGGAUGUGAUUUUGCCAAGCAUUAAAAUGGUUUAGGUCAGAACCAUCAUCUAAAGUUUACUUAAUGCAGCCGAGAAGCUGUAGUAGAGCAAGGAAGGCUGUUGGUGUUAUGAAGGCCAGCUGUGAAGAAAUAUUUGAACUUGUAAUGAGCAUGGAUGGGACACGAUACGAGUAUGCUUCUUUUCUAUUUUUUAUUUUUAGUUACUUUAACAUAAUCAAGACUAUAUUGGCUGUCUCUGUAAGCUGAGUAUUAUAUUUCCUCUUGCAUGCUGUGAAAUUCACAUUGUCUCCAGUCCCGAUUCUGUAUGUGCCUUUUUGAAUAUAUUUAAUUAAUCUGCAUGGUGCUUUCUAAAGAUUAUUACAAACUUUUGUUGCUUAAGUAUAUGAAGAAUGUAGAAAUGAAAACAGCUUUUGAAGUUUGAUGGAUUGCUUCAUUAAUAAAGAAAGACUAGGACUCAUUUUUAUAACUUUUCUCCACUUAGCUAAUGGUAUUUGAUGAAGACAAAAUAGAUGUAGCUAUCUAUAUUUUUUGUUGCUGAACUAUAGAUCAAUUGACGGUUGAAGUUAGUUAUAUUAAUUUGUUGUACUAGAAUUAAAGCUUGUAUCUUAGCCAUUUCAUGAAGUGUCAAAUACGUUCUUUCCUUUUUUUUUUUUUUUUUCAAAACAUGUUACACUUUUGAAGUCACUAUUACAUAAAAGAGUGUUCUAAAACAGGAGAAGGCGUGCUGCCUGAAAUUACCUGUUUCCUAGCAAAUCUAGCUGGUUUGCGAAUUAGAUUUUAACAAGUCUCUUGGCAAGGUUUGCUAGUAAUGUGUUCAAAUUAUUCUAUUUAAUUUUACUGUCUGUACCCUAAUAAUUCUUGGUUUGCACCAUUGCAUUGUUCCAUAAUCUCUGUGCGUUGGCUUAUAAAGGCCAGCAAGGCUGAUCAUUUGUCGAAUAGUUAUUUCCAUGAAAUUCCUAUCAAUUUGACUCAGUAUUUAGAGGUCUUGAAGAGGGCAGUGUACUAGACAUGGAUUUCUACCUCUUUUGGUUGUACAAUUGUUGUAUUUCUUGGCCAUCAGAUCUUUUUAAUGUACCUUUCUCAAAGUUCAUGCCGCACGUACACCGUUUUUCAUGUUUUGUGCAUGUGGGAUUGUAGUCUUCUGUAUCGCAGCUUAGUUGAAGAGGUAGAUGGUCAUACGGCUAUUCUCUAUCAUAGGCUUCAGCUGGACUGGUUUCCAAUGUAAUAGUCUCUUGAUUCAAUCAUCUCAUUUAUGCUUUGGUCAGAAUAGAACAUUUAUUGUUUCCUUCUUUCCCCUUUCCUCUCUUCUGAUGUAAUAUGUGAGGAAAUUACCUAAAAUUUCUGUAUCCCAAUGUAAUUGUUGGAAUUCAGAAAUAAAAUAAAUACACCGUCUUGUUUUUCCCUCGGUUCAGUCCCAAGUUCUCUUUGGGCCUUCUGCAAGUUUUUAAACAUACUGUGACAGUAAAAAAUCUAGUGAUUGAGAUCAUUUUGAUGAAUUUAAUUUUAAUUCUUAGCUGAUACUUUUUCUGGAAUUUUUUUCUUAUGUUUCCUCAAUAUGACUUAAAUAUAGGGCUUAGUUUGGUUUAGAAGUUCAUCUAAAACCUUCUCCUUGAUUCCAAAAAAAUUCUCUAGAAAGGUCUCAGAUGGAUUUUAGGGGAGUUUUGUGGCAAAUUUGAAAAGUUCAGGGGAAGGGUCUAAUGAAUUUUAAAACCACAUGGGUUAUCUGUUUUAUUCAGAGGAUAGUGGAAUUCCCUGAAAUUUAUCAUUUUUAUUUAAAUAAUCUUCCUACUUUCCUCUGCAGAAUUUAUUUAUAUAUAUGAAUUCAUUUGGUUGCAGGUUUGUUUGGCCCCGCGGCCUUUGUUAAGUGCGUUAUUGGCGUUGAAAUGACGCUGCGAGUUAUGGUAAGGUUCUUGCUUCCCCACUUCUUGAAAUUAAAUCUAUCUUUUCUGGCACUAGAAGUUUCCAUAAGCUGUGUUUUGUUAUCGCGCAGUUGUGUUAUUUCAUUCUAGGGAGCAUAUGAACUGUGGUCCACAACCCGGAUAUGUACGAGCUCACAUGGAGAGUUAGUUUUCUGUCCUUUACUUUGGUUGAUGUAGAGAAUUAACAAGUGACUAAGUCAUGCCAAGUUGCACCACUUGCUUCCUGUAUUCUGAUUUCUCAGGUGGUGGAUUCAACAUUUCCCCACUAAAACCUCAAAAUGGUAGGCCCAGAACACAAGUACAGCAUCUUAUGCAGAUUGAUCUAAAAGGGUGGGGUGUUGGUUAUGUGUCAAUGUUUAGCAACACUGUCUUCUGCAGAUGUUAAAUAGCAUUGCUGGUAAGUUUCUUGCUUUCACAUUUUAUUUUGCGCUGUUAUGGGUUAAUAUGUUUCUGUUGGGUGGCCAUUUUAAGUCAUAUUUUUACGUGUUACUGUAUUUUCUUCAGUCCUUUUAUAGGGAACACACACAUACACGUAUGUAGAGUCACCUUUUAAUGAGGGAUCUACCAUUUUAAUGAAAUGAGGAAUGAGCUAAAAGAUAAAAAAUUCACGAACUCCAAUGCAAUAUGUGUGUGUGCGCGUGUACACCUUUUCUAACUCUUGUUCUUAGUUAGAUAUUUUUUGGGAUUUCAGGCAAAUGAAAAAAGAGAUUAAGAGAAUGAUUUCAAGAGAACAGGUGGAUAAUAACUUAAAUAUUCAUUUUUAUACAUUUUGUUAAUGUCCUCUUUAAUGGAUUUCUAUGGAAUUAACCUUGUAAUUGGUGUAAUUACGGCAUUGGUGGUUGACAUGGCUUUCCUUGUGCAGGUAUGUAUGAUUGUACUGCAAUUUGCAAAUUUGCAUACUUGAAUGUUCUCAGAAUGGUAUAAUGCUUCGUGUAUGCAGGCAAAUACUACAGAUGAAUUACCGGAGCGGCUGAUUGGAGCUGUACGUGUUUCUUAUAUAGAACUCAAGUCUGCUAUUGUUCCAAAGUUGGAACCAGAGACAUCAUGACUCUGGUUUCAUUUCACCUCAACUGUUUUUUUUUUUAAUUGAAAAAAAAAAAUCAUUUGUUUUAGGUAUACAUACAUGUAUUUUGAUCCCGUUUUCAUUGUAAUUUCUCAUUUACUUUGAAAGAAAGUCAUUGGUGUUUUCGAGUGGGAAUUUUGCAUUAAAAAAUAAAGAAUACUUAAUAGGAAAUUUCAUAAUUCUUUAGUUACUAUUUUUGGAAUGUGUGUAAUAGUAUUAAAGUUGGUUUCUACUCGCAAACAAGUGAACUACUCGAUCCCCAACUGCGACCACGCUAGUUGUCAUUUAAAACUCAACAACUAACAAAAAUACUAAUAAAAAAAUGAUUUUCUUAUAUUGCUGUGAAAACAUUUAUGGGUUCAUUUAUUUCCACAAGAUCUAUAAUUUGGUCUUGACUUUACGAAAUUCUUUUAAUUUAAAGGGUUUUGGUCUGAGAAAGUCAGUUUGACGGAUUAAUUCUUUUUAAUAAUGGUCGAGUUAAUUUUACUAUACUCAUAAAACUAUUUUUAUUCUGAUAAUGCCACAAAUGUUAUGAUGUUUUCUUCAGCUAAUGAUCUUCUAUCAGGACUAGUUAGAAAUCAAAUGCUUAAAACACCGAUUGAAUGUAUAAUGCAGAAGUUUAAACAGUACCUAAUUGAAAAUUGCAUGAAACAUGAAACAUCAAUUCAAGUCCUUCCUUAAACAGAGAAUGCAUCAAACAAAUCCAAAGUGUCUUGCAAGUCUGUAGCAUGACAAAAAAGUUGUAAAUGCGUUUGGAACCAAAUUCUUCAAGUACAGGAGAACGAGCAAGUUGAAUUAUGUACAAGAGAUUGGCCUGGUUCGAGAUAGCUUCUUCACUGUACCUGAAGGAUUGGCUCAAUCUUUUCUUUAGAAUUCUGCACAUUUUGUAAUUACUCGUGUAAGCAAGCAUACAUUACAACCAUAAUAAUAAUAAAGCAAGAGUAAUGAUACGACCACCACCUUUUGUACACAAACAAUAUUGUAUAAACUAAUGCGACAUAAUAUGAUUGGUUAAACAAAAACAUUACAUGGCCCUCAUAAUUUAUUUAUUUAUUUAUUUAUUAUUAUUAUUAUUAUUAUUAUUAUAUAUUUUCAGUCAACCAAUCAUAUUAUAUCACAUUAGUUUCUAUAAAAUAAUUUGCUAAAUAGCACCAAAACUUAAUUGAUACUCACCAUUUCAUUGAACAAUUUUUUUAUGGUGUCAUUGAGGUUGCCUUCCCAACAUCCUUCAUCAUCAUCAUCUUCUUCAUCAUCAUCUUUUUCUUCUUCGGUGACGUUCACUUUGUUUAGCAUUGGUGUGUCUAAGACUCCUUGAGAGAAGAUCUUCAUUUUUGGACACAGUCUCACAACUACUUGUUUCAAGGACGGGAAUUCAAGAGCGUAAUUACCUAAACAAAAGCUUGUUAGGCUUGGCAAACAGUCAAGUUCCAAGUACCUCAAUUUCCCAAAAACAAUGCAAUCUUCCGUUUCUUCUCCAACCUGCGACUGUAUAAUUUCUUCCAUCAUUUUGCAAUCAACUAUCUUCAUUCUUCCGAGAUUCACUAGAUUUUUAGAUGCUGAGAGCGUCAACACAUUUAUCAACCCGUGACACUUCGAUACUUGUAGUCCCCACAGAUUUUCCAAAUGCCACGAAGGUGGUACUAAUUUUUGCAACUUACUACAUUCCGAUAUUUCUAGCCUUUCCAAGUUUGCAAACACUUUGUUGGAUUCGUCAUUUUCCUUCCAGAGAUGCUGCACUUUGUGUAAUCCAGACAGUCUUAACUUCCUCAAUUGAGGGAAAGCAACCUGAAAAUCAACAAAGUUAAGUUGUAAAAGAAAAUACGUAUCCAAUCUCUGGAGUCUUCACCUGCAUAUUUUAUGGACAAGAUUAAUCACGGCAUUUUAUAUUUUAUUUCCAAAUUAGUAUGCUUUGCAGUAGGAUCCCAAAUAUAAGUAUCAAAUCGAUUACCCUUUGAAACACAUAAAUGAAAUCUAAUGCUAAAUCCAAUAUGAAUUAGCUAGGAAAACAGAGAUGUUACACACAUAAUUAAUAUAGUUCAUCACCUCGUGUUAUCAGGCAUCCAAUUAAUUUCAGUCAUUUUUAUAAUUCAUACUAUAAAGAUAGUUAAUAACUGAGGUUAUAUUGUUAAAUCAUAUAUAAAUUAAGAUGACAUGCAAAAAGAUGAGUCAUUAAAUUUGACUUGAUUCUAAUGAAAUUACAUCUGUGCGAACAAAAGUGAAGGGAAUAAUAAUAAUAAUAAUAAUAAUAAUUACCUUUUCAUCGAAGAGGGGUUGUACUUGAUGAGCCAGCAAGAAGUACUCUUCUAAUGUUAAUUUUUGAGGUUCCUUGUUAUCAGUUGUCACAUGCACUACAGAGUUGGAUAUAAAUGUUUCCAUAUCAGGGCAAUUCUCAAUAGUCAGACUCCACAACAUAGGCAUUUCAAUUAUAUUCCCAGUGAAGUUGCAGAAUCUUUUGAGUUUUGGAAGAUCAAUGAGCGUUAGGCUAAAAAGCCUAGGAAACAGGGGGCCUAUAUGUUCUUUGUCAGCAUUUAGCUCUUCCAAAUGAAGCAUCUCUUCUAGUGAAUCACAAUUCCUCACUUCCAGCCUUGCCAAAUUGUUCAAGCAUCGUAGCAGAUUGGCAGGAAUAGCACUCGACAUAUUGGUGCAGUAAUCCACCUCCAGCUCUGCUAAAUAGUUGAAGAAGCGGACAGGCAGUGCUUGGCCAUGCCAUAUUUCUUUCAAACGUGGAAAAUGUGAGAGUUGCAAAUACUGUAUGUCACGGAAUCCAAUCUGCACAAACCAAAACAAUUGCACUGGAUAUAUAUAAAUACAUUAAACUUACAUGUUUUGUGUUUUAACUUCUAAAACUAUAUAUACAAGGCAGGUGUAUAUGUUCAAAUGUGCAAGUGCAAGGGAGAUGCAUAAGUAAUUUCAACGAAUCGAUUUAACACAUACCAUUUCUUCGUAACACUUUUGUAUAGUGGAAUUAAGGUUGCCUUCCCAACGGCACAAUUCACCCUCUUCCUGUUAAGAAUAGAAUUAGUUAGUUAAUGAGUAUGCUGACAUGGCAGCUGAGUCAGCUAAAGGUUGUUAUAGAGGUUGUUAGUAGUAAACUGUGCGUGUGUGCAAUGUGUGUAGAAUCUUCUAUGCACAUAUAAAAAGGCUUGCAAUUUCCAGAUUCAUUAGAUCAAUAAUAACAGAAUUCUCAGCUUACAGAAGUUUUCUUUCCUCCUAUUUUCUUAGUAACCAAACAACAUCACAGUUUCAUAUAAAACUUAAUACUUCCUUUUUACUCACCUGCACUUCGUGCAGCUUUGGUGUGGAUACGAUUCCCUGAGAAAAAGUCUUCAUGUUCGGGCAACGUGUCAUAGAAACUCGUUCCAAUGAUGGGAAUUCAAGAGUGUAAUUCUCCAAACAAAAGCUGGUAAGCCUUGGUAAAUAAUCAAGUAUCAAAACUUUUAAAUUGCUGAAAGCAAUACGAUUCUCCUUCACUUCUUCUCCAACAUGUCCUAUGAUUUCUUCUAUUUUUUCACAGUAUGAUACAUUAAGAUUCACUAGACUAUUGGGAAUUCCAACCUGAAAAUAAAGAGUAGCAUUCAACUAAAUUCAAAGUAUGUCAAAAUCAUACAAUUGUUUUAUGAAAAAUAACAAACCAUGUCUACUAGAUAUUUUUUGUUAAAGAAAAAAGGAAAAAAAUUAAAACAAAAAUAAAUAAAUAGAAGUCCAGAAAAACAAAGAUAAUGAAAAUGCAUUUACACUAAAACGCUGUAUUUCCCUUUUUUUUUUCCCGAUAUUCAUGCUUUUAAAAAUGGAAAACAUUUCUGGAAAACACUUCCCAACGCCAUCAACAUGGGACUGUUACAGAGUGAAUAUUUGAGGAAAUUUUUUAAUAAACGGUCGAUUCAAAAUGACCAUCAUGAAUUUGUGCUUAAUCAAUGGCGUAAUCAAUUCAUAACUAAACUAGAGAUAUUAACUACAUUUGAACACUUUUCUUUAUUUUAUUUUUAAAAUCGAAAUCUAAAGACCCAAGGAAAAGAGAAAUAUAUAUGAAUUUGUGAACUUAAAAGCUGAGUAACUAAGUAUCUUUUAAUUUCUGAAAAUCUUAUUCAUUAGGAUUUAAGGAAAAAAAACAAUUAAAUUAAAUUAUAUUAUGCUGUUAAAUCGUGUUUAAAAUAAUUAUAUUGUUGACUUUAAUGCAGGUGAACCUAUAAAUUAGAUUGAAAAUGCAGAGUUCAGAAUGGUGAUUUGAAGUACAAUACUUUUUUUCCCUCUAGAAGUUUGAAGUACAAUACUUGCAAUAAAUAAUUUGUGAAUGAAAAUUAUUUGUAAACAAAAAAAUGAUUAAAAUAAUUGUUGAAUGUUAUUUGAAAUAAAAAUUCAAAAUGAAUAUAGCAAUCUUACCAAUGGAGGAAAAAUAUUCAGUAGAUUAUGACACACAGAUAUCUCUAAUUUUUUCAAUUUGCUAAAAGACUUCGAAGCAAGCUGGUGGUGCCAUAUUUUUCUCAACUUAUCCGCCCCACGAAUAUGUAAUACCUCCAGACUUGGGAGUCGUACCUGAAGUUAAAAAUUCAAUGCAAUUAGAGAUGGAUAUUAAUUAAAUUUGAAGACUCAACGAAAGAAGAAAUUAACUAUUAAGAAUAAAAUUAAUUUAAAAAAAAAACCUUUGCAUCAAAGAGAGGUUGAGGUUGCAUUUCAGAAUUAGCUUCUGGUGAGGCAAAGCUACUUAGUUUUGGAAGACCAUCGAGCUGCAGGAAGUGUAGUUUAGGAAAAACCUUAAAUUCAUCUCUUCCUCCUAACCCCGUGGUGUUGACUAUCCCUUCCAUUGACCAACAAUUAAUAAUCUCAAGAUGUCGGAGCUGCCCAAGACUAUUAGCCAUAGAAUAUGAAAACAUAUACUUCAGAGGACAACACCUUGUCACGGUCACUUUUGUUAAAUUUUGACAACAAUACAUUCCCUGAAAUUGAUCGGGCCAUAAUUUUUUGAUGUUUGUUAAACUGACAAGUUCCAGUUCCUCCAAGCGUGGAAAAGUAACCUGCAAAGAAAAACCAUACAUUUUUUUUCCUUCAACUACAACUUCUAAUAUAAUAUUCUUUCGAUGAUUGAAGAUCAAUCGUGAUAAUAUAUUAAUUAAUUAAUUAUUAAACAGAAAAUUAUCACCUGAUCAUCCUCUGCAUUGAUUUCUGUGAAUCCCUGAGUAGUUGUUGGUUUCUCCAUGUCGGGCCCUAUAAAUGAACAAAAACAAUAUAUGAUUAACCUCUGUUGUCCCCUCCCAAAACAAAAAAAAAAAAAGAAUGAGCCAAUGUCAAUAAUCCUACCAAUAAUUAAUUUAAACACUUACCAAUCAUCAUUUUCAAUUUAUUGCAAUUUACCACUUCUACUUUUUGAAGCCCCAAUAGGUUUUUGGCCAUAGAGAAUGAGAAGAGAUACUUCAAUUUUGGACAGGAAUAUACGUAUAUAAUCCUUAAGUUGCUGAAAGAUUGAUCUUCUCUGAGUUGGCUGUAGCAUAUCGUCUCCAAAUUAGUUAAAUUAAUAAGAUCCAAUGAUUCCAGCAAGGGAAAGACUUCGCAACGAACCCGUCUAACUGAACCGACAAUAUGUAAAAUCUCAGAACAACCUGUUACAUGAAGAUGCUGCAAUCGUGGAAAACCUUCCCCAUCGUCUAAUUCAUGAACAACAUUCUGAACACCCGUCAGUGAGUAUAGACGGAGAUCUUCAGUUCUCUUCAGCAACAUUUUCGUCCCAUCAUUCCCCAAAAGAAGGCUAACUUUUUCUGGCCCCUUGAGCACCAUCAAUGUUGAUGUUUUAGAUUCGACGAGUCGUCGGUUAGACAUUUGUCCUAUAAAUAUCUUAUAUCUUUCCAAUUCCAUAGAGACAAAAUCCGGCGGCAGAAUUUCGGAAUCCGAAACAUCUAUCUCCAAAGUAGUUAGAUUUGACAACCCCUUCAACUCGACAAGACUGGCAUUACUUCCUCCUUCAACCUUAUCCCACUGUGAAAAGCUGUUAUGCAUAAACAGUUCUUCUAAUCCAGAUAAUUUUGAUAUGACAUUUGGUGGUAUCAACUCAAGGCUCCAACAAUUGCUCAAAUCUAGCAACUGUAACCGCGUCAAUCGUCCAAUUUCAAGUGGUAACUGCUUGAUAUCGGAAUCUGCAAGGCUGAGAAUCUCUAAUUUCUUUAGCUGUCCAACUAUUGCUAUAUCUUUUAGUCGGCAAUAGUCUAAACGCAAUGUUUGAAGGUUAAUGAGGCAACCAAGUGAUGAAGGUAAUGAAGAGAAUUGAAUUCGAGUAAAAUUCAAAACUUUGAGUCCUUCCGUCCCUUUAAAAAAGUGGUCUGAAACUUGCAUAGAGCCAUCACCCUCCGCAUGCAAUAGCUCAAGACAGGGACAUUGCAACCUUUCAGGAAGCACUUGAAUACCUCCAUAAGGUAAAGAAAUAGCAAUUGGACCUUCCUGUACUGUAUCUUCCAUCUUUUUCUCCAAGUCGGCAACAUUUGGAAUAUUAAACAUGAGCUCCUCUUCUGCAAUUGAUACAGCAACUACACGAAUGACGUCAUGCAUUUUAACUUCAUCUUCAGCAUCACUGUCCAACAAUAAGCAUGAAGAUUUGAGUUUGUCGAUCAACGUAUGCAAUCUCCUCCUUGCUUCUUCCAGUGAGUAAACCUUUUUAAAAUAGUCCAUACCCAUACCAUAUCUCAAUAAGUCUGGAACAGGUAUAGCAUAACCUUUACUAAGUAGACCACAAAGACGGAACAGAGAUUUUGCCUCCGCACUUUCCAGCAAGUUGUAACUCAAUUUUAUGGAGGUGUACACAUUUCUUUCCAUUCCAUCAAUUUCUCUUGCAUCGGAACUUCUUAGCUGAUUCAAUGCAUCCUUCCAAAUGUCAAGAUCCUUAGUUUUCAGAGCUUUUGCAACUGUACUCAGUGCAACAGGCAAUCCUCCGCAUUUUUCAACGAUCUCAUCUGCAGUGGGUUGAAAAGCAGAUAUUUUAGUUGAAUCACCCACUAUCUUCUCAAAUAACUGCAAGGCUUCUUCUUUUGAUAAAGCAUCGAUCGGGAAAUUUUUCUGAGAAUUCAUAUCAGUGCACAAUAAAUCUCGACUUCUAGACGUCAGUAUUAUUGUGCAUCGUCUCUGAUCAUCCAUUCUUUCGUUCGGAAUCCCAACUUUAUCGAACUCCAGUUCCCCCCAAAUAUUAUCCAAUAUAAUGAGAUGCCGCUCCUUGUUCUUCAAUACUCGACAUAGUCGAUUUGCUCUGUCGAAUAUACUCUCAUUCAACUCAAACUUUAUGCCUAAAUCAGAAGCAAGUUUGUCUUGAAUUUUCUGAUGAUCUGGGUUCUCUGUUACCUCAGCCAUAGCGACCUUAUCGAACAACUUAUUUGUUUCCAUCACUUGCUUUGCAACUUGCUUGACUAGCGUGGUUUUACCCACGCCGCCCAUGCCGUAGACCCCAAUUAUGUUGAGUUUCUCAUCCUUCAACGCCUCCAUAACAUCCAGUAAUACUUUCUUUCUUGAAUCAAAGGCCUCGUUAUCUUUCCCGCCCCUAAGUGCUUCGAUAUCUGCAGAAGGAUCGAAGGCAAUUUCUUCACUCUUCAGUUUGUCGCCUUUUUCCAUGAGAUUAGCAGCAUCUUUUGCGGCCUUUGCUGCUCGUUUACUGAGUUUGUAACGAGACAACAAAUUUGCACACAAUCCUUUGAAGCAGGACUUCUUGGCUCCAUCUUCUUCAUCAAUGAUAGAUUUUGCAACCCCCUCCGUAGAUUCAACCUUACUUCGCCAAUCUUUGACACCCUGAUAAAUCUCUUUGCCUUGUCGAGUAUCAUGCUUAACACGUUGUUGCACCAUUUCGUUUAUACCUUCCAACCCCUUCACUUGAUCUUUUAGCUCAUCUAUGUAGCUCUGGUACUUGAACACAUAAGAUAUUUGCCGUAUAAUCGGUUUGAACAGUGACUUUGCACCUUCUAAUACAGUGCUGGAUAAAGCAGCCAGAGCCACUUCUGCCAUUGUCUGCUACUUAACAAAUCUAAUAAUAUAUCAAAGAAAGGAAUACAAAUAAAUUAAAAGGAACUAAAGGGAAAGACAGAGAAAGAAAAGACGGCAAACAACAUCGCAAUAUUGAUCUUGAACCAACUGAUACCUAAAUAGAGAAUUUCUUUUACUAUCUUAAGGAUCAGAGGUUUCGCUAUUAACCGAAAGGUAUCGCUUCUAUUUUGUCACUUUGAACGAAUAACUUUAUGUUUUUAACGGAUGUUUAAUACAAAUUGCAUACAUUGGGUGUAAAAUUAAAUAAAUUUAAAUAUUUAUAAUAAUUUUAAUAAUUGAAUAAAACUUUGAGUAAAUGACUGAUAAUUUCUCUAAGAUGAUUUAUUGUUUGGGGUCUAAGAUUUUAAAUAUUCAACUUAAAAGAUUAAUAUCUUAUAAAUUGAUUAAUUAAUUAAUCAUUAAGCAACUAAAUUGGUCCCUGGAUGUCAAUUUAUUUAAUAUUGACGCACCUAUUUUUUUUUUCUGGCAAAUAAUUAUUAAUGCACUUAGGNNNNNNNNNNNNNNNNNNNNNNNNNNNNNNNNNNNNNNNNNNNNNNNNNNNNNNNNNNNNNNNNNNNNNNNNNNNNNNNNNNNNNNNNNNNNNNNNNNNNNNNNNNNNNNNNNNNNNNNNNNNNNNNNNNNNNNNNNNNNNNNNNNNNNNNNNNNNNNNNNNNNNNNNNNNNNNNNNNNNNNNNNNNNNNNNNNNNNNNNNNNNNNNNNNNNNNNNNNNNNNNNNNNNNNNNNNNNNNNNNNNNNNNNNNNNNNNNNNNNNNNNNNNNNNNNNNNNNNNNNNNNNNNNNNNNNNNNNNNNNNNNNNNNNNNNNNNNNNNNNNNNNNNNNNNNNNNNNNNNNNNNNNNNNNNNNNNNNNNNNNNNNNNNNNNNNNNNNNNNNNNNNNNNNNNNNNNNNNNNNNNNNNNNNNNNNNNNNNNNNNNNNNNNNNNNNNNNNNNNNNNNNNNNNNNNNNNNNNNNNNNNNNNNNNNNNNNNNNNNNNNNNNNNNNNNNNNNNNNNNNNNNNNNNNNNNNNNNNNNNNNNNNNNNNNNNNNNNNNNNNNNNNNNNNNNNNNNNNNNNNNNNNNNNNNNNNNNNNNNNNNNNNNNNNNNNNNNNNNNNNNNNNNNNNNNNNNNNNNNNNNNNNNNNNNNNNNNNNNNNNNNNNNNNNNNNNNNNNNNNNNNNNNNNNNNNNNNNNNNNNNNNNNNNNNNNNNNNNNNNNNNNNNNNNNNNNNNNNNNNNNNNNNNNNNNNNNNNNNNNNNNNNNNNNNNNNNNNNNNNNNNNNNNNNNNNNNNNNNNNNNNNNNNNNNNNNNNNNNNNNNNNNNNNNNNNNNNNNNNNNNNNNNNNNNNNNNNNNNNNNNNNNNNNNNNNNNNNNNNNNNNNNNNNNNNNNNNNNNNNNNNNNNNNNNNNNNNNNNNNNNNNNNNNNNNNNNNNNNNNNNNNNNNNNNNNNNNNNNNNNNNNNNNNNNNNNNNNNNNNNNNNNNNNNNNNNNNNNNNNNNNNNNNNNNNNNNNNNNNNNNNNNNNNNNNNNNNNNNNNNNNNNNNNNNNNNNNNNNNNNNNNNNNNNNNNNNNNNNNNNNNNNNNNNNNNNNNNNNNNNNNNNNNNNNNNNNNNNNNNNNNNNNNNNNNNNNNNNNNNNNNNNNNNNNNNNNNNNNNNNNNNNNNNNNNNNNNNNNNNNNNNNNNNNNNNNNNNNNNNNNNNNNNNNNNNNNNNNNNNNNNNNNNNNNNNNNNNNNNNNNNNNNNNNNNNNNNNNNNNNNNNNNNNNNNNNNNNNNNNNNNNNNNNNNNNNNNNNNNNNNNNNNNNNNNNNGGGAUUAUGGGGGUAUGCUAAUGCGGCAACCUGACUGUGAGUCGGGAAAAGCUAAUGAGGCAACUUUGCUUGUGCUGCUUCUUUUUUUUUUUUCUUUUGCUUUCUUUUUUGCUUUUUUUUAAUAAUAUUAAAUAAUAUAAAUUUUAAUUUAAUUUAAUAGAAUAUUAUAUAAUAUUAAUUUUUAUUUUCUCUUAUUUUGACAUCAUAAUUAUUAAUAUAAAUUAAUUAUUUUUAUUCAUAUUUUAAUUUUUAUUACUAAAUAAUAAUUAUAUAAUAAUUAAUAUAUAAAAUUGAUUAAUAAAUACUUAAAUAAUAUAAAAAUAAGAAUAUAACUUGAUAUUACAUUAUUUAAUUAUAUUAUAGUAAUUAAUAUAUAUGAAAAUUUAAUAUAACUAAUAAAAAUAUUUAUAUAUGAAUAAAUUUAAAUAAUAUUAAUUUAAAAUUAAUAUUAAUAAAAAUAAUAAUAUAAAAUAUCAUUAUGUUAUGAUAUUAUUUAGGUAUUAAUAAAUAUUAUUUUCUAAAUAUAUAAUUUAAGUUAAUCACAAAAAAUUAAUACAGUACAGUGUAGCACCAAACAUUGUAUUAUGCUGUAUGCCUGUAUUGUAUUAGCACUGAUUGGGUGUAAAGCGUUUGUAAGUGGCUUUUUAAGUCUGCCGUCAAAUCCCCUGCAAAAGCUUUUUUCUUAAUAUCACGCGUGUUGGUACUACAUAAAACCGUAAACUCUAACAAUUUCUUUGUUCUUUCUUAAUAUCACGCGUGUUGGUACUACAUAAAACCGUAAACUCCAACAAUUUCUUAGUUCUCAACACCCCUUAAUUUACAAGAAUUAAUCACUUCAAGGGUGGAUUAGGUAUAUCUUUAGUUCAUAUAUAACUAGCAAUAUCUAAUAUCCCAUAUACAUGUUUUUCUCCCAGAAUGUAAACCAACUAUUCAUAUCUUAGACUCCAAGUAUUCGUAUCUUAAAGUCAAUCGAUAAUAUUAAUUUAAAUUUAAUAAUAAUAUAAAAUAUUAAUAUAAUAUAAUAUUUAAUUUAAAUUAAUUACAAACAAAUAAUAUAGUACAAUGUAGCACCAAACAUUGUAUAGCAUUAUUAUAAUACAAUGCUAAUGCAAUACAAUAUAAUAUAAUCCACCAACAUUAAAAUAAUAUAAUAUAGCAUAAUACAAUACAGUGUGUCAAAUGCACCCUUAGGGUGUGUUUGGUAUGUGGUAUUGCAUAGCAUUAAAUGUGGGCCCAACAUUAAUUUAAACCAAUAACAUGUUUGGGAGCAAUUGAGGCUUAUUGGGAUUGGGUAUUGAGGGGUGCGCUAAUGCGGGAACCACCGCAUUAGCUUGUCUUUUUUUUUUUACUUUUACUUAAUAAUAAUAUAAAUGAAUAAAUAUAUAAUUUUUAAUUUUUAAUAUAAUAUUAUUUUUAUUUUUAUAUCAUAAUUUAUUAAUAAAUUUAUAAUUUAAUAUGAUUAAUAAUAAAUAUUUAAAUAGUAUAUAAAAUAUAAUAUAAUAUUACACUGUGUAAUUAUUGUAAUAUAAUUAAUAUAUAUAAAUUAUUUAUUUUUAAAUAAUUUAAUAUAAAAAAUAAAAAAAUAUUUAAAUACAAAUGAAUUUCAAUAAUAUUGAUAUACGAUUAAUAAUAACAUAAAUAAUAAUAUAAAAUAUUAGCACAAUUCAUUUUGCUAUUAAAUAUGUUAUAACAAUUUUGUCAUUUUAUAAUUUUGUGGUGUAUAUGAACAUAUGUCUUAAGAUUAUUUUUGAACAAAUCUUGUAGGUUUUAACUAUUUAUUUUUCUUGUUAUAUUAUUUCAAGAUUAUUUGAUUAAAUUAUUUGCUUCGAUAUUUAACAAGUUAUAUAUUUAGAAAAUAUAGAAAAUAAAUGUUAUGCUUCCAAAAAUUAAAGGAUAUAACGUUCGAUCUUUAUGAAGAAUUAUGAUAUUUUUGAACAUUUAUACUAAAAAAUUAUUAAAUUUUUAGAAAAUUAAAAGAUAUAACAUUCGAUCUUUAUGAAGAAUUAUGAUAUUUUUUAACAUUUAUACUAAAAAAAUAAUUAAAUUUCUAAAAUUUAAGACCUCUAUAUUUAGUUUUUUUUAAGUACUAUUAAUAUUAUUUUAUAAAUAUAUAAUAUAAAUUAAUUACAAAAAAUUAAUACAGUACAGUAUAACACCAAACAUAAUAUAAUUAAAAAUUAAUACAGUACAGUGUAAUACCAAAUAUUGUACAAUAUUAUUAUAAUACAGUACUAAUGUAAUACAACAUAAUACAAUACACUGCAUAAAAAUAAUGUAAUUUAGUGUACCAAACACACCCUUACAGAACUUUUGCAUAUCUACACAGCGAUUUUAAAUAUUACUGAUAACUCCUGAGAAAUGUGUGAGAAAGGAGUUGAUAAGAGUAAUAACAGCGACUUGCAAAAGGAAAAGACAGAAUCAUUCACCCCUUUUUAUAUCAUGUAUUUGGUUACUGUUGCCCUGUUGACGCAUGUAUAAAAUAACCGUAUGUAUUUUUUUUGGCUGUUGCUUAACAAAAUGUGUGUUUGUGUGUGUAUAUAUAUAUAUUUGCUGUUUGAAAAAAUUGGAUUCAAAUAAAUUAAAAUGAACUAGAGAGGAAGAGAAAGAAUGAAAAGACAACAAACAAUUGAUAUUGAUCUCGAACCAACUUCUUUCUUUCUUUCUUUCUUUUUUGUGUUUUUUUUUUCGCCCGUACCCCCUCUCAGAUUAGAGUAUUGGCUAUUAAAUGAAAGGUUUUAAGGGUAUGAGUGAAAAACAACAUUCUUUUUUAGAAACUAUUUUAGAGGAGGGAUGCAAAUUAAAUGACAAGAUUAAGACAAACAGGAGAUAUUUUUUCGUGGGCAUUAAGAAAUAACUGCUGUCAAGAUCAAGGAGAUUAUGCUAUUAAUAGAAAUUAUCAAAGGAUUUAGAACAAGUUCACCUCUUUAAUUAUCCGGGAUCAGAUAGUUGAUGAGCUUCUCUUCUUGGCGUUGAAUAUUUAAGAAUAAUUUUAAUGAGCAAAAAGAUCACUGGUAACUGCUGAAAAAUAAGUGAGAAAAGAGUUGAUGAGAAUAAUAACAAUGAAUUGAAUAAAAAAAGGACUUAAUCAUGCACCCCCUUUGCAUAUCAUGUAUUUGGUUACUGUUGCCUUGUUGACGCAUGUAUAGAAUAAUUAGUGACUUCUUUCAUGAAGAAUUAAACUUGGAAUGACCAAAAGACGAAGCUGCGGUGUAUUGUUGGACCAAAUUAAGUUGAAGAAAGCACUAGUUCACAACCUUACGUUUGGAUAUAUUCUAAAGAAAUAAUUAAACAGCAAAUCAUCACAUGCACUUUAAUGAUUUGAUCUAUUGUUUUCAAAAGAAAUUGCAAUUAACAGUUUUUGUCAAAAGUUCGCACUGCGUGAAACUAGUGCUAAUAUAAUUUAAAAAAUUAAUUUCAGUAUUAGUUUUUAAAAUGUUAAUUAUUAUAUUUAUUUUAAUAAUAUAUUUAUAUUUAUUAUAAAAAAUUCUGUUAAACAUUUGUGUUAAAUAGAAUUUAUAAUUAAUAUAAUAUAUCUUAGGUAUUAAUAAUAUUAUAAUUAUUCUAUAUGCUAUUGAAAAUAAUUUAAAUUUUUAGACGUUUAUUUUCACAUUAAGUUUCUAUUUAUUAUAAAAUUUAGUUUAAUAUAGUAUAAGCUUGUAAAGUAUUAAAAUAUUUUUUCAUAUUUUUUGAACAUAUUAAAAUUAUUUUAAAAUAUAUUUAUAUAUUAACAUUGAAGUCAAUUUUUUAAGUUAAUAGAACCAGUAGGUGUUAUAGUAAAAAAGCGUUUCUUAGCAUCACUUAUUGAAAAUAUAAAGAUCUAUAUAAUCAUUUUUUCAAAUAUUGAGAUGUAGUUAUAAAAGAAAAAAUAAAUUAAAAAAUUUUAAAUUUUAAUAUGGCCAUCGUAGAGUUAGAAUCCCCGCUCCAACCCGAUUUGGAGAUGAGCUUGGUCUAUUUAUGUUUUGGAAAAAGAAAAACCAAAGGAAAAAAAAGGCACCCGACCAAAUCAAGUAACUCAUCAAAUAAAAAAUAAAAAAAGGAAAGAAAUUUAAUGACUUGCAUGCAAUUUUGGAUCUGAAAUUAAAAUUACAUAAAAAUUAAGGAUUACGUACCUUAAUAUUUACAGCUUAUUUGAUGGACUCAACAGGUUUAAGCAACAUCAAAAUGUUUGUGGCUCCUUAAAUGAGCCCCCGACAUGGUGCAAAUGACAACAUCGACUUGUUUGACAGCUCCAACAAGGCUACGAUGAUCAGAAGAUGAGCCCUCAAUCAACAAGCUAAGAUUGGCUUCUCUAUCCUCUUCGCCCCACAACCAGCGCCUUGCUCUUUGUCAUUUUUCCUCUUGUUAGUUUUCUUCUACAUAUAAUUAUUACACUGGGAAGUAUACACACACCUCUUUUCUUUUUAUAGUACCUUACUAUUAUAUCUUUACAAAACAAUAUCACCCUAAGACAGCUAUGUAUGAAAUAAAUGAAAUAAAUAUAUAAGGAACUGACGAAAUAAAAUUAGAUCUAACUCUAAUUUCACGUUGCGUGAAUUUUUGACAAUUCACCCGUAUCCCAACAAAAGCUUUGUCAUAUUGCGAAAAUACCUUUUCAAUGUUUCAAUUGCAAUGUCAUUGCCAUUAUUCAUAGUGGCAGACAAUGGACGUCACGGGACGGUAGAAGUCUAUGUUACGGCUUGUGCAAGUAACAGCAGCCAAUGGGGAACUUCCACGGGUGCUAGAGGAGAGAGAAAGAGGUCCCAAUGCAAGGUGAUGGAAAUGGGAAAGUUCGAAGCUGUUACUUUCAGCUUCUGCACCUUAGCCAUGUCCCACGGGACAAGGCUAGAAGUUAUCAUGACCAUAAACUUUUCUAAUUUAUUUUUUCCUUUCAAAAAGGGACAAGGAUACGUUUCGGAGAAUGAUUAUAUUUUUAAUAAAAGAAUUCUUUUUUAUUAUAAUACUUUUUUCUUUAUUAAUUUAAAAAUAUUGACUCUUAUAUUUUAAUAAAUAUAAAUAUAAUAUUAUAAUAAAAUAUAACAAUAUAUACAAAUAUUUAAAAAAAUUUAAGAUUUUAUUAAAAGAAAUUUUAUAAUAAAUACAAAUAUAUUAUUAAUAUAAUUAUAAUAAUUUGCAUUUUAAAAAGUAAUACUGAUAUUAAUUUUUUAAAUUAUAUUACUCUACCAAAAAAAUUAAACUAUUAAAUUAUAUUGAUAUUUAUUAAAAAAAUUGAAGUUAAUUCUUAUUAUAUUUUUAAUUGGAAUUUUUUCAUGUGACAUAAUUACAAUUGCUACAUUUUUUUCCCUAAAUAAAGAUGGGAGUUAUAAAUUAUUUGUAUAAGUGUCUGUGUGUAAACUAAUGUGACAUGAAAGUAAUAGCUGAAUAACAAUAAUGGAGCUUUAGGUAAUUUUUUAUGAGGUCUUCUUGCAAUUUCAACACUUAAACAGACUUGUCCUUGAUCCCAAUUUAUUUACCCCAUUUGGGCCCCUUAUGACAAACAUAUUCUUGUGGAAUGAAAAACAUCAGGAGAAGAAAAUGUUUUAUUAUAAUAGAAAAAGUUGUCCAUAAGUCUAUUCAUUUUUUUUUUAUUCAAUACAAAUGCGGGCCGCGUUCUGUGGGUCUNNNNNNNNNNNNNNNNNNNNNNNNNNNNNNNNNNNNNNNNNNNNNNNNNNNNNNNNNNNNNNNNNNNNNNNNNNNNNNNNNNNNNNNNNNNNNNNNNNNNNNNNNNNNNNNNNNNNNNNNNNNNNNNNNNNNNNNNNNNNNNNNNNNNNNNNNNNNNNNNNNNNNNNNNNNNNNNNNNNNNNNNNNNNNNNNNNNNNNNNNNNNNNNNNNNNNNNNNNNNNNNNNNNNUAAGUAGAGUGAGACUCUGGCAUCCUCUAAAUAUCUCUCAACACUCUUUCUUAUUAACCCCAUUAAAAUAUUUAAAAAUAUUAUAAAAUUCUUUUAACACCUUUUUUAUGGCAAAAAUACCCUUAGUUUAAAUUUAUUAAUAUAAACCCCAUUUUAAUUUUUGACCCCUGAUUGUGAUUUUUUUUUAAAGCACCUGAAUUUUGAAACAAUUAAUUAUCUAUUGAAAAAGAAAGAAAGAAAAGGAAAACAAAAGGAAAAGGGCACUUGCUCCAAGAAAGUUCUACUUUAAUGUGGCAAAUCAUUGAAACACCACAUGGCCAAAACUUUACUCUAUGCAUGACAACUCAUUGUAAUUGAUAAUGACCCUCGCAAACACUUGGCUACCAUGCGUGUAAUUCUAAGGCCAAGUGCUAAUUUGGUUUACUGAUGAAGAUGCUGAGCACAAGCUUCUGAAAAUGCAGAAUUACGAAUUUUUCGAAAGACUGCGAACCUUUAUGGAGAAAGACAACUAGGCCACUGGAAAACAUGUCGGUGGGAAAAUAAUUCUGAUGAUCGUUCAGCUCGUCCUUUGCUUCAUAAUUACUUUCUUCUUUCUUAAUUUCUCUCAUGGGUCUCGGUUUCUUCCUGAAGCUUGUUGAUGAUGAGUUGCAUAUGCCGAUAAUUCCUCACCAGAAAAUAAGAUGAAAAGGUAACUUUCUUAAUUUUUAAAAUGCUGAAUUUCAAUUUAAGGUACUAUUCAUUUUGUCUCUUUCAAGUUAUUUUUCAUUUUUCUGCUGAUAUUUUAAUAUUUACAGUCAAUUGUAGCAUUACUUAAAUUUAUAGUAUGUAGAUCAUAAUUCAUAAAUUAGUUUGCAGUUGGAGUAAACUCGAAAAUGUUAAAAAAAUAAUAAUAACAACAAAAAGAGUAGAGACAAGUUGUCAUCUUGAGUAACAAUAAAAUAAAGAAUUGCAGCUUUUACAAAGUCUUUCUUUAAAAAUAUGAAAUGAAUAAAAUGACUAUUAAAAUGGUUCAAAAUUUUCUGAUAGUGUCAUUGACUAGCUAGAUCAAUUGUUUCUUGUGUGGUAACUUCAAACACCAAAUCCUUGAAAGCAAGUAUAUUAGUUUUGUAUGGUGUUGCCCAGCCUUCUGCACAUGGUUCAUGAUAUUUGAUCCAACUAUUCGCAAUAGGAGGAAUAGGUGAAGCUGGAAGCAUGAACACCUGUAAAAAAAAAAAAAAAGCCAUAGAAAAAUUAGUCCAAUAAUUAAGAUAUUGCAGCAUAAUUUGAAUUUCUAAACUUUUACAUACCUCUAUGAAAUGAUUUCUAUUAACAAAUCCAAUAGCAAUGAUUUUAUGCGAGGAGCGUGAUAAUGGAAUAGAUCUAAGUGGAAGGAAUGUGACAAUCAGCACAUCUGAUAUAUGUAGUAAUACCACAUUAUAUUUAGAAGCAAUAAUAUGACCAAUUUCAGGCAUGGUCAUCCAAUACUCUCUUCCUGGGUUAUUCUCAAAGUAUAAAAGUGAAUGAAGCACCUCCUCUGCUCUACCAGCAUAUUCAAAGACUCUUUUAUAAUCAUUAAAGUGACUUUGCAACUCAACAACUAAGACUUUCCUGACUUGUGCCCAGUUAUCUUCACCAAUACCUAUUAGGUCAGCCACUGCCUGAAAACCACAAUUACCAUCUGCAACAACAUCUCUAACACCACAAAUAUAAGGCCUCAAACCAAAUGGAAAUGAAUCAAUAUAAGAAGCAUGCUUUGGUGCUUUUGUUUGAGAAACACUCAUUUUUCGUUGCCCUUUUGGUUUUUUUGUAGUUGUACUUGAAGACAUAAUGUCUGGAGAAUGAUUAUCCUGUGCGGAUACUACAUACUCAAAUCUUGAUGGAUCUCGGCGGGUAGAUUUAUCAAGCUUUUGGGAGGGUCGUCCUCGAGUCUUAGCUUUAACAGGUAGCUCAAUUAAAAAAGUUAAGAAUGGAUCAGCUAAUUCUUUCAGUUUUCUUUUUAUUUGCAUUUUUCCGAAACCAUCUGAAUCUUCAAAACGCUUGAUAAUCAUUUCCAUUUCAGGGGUACAACUCAACUCUGCUGAUUUUUCAUAGCUGGUGCAGACAAGGUCUAAUUUCCUCCAAUGCAAAUGUACAGAAUCUAAAGGUAUCGGUCGACCUUCACGCUUAUACUCUGCAAUUUCAUGUGCACACGGUAGCCCAUAAGUGUGUCGAACUACACAACCACAUGCUGAAAUAUCUAUACCAAUUAAAUCAGCUCUUUUUGACUCACUUAGUAUCAUAUCUAAUGCAUUUCUAGCAACUAACCCCCUUAAUUCUUUAAAAACUGAAGGUGUGAAACUAUGUUGCACAGUAGUCAAACUCUUCUCAAAUGAUGCCUUAAUUUUUGUAUGUUGCAACUCUACCAAAGAAUGAAGUUUUGUCCAUAAUGUUACAAAGUUUCCUUGGGAUGAACAUAGUUGCCUUUUUAAUUUUGAAUGUGCAGUCUCAGCCCUAAAAAUAAACCAACAAAAAAAUAAUAAAAAGAUAUAUAAAAAAAUGGUGUUGAGUUUAUUUAUAAAAUCAUUGAAAACUAAAUAUUGGUUACCUGUUGGUUGUCAUAUUUCCGAAAUGCAUAAUAAAGUCUGUCCAUGCUGCAAUAAAUUUUUCUUUAUACUUAUCAAGCCAUGUCUACUUCACAUAGACAAGUGCUUUCGGAUAUCUAGCAUAAUCACUCUAAAAAAUACUCAAGUGUUGUAUGUACUCUUGUUCAGUGGCUGAGAACACCAGUACAUUCCAGUUGCUGUUAAAGGCUUCCCAUCUUUCAUUAGUAUGAAAUAGCCUCUUAUAAUUAGCUAACACAUUUUUUGAAAUAUGCCAUCUACAAAGUAAAUUAGUUGCACUUGGAAAUAUCUUUUCAAUGGCAUUCAUCAGAGCUAAUUCCCUGUCUGUCACAAUCACAGCUGGUAACAUAUCAUCUUGCAUAAUGGUUUUCAAUCUUUCUAAUGCCCAAAUAUAGUUAUCUUCUCGUUCGGACUCAAGAUAUGCAAAACCAACAUUAAAUGUCUUUGCAGUCGAUGUGUCACCAACUAUUUCUAACAACGGAAACUUAUACUUAUUGACUUUAUAAGUGCAGUCCAUUAUCAGAACACUUGGAAAAGCUUUUAACAAAUCAAAAGUAAGAGGAUGUGCCUAAAAUAUGUCUUUCACACAAUUUGUAUCAUCAUCACUCCGAUGCCACUCAAUGUAAUUAUGAUCAUGCAAUUUACUCAUAAGCUGUUGCAUUUGUGACCGUCCGCCCAAUUCGCGAACCUUAUAUUUAUACCGAGCAUUAUAAACCGUCUUCAUUGUUGUAACAUUAAAUGUAUCCCUAGUCUUUAAAGUAUGUAAUAUCUCUUUUGGCCGAACAUUAUUUUUAGACAAAUCAACCAAUAUACUAACAUCUUCAUUAGUAAGUCUACCUGCAAAUGAGUGGCCCUCAAGAUAUUGUGCAAAAUGAUGGUUAUGCAAUCCACAGAUUACUUUUAACACCCAAUCUUGAUUAUUCACCAACAUUUGACCCUUUAAUAAAAAUGGACAGCCACACUUUUUUGUUCCAAUUGCAUUCGGUCUUUUCUUCUUUUCCAAGUCGCUAUUCUGCUUAGACAUGUUGGUACUUCUUUUCGGAUAUGCACCACUUCUUUCACAAGCAAAAAUUAUCCUUGGUCUCCUUCCAAUCACAUUCACGUCAGAUCUUUUAAUAAUAAUCACAAGUCCAUUUUUUUCCCAACAUCAUGCAUCCAUCGAAUCAACUUGUCUCUACUGGUGAAAACCUAUGAGAAAGACAAUAAUAUAUUAGUUAAUGAUACAAAGAAAAGAGAAUAUAUGUAUGAAAAUUUAUUUAGCAUUUUACCUCUUCAGUAGUGAAUGCAGCAGUGUAAUCCAUAACAUCUACUUUAUUAUCAAGAAUGACAACUAUGGUAGAACUUUCCUCCUUUACAAUCAUUGUAAGAUAUUACAUAAGUUAAUACAAGACACAAAACUAGAAUAAUAGCAAUUUAUUCAGCAAUAAUCAACCAAACAAUUGACAUUUGUUAAGGGAUAUUUGUUGAACAUUGUUCAACGCUCUCCCAGUCAUUAUAAUUCUAAAACAAUAAAUUAAUAGCAAACUUACUUUUUUAUUAUCAUCCCCAUCUAUUUGCAUGAUUAUUUUGCCCUAAAUUUGAAACUCUUAGAUUAGGGUUUAAGAAAGAAAAGAGAGUUUAUAUCGUAUGCCACACAAAGAAUUUAAAACUCUUAAACAAAAAUAUGCCAUAUAAGAAAUUUUUAAGGGGAAAAAAAUAUUUGAUUUUGAGUGGGGGUUUAAUUAGAAAUUGUCUUAUUAUGUAAUUUUAAUAAAGGUUAAAAUUGUAAAAUAACUAAAGGGGUGUUAAGAGGUAUUUAGAGGGGUGCCAAUAGUCCCACUCAAAUAAGUAAUGGUAACAAAAGACUAAUUUGUAAUAUUGAAGUGUACGGGCUUAACUAAAUCCAAAAAUUAGUAAGUUAGCUCAAGAGUUGAGAGUUGUCCAAAUCUUAAAUGUUGAACCCAAGUUCAAUACUCAAUUGAUGCGGGAUGUUAUUCCUAACACCUCCCGUCAUGUGUAGGAUUGGUAAAAAAACUCGGGUCAGUCCCGCCUAGACCUACGGGCUUUAUGCAUGGCCCGCAUGAUGAAGUUACGAAAUUAACCUAAAAAUUUGAAACUUACGAUGAAUGGCCUUGCUUAAAGAUUUUUGCAACUUUAAUUUAUAACGAGUAUGUAUAUAUACACACACAAAAGUUUAGAUUGCAUUUGGAUGACUUUUUUAAUCAAUUCAAACAAUCUGAAAUUUAUCAGAUUAAUCCGAAUUUGAUCUGUAUCUGAUUUUGCCCGCCCCUACUAUUUAUAAGCCCAAGUGACUCUCUUUUACUAAUUAAUAAGGGAAUUUUUUACCUUAUAUCCUUGCUGUGGCGUUAGACUACUGGUCAUUUUGAUUGUUUCCUACCUUCCAUUUACGCCAGUUGUAACAUUGUAUUAUUCACCACUUUAGCCAUUUAAAUGAAAUUUUAUUUUCAUAAAAAAUAAAAUGACACCCUUAAAAUUUAAAAAAUAGAUAUGUAGAUCUCAAAUUUUUAAUAAAGAAUGUCAAUACCCCUUUUAACUACAAGAUUCUUAGUAGAUGAUAACCAAAAACAUUAACUUCAAAUUUUUCACUAAAUGUAAAUCUGAUUGAAAUAGUUUAAUUUUUUUCUAGUAGACUAAUAUGUAUAACUUAUAUAAUUAAUUUCAUUAUUAAUUUUUAAAAUGUUAAUUAAUAUAUUUUUAAUUAUUAUAAAAAUUUUAAAUAAAUCUUGGAUUAGAUAGAUUUUACACUUAAUGUAAUACUUCUGAUUUAUUAAUAAUAUUAAAAUUAUUUUAUAUGAUAUUCAAAAUAAUUUAAACUUUUAUAUAUUUAUUUUAAUAUUAUGUCUAUUUAUUAUAGUUUGGUUUAAUAUAAUACGGGAUUGUAAAAUAUUAAAAUAUUUUUCAAUAUCAAAUUAUUUUAAUAUGUAUAUAUUAUUACAUUUAUUUUAAUAUCACAUUUAUAUUUAUUAUAAAAUAUAAAAUUAAUAAAAUUAAAGAGUAUUGCAGUAAAGUAAAAAAAAAAGUCUUAUUAUCCCAUAUUCACGGUAUGAGUUUCUACAAAAUUAUUUCCUCAAAUGGGUGACCUUUCCUCAUUUUCAAAAGAAAAAAUAAAGUAAGAAUAAGUCCAGGGUUUCAAAAACUUCUAGUCUUAUCCCAAGACCUCCAUUGUCUACCACUAUGACUAAUGGAAAUGACAUUGCAAUUGACAUUGCUUUUCGCAACAUGACAAAUUUUUGGUGGGAUAUGAGAGAAUUGUCAAAAGUUCAUGCCGCGUGAGAGUUUUUGGUGGGAUGUGGGAGAAUUGUCAAAAGAUCACACCACGUGAUAUAACCAUAAUUGCUACAAUUUUUUUUAAUAAUGAUGGGAGUUAUAAAUUAUUUAUAUAAAUUUGUGUAGAAACUAAUGUAACAUAAAAGAAGUAGCUGAAUAACAAUAUUUGGUGCUUUAGGUAAUUUUUAUAUGAGCCUUUCUUUUAUUUAGCGACUUUAGUGCUUAAACAAAUUUGUCCUCGAUCUUAAUUUACUUACCCCAUUUAAGCCUAUGAUGACAUAAACAUAUUCUUUUGUGACGAAAACAUCAAGAGAAGACAUCUCAUGUUUUAUUAUAACACAAAAGAAGUGGUCCAAACGUCUAUUCAUUCUUUUAUUUACUCAAUAUGAAUGGCCAACUUUAAAAAAUGAUAAAAAUCACACCACGCUCAACUGAAAAUUUAUAAUUACAUUUUUUAAUACUCUCUAUACUCUCUAGCCUCUCUCUCCUGCCCCCUUUUUUUUUUAAAAAAUAAACCUUAGUGUAAAAUUAGAAGAAUUUUAGAUAUAACAUUUGACAAUCGCUAAAUAGAAAAGUAGGGGAUUGAAAAUAGAGGAGCUCUGUUAUCAUUGGAAUAUUGAUUAUAGAUCAUAUAAUAACUUGUUGUGGUUCAUUGUAGCACUCUGAGUCAUAUUCUAAAAUUUAUAGGUUUCUUAAGGUUUUUAUUAUUGACAUUAUUGUGUCAAUACUAUUAUAAUUUAUUCAUUUUAUUGUAAUGAUAAUUUGUCUAGUCUUAGGUACUUAUUAUAUUAAAUUAUGUAAAUUAAUUGAGAAUACAUUUAGAGACAAAAGAAACACGUGUAUGUAGGAUUAAUAAUCGCAGAGUUGUAAAUGAAGGUGAUUGCUUCAUUGAGAGGCAUAUUAAAUAAUUAUGGAGAGUUGCACUAUUUCGGAAGCAUAUAUUUAUACUUCCCUAUCAGGAUUUGGGGUAAGCGAAGUGCUUUAUGUGUUGUAGUAAGCAAUGUGGGCAAUAUCGGAGGCGAAAUAUUAAAAGAUCAUAACGCAUAUAUUUGAGCCAUUUAUAUUGAAGACACGUAUUGAAGACACGUAUAGAGGAAAGAGUGCAUAUCCGGCGGUAACUAUUAUCAGGCUUUCCUAAAAUAUUCUCAUGCUUCCUCAACUGUUCUGAACUAUUCUUCAUAGUGGGCAGAUUUACUUAAAUACCCUUCUACCUAACAAAACUUGGUACUUCUAAUUGCACUCGCAGAGAAUCUAUAAAAUUAAAAAAAAAUUCAUCCAUGAAAAGCCUCGUAACAGAAAAACCAUCUUUCAAAAAAUAAUAAUAAAAUAAAAACAGAAAAACCGACUCAUUUAUCUGCCAAUGAACCAAUCGGGACUCAUUUAAAAAAGAUUACAAAGCAAAAGUAAAUGACACAAAUUGCAUAGAUAUCUAGGAGCCGCAUCAAAGGGCAAUGGUGUUAAUUUGUCCGAGUAAUAAUUAAUUUCAAUAUUAAUUUUUAAAAUGGAAAUUAAUUUAUUUAUAUUUAUAAAAUAUUUGUAAUUAUUUUAAAAUUUUAACUAAAUCCUUAGGUUAAAUAGAUUUUACAAUUAAUAUAAUAUUUCUCAUGUAUUAAUAAUAUUAAAAUUAUUUUAUAUGAUAUUGAAAAUAACCUAAAUUUUUAUAUAUUUAUUUGAAUAUUAUGUCUCUAUUUAUUAUAAUUGGGUUUAAUAGAAUACGAGAUUGUAAAAUAUUAAAAUUUUUAGAUAUUGAAAUUAUUUUAAUAUGUAUAUAUUAUUAUAUUUAUUUUAAUAUCCUAUUUAUAUUUAUCAUAAAUUAUUAGAGUUAAUUUUUUUAGUUAAUAAAUUUAAAAACUAUUCUAAUUUUAAAAAAAAGUCUUAUUGUCUAUUAUUCAUGAUAUGAGGUUCUACAAAAUUAUUUCUCCAGACGGAUGUCCUUUUCUUAUUUUCAAAAGGAAAAACAAGUUCAGGGUCUCAGGGGUUUCAAAAAUUCUGGUCCUAUCUACCACUAUGACUAAUGGGAAACAACAUUGUAAUUGACAUUGCUUUUCACAAUAUGACAAAUUAUUGGAGGGAUAUGGGAGAAUUGUCAAACAUUCACACCACGCGAGAGCUUUAGUGUGGGAUAGGGGAGGAUUGUCAAGAGUUCACACCACGAGAAACUAAUGAUAGGCCCAAUUUCAUUGUCAAUUCUUUAUUUAUUUCAUGCAUUAUUGUUUUUCUAAAGGUAUAAAAGCAAAGUAAAAUACUAGGGGCGCUUUUAAGUUACAAUUGAUGUAACUUACAAUUUUUUCAAAAAUAAUGUAAAAAAAUUAAUAGGUGGUGGGACCCACAUAUUUUUUAAGAGACUUAAGUUACGGCAGUUGUAACUUAACAAAAUUUAAAUAUUAGAUAAUAAUACAUAUUAAUAAUAUAUAAUUUGGGUUUGAUUUUUAAAAGAUUAUUUGAGUACCACCUAUCCUUAUGAUAUUAAUGUGACUAUAUCUUAAUAUUAAAUAAUCAAAAUUUGUUUAAUUGUUAUUUGUAUUUCAUACAUUACAUAUUAGAUUUGUUUGAAUUUUAAGUUGUUGCUAAUAAAUAUUUAUGUUGUCAAAGUCAAAUUCAAUAGCUACAAAAGCAGAGAUAAUGGUAUUGUAUAUAGUUUUUAAGAAUGCAAGGAUAAGCUGGAUAAUUGACAUAAAUUCUAAUGAUUAAAACAGCAACUAUCCCUUAAGUUAUAAUGUCAAUUUCUUUAAUUAGAUUUUUUUUUUUAUGUGAUAUAACCACAAUUGCUACAAAUUUUUUUUUUUAUAAUAAUAAUGGGAGUUAUAAAUUAUUUAUAUAAAAUUUGGGUUGAAACUAAUGUAACCUAAAAGUGGUUGCUGAAUAACAAUAUUUGAAACUUUAGGUAAUUUUCAUGAGUCCUUUUUAUAUUCAGCAACUUGAAUUGGGGGAAAUCCGACUUGAAUUGGCGGUUGAUUUUCGUGAUGUGGCUUUUGGUUUAUGGCGACCUUACAGUGGCAGAAGACUGGAUUUACGGUUGCCGACUGCUAGGGAUUAUGGUGGGGGUGUAAAUUGACGGAAAAAGAAGGUGUUUUGGUGGCGGCGCGUGUAGGAAGCACUCGUGGGUUGUCGUUUCGUGUGGUGGCGGGCGGCGAUCAAGGGCUGAAGUUGGUCGGUUUUUGGUCAACGGAGGCCGGCGAGUUUGUUGGUGGAGGUGGCUGGUGGAGAAAGUGACUGAAUGGUGGUGGGUUGCUUGGUGGAGCCGCGGGUUUGGGUUGGUGAUUUGUGGCUGUUCAAGCGGCGGUUGAGGCAGCGAUGACUGAGGCUUGGUCGACGGUGGCUAGUGAGGUUUGUGGUGGUGUUGGCUGACUGAUCGGCGGUGGUGGGCGGCCGUGGAGGUUGAUGUGACGGGUAGGGUUUUCAAAUUUGUAAAUUUUUUUUUUUGAUGGAUUUGGUUUGGAUGGGUAUCGUGUAUCUAGGAAAGAUGUGCGAUUCGCACAGAAUCCCUUUGACACCAAUUGAUGGAGCGAGGCGUAGCGGAAGCGGAAUUGAUAGGGUAAGAAACAUUAGAUAUUGUUCUAGUACUAGACCAAGCCAACGCAAUUAGCUUACGCUCUAAUCGAAGCGUGAUUAGAUAUCGUUCUAAUCCAAAUAACUCAAUACGAUUUUUAAUAAUGCGUAAUACGAGAUUAAAUGACACUCUAAUCCAAACGACUCUACAAGAGAGAUUUUGAUAAAUAAUCAUAGAGGGGUUUUAUUUAAUAAUUGAACCUGAAGUUAAUGAAAAUAAUGACAAGACAUCUUUAUUUUUUUUUAUUACAGACAUCUUUAUUUAUAAUAAAAGAAACCCGCUUUCCUAAGUUAACCUAAAAAGAAAAUUUAAAUCAUAAUUAUAAUGGAAAUAAAAGAUUAAGAUACAUAUCAUAAUUGACUCAAACUAAAAUAGAAAAUCAUAAAAUAAUAAAUAUUCUAAAAUUAUAAAUUAUCUAAAAUAACGUUAAUUAACUUCCUAAAUCACUUCUUUGGUGUAAACCAUUUUGCAUCCAAACUCGCUUUAAAGGUUUGAACUAACGUUACCAACAACAAUGUAUCAAAUUCCAAUCUAACUUAAGAUCUUGAUGCAUCUAUCGAUGUCCUUGUUUGAUUAGACAAUAAUGAGUCUAUCUCAUCACUUGUUACCUCUUUCUUGAAAGCUACAUCUGUUGAAGUGAUAGCCUCACUUAGAGUUUAAAGAUCUUCUUCCCUGUUAAAUAAAAUGGGCAUUUGAGUAAAAAGCUUUAUCUCUAUCUCCUUCUAUCAAAUAACGACAACUAUCCAAAGGGAAAAAAAAAAUUAGAAAAGUCCAUGGGUCACAAUAAUUUAUGGUCUGUCUCCGGACCCCAUUAUCUGCCACUAUCAAUGAUGAAAAUGAAAAUAAAUGGCAUCUUCCCUAAAUGGCAAAAGAUUUUUGGGGGAUAUAGGGGAAUUGUCAAAAGUUCAUACAACGCGAAAUAAGUGUUACAUCCAAUUUUAUUUCGUCAUAUAAUGAUAAUAUUAAAUAAUGACAACCAUCCAAAAGUAUGAUGGGUCUUCCAAAAUUUUGAAAAUGUCGUCAACAUUUAAUCUUCAAUGCUAAAGAAGAUGAAACGCCCAAAAAUGACACGCAGGACUCACUCAAAAACUAAAUGGCCCUCACCACAUGUAACAAACUUUGACCUUAUGUCCCUGCUGAGGCGUUAGACUGUUGGUCAUUUUGAUUGCUUUUUACCAUCCAUUUACGCCAUUGUAGAAUUGAACUAUUCACCAGUCUAGCUGUUUAAAUGAAAUUGUUAUUUUUUUUCCAAAAAUAAAAUGACACCCUUAAAAUUUUAGAAAAUAGUCAUGUAGACCCCAAAAUUUUAUUAAAGAACACUAAUAUCCUUUUUUACUAUAGUACUCUUAGUAGAUGGUAACAAAAAAAAAAUGAUUGCAAAAUAUUUUAGUAAAUGAAAAUAUGAUUUAAAUAGUUUAAAUUUUCUAGUAGACUAGUAUGUAUAAUUUAAAUAAUUAAUUUUUAAAAUGUAAUUUAAUAUAUUUAUUAUAAAAUUUUUAAACAAAUCCUUGGGUUAAAUAGAUUUUAUAAUUUAUAUAAUAUUUCUCAUGUUUUUAUGUUAUAGAAAUAUUAAAAUUAUUUGAUAUGAUAUUGAAAAUAAUUAAACAUUUUAUAUAUUUAUUUGAAUAUUAUGUCUCUAUUUAUUAUAAUUUGGUUUAAUAGAAUACGAGAUUGUAAAAUAUUAAAAUAUUUUUAGGUAUUGAAAUUAUUUUAAUAUAUAUAUACAUAUUAUUAUAUUUAUUUUAAUAUCCUACUUAUAUUUAUUAUAAAAUAUUAAAAUUAAUUUUUUUAGUUAAUAAAUUUAAAAAAUAUUAUAAUUAUAAAAAGAGUCUUAUUGUCUGCUAUUCACGAUAUGAGAUUCUACAAAAUUAUUUUGAAAAUGAAAAAUAAGUCCAGGGGUUUCAACAAAUUCUAGUCCUAUCUGCCACUAUGACUAAUGGAAACGACAUUGCAAUUGACAUUGGUUUUCAUAAUAUGACAAAUUUUUGGAGGGAUAUGGGAGAAUCGUCAAAUGUUCACACUACGCGGGAUUUUUGGAUGGGAUCAGGGAGGAUUGUCAACAGUUCACACCACGAGAAACCAAUGAUAGCCCUAAUUUCGCUGUUAGUUCUUUGUUUAUUUAUUUUAUUUAUUUCAUACAUUGUUGUCUUGUUGGCAUUGUUUUGUAAAGAUAUAAAAGUAAAGUAAACUAUUAGGGUGCUGCUAAGUUAAGCUGUUGUAACUUGCAGUCCCUUAAAAAAUAAUGUAAAAAAUCCACAUUUGUUUGAAGAGGCUGUAAGUUAUAGUAGUUGUGACUUAGCAAAAUCCAAAUAUUAGACAAUAACGCACAUUAACAAUGCAUAUAAUUUGGGUUUGAUUUUUAAAAAAAUUAUUUGAGUAUUAGCUAUCCUUAAGAUAUUAAUGUGAAUAUAAUUUAAUAUUUAAUAAUCAAAAUCUGUUUAAUCAUAAUAUAUAUUUCAUACAUUGCAUGUUUAAUCAAAAUCUGAUUGCUUUUUACCUUCCAUUUACGCCCACUGUAGCAUUGUACUAUUCACCAUUUUAGAUGUUUAAAUGAAAUUUUUAUUUUUUUUCCAAAAAUAAAAUGACACCCUUAAAAUUUUAGAAAAUAGCCAUGUAGACCCCAAAAUUUUAAUAAAGAACACUAAUAUCCUUUUUAACUACAGCACUCUUAGUAGAUGGUAACCAAAAAAAAAAAAUUGAUUGCAAAAUUUUUUAGUAAAUGUAAAUAUGAUUUAAAUAGUUUAAAUUUUCUAGUAGACUAGUAUGUAUAAUUUAAAUAAUUAAUUUUUAAAAUGUAAUUUAAUAUAUUUAUUUUAAUAUUAUAUUUAUUAUAAAAUUUUUAAACAAAUCAUUGGGUUAAAUAGAUUUUAUAAUUUAUAUAAUAUUUCUCAUGUUUUAAUAAUAUUAAAAUUAUUUUAUAUGAUAUUAAAAAUAAUUAAAAAUUUUAUAUAUUUAUUUGAAUAUUAUGUCUCUUUUUAUUAUAAUUUGGUUUAAUAGAAUACGAGAUUGUAAAAUAUUAAAAUAUUUUUAGGUAUUGAAAUUAUUUUAAUAUAUAUAUAUAUAUAUAUAUAUAUAUUAUAUUUAUUUUUAUAUCCUACUUAUAUUUAUUAUAAAAUAUUAAAAUUAAUUUUUUUAGUUAAUAAAUUUAAAAAUAUUAUAAUUAAAAAAAGAGUCUGAUUGUCUGUUAUUCACGAUAUGAGGUUCUACAAAAUUAUUUUGAAAAGGAAAAAUAAGUCCAGGGGUUUCAACAAAUUCUAGUGCUAUCUGCCACUAUGACUAAUAGAAACGACAUUGCAAUUGACAUUGCUUUUCUUAAUAUGACAAAUUUUUUUAGGGAUAUGGGAGAAUCGACAAAUGUUCACACUACGCGGGAGUUUUAGAUGGGAUCAGGGAGGAUUGUCAACAGUUCACACCACGAGAAACCAAUGAUAGCCCUAAUUUCGCUGUCAGUUCUUUGUUUAUUUAUUUUCAUUAUUUCAUACAUUGUUGUCUUGUUGGCAUUGUUUUGUAAAGAUAUAAAAGUAAAGUAAACUAUUAGGGUGCUGCUAAGUUAAGUUGUUGUAACUUACAAUCCCUUAAAAAAUAAUGUAAAAAAUCCACAUUUGUUUGAAGUGGCUGUAAGUUAUAGUAGUUGUGACUUAACAAAAUCCAAAUAUUAGACAAUAACGCACAUUAACAAUGCAUAUAAUUUGGGUUUGAUUUAAAAAAAAAAAAUUUUGAGUAUUACCUAUCCUUAAGAUAUUAAUGUAAAUAUAAUUUAAUAUUAAAUAAUCAAAAUCUGUUUAAUCAUAAUAUAUAUUUCAUACAUUGCAUGUUUCAUCAAAAUUUGAUUGCUUUUUACCUUCUAUUUACGCCCACUGUAGCAUUGUACUAUUCACCAUUUUAGAUGUUUAAAUGAAAUUUUUAUUUUUUUCCAAAAAUAAAAUGACACCCUUACAAUUUUAGAAAAUAGUCAUGUAGACCCCAAAAUUUUAAUAAAGAACACCAAUACCCUUUUUGACUAUAGUACUCUUAUGGUAGCCACAAAAAAAAAUUGACUUCAAAAUUUUUUAGUAAAUGUAAAUACGAUUUAAAUAGUUUAAAUUUUCUAGUAGACUCGUAUGUAUAAUUUAAAUAAUUAAUUUUUAAAAUGUAACUUAAUAUAUUUAUUUUAAUAAUAUAUUUAUUAUAAAAAUUUUAAACAAAUCCUUGGGUUAAAUAUUUUUAUAAUUAAUAUAAUAUUUCUCAUGUUUUAAUAAUAUUAAAGUUAUUUUAUAUGAUAUUGAAAAUAAUUUAAAGCUUUAUAUAUUUAUUUGAAUAUUAUGUCUCUAUUUAUUAUAAUUUGGUUUAAUAUAAUACGAGAUUGUAAAAUAUUAAAAUAUUUUUUGGUAUUGAAAUUAUUUUAAUAUAUAUAUAUAUAUUAUAUUUAUUUUAAUAUCCUACUUAUAUUAUUAUAAAAUAUUAAAAUUAAUUUUUUUAGUUAAAAAUUUAAAAAAAUAUUACAGUUAAAAAAAAAGAGUCUCAUUGUCCGUUAUUCACGAUAUGAGAUUCUAUAAAAUUAUUUUCAAAAGGAAAAAUAUGUCCAGGAGUUUCAACAAAUUCUAGUCCUAUCUGCCACUAUGACUAAUGGAGACGACAUUGAAUUGACAUUGCUUUUCGCAAUAUGACAAAUUUUUGGAGGGAUAUGGGAGAAUCAUCAAGCGUUCACACCACGCGAGAGCUUUAGGUGUGAUAUGGGAGAAUUGUUAAGAGUUCACACCACGAGAAAUUAAUGAUAGGCCUAAUUUCGUUGUCAGAUCUUUAUUUAUUUUUUAUUUAUUUCAUACACUAUUGUCUUGUUGGUAUUGUUUUGUAAAGAUAUAAAAGUACAAGUAAAAUAUUAGGGGAAGUAAAGUAAAAUAUUGGAGGUGCUACUAAGUUACAGCUGCUGUAACUUACAGUUCCUUAAAAAAUAAUGUAAAAAAUUUAACACGUGGUGGGACCCACAUUAUGUUUGAAGAGGUCGUAAGUUAUAGCAGUUGUAAAUUAGUAAAAUCCAAAUAUUAGACAAUAAUACAUAAUAACAAUGCAUAUAAUUUGAGUUUGAUUUUUAAAAAAAUUAUAUGAGUAUUACCUAUCCUUAAGAUAUUAAUGAGAAUAUAUUUUAAUAUUAAAUAAUCAAAAUCUGUUUAAUCAUAAUAUGUAAUUCAUACAUUGCAUGUUAGAUUUGUUUGGAUUUUAAGUUGUUGCUAAUAAAUAUUUAUGUUGUGAAAGUCGAAUUCAAUAGCUACAAAAGCAGAGAUAAUGGUAUUUUAUGUAGUUUUUAAGAAUACAAGGAUAAGUAGGGGUGGGCAAAUCGGGUUUCGAUUCGGGUUGUUCGGGUUUCGGAUUGGGUUUCAACCCGUUCGGGUUGGAGAAUUGAACCCAAUCGGGUUGAAAGCACCAACCCGAACCAAACCGAACCGAAUUUAAUUCGGUUCGGUUCGGUUUGGGUUGGCAAUUCGGAUCGGAUUGGGUUGAUAAUUCGGGUUAAAAUUUCGGUUCGGGUUAAUUCGGGUUAGAAUGGGUUGGAACAAUUUAAUCUAAAAAUUCUAACAACAACCACUUAAAAUCUAAAAAUUUAAAUUUCAAACAUUCUUAACAACAAAUAUCAAUUACAAAUCAUCCUUAAUAACAUUUCAACAAUUUAAAAAUCUCAAUUCCAAACAUUCCAAACAUCCUUAAGGAACGAUUUAAUCUAAAAAUUAUAACAACCUCUUAAAAUCCAAAAAUCUUAAUUCCAAAUAUCCUUAAUAACAAAUAUCAUCUACAAAUCAUCUUUAAUAACAUUUCAAUAAUUUAAAACUCUCAAUUCCAAACAUCCUUAAUAACAAAUAUCAACUACAAAUCAUCUUUAAUAACAUUUCAAUAAUUUAAAACUCUCAAUUCCAAAUAUUCCAAACAUCCUUAAGGAACAAUUUAAUUCAAAAAUUAUAACAACCACUUAAAAUCUAAAAAUCUCAAUUCCAAACAUCCUUAAUAUAUAUAUAUAUAUAUUUUUUUUUUUAAUUUAAAAGCUGAAUCUUAAAAAAAAAAAAAAGCUUCAACCCGAACGGGUUGAAACUUUGAAUCCGUUCGGGUUUCACCGGUUAACCCAAACCGAACCGAACGCCCACCCUAAGGAUAAGACCAUAACGCAUGAGAUAAUGGUAUUUUAUAUUAAAAGACCAUAACACAUGUAUUUGAGCCAUUUAUAUUGAGGACACAUAUAGAGCGAAGAGUGCAGAUCCGGCCGUAACUAUUGUGAAGCUUCCCUCAAGUAUUCCCAUGCACACAACCCUUAUCUGUUCAAGUUUUCUGAUUCAAUAUAAUCAAUUUCCGAGCAGUACUGACGACAGCUUCUCUGUAAAGCUCUUCAACCACAAGCAUUUCUACAAGGCAAAAGACUAGGACGUGUCGGAAUGAAUAUCAAUAAGGGAAUGUCUUAUGAAUUCAGUUUAUAUCCUAAUAUAAGACAAUCAGUAAAUAUUGGAUGCAAUCUUAGGCUAACAUUUGGUUGAUCAUUAUACAAAAAAAAAGGUACAAAAAUACAAAACAGAGCUGAUUGAUGGCCUCUCACAGUCAGUUAUAUGACAAAGUAGCCAUCACUACUUGAACUUGGCUGGAGGUCUCAUUAGCAGUAUACCUCAGAAAUUAAUACAGAGACUUUAAAAUGCAAACUUAUGGAGCAAUUUAAGCACUGAAACUAAUAACAGUACGGUAUUAGCAAUUGACCUCUGCUUUUUGCUUGGACAAAGGUUCUCAUCACAAGGGACUCAUUAGUUGCCCUUGCCUCACACUUUUGGAUGCUAAGGGGAAAAAGGAAGCUUGAAUUAGUCAAUCUCAUGUCUAAUGGCAUUCACAGAGAACCUAUAAAACCAAAUAAAUAAAUAAAGUUUUCAUCCAUGAAAAGCUUAGUAAUGGAAAAACCGACUCUUUUAUCUGCCACUGACGAAAAAAAAACUGAAGUAUUAAAUAGAUAAUGAAUUUAAUUUUUUUCUUGGAAAAACUAAUAAUAAAUUAACAAUUAGAUAGUACUAUUAAUUAGAGAUCUUUAAUAUUAAGGUUAUCAAAUAUAGAAUGUGUAUAAAAAUUCUUAAUUAUAAGAUAAUUACUAACUAAAAAGAGGCCUAAAAAAGAAGAUUUGCUAUUAUAAGUAAUACCAAAAAUAAAAAGGGAGACUUCCUAAUUGUUUAAUUGUUAAAAAAGAGGAUUUGUUAUUAUAGGCCUAAUUUGCCUAUGCUUAAAACCGUUCCCGGAUGUAAAAAAAUAAAAAUUAUUGUUAAAUUCCUGACUAAUAAGGUCAUUGAAAGUAUUCAAAGGACCUGAACUAUACCACGUUGCAAGUGAGCUCGUAUUUUUAUCCCUUGAUCUGCCAUCGGUAUUUCUCUUCCACUCACUAUACCAUCCUUUUCAAUCGAUUUUUAUUGAUCAUAAGAGACCAUGUGGCCCACCUUUUUUUUAUUUUGGAUCCAUAACCCAAUGCUGGCCCAAGUUAAACAGCAAAUCAUCAAACGCACUUCAAUGACUUUGAUUUUGAUUUUUUUUUUCAAAAGAAGUAAAAAAAUCCAUGGGUCGCAAUAACUGCUGGGAAAUUUAUAAAAAUAGUCAUAAAAUAUUUGUAUUUUUUAACUUUAAUCCCUUAAAGUUUUUUCUAUCAUAACUAGCCAAAUACCCUACUUUUGGACUAGAUUACCCUCAUCACUUUUAUCAAAUUUAUAAAGACAUGCCACUUUUUCAAUUCCAGCACAACUAAAUACGGUUCUUCUUCAAUAACUUAACAAACAUUUAUCACUCUCAACAAACUUCAUCACUCUCUAUAAAUCAAUUACAUAAUUGAAUAUAAUCAUCAAUGGGAGAGCUUCUUAAAAUUAGUUUAUGCUUUUACACAAUGUAAAUCUUUAAUCUAUUGAUUUUAUCAACUAAAUUUGAAAUUAAAGUGGGUUUUGUUACAAAUAUUGUUAUUUUUCAUUCAUAAAACAAUGUGAUUUGUUAAAGUACUUAGUUUGAGUUGAGAAAUGAAGAAAAAUCAUUGAAAAUAUAGAAAAAUCGGGCAAAAAACGAAGUUCAGAACAAGUGAGAUAGGCAAGUGGGACAGGUGCAUGUCUCACAUAAACGCACUGCAUUUAUGUGCGACAGGCACCUGUCCCACUGCUUGUCGCACAUAAACCCAUAAAUUUUAUAGAGUACAUGAUUUUGGAUUUGAUUUGUCUCGUCAUAAGCUUCGAAACAGUAUAUUAUACGCCUAAAACGAACAUAUGUAGCUCAAGUUAUAGCUUUUGCAAUAUAUAUGAAAUUUAGUGAGACAGGCACCUGUCCCACUUGCCUGUCUCACUAAAUUUCAUAUAUGUUUCAAAAAUCAUAACUUGAGCUAUAUAUGUCCGUUUUAGACGUAUAAUAUAUCAUUUCAAAGUUUAUGAUGAGACAAAUCAAAUUCAAAAUUAUGUACUCUAUAAAAUUUGUGGGUUUACGUGCGAUAGGCAAUGGGACAGGUAAAAUGAAUAAACUCUGAGCCUCUCUCUAUAACACUAUAUAGAACCCUAAGCCUAAGUCUCACAUUCGCAACCGCCCCACAUAUCAGAACCACAGCGAACUGCCUCCGACCCUACGGACCCAAAAAAAUUAUUGUAUUCCUGCUCUUUCACUUCAAUAAUUUUUUGUAUUAUUCCAUAUCUUUCACUUUAAUAACCCAAAAGCUUUCCUCUGUUUCAACCCAAAAGCUCAAAUUCCUUUUUUCAAUCGAAAUAAAACGUAGCCACAAAACCCUAAUUCACCACACCAAUUUAUCUCUGCCCGGUAUUCAUUUAAACCCUACCUCGCGGUUCAAUGUCAUUCAAUACGAUUGCAGAUGCCGUUUCAACUUGACAUUUAGUUAGCGCCAUCCCGUUCUCUAUGGUAAGCCUUAACCCUAACAACUAAUCGACUGUGGUAGCACGUUGCUUGUUAGGAGUGGGGAUACAUUAUUUGAAUAUAUGAAUUGGGUGAUGUUAGUGAUUCAUUCCCCUAUUUUUCGUGAAUUGAGAUUUGUGUAUAAUGCUAGUAAGAUUGCUAAAAAUUUCAUAUUUUGUAUUGUUCCAGUUGAAUUUCUUGCUUGUGGAAGAUAAAACAAAAGUUCAAUUUCAUGUUGAUUUAAUUCUUCUUUUUUUUUUCUUCUUUAUAGUCACGCUCUGGCUUUGGUGCUAUGCUUAGUGCAGUUUAUGGUUUCAAGAUUAAGUCACGUUUAUUUGAUGGCAUCGAUUCCAUCAUUAAGAAGCUCUUCUUAUUUUAUCUCAGUUUCAAUUUUCUUUUAUUAUCUGCCUCUACCUGAAAAUGGACGUGUUUUACUAGUAAGCAUAGACUUUGUUUAUUUAAUUGAUAUUAUAAUUUUAUGUAUAAGAAUGGAGGUUUAUUUUGAAAAAAAAAAAGAAAUAAAAAAAUAGACUCUGUUGAAGCUAAUUAGUACUGAAUUUUUUUUGGUGGUGCGACCAGAGGUGGAAACAGGGUAUGAAAAUGUGUUACUGGUGAGGUUGCUGCUUAAGAUGAGAAUGGCUAAAAAUCUGUCAUACGUUCAAAUUUUGUUUGUGUUUGGAAGAAUGGUGUUGACUGUAUAUUCGUUUGGAAGAAUGGUGUUGAUUGUAUAUUCAUUUGCUUAGCCUUUUGACAGAUGGAUUUGAAACUGACGACAAAUGUGAUUCAAUUUACAAGGUUUUCGAGGGGCUCACAGUGGAAGGGAUAUUGAAGAACUGGUCUAAGAUAAAGCCUAUGAUUGUGAAAGAUUGGAGUGAGAAUAUAGAUGCUCGUUUAAAUCUUUUUGGCAAGGUCAGAGAUGAAUGGAUAGAUAAGGAUUUAUUUGACUACUUCGUCUGGUGCUAAUAGGUAUUUUAGGCAAGCUUUUUGAGAUAACACUGAGCAAGUUAUACUACUAGUUUGCACAUGAUGAUCAAAACUCUCGAAAAGUAAAAUAAAAUAAAUUAUUAACUUUUACUUUCAUCUUUUGCAUAGCAAUCAAUGUGGUGCUUGUUCUGUGACAACUUUGAUAGUCUACUUAAUUAUUGGUUAGCAUUUGGACCAAAAAAGUUCUUAUGAUUUACAUGUUUUGUAGAAAUGCAUGAACCUUAAAUGUGCUGAUCAGGGAGUUUAAUUAUUGCACCUUGAAAUUCAUUUAUUGUUAACUAAUUGGCUUUCCUUUGCAUAAAGACGCUUAUAAGGCUUGAGUGGACGUCUUUAUGGGCAUAUUAUUUGUAUUUCUAUAUGCAUGCCUUUAUCAUUAAUUUAUGUGCUGCUUGUAUUUCUUUAUGCAUGCCUUUAUCAUUUAAUGGCCAGCUCCCUCUCCUCUUUUGUAAUUUGAAUGGUAGUAUGGGCCUCCAUUUUACAAAUCUUUAACAUUUUUUGCUGUAAAUUAAUUUUUCUUUCAAAUAUUUUGGAGGUCAUUGGAAUUCCUGUAGGUCUAUUUACCAGAUUUUAGUACGUUUAAGGUUUUAAUUUUGCUUAGACUUUAAUUUCUCUGAAAGAUUGUAGUAUUGAUCCUCAAAGAAAGAUCAUGCUACUUCAAAUUAUUUUGAAGUGUUGCUAGUUAUAGCCUUACAUAUCAAAUUCCAUUUGUCUGGAAAUUUAUUGAUAGUUGUUACAGCAGCAUAUUUUAUGACUCUACUUCUUAGUUAUGUAAGUUCAUUAUGUUUAGGUCAGAGGCAGUCAGCUGUGGGGAAUCGAUAUAUACACAGAUGACUUUGAUCUUGUUGCUGGUACGUGGUUCUAUGAAUAAUUGUUCACAAUAAUUGUGUUUGCCUCACUGUUUUUGUUUUAUGAGGUCUAUAAUUGAUCUUGAGAUAUUACUUUCUAGUUCUCAUGCAAGCAAGUUACUACCUUCCCACUGCAUCUCCUCCUUUAUCUGCUAUUCAAGAGUUGCGUGCCAUAAUCUGGUGUUACCUCUGCAAGAUUGUGAAUGAAUAUGAUGCCUCUAAAUUUAUUUUAUACAUAAUGCUGAUGCUGAAUAAUAUAUUGUAGCUCCUGUCAUAUUCUACUUUGACUUUUUAUAUUCUGUUUCAUAUAAAAAUCUUAUUCAACUUUAGUUGUUCAUGAGCAAAUGUCACAUGUAUAAGCCCAAAUGAUGCUUAAAGGUAGCGCGGCUACCUUUAGUUUGAGCCUACAAUGGAUGAAAAAGAAAUUGAAACUGAUAUUUUGCUGUUUUUCUGAUUUUUCAAAGUAUUUUAGAUCCUGACUUUUGUUUGGACUUGAUGGUUAUAGAUUGUGUCUAGAUUUGUUAAGUUGUUUCCAACACCUCGUGCCAAAUGAAAGCACAAUCUUUCUGAUUCAGAUGUCUUGUUAAUUAUGCUUCAUUUUUUUCGUUAAAGAAUGGAUGGUUGCAUGGAUUGAUGGAGUUGGAGUUCAACCAAUAAUUCUAAUUUUUUGGACUUAAAAUGCCUUUUUCUUCUGUAUAAAAACUUUAGUAAGUGCUAUUGAGUUGACAGAAGUUGAAUACUUACAGGUUGUUUCACACAUUUUAAUCGUUUUACAUAUAUGAAUUUCUGUUUUUUGAAUUGCAGAAAGGAGGUGGAACUAUUGAUUUGGAGCCUUAUCUUACUCAAUCAUCGACAGCGGAGCCUACCCUCGCUCCCAUGGCAGUGGAACGGACAACGACUACUAGGGCUGCAACAUCAGUUGGUUUGGGUCUGUUUUGAGUUUAUUGUCAUUUAUUUGGCAAUGUUUUGAUAGCGAAUUUUGAUAUGUCAAUAUAAUGUGUAAUUGUUUUGGGUUGAGCUGGUAAUUAUGCUGGAUUAGAUUGGUUUGGUUUUGGUGCUUCUCUGACGGAACACUGCUUUUUUUAGAAAUUUUGAAUGUAAUAUGAGACUACAUUUAGUUUAAUUGAACACUGCAUCUAGUCUAAUUACUAGACGUGUGGCAUUUGGUUUGGUUUAUCCGAUAUUCUCCAGAAUUUCACUUGCAUCUGGUUUUGUUGCAUAUGUUUGCUUGCAUUUGAUGGCAGUAGCAGACUGUUUGGUUUUGUGAGAUUUGAUGGCAGUUUGGUCUGUUCUUGGUGUUGAUUUAAGAUUGUUCCUGUUGUGCUGAUGUUAAUUGCAGGUGCUUGAAUCAGCUAGGGUUGCUGGUUUAUUCAGAUGGUUGACUCAGGCGUUGUUACUGGUUAAUUCAGGUGGCUGACUCAAGUUGUUCAUUUAAUGUUAGGAAGCAAAUUAAGAAUUAAUGAAGUAUUCAUUUAACUAUAAUUUUUGUAGUUAUAUUAUUUCAUAACUGAAUUAUAAUCUAUGAUACUUUUGAACAAAUUAGAGAAUUUUUAAAUAUGAAUUAAAUAUGUGUGUGUAUGUACAUUUUGCUAUUUAUAUAAUAAUUUAAAGAAUAUAUUUCAAUUCCCACAAAAAUAAUGGCUCCAAUUUCAAUAAUUCCCGCCAAAUAAUUAAAUUUUUUUAAUUUACCACCAAAGUAUAUCUUAAAGAAAUUUUAGUUAUUCUUGCUAGAUUUAACAAAAAUAAUUUGUAGGAUUAAAUUUAAUUAAAAUAAUUAAAUAAUUUUAUUAUUCCAAUUAAAAAUGUCAUGUUUAUACGACAGACAAUAGUCAUGAAUGGGAAGUAUUCGUUACAUGUUUUUCCUUGGGAUUUCAGGCAAAUGAAAAAAAGAUUGAGAAUGAUUUCAAGAGGACAGGUGGAUGAUAAGUAUUCAUUUUUGUAUAUUUGGCUAAUGUCCUCAUUAGUGGAUUUUUAUGGUAUUGAUCUUUUUUUUUUUUUAAUUUUCAAUUAGUUGCAGCCCUAGAGGAAGAGCAGGCUGAUCAAAUUGAUUUGUCUUGUUUUUGGGGCAAUCUACGACACGAUGACCGUGAUAAUGCUCGUGACUGCUGGAAACUUUCUGAUGUAAAUAACUUUAGAGUUCGUAGCAAGCAUUUUUGUUAUGACAAAACAAAGGUUCCCCCAUAUUUUGUUUAUUUGUUAUUUAUGGUACUUAUUUAUGGUAUUUAUAUAUCCUGCAUAGGCUAGGUAGACAGGUUAUGAUGUAGUUUGGUUGGCUCUUCUUGUGCUUUGUGCAAUUUGUAACUGCAGAUACCUGCGGGAAAACAUUUAAUGGAUCUUGUUGCUGUUGAUUGGUUCAAAGACACAAAGAGAAUGGACCAUGUAACUAGGCAUCAAAGCUGUGCUGCACAAGUAACUAUUCUUCUCUUUUUUAUUUUUCCUUUUCCAUUGACGGAUUAGAAGAAAAUACUGCCUGUGAGAUACUGUAAUGUAAAUAACUUCUCAUGGUUCAUUGAAUCUAUAACACACUGACCCUCUUCUAAAAAAUGUAGGUUGCUUCUGAAAAAGGGCUUUUCUCACUGAUCUUUAAUCUUCAAGUAAGUUUGUUUCAUUUCAGAAGGUAUUAAGUUUCAAACUUAUUGUAUUGGGAGGUUGUAUAGUUGUAACCUAAGCAUCUGCAGGUUCCUGGUUCAACACAUUAUAGUAUGGUAUUUUAUUUUGUCACAAGGCAAUUGGCUAUGGGAUCACUUUUGCAACGGUUUGUUGAUGGCGAUGAUGAGUUUCGCAAUAGUAGGUUGAAACUUAUUCCAUCUGUUCCUAAGGUAUCCAUCUUGGCCUUCAUGUAUUAGGACUAUAUUAAUGUAUACUUACCCUUUACUGCAUGGUACACUUCAAUUUGUCCAAAGAAGGCAUGCAUUUAGGUGAAAAUGUAUUGAUGGGUUGUACCUUCAAACUUCAUGUCCUUUUUACCCUCUUGAAUUUGUUUUGCACUUGUUCUUGAUUUUAAGCACUGAAUCAUGCAGGGGUCAUGGAUCGUGCGUCAGAGUGUUGGAAGCACCCCUUGUUCGUUAGGGAAAGCGGUUGAUUGUAACUAUAUUCGCAGUCCCAAGUACUUAGAAGUAAAUGCUCUUGGAAUUUCUAUAGUACAUGAGAUGUUCAUCUUUCAAAUAGCAUCCGAUACCAUUAACAUGGUUUAACAUUGUUCAUCUUUCUGUAGAUUGAUGUUGACAUUGGUUCUUCUACCGUUGCUAAUGGAGUUUUGGGCCUUGUAAUUGCUGUAAUUACGACAUUGGUGGUUGACAUGGCUUUCCUUGUACAGGUAUGUAUGAUUGUUUUUUUCCCCCACUUCUAAAUGGACACAAGGGAAAAGACAUGAUUUUGAGAUAUUGCACUGCAAUUUGCAUUUUUGCAUACUUGAAUGUUCUCAGAAUGGUAUAAUGCUUCGUGUGUGUCUUCUUUAUCUUGCUCUUCUGUAUGCAGGCAAAUACUGCAGAUGAAUUACCGGAGCGGCUGAUUGGUGCUGUAGGUGUUUCUCAUAUAGAACUCAAGUCUGCUGUUGUCCCAAAGUUGGAACCAGAGAUAUCAUGACUGUGGUUUCAUUUCACCUCAACUGUGUUUUUUUUUUAAUUAAAAAAAAUCAUUUGUUUUAGGUAUAUACAUACAUGUAUUUUGAUUCGAUUUUCAUUGUAAUUUCUCAUUUACUUCGAAUGAAAGUCAUUGGUGUUUUCGAAUGGGGAUUUUGCAUUAAAAAAUGAACAAUAGUGAAUAGGAAAUUUCCUGAUUCUUUAGUUACUAUUUUUGGUACGAGUGUAAUUAGUAGUAAAGUUGGUUUCUACUCGCAAACAAGUAAACUGCUCGAUUCCCGAGUGGUAUCAACCAGUUUCCAACUUUUUAAUAUACACUAAUUGUUCUUGUUUAAGAGAUACUACUAUUAAAACUCAACAGCUAACAAAAUUACUCAAAAAAGAUGAUUUUUCUUAUGAUGCUGUGAAGAAAAUUACGGGUUUACUUCUCUCCACGAGAUCUAUAACAUGGUUUUGACUUCACGAAAUUCUUUUAAUUUAAAGCAUGCUGGUGUGAGAAGGUCAGUUUGACUGAUUGAUUCUUCAAAAAUAUUCUUAUUCUGAUAUUGUCACAAAUGUUAUGCUGUUUCGGCUAAUGAUCUCCUAUUAGGAGAGGUUAGAAAUCAAAUGCUUAAAAGACCGAUUGAACGAAUAAUACAGAAAAUUUAAGCAGAAUCUAAUCGAAUAUUGCAUGAAACAUGAAACAUCAAUUCAAGUCCUUUCUUAAACGGAGAAUGCAUCAAACAAAAUCUAAAGUGUCUUGCACGUCUGUAGCAUGAGCAAAAAAUUGUAAAUAUGUAGAACCAAAUUAUUCAAGUACAGAAGAACGAGCAAGCUGAAUCAUGUAUUAGAGAUUGGCCUGGUUCGGGAUAGCUUCUUCACUAUACCUGAAUAAUUUGCUAAAUAGCACCAAAACUUAAUUGAUACUUACCAUUUCAUUGAACAAUUUUUUUAUGGUGUCAUUGAGGUUGCCUUCCCAACAUCCUUCAUCAUCAUCAUCUUUUUCUUCUUCGGUGACGUUCACUUUGUUUAGCAUUGGUGUGUCUAAGACUCCUUGAGAGAAGAUCUUCAUUUUUGGACACUGUCUCACAACUACUUGUUUCAAGGACGGGAAUUCAAGAGCGUAAUUACCCAAACAAAAGCUUGUUAGGCUUGGCAAACAAUCAAGUCCUAAGUACUCCAAUUCCUCGAAACCAUUGCAAUCUUUCGCUUCUUCUCCAACCUGCGAUUGUAUGAUUUCUUCUAUCAUUUUGCAAUCAGCUAUCUUCAUUCUUCCGAGAUUAACCAGAUUUUUAGAUGCUGAGAGCGUCAACACAUUUAUCAACCCGUGACACUUCGAUACUUCCAGUCCCCACAUAUUUUCCAAAUGCCACGAAGGUGGUACUAAUUUUUGCAACUUACUACAUUCCGAUAUUUCUAGACUUCCCAAGUUUGCAAACGCUUUGUUGGAUUCGUCAUUUUCCUUCCAGAUAUGCUGCACUUUGUGUAAUCCAGAUAGUGUUAACCAACUCAAUUUAGGGAAUGCAACCUGAAAAUCAACAAAAUUAAUUAAGUUGUAAAUGAAAAUAUGUAUCCAAUCUCUGGAGUCUUCCCCUGCAUAUUUUAUGGACAAGAUUAAUCACGGCAUUUUAUAUUUUUUUUCCAAAUUAGUAUGCUUUGCAGUAGGAUCCCAAAUAUAAGUAUCAAAUCGAUUACCCUUUGAAACACAUAAAUGAAAUCUGAUCCUAAAUCCAAUAUGAAUUAACACGCAUAAUUAAUAUAGUUCAUCACCUCAUGUCACUAGGCAUCUAAUUAAUUUGAGACAUUUUAAUAAUUUAUACUAUAAAGUUAGUUAAUAACUGCGGUUAUAUUGUUAAAUCAUAUAUAAAUUAAGACGACAUGCAAAAAGAUGAGUCAUUAAAUUUGAUUUGAUUCUAAUGAAAUUACAUCUAUGCGAACGAAAGUGAUGGGAAUAAUCAUCAUCAUCAUAAUAAUAAUAAUAAUAAUAAUAAUAAUAAUCACCUUUUCAUCGAAGAGAGGUUGUAGUUGAUGAGCCAGCAAGAAGUUCUCUUCUGAUGUUAAUUUCUGAGGUUCCUUGUUAUCUGUUGUCACGUGCACUACAGAUGUAGAAUUGGAUAUGAAUGUUUCCUUAUCAGGGCAAUUCUCAAUAGUUAGAUAGUCCAACUCAGGCAGUUCAAUUAUAUUCCCAGUGAAGUUGCAGAAUCUUUUGAGUUUUGGAAGAUCAAUGAGCCUUAGAUUGGAAAGCUUAGGAAACAUGGGGCCUAUAUGUUCUUCCUUGGCAUUUAGCUCUUCCAAAUGAAGCACCUCUUCUAGUGAAUCACAAUUCGUCACUGUCAGGUAUUGCAAAUUGUUCAAGCACCGUAGCAGAUUGGCAGGAAUAGCACUCGACAUAUUCGUGCAGUCAUCCACCACCAGGUCACUUAAAUUGUUGAAGAAGCUGACAGGCAGUGCUUGGCCAUGCCAUAUUUCUUGCAAACGUGGAAAAUGCGAGAGUUGCAAAUACUCUAUAUCACGGAAUCCAAUCUGCACAAACCAAAACUAUUGCACUGGAUAUAUACAAUUUUUUUUAAAGGCAUUAGAUAUAUAUAUAUAUACACACACACACACAUUAAACUUACAUGUUUUGUGUUUUAACUUCUAAAACUACAUAUACAAGGUAGGUGUAUAUGUUUAAAUGUGCAAGCGUAGGGGAGAUGCAUGAACAAUUUGGGUGAAUCGAUUAACACAGACCAUCUUUUUGUAACAUAUUUUUAAAUGUGCAAGUGCAAGGGAGAUGCAUAAGCAAUUUGGACGAAUCGAUUAACACAUACCAUUUCUUCGUAGCCCUUUUGUAUAAAGGAAUUAAGGUUAUCGCCUUCCCGAUGGUACAAUUCACCCUCUUCCUUUUUACUAACUUGCACUUUGCAUGGCUUUGGAAUGGAUAAGAUUCCGUGAGAAAAAGUCUUCAUGUUCGGACAAUGUGUCACAGAAACUCGUUCCAGUGAUGGGAAUUCAAGAGUAUAAUUCUCCAAACAAAAGCUGGUAAGCCUUGGUAAAUCAUCAAGUAUCAAAACUUUUAAUUUACUGAAAGCAAUAUGAUUCUCCUUCGCUUCUUCUCCAACAUGUCUUAUGAUUUCUUCUAAUUUUGUGCACUUCGAUACAUUAAGAUUCACCAGACUACUAGGAAUUCCAACCUGAAAAUAAGCAAAAGUGUGUGUAUAUUAAAAAAGUAAAAAUGUAAGAAUAUCAUUCAACUAGGUUCAAAGUAUGUUUAAUCAUACAAUUAUACGUUUUAUAAACAUAACAAACCAUGAAAUGUCUACUAGAUAAUUUUUUAUUAAACAAAAAAAGCAACAAGAUAAAUAAAUAAAUAAAAGCCAGAUAAACAAAGAUAAUAAAAAUGCAUUUACACUAUUUACUAUUGGGAACGUAGAAAGAAUUUAAGGCAAUUUCUAAAUAUUUUAGACUUAUUUUGCAUCUUGAUAUCAGUUUUUAAGCAUAAAUUUACAAAUUUCAACUAUUCCUUUUAGGGAAAAAAAAUUCAACCAAAAUGCCGCUUUUUCCCUUUUCCUUGGUCCCUUUUUUUAUGUACAUUUAAAAAUGGAAAAAAAAAAUUGGAAAAGACUUCCCAAUAUUGUCAAUAAGGGACUGCUGCUGUAAAGUGGAUCUUUAUUAAGUACUUCCAGACUCAAGGAAAUUUCUUUACAAUCACGGGUCAGUUGUAAAUAAUCAUGAAUUUGUGGUUAAUUAAUGGCAUAAUCAAUUCGUAACUAAACAAGAGAUAUUAAUUAAAUUUGAAGACUUUUAUUUUCUUUUUUUCUUUUUCCAAUCGAAAUGUGAAGAAUUAAGGAAAAGAGAAAUAUAUAGAUGAAUUUGUGAACCUAUAAGAUGAGUGACGAUCCUUUAAUUUUUGAAAAUCGUACUUAUUAAGAUAUGAGCAAAAACUAUUUAAUUGAAUUAUAUUAUGCUGUUGAAUCGUGUUUAAAAAAUUUAUAUUGUUGAUUCUAAUGCUGACGAACCUAAAAACUGGACCUAAAACGUAGAUUUCAGAGUGGUGGUUCGAAGUACGAUACUUGAAAUAAAUAAUCAGUGGCUGAAUAUCAUUUGUAAACAAAAAAUGGUUAAAAUAUUGUUGGAUGUAAUUUGAAAAAAAAAAAAAAAGAUUCGAAAUGAAUACACUCAAAUAUCUCCAAAUUCUUCAAUUUGCUGAAAGACUCCAAAGCAAGCUGGUGGUGCCAUAUUCUUCUCAAAUUAUCCAUCGACCUAAUACGUAAUACCUCCAAACUAGGAAGUCGUACCUGGCAGUUAAAGAUUAAAUAACUAAUUAAUCAAUUAAUGGCAUAAUCAAUUGAUAACUAAAUUAGAGGCGGAUAUUAACUAAAUUUGAAGAAGACUCACGGAAAAGACAAAUUAAAUAUUAUGACUAAAAUUAAUUUUUUUUAUUAAAAAAAAAACCUUUUCGUCAAAGAGAGGAGGAGGUUGCAUUUCAGAAUGAAUGGUGUCUUCUGGUGAGCUCGUAGAGAUGAAUCUUAACAUAUUACUGCAACUCUGAAUCUCGAGCUUUAGCAAAGAAGGGAAUUCAACGACUAAAUCUGAAUGAAUAUGUCCCGUAUUGGCAAAGCUUGUUAGUUCAUAAAGCGCUUCUAGCUGCAGGGAGUGUAGCUUAGGAAAAACCUUUAAUUCAAUCAACUUUCCUUCAUCUCUUUCUGACCACCCCGUGGUGUCGACUACCCCUUCCAUUGAAUCACAAAGCCUUAUCUCAAGAUGUUGGAGUUGCAUCAGACGAUUACAAUUCCCCACGUACAGCUUUGUUAAAUUUUGACAACAGUACAUUCCUUGAUUAUGAUCGGCCCAUAAUUUUUUCAUGUUUCUUAAGUCCCAGAGAUUCAAUUCCUCUAAGCUCGGAAGAAUAACCUGCAAAGAAAACCCGUACAUUUUUGUUCCUUCAAGUACAACCGUCUAGUAUAAUAUUCUUUUGAUGAUCGAAGAUUAAUCGUGAUAAUAAAUUAAUCAAUUAAUUAUUGAACAGAAAAUUAUCACCUUUGGAGCAGUAUCAUCAUCAGCAAUGAUUUCGUUGAAUCCCAAAGAAGUUGUUGGUUUCUCCCUGUCGGGUCCUAUAAACAAACAAAAACAAUAUACAUAAUUAAUCUUUGUCGUUGUCUUUUUUUUUUCAAAAUAAUUGAGGCGAAGUCCAUAAAUCCACCAACACUUAACUUCAACACUUACCAACCAUCAUUUCCAGAUCAUGGCAAAAAGCCACUUUGACCUUUUGAAGCCGCAGUAGGUUUUUGGCUAUGGAGAAUGAGAAAAGAUGCUUUAAUUUGUGACAGGAUUGUACUCCUAUAAUCCUUAAGUUGCUGAAAGAUUGAUCUUCUGUGAGUUGGCUGUCACAUAUUGUCUCCAAAUUGUUCAAAUUGCGAAGAGACAAUGACACCAGCAAGGGGAAGACUUUGCGACGAACCCGUCCAACUGAACCGACAAUAUGCAAAAUCUCAGAACAACUUUCUACAGAAAGAUGCUUCAAUCGUGGAAAACCUUCCCCAUCAUCUAAUUCAUGAACAACAUUCUGAACACCCUUCAGUUCGUUUAGAUGGAUCUCUUCGGCUUCCUUCAGCAACAUUUUCGUCCCAUAAUUCUCCAAAAGAGUGCUAACAUUUUCUAGCCCAUGGAGCCCCACCAAUCUUGAUGUUUCAGAAUUAACGGGCCAAAUGCGCCACCACGCUUCUCCUAUACAUAUCUUAUAGCUUUGCAAUUCCACAGAGACCCAAUCCUGCGGCAGAAUUUGGGCAUCCGGAACUUGUAUAUUCAAAGUAGUUAGCUUUGACAGCCCCUUCAAUUCAGCAAGACUGGCGUUACUUCCUCCUUCAACCUUAUCCCACUGCGAAAAGCUGUCACCCAUAUAUAGUUCUUCCAAUCGAGAAAAUUUUGAUAUGACAUUUGGUGCUAUCACUACAAGGCUCCUACAAUUGCUCAAAUCUAGCAAUUGUAACCGCGUCAAUUGUCCAAUUUCAAGCGGUAACUGCUUAAUGUCGGAACCUCGAAAGCUAAGAAUCUCUAAUUUCUUUAGCUGUCCAAUUGCCGCUAUAUCUUCUAGUUGGCACCAGUCUAAACACAAUGUUUGAAGGUUAAUGAGGCGACCAAGUGAUGAAGGUAAUGAAGAGAAAGGAAUUCUAGUAAGAGUUAAAACUUUGAGUUCUUCUGUCCCUUCAAAAAAGAGGUCUGAAAUUUGCAUUGAGCUAUAACGCUUUGAAAACAACAAAAGUAACUGGAGACGGGGACAUCCCAACCUUUCGGGAAGCUCUUGAAUAUCUCUCUGGGGUAAUGAAAUGGCAAUUGGAUCUUUCCGUAUUGUCUCUUCCAUCUUUUUCUCCACGUCAUCAACAUUUGGAAUAUUAAACAUGCGCUCCCCUGCAGCAAUUGAUACAGCAACAACAUGAAUGACGUCAUGCAUUUUAACUUCAUCUUCAGCAUCACCGUCCAACAAUAAGCAUGAAGAUUUGAGAUUGUCGAUCAACCGAUGCACUCUACUCCUUGCUUCUUCCAAUGUGUAAACAUUUUCAAACAAACCCCAACCCACGCCAUAUCUCAAUAAGCCAGAAACUUGUAUCGCAUGACCUUCACUGUACAGACCACAAAGACGGAACAGAGGUUUUGCCUCCGCACUUUCCAAAAAGUCGUAACUCAAUUUUAUGGAGGUGUACACAUUUGCUUUCAUGCCAUGAAUUUCUCUUGCAUGCGAUCUUCUUAGCUGAUUCAAUGCAUCUUGCCAAAAGUAACGCUCCUUAUUUUUCAGAGCAUUUGCAACUGUACUCAGUGCAACAGGCAAACCUCCGCAUUUUUCAACGAUCUCAUUUGCUGUACUUUGAAAAUCAGAUAUUUUAGUUGAAUCACCCACUAUCUUCUCAAAUAACUGCAAUGCUUCUUCUUUCGAUAAAGCAUCGAUCCAGAAAAUUUUCUGACAAUUCAUAUCAUUGCACAAUAAAUCUCCACUUCUAGACGUCAAUAUUAUUGUGCAUCUUCUCUGAUCAUCCUCUCUAUCUUUCUCAUCAACAUCCCCAGAAGGAAUUCCAACUUCAUCGAACUUCAGUUCUCUCCAAAUGUUAUCCAAUAUAAUCAGGACCCGCUUCUCUUUCUUCAAUACUCGACGUAGUCGAUUUGCUCUGUCGAAUAUAUUCUCAUUCAACUCAAACUUUAUGCCUAAAUCAGAAGCAAGUUUGUCUUGAAUUUUCUGAUGAUCUGGGUUCUCUGUUAUCUCAGCCAUAGCGACCUUAUCGAACCACUUAUCUUCCAUCACUUGCUUUGCAACUUGCUUUACGAGCGUGGUUUUACCCACGCCGCCCAUCCCGUAGACCCCAAUUAUGUUGAGCUUAUCAUCCCUCAACGCCUCCAUAACAUCUUGAAAUACUUUCAUUCUUGAGUCAAAGGCCUCGAAAUCUUUCACUUGCAUGUGUUCUACCAGCUUUGGAGUAGGACGGUGGGAAACAUUGGAGAAGUUGCCUUUUCCCAUGAGACUAGCUGCAGCUUCUGCGGCCUUUGCUGCUUGUCUACUGAGCUUGUAACGAGAGAUCAAGUUUGGGCACAAUCCUUUGAAACAGAACUUCUUAGCUCUAUCUUCAUCAUCUGUGAUGGAUUUUGCAGCGCCCUGAGUGAAUUCCUUGACGCUAUUAAGCCAGUCUGCAACAUCCUCAUAAAUCUCAUCUCCUUGUUGAGUAGCCUGAUGAACGGGUAUUUCCACCCUUUCUCUUUGAUGUCCCAGCUGCUUCACUUGAACUUUUAGGCCAUCUAUGUAGCUCUGGUACUUGAACACAUAAGAUAUCUGCCGUUUAAGCGGUUUGUACAGUGACUUUGCACCUUCUGAUACAACGCCGGUUAAAAAAGCCAGACACGCUUCUACAGCCAUUGCCUGUUGCUUAACGAUAUAUAUGUAGUUUUUGGCUGUUUAAAAAAAAAAAAUGGAUUCAAAUAAAUUAAAUGAACUAGAGGGGAAGAAAAAGAAAGAAACGACAACAAACAACCUUUUAGAGAAAGGUUUGACGGGCCUGAAUGGAAAACCAACAACUUUUUGAAGAAAGAAAGCUUUGGAAGAUAGAUGCAAAUUAACCGUUGAUAAUACUACAUAAGAACACAGAAGUUAACAAUAAACAGUAACUUAAAACUCAAGAAAAUUAAAUGACGAGAUUAAGACAAACAAGGGAUAGUUUUUGUUGGACAUUAAGAAACAACUGCUAUCAAGAUCAAGGAUUAGAAAUUAUGCUAUUAAAAGAAGUUAUUAAAGGAUUUAGAACAAGUUUACCUCUUUAAUUAUCUAGGAUCAGAGUUUAUGAGCUUCACUAUUGGCCUUGGAUGUAUAAGAAAAACUUUAAUGAGCAAAAGAUCACUCUUAACUGCGGAGGAAUGUGAGUAAAGAGUUUAUGGGAGUAAAGCAAUACAAUUGAAUUGUAAAAGAACCAAGACUUAAGCGUGCGUCCCGUGUUUUGUUUUAUUAUAUAAACAGAACAUAUGUUCAUUUUUAACAAAUUGAUCAAUAACUCUAUUCGCUAUUUAAUUAAUAAUGUAAUCAAUUUUAAGAGAAUAUAAUAAUAAUCCUUCAAUGCAUAAAUUUAGAAUUAGAUUUUUUUUUACUUUUUAUUUAAAUGUAAAUCUCAGUGGAAAAUUAUAAAAAUUUAGAGAUAAAAUUUUUCAAUCACCAAACGGAAAAACAGGGGAAUGAAAACAGAGGAAUCUUGUUUUACUUUUUUUUUCUUUUUAAACCUUAACUCUUGUUCUUAUAUAAAUAAUCUUGUUCUGAUGAUAGUGCUCUUGACUGCAGGAAAAUUUCUAAUGGAAACAACUCAAUUUCGGAAGAUUAGCUCAGUUUUGCAAGCGAUGAAUUUAUUCAAUUGACUCUGUACUUGAACUCGUUGGAUUGGUUGAUUUAUGAUUGACUGAAUUUCAAUUCGGCCUAAAAGAUCUUUAACCAAAGUUUAAUAGCUAUCAUCUACUCCUUAAAAACAAAUAUGUAUCUUUUUUAGAUUUGACUGAAUUUGAACUUGCUGGAUUGGUUUUUUUUUAGAUUAUUAAAAUUUGGAAUAUUUUUUUUUCCUUGCUUUCUUUUGUUGGAGGAUUAGAGAUUUUGGUAUUACCAGAAAGGUUUCAAGGGUCUGAGUAGAAACCUAUAAUCUUUUGAAAAACUUUGUUUUUUUUUUUUUUUAAUUUUUUGGGGAAAAGGAUGCAAAUUAACCAAAUGGAAAUAAUAAGAGCACAGGCUUUAACAAUGAACAAUAACUUAAAACUCAUGCAAAAUAAAUUCAAUAUUAAAACAAACCAGAGAAAUUUUUUUCUUGAAAAGUAGAUGGAAAUUAUGAAAGAACAGAUGUCAAGAUCAAGGAUCAGGGAUUCUACUACCCAAAAAAAAUAAAAAAUAAAAUUAAAGGAUUUAGAAAAUGUGCACCUAGAGUUGGUGAGCUUCUCUCUCUAUUCACUUGAAUAUUUAAGAACAACUUGAAAGAGGAAAAAGAUCACUGGUAACUGCUGAGGAAUGUGUGAGAAAAGAGUUGACGAGAGAAAUAACAAUGACUUGCAGAAGAAAAACCAUUAAUCAAGCACACCUUUUUAUAUCCUGUAUUUGGUUAUUGUUGCCCUCUUGACGCAUGUAUAGAAUAAUUACGUGCAUUUUUUUUAAUCCGCAUGCACUUUAAUGAUUAGUGCUCCUUUCAUAAAGCAGAUACCGGAAACACACAAAUAUCAUUUGAGAGAGAAACUAAACAGCAAAUCAUCAAAGUAAGAUCAAUAAUAUAUGACUUGGUUAAUGCAUAUUCAAGAACAAAAACAAAAACAAAUAAAUAAAUAAAUGGAGAAGGUUUGAUUUUGUACUGCCAACGCUGCUUUUUUGUUAUUUCAUUUGUUCUUUCCACAAAUGAUGCUUGGUUAUAAUUAAGUUCCACAUGGCCGUUACUUACAAACUGUGUUUGUGUUAACAGAAACGUGAAAUUCACAUCACACAAAAUUACACUAUCAAUUCUUAAGAGAACAUAAUAAUAAUCACUCAACGCAUAAGGGUAAAUUUAGAAUUACAUUUUGAAAUUGAUAAAAUGUUUUUUAUGGGAUUUCAGGCAAACCAAAACAAAAAAAAUUUCAAUAAAGAGCUAGUUGUUGAAAUUGAUUUAUCUUGUCUUUCAGGCUAUCUUGUGACGUGACGAUAUAUAAUGUUCGUGAAUGCUAGAAAAUUUCUAAUGCAAACAACUCAAUUUGGGAUGAUAAGCUUAAUUUUGCAAAUGACGAAUGUAAAUAACUUGUUUUGAUUAAUUGAAUUUGUAAUACUCUUACCCUAUUCUAAAAUUUGGAGGUUGCUUGAGAAAAAAAGGGUAUUUCUCACUCAUCUUCAAUCCUCAAGUAAAAUUAGGUAAAAAGCAAAUCUAAAAAAUCACAAACGAAUUAACAAAAAAAGAAAAAAAAAAACAACAUUGAUCUUGAGACAAGUGAUAUUUAAACAGAGAAUUCUUUAUUCUUUUUUACUUGCCCCCCCCCCCCCGGGGCUCGAGGAUUAAAGUCUUUGCUAUUAACAGAGAGGCUUUAAGAGUCUGAAUAAAAACCCGUGCUUUUUUUAAAAAACCACUUUUUUUUUCUUUUUUCUUUUUUUUUGGGAAGAUAUAUUCAAAUUAACCAAAGCUAGUAAUAAGAGCACAGACCUUACAAAUGAACAAUAACUUACAACUCAAGCAACAUAAAUGAUAAGAUUAAAACAAACCGGAGAUAUUUUUCUUGGAAAAUAGACGGAAAUUAAAUAAGAACUGCUGUUAAAAGAAGUUAUUAGAGGAUUUAGGAGCAUGUGUACCUCUUUAAUUAUUUGGGAUCAGAGAGUUGAUGAGCUCUCUAUUCGCCUUGAAUAUUGAGUAAGAACUGGUAUUAAAAGAAAUUAUUAAGAACAAUAUUUUAGUGAGCAAAAGAUCACUGUUAACUGCAGAGGAGUAAAAUGCUGAAAAGAGCAGUAACAAUGAAUUGCAAAAGAAGAAGACUUAACCAAGCACCCCUUUUAUACCCGAUUUUUAAGAUUUAAUUUUGAAGUUCCCAAUCAAGAACAAAGACGAAGCUUUAAUAAAGCAUGCAGUGAGAUACAAGAAAUGGAUCGGGCAAAAUACCUUACGAAGCGUUUCAUAUUUUCUAAUGAAAUAAUUUAGUUGAAUUCUUCGACGAAUAGAUACCUGUUGUGCUAGAAUAAUUUUGGCACACACAUUACUUGUGCCCUGUGAAAUUGAAAAGCACACUCAUUUACAGAGCUUGUUAGUGGGGAAAAGCUUCGUAAGAUGCCUGAUAAAAGAUAAAGCAAAAGCUUGAAUGAAGAAUGGCAUUUUAGAAAGAAACUAAAGUGCAAUCAUCAAAGUAGGAUCAAUAGUGAGUUGAUCAGUUAUGCUUUUUGUUAUUUCAAUUGUUCUCUCUUUUUUCAAUCUCUCUUUAUGUUAUAAUUGAAUAAUUGUAUAGAAAGUGUGACGGUUGCUGCAGCAUUAUGAAGUCAAAAUUGAGAACGACAUUAAAUAAUCAAUCUCUUUAUGUAUUUACUCGAAUGUCUGAUAGUGUUCAGACUUGGAUUUUCAAUAAACACAGAUUCGAAAUCCAAAUAAUUGAAUAAUUGUGUACGUUCAAAUUCAGCAUUUAAUUACUAUAUAAUUAGACAUAAAUGUGUAUAUAAUUUUACUUUCUAAGAAUUAACUUCUACCUUGAUUCUAAAAAAAUAUAUAUAUAUAAUUUUACAAAUAAUUUAGUACGGCGUUUGGUAAAUGAUAACUAUUUGAGAAUAAGUUUUAAAAUGGUUUACUAUACAAAUCUGGAAAAUGAAAAUUAAAAGUGUAAAAUGUUCACAUAAUGAAAAUUAAAAGUGUAACAUGUUCACAUACAAUGACAAAAAUAUAUUUAUUUACUUAUUUGUAAUUUAUUUUGAAUAUUAUUGUUUAAAUCAUUUUUUUACUUACUAGAUUUUUUAAGAGCAUUCUAUUUUCUUUAUUACAUAUUUAAAUAAUUUUUUAUUAACUAUUUUAAUUUGCAAUAAAAUUAACUUCAAUAUUUUUUUAACUGAAAAUUUUGUUAUGUAGUUCGUGAUAUAACAAAUACUAACAUAUUAUUAAAUUGAUUAAUAAAUUACGUGCAAAAAAGAAAAUGCAAAAAUUUAAUCUUUAUAUAAACUUUUAUGUACAAAAACCGUUGUAAUCAAACUAGUUCAUAGAAAUAUAAUAUUUUAUACAUGUGUUUAAGAAAAACAUAUAACUAUAAUAUUAUCCACUCAUUAAACUUGCAGCACUAUUAUUUCUAAUUCUCUCCAUCACUCGACCUACAGGAACAUUACUACCAUAAUUUUCUUCUUGAAUUCAACCUCCAUUUCCACAUCAUCAACAAAGCGAUCAAUUUGCCUUGAUAGCCUUUCAACUCCUCCCACUUUCCUCCCUUUUGCAGACACUCUUUUUCUUUUUCUUUCUUUAAUAGCUUCAAUGGGAACAACCUCAUCUAUCGACAAGUCCAUUCUUCAACUAGAAUAGAGUUGGUAGUAGAUAUUUUAGUACUCUCAAACGAUGCCCAAACCGUGUCACCAGUGAUUGUUGUAUUAAAAAACAUUCCAUGUAAUUUUUCCUCUGACUCUGGGUCGAUACCUUUUAUGCAAAAUCUAUUUACUUCAGGAAUUUUAUACAUAUGUCGAUAUCAUAUUAAAGUGAAUUCAGAUCCUAUAUUAUUGACAUUUAGCCAAAGGUAAAAAAUUUUCCUUUUUGUUUGUCCCCCAACUAUAUAGUCCCAUUUUUGGUUAUAAGCUCGCAAUAUGCAAGGGAAAUGAAGAUCUACUAAAAACUUCCCCAUAAUAUUAAACAUUAAACAAUAUCAACAUUUUGUGCAUAUGGUGCCUCUCCAACAACUUGAUGUACAUUAUGUUGCUCGGUGGAAUAUGACUACUUAUUAAUUAAUUAGCAAGACUUGCGUUGCGAGUCCAUGCUUUUGUUGUUUGGAUGGAGGAUCUGCCAUCCUUAUUGUGAAAUAUGAACUAAAUAUACACUCACGACAUGUCAUAUGUUGAGUCUGUAGUAGCACGACAUGUCAUCUGAUAAGCAUUUGGAACAAAACCGACAUGAGCCAAAAUGUCGUUCUUUGUUUAAGUAGCUCACGUGUUUGGCAUGUGAGCUGAACAAGACUCUUACUCUCAGAAACGACUGAACCAGAAGCCGUUUUGAGCAUGCUUAUUCAAGACACGUUGCAAGCACGUGGCUGAGGCUGAAUCUGUUAUGUUAGCGGGAAAAGCCGCUGAGGAAGGCAUCCAGAAUCAGUUAAUAAAGAACUGGAGUUCUGGGUUUUUCACAACAGGGCCAGAAAACAGAGAGAGAGCAGAGAAAGAGGGAAUGCGAGAGAGAGAGAGUUCUGAAUAGGCUUGUAAUCUCCAUUUGUGUUUGCUCUCUGUAAACUCUUGAACAAGCAAUAAAGUGAAAUCACAGAGUUUGUUUCCAGUGGAUGUAGGCAUCAUUCAUUUGGUGCUGAACCACUUUAAUUCGUGUGUGUUUUGUUCUUGAUCUAUUUGUUAUUCUUGAUUCUUAGUAGGUUGACUUCUUCUUGGUUGAAUCUUGAGUAUAAACCAGUGAGUGAAGUGUUCUUGGGGUGGGUUUAGUCUUGAUAGUUAGGGCUUAAACCAAAACACUUUUAUUUUAGAUGCUUUGUAAGACUUCUGAUUUAAUGAUUGAAUGCAGCCAAUUAACGAAAGCUUACAUAUAGUAUUAUGUAGGUGCUGAGAUGUCUGUUCUUGAUAAAGUAGAUAUAUUUACACCCAAGCCAACGGAAUCAAAGCCUUUUCGUUAAUAAUAUACACGGUAAUUGUUUUUGUUAAAUUGAUUUCUGGCUAACAAGAUCUUUUUUUUUUUUUGAAAGGGCUAAAAAGAUCUUUGAAAGCAUUCAAAGAAGCCGCCGAACUCAUAGGAAAGCCAUGAUUAAAUAUACGGUGAAGCAAGCGAGCUCGUUUGUUAAUCUCUUGAUCACUCAUAAGCUUUUCUAUACGGCUCACGAUAUCAUCCUUUUGAAUCGAUUUUGAUUGAUCAUCGGAUAUCAUGUCCCCACCUUGAGAUGAUUGAUCACCAAUUUGGCAUUGUAAUGUUGAUCACCUCUAAUUGGCCAUGCUAAAAUUGGGAGCCCACAACUAAUUGCUUCCAUAGUUGAAUUCCAUCUACAAUCAAAUAAAAAUCCACCCAUUGAUUGAUGACUUAGUAUCAAUAAUUGUGGCGCCCACCCAUCUAUUAUCAAUCCCCUUUUAACCAAUAAAGUGUUGGCUCCACUGGCAAUGGAGUCCCCUUAAGUGGUUUGACUGGGUUUGCUCCCCAGUUCGAGUCGCAGGGAAGUCGCCUUUGUUGGGAGAACCUGUGCCUCUCGGUUCGAGCGGGGACUUCUAGUCUGGGUUGUGGUACGGGCUUAAAGGUGCCUCCCACAGUUGGGGCCCUCCCCAGGAUACCUCGUGGUCAAAACCAAAAAAAAAAUCAAUCCCCUUUUACCGACUUUACUCUCCAAACCACUGGAAAAAUAACUGCCUUCUACUGGUCUGUCUAAACCGGUUAAAUGACGCGGAGGAUCCAAUCUACCUGCACUAGUUUGAAUUACCCAAAUAAACUGUUGAUUUGAUGCUUCUAAACAUUGGCAAGGCUGAAUACUCCUCUAAGGUGGGACGCACUUUGGUACCAAAUUAUAUGUAUAGCACAGAUCUACGUGAUUUCAAAUCCAACCAUUAAGCGAUCUCAUCUUCAGUCAUGUUAGAACUCUGCUGGUUGGUCUCGUCUCACGAUCAUGAAACGCUGAACCGACCAAUUUGUAAAAUUGUUUAGGUAACAAUGAGCCCACUCCCCACACCGGCUUUCCCAUUUGAUUGGCUAAAUAAUUAAUAAAUGGUCCCUCAAGAUCAUUACAUGUGUUAGAACAUCAACGCCAUCGAUCCCUUCACUUCCUUCAUGCAGUGUGGUUGAUCAUCGGGUUCUAGUGGACCUAUUUUCCCUGAACCGGGUGCACUCUGCAGAAGUGGUGGACCACUAGGAGGGGGCCCACAAGGCCUACGUCUAAGAUUCGAUUCAAAUAAAGCCGUAUCCUCAGGUACCCCAGGAAGUAAAUAGGCCUCCCCUGAUUUGACAUCUUUGAUGCGAGCCUACCACAUGGCACACUCUACAAUUGUUCAACUAAAAUUAAUAAUAUUGUUCUAAUUAAUUACUCGAUAAGCAAAUAGUCAUAGACAAAUCUAUCCCUAAUCCCACAUUUACAAAAUAAAGAAUUGAAAUGAGUUUAUGUGGCUUUGAACCCAAGCCCUCAAGCCUAGUGGCUGGAUCUUGACCACUUUGACAUAAUUAUUAUAACAAUUUUUUUUUUCAUAUUUCACUAAGCAUCUUUUGUUAUAUAAUGAGGAAGAUAAGUUGACGGAGAAGGGUUCUACUUUUACUAGUAGAUGAGAUUUAAAUUAAGAAGGUUAGUUUUAGAUUGUUAAAUUUCCUUAGACGAUUAUUCAUGUGAGAUGUUUAACAUAUACUUGAGUUAGUCGGUGCCUAACAAUUCUUGUGAUACAUGAAACCAACCAAUAUGAAAACCAUAUGAAGUUGGUAGGAUUAGAUUAAUUUAAAUGAAAAUAAAAAUUAGUUUAUGCUAUUUAUUAAUCUUAUACUGUUGAAAAUUGAAAGUUAAUUCUUUAGCCUGUCAAUUGGUUCAUGACAUAAUUAAAAUAUUCAAGUAAAUACAUUUAUCGUUUAACAUUAAUUUUUCAUGCGGUAAAACCAAUACUAAUUAUAGAGUGGAGAGAAUAAUCUGUAGGGUAUACCCCCACCUUUUAUUUCAUUUCAUUUAAAAAAAAAAGAGAGAGAGAGAAAAGUAAAGGCUUGUUCAACAUUCAAGUAAAAUUAACAAAUCUAUGAUAAAAUUACUUCAGAAUAAAAAUUAAAAUGUUUAAAAAAAAAACGGCAACUCGAAAACGACAUACAAAUACCGCAUAGAAGGUUUUCGUCACGAGAUAUUUUUGGGCUGAGACAACACUUGUAUAACUUAGCAUAUAGCUUGGAUGACGGUGAGAAUAAGAAGGAAAACGGCACCGCAGACCGAAAUGCCAGCCCAUGGAGUAUUGAAGUAAUUUUUUUUCACAAUUCAAAGGAGGUUUUGGAACUUACCACAAGGCUGAGUAUUUCAACAGUUAUGGAUGACAUAAUCCAGCUAAGCAGAAGCUGAUCUUGGCGUUUCCACACAGCAUAUUCUGGAUUUUCAUGACCUUCAGAGAUUGACGAAGUGCCUUCAAAUCCAGGUGAAAGAAAUUGAUCAGGACAUAGCUUUGAUCCAUCGAUAUAAGACUCAAGUCCAUUGCCUCGAACUGAAGAGAGCACCUGAUGUUUCCAGAUCGUGUAAUUUGUACGAUCUAAUUUGACUGGUGUAGUGAAGGUGAAAGAAGCUAUGGCACUGGUAUUAGAUUGUGAAUUUGAGUUCGUUAGAGCCAUUGGAUCUAGCUCUGAUACCAAGUUAAAGAAGCUUUUCCUGUUUGUUUACUCAGAAAGUGAAGGAAAAAUACAGAGAAAAUUAUGUAGCUAGAAUGAAUCUAAAACCAUCUUAUUAAUCUAUAUUUGGUUCAAUAUACAACAAUAUUUAUGCUACUCACUGGAACCUUCUAUAUGAAACAAACACGUGAACUCAAUACAAUUCAGCUUAACAAACUUUUAACGGGAAAUAACUAAACAGAGCAACGGCUUGCCAGCGUGGCUGCUGACUCAGCAGCCGACUAAUCAUACUCUGAAAAAAAAUCACCAAACAGAAAAACAGGGGAAUGAAAAGAUAGCCUCCGUUUAUCCUCUGUUCUGUUUUCAUUGUUAUUAAACAAGGGAAUGAGAAAAGAGAGCCCCUGUUUCUUCUCUUUUUUGAUUUUUUUAAUUACUAAACUGGGGAACGCACGGAUCACCUCUUGUUGCAAGCGCAAAUUCUUGUUUCUACUUUAGUACCUUCUAAAUGCUGCAUGCAUUAAAAUUAUUCUUACAUAUGCUAACAUAAUAGCUACUGUACAUGUAAGUUCUUGAUAAAUCCAAAUAACAUAAUAAUUUUAAGAGUUCAAAUUUAGAAUUUAAUUAUAUAUAUUUAUAUAAAUCCAAUGUGCAUAUCGGAUAUUGCAUGCUGCAAUGAUCUCAUAUGUUUCCUCAAUAUGACUUAAAUAUAUAGGCCACAACUUGGUUUUGAAGUUAGUCUAAAGCCUUCCCCUUGAUUCUAACAAAUUCACUAGGGAAGGUUCAUAUGGAUUUUGGGGGAGCUCUAUGGCCAAUUUUAAAAGUUCAGGGGGGAUCAAAUGAAUUUCAAAACUGCAUGGGUUAUCUAUUUCAGUCAGAGGAUAGUGGAAUUCCCUGAAAUUUAUCCUUUUUAUUAAAUUAAUCUUCCUCCUUUCCUCUGUGGACCUUUGCUAUGUGUGUUAUUGGCGUCCAAAUGACGAUGGGAAUUAUGGUAAGGUUCUUGCUUCCCCACUUCUUGAAAUUAAAUAUAUCUUUUCUGGCACUAGAAAUUUCCACAUGCUGUGUUUUGUUAUUGUUUGGGAGAAAUACGUCAACGAGACCAGGCGUGGUGAGCAGAUAUCUGAUAGCAGAGUUCCGCGAACCGGUGUGUUCCGUAAAAGCCUGGUGCGCGGAGGAACAGGAGCAGAAGUAUCCCGCUCGUCCACGAACACGUCAUCCGCGAGGCCAAUUUCCCGUAAGAGGCAUAAGGUCAUUCCGGCUAGAGGUCGAGAGGCGAGGAGACCCGGUCGACGGCAGUUGGCAAGACAUGCUCCCCAGCCCGAGAAUCUAGGCACGACAGCCACGCUUUCCCCAGAACUGUGGCGUAACACGCAAAAUCUCACGGAACCACGACAACCACGCUUUCCCCAGAACCGUGGCGUAACACGCAAGAUCUCACAGAACCACGACAGCCACGCUUUCCCCAGAACCGUGGCGUAACACGCGAGAUCCCACGUUUGCCCAUAACGCAGCAGUCAGAGUCCCAUACCGUCUCGAAAAAAGCGGAAAACUGGGAUUCAGGGGAGGCCUAUAAAAAGGUAGCCAACGAAGGUAAAAGGGUUAGCAUUUUUAAGAUUAGAAAAGAAAUAAAAAAAGCCAUAAGACCUGUGGCAAGCGUUCCCCGAACCUUGAUAUCUGAAUUGAGCGUCGGAGGGUUUGCGCCGGGAAAACAACCGGCGUACUCUGACUUGUCUGUGUGCGCAGGAACCUCUGGAGAAGAAGCCUCACGAGGAGACCUCCUGGUCGUGAAGAAGUUGAUCGGGCAGAGAUCCUGGUCGUAGAACGAGGAGACCCGGAAUCCCGCAUCAACAUUUUGGCGCCGUCUGUGGGGAACAGAGCAAAAAGCUUCUGUUGAUAGCAAGAGGAGGGGCGAAGCAAGUGAAAAGCAAUGGAGACAUGAGGAAGUAGUGGACAAGGGGGUGAUAGGAGGCCUAACGAUUCCGUGACGCUGAGGGAGAUAGUCAGUGAAGCACGGGAAAAAGUCAUGUUCGACCGGAUGGAACGGGUGGAAAAGCAGAUGGAGACCUUGACAACCAUCCUAGAUGAGCUGCGGAGCGAGCGAAGUAUAAUCCAAGAGGGAAGGGGGAGAGGCGGUGGAGUGGCACCAGGUCCCGAUAGUGCGGGGAGAAGUCAAACCACCGGGAGAUUUGGUGGUGAGAGAGGUAACGUACCUCUGCGGGGAGAAUUUCAUAGAGAAAGAGAGCGGUCCCCGGCAAGGCAGACUGGCGACGAGGACGAUGGAGUGGUGAAUGCAGAGGAAACGAAGUUGAGACAACACUUGCAUGAUGUAGAGCAAGAGCGGGAUCAAGUUGCAGCACGUGACCCUGGUCGUGCAGUGCAGCUGGAGGAGGAAGUGCGCAGACUAGCGCAGAUAAUCGACGACAUGCAAGGAAGGAACAGAGCCCCUGGUUGGAGGAUAAUGCUAGACGGAGAAUCACCGCUCGCAGCAGAGAUCAUGAGGGCAGUUAUUCCGAGAGAUUUCCGCCUCCCAGACCUCAGAUACUCGGGAAGAACUGAUCCGUUGGUGCACAUAGAGCGCUUCAACGACAUAACUGGGGUACAAGGAUUAUCUCAAUCCCAAAGGUGCAGAGUGUUCCCACUAUCCCUUGAGGGACGUGCACGAGAAUGGUACAGGAAACUUCCUCGGGGCAACAUUAAAACCUUCGAGCAGAUGUGCCAGGAAUUCGCGGAGCAGUUCAGUGGGGCAAUGGCGCCGGAAGAUGACAUGAUGGAGCUGAAAAGCAUGAAACAGGGGGAGCAAGAAACCCUUCGGGAAUUCAUCAAGAGGUUUCAUCGGGCUGUCCUCGACUUGGGAGCCUUCAACCACCCUCAGGCGUUAAGGGGAUUGAAAGAAGGGGUGAAGAUAGGAAGGCUGUGGUACAAUUUGAGAAGCCCAGCUAUUCAAACGUAUGCAGCCGCAUACGAACAGGCUAAGAGAGACAUCGAGAUUGAAGAGGAGAAGGCUGCACGGAUUAAGACAGACCAGUUACAAGGGUUGGGGAGGAAAGAGAAGAAAGCAUUACCGGGGAAUGGGCCGAUCAGGAGGAGGGACCACCAGGCCUCCGGUAGCGGAGCAGGAGGUCGGGUAGCCGCUUACCAUUCUCAUCAAAGGCCACCACAGUAUCAGCGCAGCAGGGCGCAACCUCCUCGUUCCCCAGUUAGGGAGCCUUGGAGAAGACAUGAGUCGGCAUCUGGUGGUCUCCAUCAACACCCCCACGGUAGCAGAGCGAGCAGACCAGAAGUACUUCCACCGCCCCCAACUCAGAGCGGGGCAAACGGAGAAAGAGUAGUGCACCUGAUCGACCAGAACCCGGACUAUGGGCGGUACACUUCCUUGAAGAUGUCCCUGGAUGAGGUGUACGAGGCCAUAAAGGAUCGAGGGCUGUUGCACCUCCCUACACCAAUAACAAAGCUACCCAACAGGAGGGAUAGAGGGCGUUAUUGUAAGUUCCAUGGCACCCAUGGCCAUACCACAGCAGAGUGUAGAGAUCUCAAGACCCAGGUCGAAGAUUUGGUGAGAAAUCGGUACCUGGACGAGUUUAUGGAUGGGACUUUCCCGAUGGGGGCCGCAACAGGUGAAGGGGAGCAGAGUGGCGGAAACGUGAGGCACGAGCAGCCUGCAGUAAGGGUGAUCGCCGGGGGCCCGACAUUGGCCGGAGAUUCCAACAGAUCGAGAAAAAAUUAUGCUAGGUACGCCAUGACCAGUAAAGAGGUACUCCUCAACACCCCAGCAGCCAAACGAGCAAGGGUCAGGCAAGUGCCAAUCAUGUGGACGGAUGAGGAUGAGGAAGGGAUUCUAUACCCCCACGAGGACGCUUUAGUCAUCAAGGCUACUAUCGCUAGCAAGAAGUUUGACCGGAUACUGAUUGAUACAGGGAGCUCAGUUGAUGUGUUAUUUAAGUCAACCCUGGAAGAGAUGGGAAUAGCCGACCGGAAGUUGGAAUACACCAAUACCUCCUUGAAGGGGUUCGGAGGAGGGAAGCUGGUCCCUCUGGGCGUGGUCGAGCUGCCUAUCACAAUUGGGAGCUCCCCGACAGAAAGAACAAUGAUACUGGACUUUGUCGUAGUGGAUGAGGAAGGUCCUUACCAGAUGAUCUUAGGUCGGCCAUUUUUAAGGAUGAGCAAAGCGGUGUUGUCCAACCAUUAUCUGGCCCUGAAGUACCGGGUGAAUGGGGUAGUAGGAGUGGUACGAGGAGACCAGAGGAUCGCAAGAAGCUGCUACUCCUCGGCAGCAAGGGAAGCAAUGCAGAUAACAUCCCUCGAUACCCGAGUGGAAAGCAGGAAGGGCAGACAAGAACCUGUAGAGGAUCUGGAAACAGUAAGCCUGGGACCAAAGAACCCGGAAAAGACGAUCAGAAUCGGGUCGAGACUUAGGGGAGGGCAAAAGCAGGAGUUGGUGAAAUGCUUACAGGCUCAUGCUGAUGUGUUUGCUUGGACACAUGAAGACAUGCCAGGGAUUGACCCUGAGGUAGCAUGUCAUAAGCUGGCAAUAAAGAAAGGUGCUCGGGCAGUAAGGCAGAAGAGGAGGUGCUUCAACCAGGAGAGGUAUGAGGCUAUAAAUGGCGAGGUGGAGAAGCUCCUGAGAGCAGGGUUCAUUCGGGAAGUCAGUUACCCUGAGUGAAUAUCGAAUGUGGUGUUGGUAAAGAAGGCAAACGGCGAGUGGAGGAUGUGUGUGGAUUUCACAGACCUCAAUAAGGCGUGCCCAAAAGACAGCUUCCCUUUACCAAAGAUCGAUCAGCUGGUAGAUUCAACGGCUGGACAUGAUCUGCUCAGCUUCAUGGACGCGUUCUCGGGAUACAACCAGAUCCCCAUGUACGGGCAGGAUGAGGAGAGCACGGCUUUCAUCACUAACCAAGGUUUGUUCUGUUACAGGGUAAUGCCAUUCGGUCUCAAAAAUGCGGGGGCCACCUAUCAAAGGCUGGUGAACAAAGUCUUUAAGCCGUUGAUUGGGAAAACCAUGGAGGUGUACGUGGAUGACAUGAUCACCAAGUCCAAAAUCCCGGAGGAACAUGUCAGACACCUCGAGGAGACAUUCGAGCUUUUGAGGAAGUAUAAGAUGAAGCUCAACCCGGAGAAGUGUGCUUUUGGGGUCGAGUCAGGGAAAUUCCUUGGAUUCAUGGUGAGCCAUAGGGGGAUUGAAGCAAAUCCCGAGAAAAUCCAGGCGAUUGUGCAAAUGACGUCUCCUCAUAACCUGAAGGAGAUGCAGAGCCUCACGGGGAGGUUGGCGGCGUUGAGCAGAUUCAUAUCCAAGGCUACAGAUAAGUGUCAGCCAUUCUUUCAAGUAAUAAGGAGGGGAAAGAAAACAGAAUGGACCCCAGAAUGCGAGGAAGCCUUGCGGAACUUGAAGCAAUACUUGCAGCAAGCUCCGCUGCUGUCCACACCGAGGGAUGGGGACAUGUUGUAUCUGUAUUUGGCGGUAUCGGAUCGGGCCGUCAGUUCUAUUCUGGUGAGAGAGGAAGAAGGAGUUCAGUAUCCGAUAUACUACACCAGCAAAGCCCUGCUCGACGCUGAGACCAGAUACCCACCGUUGGAAAAAUGGGCACUUGCCCUUGUGGUUGCUGCUCGGAAGUUGAGGCCAUAUUUUCAAGCAUUCCCGGUUUCGGUAGUAACAAACCAGCCAUUGCGUCAAACUCUGCACAAGCCAGAUGCCUCUGGUCGGCUCGUCAAGUGGGCUGUAGAGCUGAGCGAGUUCGACAUAGACUAUAAACCCCGCGCAGCGAUAAAAGCCCAGGCAAUGGCUGAUUUCGUAGCCGAAUUCACAGAGCCCGAAGUAUGCUUAGAUCAACAAGAUGCAGAUAUAGGCAAUGACGAAACUCAAGUAUGGCAGAUGUCUGUGGAUAGGUCAUCAGGGGAGCGGGGUUCAGGAGCAGGGAUUGUCUUGGAAGGCCCAGAGGGGGAGGAGAUCUCUUAUGCUGUAAAGUUGGAGUUUGCAGCCACGAAUAACCAGGCAGAGUAUGAAGCCUUGAUAGCAGGUCUGGAAUUAGCUAAGGCCGUGAAAGCAAACAGAGUUAAGAUCAGAACUGAUUCCUAGCUGGUUGCAAAUCAUGUCAGUGAAAGAUUCCAACCAAGAGAGGAGAAGAUGGAGCAGUACCUGAAGAUAGUCAGGCAGAUGAUGGGGAAGUUUGAAGCAGUGGAGGUAAUACAAAUCCCCAGGGAGCAGAAUAGUCGAGCAGACAUUUUGGCUAGGAUGGCAGCAGUAGCCGACCCAAAAAUGCCAAAGUCGGUUCCUCUGGAGGUGAAGUCCAGCCCAAGUAUUGGUCAGAAUUUGGGGGUGUUGCGGAUAGAACAAAAAUGCUCGUGGAGGGAUCCGAUAGUUUCAUACCUUAGGGACGGGGUAUUACCACCAGAUAAGGUGCGAGCUCGCAAGCUUAGAGCCCAGGCCUCGAGAUACACGAUGAUUGAUGGGGUACUGUAUCGGCGAGGAUAUACACUAUCGAUUACUUCACGAAGUGGAUAGAGGUAGAAGCCCUUAGCAGGAUCACAGAGUCGAGCAGACAUUUUGGCUAGGAUGGCAGCAGUAGCCGACCCAAAAAUGCCAAAGUCGGUUCCUCUGGAGGUGAAGUCCAGCCCAAGUAUUGGUCAGAAUUUGGGGGUGUUGCGGAUAGAACAAAAAUGCUCGUGGAGGGAUCCGAUAGUUUCAUACCUUAGGGACGGGGUAUUACCACCAGAUAAGGUGCGAGCUCGCAAGCUUAGAGCCCAGGCCUCGAGAUACACGAUGAUUGAUGGGGUACUGUAUCGGCGAGGAUAUACACUAUCGAUUACUUCACGAAGUGGAUAGAGGUAGAAGCCCUUAGCAGGAUCACAGAGAAGAAAACAACGGACUUCGUGUGGAGAAACCUGGUCUGUCGAUACGGGAUCCCUUAUGCCUUGGUAACGGAUAAUGGCAGGCAGUUCGAUAAUCACAGCUUCAGGGAUUUCUGCCAGAACCUCGGGAUAGAGCUGAAGUAUUGCUCGCCUGCUCACCCUCAAUCGAACGGACAAGUAGAAGCAGCCAACAAGACCAUCAAGAGGCUUUUGAAAACCAGGCUUGGAGCAAAAAAGGGUGCGUGGGUUGACGAGCUGUCAGGUGUGCUAUGGGCAUACAGAACAACCCACAAAACAGCAACUGGGGAGACACCGUUCGCUUUGGCUUUCGGACAUGAAGCGGUCGUGCCGGCCGAGAUAGGAACGACCACACACCGGACAAAUCAUUUCAAUGAGCAGGAGAACGACGAGCAGAUAUGUUUGAAUCUUGAUCUGCUAACGGAAAGGAGGGAGCAAGCAGCCGAGCGAUCGGUCAUUUACCAACAGAGGGUUGCUCGGUAUUAUAACCAGAAGGUGAACAUACGGCAAUUCAGGGUCGGAGACUGGGUACUGAGAAGAGUGAAUCAGAGCACCAAAGACUCGACUCAAGGAGUGCUGGGACCGAAUUGGGAAGGGCCAUAUAGAGUCAAGCAGAUAGCGGGACCUGGAGCUUACAAGCUGGUACGCACGGACGGCCACGAGGUGAAACGCCCAUGGAACGCAGCACACCUCCGAAAAUACUUCCAGUAAGACUUGUUCACAUGUGAAAACUAUUUUUGCUCAUGUUCAUUACCGUUUAUCUUUCACACUUAUUGUCCAAACAAUCUCAUGUAAGUCGAAUCUUGCCAUUAAUGGAACGUCGAAGAAUUUCUUUCGCUUGAAACCGAGAAAGUUGCCUAAGGCAUGCAAAGGCUCGACAAAGUCUCAAAGCCUGUCUUAUGGCGAGACAGAAGCCAAGCAUGCCAGGAUCUGCUCGGCCACGAGAAGGCGAACAGAAUCCCAAUCCUUGAAGAAAUGCCUAAGGCAUGCAAAGGCUCGACAAAGUCUCAAAGCCUGUCUUAUGGCGAGACAGAAGCCAAGCAUGCCAGGAUCUGCUCGGCCACGAGAAGGCGAGCAGAAUCCCAAUCCUUGAAGAAAUGCCUAAGGCAUGCAAAGGCUCGACAAAGUCUCAAAGCCUGUCUUAUGGCGAGACAGAAGCCAAGCAUGCCAGGAUCUGCUCGGCCACGAGAAGGCGAGCAGAAUCCCAAUCCUUGAAGAAUCCAAGGCAUGCAAAGGCUCGACAAAGUCUCAAAGCCUGUCUUAUGGCGAGACAGAAGCCGAGCGUGCCAGGAUCUGCUCGACCGUGCGAAGGCGAGCCGAAUCCCAGGCAUUGAAGAAUCUCCAAAGGCAUGUGGCGAAACCAUGAGCCAAGCCGGAACCUGCUCGUCUAGACAGACACAAGCAGAUUCUCAACCGAAAAUUAAUUCAUAAUUACAACACAAGAAAGUAAUCAAAAACCAUUUUUAUUAAUUUGUUAAUAAUUAACAGAGGGGACAAUCUCAAUGAACAUUGUUCAUUACAAUACAAGAAAUAUAUCAAGAAGAUGAUGGACCAGUAAGCCCGGCAGCAUCGGUUGGCUGGACCUCCUCAGGUGCUGGAGGGGUAUCACCAGUUGCGUCCGGGGGGGUACUUGCCUCGCCGACAUCAGCAGGGACUGCAUGAGCAGGAGAGUCUUCCUCCUCAAUCACGAUCGGCUCUACCCCAUCAGUAUCUUCCUUAGCCGCCUCCUCGUCCAUGUGUUGAGCAACACCAGCUGCAAGGUCAUCCAUCUUCAGAUCAGGGUGUUGCUUCCCGAGGACGGCCAUGAUGCAACGAUAGGAAUGCCGAAGGCCCUGGUCGUACUGGUUGUCAGCCUCCCUCUCCAAGUUCUCGACCUGAGCUCGGUGGGAGUCGCGGAGAGAUUCGAGCUGAGCCUCAUACGUAGCCUUCUGCCUUUGCAGAUCCUCCUUGACCUUGGUAAGCUCCUCCUCGAGGGAAAUGGCUUUUGCUUGAGCAAGUGAUUCUUGCUCUAUCAGCUUCAGAUUCUCGAGAUUCAGCUCCCCUGCUUUCUUCUCGGCAACGUCAGCCCUGGUCGUCGCCAAUUGAAUAUCCUCCUUCAUCUUCCGGUCGUAGCGGCCAACCUUAGCCUUGUAAUAGGUGGUCAGGCAGCUGAGGUGGAAAGCGUUAUGCUGCAUGGCCCCCACCAGCUCACCCAAGGUGCGGCCGUCAAAGUCCUCCAGGUCCUUCUUGCUCACGAGUUUAGUUAACUCAUUGAGGUAAGGGACCAGAUGUUCUGCUCGGCUGUCAGGUAAGCGAGACCAAGGCCCGACAGGAGGAGAAGAAGAAGCAGGAUCUGUGGCUGCUCCACUAGCUUCCCCGACUUUCACAGAAGCAGGAGGUAAAGUCUUCAAGGGUGGGACCUGCUGCACGAUGUUGGCCCGCUUUGCAGCAGGGGCAUCCUUACUCUGGUCCCUCUUCGUGGUUGGAGGUCGGGAACGUUUUCGGGUCAAAGCCCCAAUCACAGCGUCCUCCAUCCUAUAGCCAGGAAGUAUCAAGCGAGACUCGAGCAAGUUGUAUGUAGUUAACAGUUCUCGGCUCGAGCAGGAAUUGGCUGGUCAGGUUCAAGCGGGAAGUGGACACCCCAAGAAACUACAACACAAACAGACACUUGGUUAGAGACAAGCCAAUAAAGCAAGAACAAUUAUGAACGCAAGACAUCUAGAGCGAGCAGGCAACCUGGGACCGUGAAACGGGGUGGGACGCGACAAUCCUUCCCGUCUAUUUGUGCAAUUUGACCCCAAGGACCCCCAGCAAAAAAGAAUUUCCUCUUCCAAGCCCCACCACCACCGGUUGGAAGAUCGGUUAUGGGUUUCCGGCUCUUGGUGCUAGAUUGGAAGUAGUACCAGCCGGCAUCUUUGGGGCUGCUCUUUAGCUGGUACAAGUGCUUCACCUCAUCAACCGUGGACUCGCUUCCGAAAAAGGACUUUUCUCAUUAAUUUUUGAUCUUCAAGUUAAGUUUGUUUCAUUUCAAAAGGUAUUAAGUUUCAAACUUGUCGUGUUGGGAGGUUGGAUAGUUGUAACGUAAGACAUCUGCAGGCUUCCGGUUCAAAACAUUACAGUAUGGCAUUUUAUUUUGUCACAAGGGAAUUAGUUAUGGGAUCCCUUCUGCAACGAUUUGUUGAUGGCGAUGAUGAACUCCGCAAUAGUAGGCUGAAGCUUAUUCCAUCCGUUCCUAAGAUAUCCAUCUUGGUCUGCAUCUAUUAGGACUUUGUUAACAUGUCGUAACCUUCACUGCAUGGUACACUUCAAUUUGUUCAAAGAAGGCAUACAUUUAGGUAUAAAUGUAUUGAUGGGUUGUACCUUCUAACUUAAUGACCUUUUUUCACUCUGUUGAAUUUGUUUUGCACCUGCUCUUGAUUUUAAGCGCUAAAUCAUGCAGGGGUCAUGGAUCGUGCACCAGAGUGUUGGAAGCACCCCUUGUUUAUUAGGAAAAGCAGUUGAUCGUAAUUUUAUCCGCGGUCCCAAGUUCGUAGAAGUAAACGCUCUUGGAAUUUCUAUAAUACAUGAGAUGUUCCCCUUUCAAAUAGCUCGUCCGAUACCAUUAACAUGGUUUAACAUUGUUCCUCUGUCUUUAGAUUGAUGUUGACAUCGGUUCUUCUAAUAUUGCUCUUCUUUAUCUUACACGUGUCUCUUCUUUAUCUUACUCUUUAGUAUGCAGUCAAACACUACAGAUGAAUUACCAGAACGGCUGAUUGGAACCAGAAACAUCAUGACUGUGGUUUCAUUGCACCUCAACUUUUUUUAAUACCCGAAAAAAAAAAAUCAUUUGUUUUAGGUAUACGCACAUGUAUUUUGAUCCCAUUUUCAUUGUUUUCUUUGGAUGAAAGUCAUUGAUGUUUCCAAAUGAGACUUUUGCAUAAGUAUAGCUAGUAGGAAAUUUUCUGAUUCUUUAUUUACUAUUUUUGGAAUCUGAGUGUAAUAGUUUUAAAAUUGUUUAAUCGGUCUCUAAAUGUCGUACUCACAAGCAAACAAGUGAACUGAUUGAUUCCCAACCGUCACUCAACCGGUUUCCAACUUUUUAAUAUACACAAUAACUGUGUUUGUUGAAUAGCUAAUACUAUUAAAGCUCAACAUUAACAUAGAUACUAAUGGAAAAAUUGAUUUUCCUAUGAUGCUGUGUAAAGAAUAUGGGUUUACCUACUUCCAUAAGAUCGAAAACAUGAUCUUGACUUCACGUGAUUCUUUUAAUUUAGAGAGUGCUGGUUUGAGAAGGUCAGCUUGACGGAUUACUUCCUUUUAAUAAAUGUCAAUACACUAUAUUUGAUAAUACUAUAAAAAUGUAAUAAACAUUGUCUUGUGCUGUUUUCUUCAACUACAGAUCCUCAAUUGAAUCAGUCAAUCAGGUUAGAAAUCAAAUGCUUAAAAUACCAAUUGGAGAAACAAUAUAGAAGUUGAAUAUUGCAUGCAUAUGAAACAUCAAUUCAAGCCCUCACUUAACCAGUGUGCACCAAGCAAAUCCAAAGUGUCUUGCAAUUAUGUAGCAUGACCAAAAUGCUAUAAAUGCAUCUGGGAACAAAUUUUUGAAGUAGAGGAAAACGUGCAAGUUGAAUCAUGUAUAAGAGAUCGGCUUGGGUCGAGAUAGCUUCUUCUUUAUACUUGAAGGGUGGGCUCAAUCUUGUCUUUAGAAUUCUGCAUGUUUGUAAUUAUACAUGUGUAAGCAAGCAUACAUUACCAUAAUAAUAACAAUAAGAAAAAAGAAGCAAAUGUUAUGAUACGACUAUAAACUCCAUCAGACAAACAAUAAUGUAUAAAUUAAUGUGACAUAAUAUGAUUGAUUAAACAAAAACAUCACAUGGACCACUUGAUUUAUUUUUUAUUAUUAUAUAUUUUCAGUCGACCAAUCAUAUUAUACCAUAUCAAUUUCUACAAAAUAAUUUGGUAGUUAGCGCCAAUACUUAGUUAAUUAAUACUGACCAUUUCAUUGAACAAUUUAUGUAUGGUGUCAUUGAGGUUGCCUUCCCAGCAUCCUUCUUAUUUUUCGGUGAGUUUCACUUUAUUUAGCGUUGGCGUGCCUAUGAUUCCUUGAGAGAAAAUCUUCAUCUUUGGGCACUGUCUCACAAGUACUUGUUUCAAGGACGGGAACUCAAGAGUGUAAUUACCUGAAUAAAAGCUUGUUAGGCUUGGCAAACAGUCAAGUCCCAAGUACUCCAAUUUCCCGAAAACAAUGCAAUCUUUCGCUUCUUCAUUUAAUAAUUAUAGAAGAAUAUUGGCUUAUAGAGCAUUUUAGUAGGGAUAAGAUUUGUGGACAGAAUAAAUGAAAUAAUAAAAAGCAUAGCUGAUCAAGUCAUUAUUGAUCUUAUUUUGAUUAUUACAUUGCACAUUAGUUUCUUUUUAAAAAUGCUAUUCUUCAUUCAAGCUUUCGCUUUAUCUUUUAUCAGGCAUCCUACAAAUCUUAUCCCUACUAAUAUGCUCUAUAAGCCAAUAUUCUUCUAAAAUUAUUAAAUUCCAUUCUUCAUUCAAGCCUUCAUGGACACUAUUUACAAAUUGUUCUUGUAUUUGACAGAAAAAUGAAAACUCCUCAUCAUACAAAACUGCAUGAACAAAUCUUCAAUUUAAUUAUGAUAAAAUAAUAAAUUCCAUUAAUAGAUUAUGUUGUAUUUUUUUUUUUUUUGACCACGAGAUAUCCUGAGGAGGGCCCCAAUUGUGGGAGGCACCUUUAAGCUCGUACCACAACCCAUACUAGAAGUCCCCACGGGAACCGGGAGGCACAAUUUCUCCCAACAAAGACGAUUUUCCUGCGACUCGAACUGGGGAGCAAACCCAGUCAAGCCACUUAGAGCCAACACUUUGUUGGUUAUGUUGUAUGUUAAUGUGAGGGAUUUGAUCAGGUGAUCAUAUAAUUUAGUAAACGCUUUAAGAAGAACAAGAAUUAAUAAGUUAAAAAUUAAAAAAAUAAAUAAAUAAAGAGUAGAUGGAAAGAAUGUUAUUUGCAAUCACUAAACCAAAGAACAGGGGAAUGAUAAGAGAGGACGGUUACUGCAACAAUAUGAAGUCAACAAUAUAAAGUGUUUACCAACUUAAAACCAGGGCUAUAAAGUGUUUGAUGAAUUAUUUUUUAAUUAAAAAAAAAAAACUGAUUUAGCGGGAUAAAACAAUGCUCCAUUCCGUUUAGUAUGUGAAGUCCAGAGUAUUACCUACUACUAACUAAAUCCGCUUGAUUCACAAGACUACCAAGAGAUAACUGAAUCAUUAUUUAAUUUUACUAUUAGGAAACCUACUUAUAUAAGGCGCAAACCACAAAUUCUAAAUUAAAUACCUAACCAUAAAUUAAGAUCAACCCUAACAGUCAUCCACCAGGUGCCGUGUAGGCUGCAUCAUAAAUUCUGAUUUAAAUAUUUGCAAUCACCGAACAGAAAAACAGGGGAACGAAAACAGAGGAGCCCUAUUUUUCCAUUUUUUUAACCCUUAACUCUUGCUCUUCUAAUUAUAUUUUUCCUUGGAAUUUCAAGUAUGAGAUGAAUUUGGAGAAAGUAAAUAAAUUUGAAUUACGUGAAAAAUUCUAAUUUUUUUAACCCUUAACAGUUGGUAUAUUUUUUUUAGGUCAUAGAUUAAUAAAUUUCUUUUAAAAAAAUUUAUAAUAUCAAUUAAUAUUAUAACCUAUAGAUUAAUACAGAUAAAAAUAUGAUUGAUUUAUCUCCACCACCUAAGUCUUAGCCAAAUUUAAUUAAAGAUUAAUUUAAUAAAUUACCGAAAAUAAUAAAGUAAACGAAAAAUAAAGCACGCAAUUAAGUAAUCAUGCUUCUAAAGGGCUAAUUAACCAUAAUAGGCAUAGGUAUUAAUUUGACUUCUAUGAAAGUCCCUUCUAGUUUCUCAAAAUUCAAAAAUUACAAUAAAAAGCCAAAGAAAAAGUCAAUGCUUCUAAAGUAGAAAAGUUUGAGUACUAGAUAGGCUGCCCAAAAUACAUUUUCAUUACUCACAUAUCUCUAUAGAAAGUAAUUUUUUUAAUAAAAACAACCUAUUUGGCUAAUAUUCAGUAGUCUUUUUUGUUGAUGGAAUUAUCCUCUUAACAAUAUUUUAAAAAGUUUACAUGAAUAUUCCUUUUUUAAAAAAAAAAAGAAUAAUAACGUGUAUUGUUAGGAUAAAAAUGAUCAUCAAUACGUAUGUAUAUAGGCACAAAUAUAUGAAAAAAAAUCAAGUUUAAGUACAAUGUAUAGGUCAAUGCCUAAGAGUCAAGCCUAAAUUAGGGGUAUAAAAAACUACAAAAUACAAUUUCGUACACUACAAAAUUUUGAUAUCAGCAGUAGGGGUAUAAAAAAAUCAUUGUUGCCAAAAAUCCAAAAGCUAACUAGAGGUUUGGUUUUGUUUCAAAAAUUAAAAAAACAAGUCAAUUCGUAAAAUCAAAAACAGAAAAAGAAAAACAAAAUAUAGAGGAAUUUACAGUUUAAAAAGAAAAACCAAGCCAAAACGAAAUUGAAUCGAAAGUCGAACCAACUCAGUUCAGUUUGAUUUGAAUUUUAUUUUAUAAAAAAAAAUGAUCGGAACCAACUAAACUGUAUUAUGUUAUAAAUUAUUAUAUAACAUAAAUUUUUGAAUACCUUUGUGACGAGCACAAUUUAAAAUUUUAUGAUUUUAAAUUUUAACAUUAAUGGAGAGUUAAUACUCCACCAUUUUCCAAUUUUUACAAUACAUAUUACCAGUUUAGAUAUGCUGUAUAUUAUUGUUAUAAUUUUUCGAGCAAGAUAAUAUUUGUCAAUUGGUGUUAUGACAUCAAAAUACUUGGUAUUAGUUAGUGCUAAGUGCUUCUUUUUCUUAAAAAAAGCGGUUCCUUAGUUUUAAAACAAAAAUCAUUAUCCUGAAAUUCUCCAUUUGCUUUGUUAACAGAUAUAACAAAAUAAAGUGAUAAAAGUUUAAUUUAUAAAACUUCGGCAUUUAUAUCUAUCAGAUUCAACACUUUAGUGUCAUAGAUUUAUUUCGGUGGAGCACGAUGUGGGUUGGGCCAGGCUUAGAAUUUUAAGCACGAGAGCCUUAAAAAUAUGAUAUGAUUAGAGAUGGACUGAGCACAGCACGAUGAAAAUGCCCACAAUAAGCACAUUAUAUUUUUUUAUUGAAAAUAAACUUAAAAUUUUAUGUUUUAUAAAUAACUUGAAGUUGAAUUUUUUAAAUUCAUUUAAUUCUUAGUUUAAAAAAAUAUUAUAAUUAAUUUAUAUUUAUAAUUUAUUAAAUAAAUAAUUGAUAUCAUGAUUUUAAUGAAUAAAAUUAUAAAUAUAAUGAUUUUAUAAAUAUGCAUUAAUAUUAUUGUGAACUAUGAUCUAUGACUCUAUGUAACUCUAAGUUAACAAUUAAGUUAACCCUUAAGAAAAUAUUAUUAUUAUUAUUAUUAUUGUUGUUGUUGUUGAGUAUUAAAAAAAUUAUAAUACUAAGAGGUCAAACUUAGAUCUAUUAAAUAUUACAUUUUCUUACUAUUAUUAGUUUAUUAUUAUUGAAUAUAAACUUGAGUUUUGAUUUUUUGAUUCUAUUAAAUUUGAAUAAAAGUAUAGACCUAAGAAAAAUAUAUAGACUUGAAAAAAAUACGCCAACAGUUUAGUAUGCCCUUUAAAAAUUAAAAAAAAAAAAAAACUUAGUGAGCUUUUUUUCUUAGGCAUAGCACGGCAUGUAUCGGCAUGUGUGUUAGGCCGGACCUAAACAAAAAAAAUAAAAUAAAUCUCGACACGACACAACACAAGCAUAAGCACGCAUGGGCCUUACUUACUGGCCCGACCCAUUGAGCAUCUCUAACUGUAUCUAUCUCCGCCAUAAUAAAUUAAACAUCGGGUAACUACUAGACUAGGCAUUAGCAUAUAAACUAACUAACUAUAGUACCAAAAAGAAUGAUGCGACAUUGUAAAAGAGAUGGGGCAAAGGGCAGAAUGGGAAACGAAUGAACCAAAUAAUAGUAUAUAAUAAUAUGGAUUUGGUAAAAAUAAAAAAUAAAUAAAAUAAAGUGGUGACACGUACCUCCUUUUAUUUCUCGAUCGAGUAGUGCAGAAAGUGGAGUGUGUGUGUGUGUGUUAAUUGUGAAAUGUCAGCCAAUUUUUUCUCUCUCAUUCUGAAACAGCUCAGCAGGAAUAGUGUACACUAGAGACGUCUGUCUGUCAGUCAGAACUGCCAAAAGAGCAAAACGGGUGCACGUACAAAUUAAAUCAGCCAAUCAGCGAUAUAUUUCAGUUACUAAAAGCUAGCACAGAGGGAACAAGCAAUAUGCAGGGCCAAAAGAGAUGAGACCCCUGAACCCGAACCCUCCUGAAUGAUCUGAUCACAUCUGAUUCGAUGUCUCGAGUCAUUAGAUUUAACAUAUUUUAACAAUAUUUCUCAGUUAAUAUGUGAUUUAAUUAAAGGUCAAGUUUACAUCUGAAAAUGAACUUAUUAAAAAUUAAUUUGAAAUAACAUCUAAGAUAUCUAUUUGUUUAUAAUAAAAUUUAAUUGUCAUAUCAGAAUUAUUUUCCGUUAGACUUUACAAUAAGUUAAUCCCAAAUAAAUUGACAAUUUCAAUUUUAAAGUUAGUUUGUAACUUUAAAAUAAUUUUCUAAUAAAAAUUUAAUCUGAAACAUUUGCAAUAAUAUCAAGUAUUUUGAUGUAAUAACACCAAUGUUUCACAUGCACACACAAGUCAUAUAUAAGUUAACAAAAACAUCAUUUGUUAUUAACAAAAUCAUGUUAAUUUUUAAUUCUUAAAUUAACUCCCUAUUAAAUUUUGGCUAAAUGUUAGAGUGCAAUUUAUGCACUAGUUUUGCAUUGUUUACUUCCCUUAAUAUCGAUGUUUUGCACUUAAUAAUAAUGUUUUACUUGUGUUUUACUUUUGUAGGUGCAAUUCUAUUGAUUGAUGAUAAAAUUGAGCUAAAAGAUGAUGUUUAAGGAGGAUUGUUCUCUUGGAGAAAUUAUGAGCGUCAGAAGAACUUUGUUGAUAAGGCGUGGGCGCGUGCUGUCAACUGCGGACCUGCAGUUUUUAGUUUAACGUGUUUUGUAUUUUUGGUUAUUUUUGUAAUUACGAAUUUAAUAUUUCAGAUAUUAGUAUUUUAUUUUAAAUAGAAUUCUAAAAGAGAAGAGAGAGAGAGUAUUUAAGGGAGGAAUCUAUUGUGAAAAAGAGGAUUUGGAUUGGAGAAAAAGAAAGAAACCCUAGAUCUAAUUUUUCUCUUCUCUCUAUGAAGAACUAAACCUAUUUUUCUGGUUGAAGGAUAAUGAAGCUUUGAUUCAUCACUACUGUGAGAUCUUUCUUAUGCUUUAAUUGUUUUAUUACUUUUUGGGUAUUUGUUUAUUCUCUGAAUUAGUUUCAUGAUUAUGUUUGUUAAUUAGGUAAUUGGCCACUAUUUAAUUAUUAACUUAAUCUAUUGUUAAUUAAAGGAUUCAUCGUAUGAAGAAUUUAAUGUUUGUGACAAAUAACAUAGCAGAGAGUUGUGUUGUGAGAAUAAACAAUCUAAUUUAAAUGAAUCAUCAUAUGUGUUGAUUAGGAUUUGGGUCUCUCUAGUUUUUCAGGCUGUCAAUUGAUUAAAUCCUAUGAUCGUAUCUAGGGUUGUCUAUUGAUUAGGGAAAUAUCCAACGGUCGUACCUUGGUUAUCGACUAGUUAAGGAGAGAUUGGCUAUUAGAGGGUCUCAAUAGCUAUAACCGGUCUAUUCAUAAGUAAUGAUAAUCUAUAUUUGAAUCAAUGAUCAGUAGUCGAAUCAAGCUGAGUUAAUUCCUUCAAUCAGAGCUUUCUCCAAUUUGAAUUACAACUUUAAUUUGCAUUCUUGUUACUUUAAUUUGAUUUUUAUUAUUGUCAACAAUUCCCCCAUUUUACGUUUUACGUUUCAAAAUGAUUUAAAUAAUUACCGAUCUCUGUGGACACGACCCUGCUCAAUCACUAUACACAAUUUAUUUAGAGUAGGAAUUUAUUUUUGUUGGCUUCGACACCCAUCACUAAAUCAUUAUUGCAAUUUAUAAAUUAAUAUUUAUAAAAAAUUAUGAAUCAUCCAAAAAGCUGCUUGAUAUAGAUUAAUUUCAUGGUCAUCAAUUUUUUUUUAUUUAUAUACCUUUAAAUUAUCACUUGUAUCAUAUGAAAAGACCAUAUUACCCCUCUAACGUCAUCAUAUUUAAACGGCAACUAAGCUAUGGUGAACGACAUUAUAUUUUGUCAACUUAAGAUGAAUGACUGAUAUACCCUAAAAGUAUUGUAGUAAAUUUGAUAAUAAAGUAUACAAUUGAUAAUUUUCCUAUUUAUAAUUUAUCCCCUUAAUUAUGAGUAAUUUUGUUUUUGUCUUCAUUUGUCCCUUUCCUACAAAACCGUACAAGUUACAUAUAUAAAACAUUCUUCUUUAAUCAAGUUUGGAAUAUUUUCAUCCUUAUGUAAAAUUAUGCAUAUAUCUUUUGAGUUUCUCAAUUGUACUUGAAAAAAAAAAUUACAUUUAAUCACGGUUGGUUAUCCAUAAAAAAUUUUAGGUGGAAAGUUCACGCGUUUUAAAAUUUAAUUGUGGAAUUAUAUUACAUUUAUUAUUUAGUUUCAAUUUAAUCAUGUAUCAAAUUCAUAUUUUAAAACAUGUGGAAAUUUAUAAUAUAUAAUGAUUCUAUGUAAAUAUAUUAUCUCAUUUCUUCAUUCUUUUGUUAUUAGUUCUCCUCCACCACAUUAGAUAUAUUUUGAAGUUUUCUAAUGUAAAUGUUACUAACAAAUACGCAUUGAAUAAUUAUCGGGUAGUUUAUAUUAUAAUUUAAUAAUAGCCACAACAUAAAUGUACAAUUUGGUGAUAGUAAAUGCCAUUACAUGAAAAUGAAAUCAUCAUGUUGCAAACAAGAUGCAACCAAGGGAUUGCAAACAAUGUUAAGUUACUAUUGGGUCACUUGAACUCCUGGGCUCUCUCCUGUGUAAUUUAUAUUAGACUGUCGCGUACAAAACGCAGACAUAUAUAUACAUACAAGUAGUGCUUUGGCAACAGACACAAUAGCCAAGAAGCAGCCCUUGUUUUCAAAUUCAUUCAAAUGCCAGCCUGCAGUUUUGAAUCCUUCAAAUUGUGCUCCACCUUUUGAGGGGACGAUGAAGAGUGAAAGAAGAGACAAAUGGCAGAAAUAUCAUCCAUUGCAAUGCCUCGUUUCUUAUAUUUCCAUGCCCGAACAGCACAUUCCACCAAUCUUUUUGCUGCCUUUUCCCUAUCCACUACUGAAGAAACAAUCUCCACCGCCUCUUGGUUCGAAAUCACAUCCCAAACCUGAAGAACAAUCCAUAAUUGAUCUUUCAAACAUUGACGUUAGUUCAGAUCAAAAGAUAAUUCCAAUAUGUGGAUACGUAUCCCGUCUGAUGCCAGAAUGAUAAAUUGGUCUCGUGUUGUUAUGUUUCUUUGCGUUACAUGGGGCACGGAGAUUAGGCCAUAGUCCUUGACACAGUAAUCACCCAAGGCUCUUGAUAUGGCUAGUCCCGGAGUCUCACCAUUCGGCAUCCAGACUCUGUAUACGCCUGGCUCAUCAUUUAAGCAAAACACAAGCCCUUUGGACUGCGUUAUUCGCUCCGCUUCCUCUGUAUAGGCCAGUGAAGACAAGAACCCGUACGCAGACCUUAAAACACACCCAUAUAUACACCUACACGAGGCAGAAAUAUUUAAGAGACAAUGAGAUAAUUGAGAUCUGAUUGGUAAAAUAUUGUUAAUUAAUAAAAAAUAAUUAAUAUACUUGCUAUUUAAGUAUUUUACUAAUACUUUAAACAUCAGUAUUCAAUGAUGUUAAUAUGUGAUUUUAAUAUUAAAUUUAUGUUCUCAUUUAUAACAGUAUGGUCAUCAGUAUUCACAACACAUCAUAUAUUAAUGUAUGGGUUUAUUAAUAUUAACAAACAUUUAUUUCCAAAUAAAUAUGGUAGCCUUAGUAUUUAAGAAUAUUCUUUAUUGUCUAGUCGUCUGUCCAAGGAAGAACGGGCCAUCAUCAAAUUUAUCAACGGCCUUCUCUAAGUAAUCAAAAGCAGGACCUGUGACAAAUUAAAACUUUUUCCGUGAGUUCAGCACAUAUAUAUACAUAUUCAAAAUGCAUUCCAUUAUAAACAAGUAAGCAAGUUUCAAAUCCUACCAGCUUGUUUUGCUGGGUCUCCUUUGAAUGAAGUAUACACAUCGUUGGUGAAGGUAUCGAUGUGGGAAAACAGUUCAUCAGCAAACUUUCGUUUCUCAGGAUCCUACAAUAUUUUCACAACAUUACUUUACUCAAAGUUGAGAGAGAGAGAGAGAGAGAGAGAGAGAGAGAGAGAAGCUUUUAUUAAAAGCAACAAUGUAAUCAGCAAAAUCUUACAUCAGGUAAAAGUGAAGGCCCUUCAAAAUUGCUGUCAACAUAUUUAAUCAAAUCAAGAGAUUCUCCAAUAACUUUGCCAUUGUGCUCCAGUGCUGGAACCUGUAAAGAACUCUAAUAGGUAAAUAUACUUCAUAACUCCAGCAAUGAUCUCUAAUCUUGCACGAAAGUGUAACAAUCAGUUUAACUCUUUCGUUGUGUUUUCUUGCAAGCAAGCAACUUGCUCAAAUCAGAAUAUGUUAAGAUUUUACUAGGCACACAAAGCACAAAGACACCAUUCCAAUUUUAUUCAGGAACUCCUCCGCACAGAUUACAAGCAUUUCAAUUUCAAAGAUGGGGCAUAAGGACACAGAGUCACAUAAUUAGGCUAUUUGGUAUUGAGGUGCUGUGGUUUUUUUAGCUACAGCUGCCACACGUACCCAAAAAAAAAAAAAAAACUGUAACUAUAAAAUAAAAAUUAAAAAUGCGUAAUAAAUAUGAAUUUUAAAUUAAGAUUUUGACAAAAAUAGUAGAAAUAUUAUAAUUUUACAAAACACUUUAACUCUGUACCUUUUAAUCCAUAGCCGCCCUACCUCAAUACCAAACACAACUAAUCUCUUCCUUUUCUAUAUCUGAAUUGGUCUAUCAACACCUUGAUUAGAAAAAUUCCUAAUUAUUAUUCAGAAACUUUCUAAUACUAUUCAAAAUCUUCCCAGCAGAUUCUAAGCUCCAUGUUAACCAAAAGAAUGCACAUAUUGUUGAUCUAUCAAAUUACUUAAAUGAUCAAUCAAAUAAAAUCAAAUAUUAUUAUUGAUCACACAUCAGCAUCAGCAUCAGCAUCACCUUGUUAACAGGAUAAACCUUCUCCUUGUACCAAGCGGGCCUAUCUUGGAGGUUCAGUGGAACUAACUUAAUCUUGUCUUGUAAUCCCUGCAGCAGCACACCAAAAGUUGUCAAAUUCAAAGAGAGUAUUACGACAAAGGCGAAACGAAUAAACCAUAAAUUACUGUUAUUGUUAUUAUUAUUAUUUUAAUUAAACCUAGAAAGCAGAGACGGGUCAACAGUGAUAAAAAAAAUAUAAUAAAAAUAGUAAAUAAAAAUAAAACCUUGUAGUUCCUGGUGAUCCACACACGCUGAGCAAAUGGGCACGAGUAAGAAAUGUACAACCUGGGAGUUCCAUCGAACAGAGGUGGUAGCUCGGCCUUCGAAUCCAACGGUGGAGGAAGAUUCUCUUGCGCUCUAUCAAAGAUGACACAUGAUCGUUAAAAUAAUGAUCAUAAUUAAUUAUGAAAUUCCAAAAAAAAAAAAAAACCAAAUUCUUGUUGUGGCCAUCGAGGAAGGUAAGACUCUAGAGGUUUCCUGAAUGCUUUUCUUUUGCUUUGAAGAAGAAAGUCAUAUGAUACCGAAAUGUGUCUCUACGCAGAAUGAGUGCGCUUAUAUAUAGAAGCUUUAAAGUAACCUUCUGAAGCCAGCAGUGACGCAAUGCGCACGUGUUAGGGUGUCAUGAUAAUAAUGCAUGUUGCCAAAAAAAAGGGCAAAAUUCUUAUCAGUUUUAGGCAAUUGCCAUGCAUAUUAGUUGGAUUCAAUGGCUGCAAGGGAGAAGCAGUGAGAAUAUCGCUGAUUAAUUAAAUUUGUAUAAUAGAAAAAAUUUGGUAUAUUUUUUUAUGACAUAUUGCUAAAAAUGUGGAGGCUUUGAUAUUAAAAAAGAGUUAUUUAUAAAUAAUGUUAUUAUGUUAUUGUUGAUUAUUAACAAUAAAUUUUUAGGAGAUAUCAUUUGGUUUACAAGUAGUUCAUCAACCGUGUUUAUUAAAAUGUUACAAACAGGAUUACAAAAUAUUAAAUUAUCCUAAACCCAAUUAAUAUCUGCAGGGAUCAGACGACUGUUAGAACAUAUGUUCUAUAAUUUUUCUCUGGAAAAAUAUUAUUUCUUGUACAAACAUAAUAAAUAGCUAUUUAUAACUUAAUAAUUCAAAAAUAGUUAAUUUAUAAAAAGACUAUUCUUGGUGUUAACUAAUGCAGUGGAACUGAUAUAAAUUAACUUAUUGUAAAGAAUUCACUGUAAAGAUAUCAUUUGUUAAUUGUUAAUUAUAAAUAUCCAAUAUUAAAAUUAAUUUCUGAUUUAAUCCAUGAUUGUCAAGCUAUUGUUUUCAUGGUUUACAAUUUUUUAAAAUAGAAGAGGUAAAACAUUAAGUAAAAAGUUUUCAAUCUCGUAUAAAACAAUGUAGAAUGUUUUAACCAAUUCAAAAUUUUUUAUAAUAAAGCAGUUAUUUUCAAAAUUCACAUUAUGUUUCUAUUACUCAUAAAAAAAAAUCCCUUCAAUGAAUGCAGACAUCCUUGAAAGAAACUUCACUACUCUAACAAAAAGGCCAAAAUUUUAGAAAAUGACAGGAAAAGAGAACACCAAUUGUCAACUAGAGUACCCUUUGUGAAAAACACAAUAAUAAAUAGCUGAUAUAUGAUUAGGUUAAUUAAUUGAUUGGAUUGGAAUCAACUUCGGACUGUUUUGCCCUUCCCUGCAGUGCAGCGUAUUAGGUGGCGAAUGAAGUAACUGGCCUCACUAAUUUUAAGUAAAAAGAUUGUUAAUAUUUAACCGCGUCUUAUCAACAUUCUUUGUUUUGAUUAAAAUAUACGACAUCGUUUGCAGAAGAGGCAGCAAGGGCAACAACGUGCCAAGUAUAAUAGACAAAUUUUUUAUCAUAUUAAUUGAGAAGGCUUGAGUUCUGGCCGAUGUUAAUAAAAUUUAAAACACAAAAAAACUGAUAAUGUCACGGCUGGUGAGAUGAUAUAUAAAUAUUAAAAAGAAAAAAAAGAAUUAUCAAUAUUUAAUUUUUGAAGAUUAAACUCAUUAAUUAAAGUGAAUCGUGCAUGCUUUGCUAGCUGAUAUCGCGCGCGCGUGUGUAUGUAUAAAUAUGUUAGAUCAAAUCCAAAGCUAAUUCCAAGUAUUAUAUUAUAUAUAUGUUACUAUUAUUAAUUAGAAUUCCCAAGCUCAAGCUAAUUAAUUGAUGGUAAUCUUUUGGAUGCACUUAAUUGUAAUUAACCGGAUCAAAUUUUGAAACCAAAAUAAUUCACGGGGCAUUCUAGCUUCUAGCUAAUUCAUCCAAAAAAAUAUAAAAUUAUAUAAAAAUAAUAAAAAUACGUGUGAUGUCAGCUUGAUGCGUACAUUCAAAGUUCCAAUUGAAAACAAAUAGAUAUUCAUUUUUCUUGUCAAAUUAUUGAAAGAGACAUCUCUUAAUUUCUUCCAUCACCAGCAACGGUUGAGUGACCUUGUCUUACAUUGUGCAGCAGCCUCCUCGAAGUAAAAAAAAAAAAAAAAUAUAGCCCAUUAUCUUGGCUUUUGGCUGGAUCCAAAUUUUUGUUAAAUACAAAUAAAUAUAAUAUCAAAUUAAAUAUUCCAAUAAACCUUCUAAUAUCUUCUUUGAACAGUUUUAUUUUUAUUUUAUGAGGGAAGAGUAAACCAUUAAAACUAUAAUUCAUCAUAAAUUUAUUGUGCCAAUUUUUUUUUAAAUCCAUAAUUUUGUGAAAUAUAAAUUUUAAGAAUUGAAAAAUAUCAUUAUAGCUUUCAUAUCCAAAGUUAAUUUUGAUAUUUUUGUACAAAUACAUAAUCUUCAAAUGUGGAUAAUGUAAAAGAUGAAAAUUGUCAAAUUAUUAGAUAAUUGUUUUUACAAAAUUUUAACGAUCAGAAAAAUCUUAAUUUAUAUGUCUUAGUUUAAAGAAUUGGUAUUAUCAAAUGUUACUUAAAUGUAAAUAUAAUAUAAAUAUUUUAUGUAUUUAUAUGUUACGUUUAUGAUUUGGUCACUGUUUAUCUAAAUUUUAAUAAAAUCAGACAUAUUUAUGUAAUUUACUCAUUAAAAAAAAAAUCCAUGAUUUAAUUUGCAAUGAUCAAAUUGUUGUAUUUUGUCAUAUCAAAAUACAUAUUUUUGUACAAUUACCCAUUAAGUUUAUGCUACAAUCAAGCUAUUUAUAAUAUAAGUGUGAUUUUUGAAUUUAAUAUUGAUAUUAGUAUUAAAUAUGAUAAUAAAAAAAUAUUUUAUUAGAUAUUAAUUGGGUCAUUUGUGUUAUUGUUUUUAAAAAUUAAUGACCUGCAACAUUAAUUGUCAAUAAUGGGUUUUUUUAAAACAUGCUGGUGCCCGGAUGUAAAUGCCGGUACCUCCCAAGUCAGUAGCCUUAUUAUAAUCCCGUCAGCAUAUUGGCCUGCCCCUGUACCAUUACUCCAAUUGAUGCUGAAAAUAUAACAACAUCAGUGACCGCGUUGUCGUUUCCCGUGAUGUUUAUUCCGAUGCCGGAGAAAUCCUUUUCGCGAUCAUCCCCGCCGAUGUUGAUGUGUUGGCCGAUGAAGGAAUUUCUUAUAUACGUUUCGUGGCCAUCUUGGAUGGAAAUGCCAGCGGUAGUGAAAUGCGAAACGUAACAAUUGUCCACUGUGGUUCUUAUUGAAUUUAUAAUGGCAAUGCCGCCACCCCUAAAAUUGGAGUCCAACAUAAGCUCCUUCAAAGUAAUGUAUUCGUAUAAUGACGAUGAUGAUGACGAUCUUAACUCUAUGAGAUGUCCGUUGCCCGAAAAAUCAUCCGAUGCUCGGAGGGACCCACCGUGUAUCUAUGUAUACAUAUAUAGAUGUUAAAAGUAAGAAUUAAAAGUAAGAAUUAAAUUUUAAAUUAAUAUGUGAUUUGGUAUGAUUCCUGGCAUUUUGUAUUCGGUUUUGUAGUCCUUCAUAAGACUGGCAAAAAUCAUUAUCAAUUAAACAUUAUGUUGUUAUAUUUUUUUAUUAUAUUUUUUUAAUGAUCUUUAUUUUAUUUGCUUUAAACAAUAUCUAUUUUUCAAAAACAAUACUUUUGACAAACAAACCCUAAAGUGAUGAAAGAGAAAGCAUGCAUUUUGCACAUGUUUAUAAAAACAAGAGAGUAUAUUUAAUCUCAAUCUGUAAUUCUGUAUAAUGUAUUAUUCUUAAGUUUGAAUCAAAUUAUUCUUGAUUCCAUCCGCCAAUCCAUCUCGGGCCAUUGAAUUAUGCAUAGCUAUUAUGGUAAUGGUCUCUUUAUUCUCCUCACAAUCAAUUAAUUGUGAUGACCAUACUGUUCUCACGAUUCUCAACCGCAAAAAAUUUAAAUAUUGUAUUGUACAUUUUUAUAAACAAAUUUUAUGUCAUCUCCAUUAUUGUGGAAUUUUAAUAUCCUAAUACAAUAUUAUGAUAGUAAUUGGGUCAAUAUGGGUAUUGGAUCAUAUUAUCGUUAUAAAUAUUAAUUUAUUAUAACUGAGUGUGUAAAGUAUCUUUUUUUAUUGUUGUACCAUAUUUAACUUUUGGCUGCAAAUAUAUAUAUAUUUAGCAUUAUUUAUAUCAAUAAGUUAAUAUAUAUAUCCUUUUCUUUAACAUCAAAUUUAAGUUUUUAAAAAGUUAUGAUAAUUCACUAAUUUGGUAUUUAGGAAAUUAAAUCCAUAUCAAUUUAUUAGAUAUCUUAAACCGUAUGUAAAAAUAGAAUAUUGACCAUUAUUCUAUUAGUAAUAUAUCCAUUAAAGAUUUUGACGUGCUAUGGUCUAAAAAAAUUAACUUGGCGGGAUGUUAUGAUUAUAUUCAAGGUGAUAGGGAAGAAAGUUAUGAGGAGACCCCAUUGAAGCCUAUAUAUUAUAGUAUGCAUAAAGACUCAAAAUGUGCACUUGAAAUAACAGUUGUCACUGACAGGUUAAGAUAAACUACCAAAUUGGCACUUAAAGGAAGAAAUUCUAGUAUUAGUGUCAUAUUUUAUGCCAUAUUAUGUAAUGCAUAUUAGUAAUGAUUUCUUCAUAAUAUCGCAGAUAUAUAAAAGUUCAUCUAGCUAGAUGCAUUGUAGAUUUUGUGAGAAUUAUUUUAUUCCGUCCAAAUGAGUUCACAUUAUUAUCCAAUUUUCCUUUUUUUAAGUUGAUUUAUGAAAGAAAAAAAAAAUGACACCAAUGUUUUCCACGUCGCCGCAAGUCUCAUCGAUAAAAGUCCAUCUACAAAUUAGUUCAUAAUUCUUUUUGUAACUUCGCUAAAAGCUAGUCAAGUCAUUGCUAGCAAGCCUCAAAAGCACGAAGUACGCGAAUCACGGCGAUAACUGAUAAUAACUUGGUUGUCCGGUUUCGCAUACUAAUUAGCUUGAUUGAAAAUCGUGAAGUAUGGGGCACGACUAACGCAACGCAUACGUCUCAUGCAUUAGGCAAAUAUUGUACGCGACCCAUGUUGAGAGCACAAAUCCACUAUCUACAAGUACUAUAUAUAGAGCUGCAAUGCGUGCUUCAAGUAUUCACAACUUACCCCCAGCUGGCUAGCCAGCCUCUAUAAUUUGAAGGGAAAAAAAAAAAAAAAACAACAACCUUGUUCAACUUGCAAAUACCUACCAAUUAUUAUGGAGAAAAGCUUUGAUAUCAUUGCCCUGUCUAUGAUCAUUCUGGUGACUUAUUCAUCUAAAAUGGUGUCGGUCGCCGGCCGGUCGCUGCAUGAACCAUCCAUUGUUGAGAAGCAUGAAAAAUGGAUGGCUGAGCAUGGGCGCACUUACAAGGACGACCUGGAGAAGGAAAAGCGGUUUAAGAUAUUCAAAGAAAACCUUGAAUACAUUGAGAAAGCCAAUGAGGAGGCGAAUCGGACGUACAAGUUAGGCACCAAUGAAUUUUCAGACUUAACUAAUGAGGAGUUUCGUGCUUCAUAUACAGGAUACAGGGUGCCAAGCCAGUCAUCUUCAUCACGGCAAUCCACAACAGCAUCCUUCAAGUAUCAAAACCUGACUGACGUUCCAACUAGCAUGGACUGGAGAGAGAAAGGAGCUGUCACUCCUAUUAAGAACCAAGGUCAAUGUGGUAAGUAAAUCGUAUACUAAAUAUUUAUGAAGUAACUAUAAUAGAUUAUUUAGCCUCCAACCUCUUUCAGAACUCAAACUCAGUUGACCAUCAGCUAAUUAAUAAAAACAGCUUGACAACCGUCUGCCAAACCCCUGCUGGGGCAUGUUUCAUGUAACUUAAUCAAGCCUUUUUUUUUUUUUUCCUUAAUAUGUACGAUGCAGGAGACUGUUGGGCAUUUUCAACUGUGGCGGCGGUGGAAGGGGUGACUGAGAUUAGUAGUGGUAAUCUUAUUCCACUUUCGGAGCAGCAAAUACUAGACUGCUCAAUAGAUGGUAACCGUGGAUGCGGUGGCGGUUGGAUGGACAAUGCCUUUAAAUAUAUUAUAAAAAACCAGGGUAUUGCCUCAGAAGCGGAUUAUCCAUACAAGGAAGUCCAAGGGACUUGUGAAGACGCACAGGUCAAGGCAGCUGCUAAAAUUAGUAACUUUGAAGAUGUAAAACCCAAUGAUGAGCAGGCUUUACUCCAAGCUGUAGCCAUGCAGCCAGUAUCAAUUUGCAUUGAAGGAAGUGGACCAGACUUCCAGAGUUACAAAGGCGGUAUUUUUAACGGAGGAUGUGGAACUCAGUGUUCUCAUGCUGUUGCUAUCGUUGGAUUUGGGGCAACUGAAGAUGGAAUGAAGUAUUGGUUAAUUAAGAAUUCAUGGGGGGAGAGCUGGGGUGAGGCCGGCUACAUGAGGAUUCUCAGAGAUGUUGAAGCACCUGAAGGUCUCUGUGGCAUUGCCACUAAACCUUCCUACCCAGUUGCAUGAGUAGCAGUAUUUUAUAUUAUAAAUAGCCGCCUCUUAAUAAUGAUGUCUUCAAGCCUACACAUGCAUUAGCCUCGAAAGGCUUAUACGAACCGUAUGAAUCGUAUGAUUCUGUGGUUUUACCUAUGUUGAGUAUUUCAUAAGUUGUAAUUGAACGCCAAUAUUUGGUAUUAGUUAAUGUUAAAUCUCUCGUUUAAAUAUAAGUUUGAUCUUUGCAGUAAUUAGUCAUUUACAUUUAAUGCCACGGAUACUCAAUUCGACCAAGAAAUACAUAGUUUAUAUCUUAGUUACUCUGAUAUUUUAUGUGGCAUGUUAUAUGUCGUUCAUUGAUUAAGUUGUAAGAAUAGUAUGUAAAUAAUUAAUAAUAAAUUUAUUUAUUAUCAUUUAUGAGACAAUAAAUGAUUAGUGGAACAUUAAUUAAAAUACAAACUAUUAUUAUUUAUUUAAGAAAUAUAUAUUGGUCAAUGAAAUUAAUGCAAGACAAAAAGUAACUGAAUUUUGAUUACACGCUUGAUGUCUGGAAGUACAAUGAUUAUGAAUUUGUGUUAAAUUAGGUCAAAGUUUUAAGUUAAAAUAAUCAAACCUAUAUACUCACACUAACUUUUAAAGUUUGAGUGGAAUUUGCCCGCUUUAAUUGGGGUCUCAUACAGCAAAAAAAUUUUGGCCAUCUUGAAUUUCUUUUUCUAAUUACUUAUAAAAAUUUAAAGGCUUGGUAAUUUCCCUCCCCCAAAUUCUGUCUUUAUUCCUAAGUAAAUUAGUUAGUCAUUAUUUCAAUAAUUAAAAUUAUUCUAAGUUCUAAAUUUUGGGCGUGGAGGGAAAGUUAAGCGCAAGUAGCCGUGACUGAUUAAUAUUAAACAAUAUAAUUUAAUGCAUUUUUAUUCUUCAUCUAUUUUUUUAAUAUUAGUUUUUGAACAAAAUAGUAGAACGAUAGUUAUAAUUUAUUAAUCAAAUUUUUUUACUUUCAUAUCCAUAUUAUAUUGUCAGUAAUAGUGUCAUGUAAUGAUAAUUAAAAGUAUUAGGAGAUACUUUUAAAAGUCGACCGCCUCAUCAAAAAAUCAGGAUGGCCAAGUGGUCUAAGGCGCCAGACUCAAGUUCUGGUCUUCGAAAGAGGGCGUGGGUUCAAAUCCCACUUCUAAGUAAUUUUUUAUUUUUUAUUCAUUUUUUUACAACGUUACGACUAAACGACGUCAUUUUCAUUAAACGGCAAGUCGUUUCAGUCGUCUUCUUUAACGGAAUAAAAAAUAUCUAAACCGAAGACCAAUGUUUCCAAACCCGCUGUAAACCCUACAGAUAACCCUCAUUGCCACUCGCAUCACUGAGUUCUUAACCUGAGUUAAAAUGGCCGAGUCCGCAUCCGAACUCAGUGAGUUCCGGAUUUUUCCGGCGGACUCACCGCCACCACAACCGAAUUCAACCGGAGUUCCGGUUCAUAAUCUAACACCAGAGGAGCUCGUGGCCAAAGCCAUAGCUCCAGUUAAGAAACAGUUUCUUCGUCAUUAAAUUCCAAAAUAAAUUUUAACAUAAUAAUUAAUUCUUUUAAUAGAUAAAAUUGUCUAUAUGCACGAUUGAAUUCAGCCCCAAAAUGUUAAUUAAAAAACAAUUAUCCAAUAUUCAAGAUAGUUUGAAUCGUCAUUCUCAUAUCGUUAUAAUGUCAUGAAAUAAUUGUACAAAAACAAAUGACCAAUAAAUUCACAAACGUAUAAUAUUGCCUAAUGUAAAUAACUUAUUAAUUAAUAUUGAUAUAUUAUUAAUUACUUAAUGUUUUACCUUUUUAUAAAACAUAAAAUUAUGUUUACUUCCAUUCAAGAUAUCCCAAAAAAAUUAAUCUUUUUGGAUGAUUCAUAAUUUUCAAGAGGAUGUUUUUACACCAUACCAUCGUCAAAUUGAUAAGGGCCAUGUUAUUUUUUAUUUAAUUAAUUUAAAUUUCAACUAGAGAGCUAUUGGAAUCGAUCACUGUAAAAGUUAAGUUGUGAUGUAAUCACACAAUCUUGAGAUCUGCUAUUAGAAAAAUAAUUGAAGAACCAAAUCCCAAUGAAAAUACAUCCAAAAUGAUGUCGUUUUGAAUUUGUUCCAAAAAAAUAAAAUAAAAUCAAACUCACUAAAAAACAACAUGUGUGUUUUUGUUAACCUUUUAUCGAGUUUUAAUUUAAAUAUUUAUCAUGUACUUUUAUAUUCUAUUCAGGACCGGCUCAACCAUAUUUGAGGCCUUAGGCAAAUGGUUUUAAUUAGUUUUUCUUAAAAUUUAAGACAAAAAAUAUGUAUAUUAGUUAUGAGUGAUGAUACAGCCACAAACUCUUGUACAAAUUGACGUGGUAUUAAUUUAUUGGUUGAAUAAAAAUAUAAAAUAAUAAAAACAAAAUCACGUGAGCCAAGUGAUAUUUAAUUCAACCAAUCUUAUCAUGCCACAUCAGUUUAUACAAGAGUUUGUGGUUAUAUCAUUACUCAUAAGUUAUAUAAUAUUUAUUGAAAAUCAAUUCUUCAAACACUCUCUAAAAUGUAAAAUUAUUAAAUAAAAUUAUAUUACACUAUUGUCAAUCCUUGAAAUUUUAAUUCAAUUAUAAUAUUUUUACUUUUUUUUAACUCAAAUUACAUCUUUUAUACUACUUCUUUUCUACAUUAAAUUAAUUUUUUUAUUCUUCUAUUUUCUAAAGUUUUUUUAUAUAGUUAUUUAUUUCACAAUAGAAAAAAAAGCACACAAAAAUAGUAGAUGAAUAAAAGAAUGUAUUAAAAAGAAAUAAGAACACAUAAAUAAUACAAUUAAUUAAGAGAAUAAUAAAAAAUAAAAUCUGAAAUUUGAAAUUUGAGAUGAAAUCAUAAAUUAACUUUAUCUUUAUAUUAAUUAUUUGAAGAUUUGAGUAAUGACUAAUAGCCAUAGAGAAUAGAAAAAAACUAUUAGAUUUUUUCUUUUUUUUCUUGAGUGGAAAGUAGAGGAAGCAAGAUUUUUUUUCCCCUCUCUCUCUUUCUUUCUCUCAAAAACGAAGAACAUAUGGUGUCUUCAUUGUUAGAAGAAAAAUUUAAUGGAUAAGUAAUAAAAUGUGGGGCUUUUAUAGAGGUUUAAAAUGAAUAUAAAACUUUUUAAUUAUAAGUUGUUAAUUCUAACAAUGAAAUAUCAAAUUUAUAGGAUUGAAACUAUUAAUUUAUCGGUUUUGUAGGAAUUAAAACUACUAAGUACUACAUUAAAUAAACUUUAUAGGAACUCGGUAGUUUAUUUGAGAAAAGAUAAUUACAAAAUAAUAAUAAAUUAGAUGCAUAAUAAUGAUUUUUAAAUUCACUUUCCUCUUUUAUAUACAAAAUAAUCAUCUUAUAGGAUCUUCAUGUAAAGUAGGGCCCUAAGCAACCGCCUAAGUUGUCUAGAGAUCGAACCGCUACUGAUUCUAUUACUAAUUUUGAAAUUUUCAGACAUAUUUAAGCUCCACUAUUUUAUUUUUUUAAUCAAAAUAGUAUGUUUAUUAAUAAUGAUUAUAAAAAAAAGAUAAUGAUUCAAUAAUGUUGUUUAUAUAUAUUGAAUCAACUUUAAAAGUCAACAUUUACUUUACACACUCAUAUAAAUGCUAAAAUAACCCUUUAUUUAUUUAUUUUUUUAAGGCUGUAGAAUGUAUUCAUUACAAAGAUAGAGUAAAUUUAAUUUGUGGUAUUCAAAAUUUGAUGAUUACAAUUUUUGAGUUGAUGGUCUUAUGCUUCAUAUUUGCAUUAAUUUUAUGUUUAAUGGUAGAAUUAUCAAGCUCAAUGACAGUGAUUUCAUGUAAAGCUUUAUUUCCUAAUUACAAUUUUAAGUUAAUGGUCCUAGAUUUCAUAUUAACAUUAGUUUCAUAUAUCUUUUAGGUUCAAUAUUAAUGAUUUCAUGUAAUACUCAAUGAUUUCUAGUUUAAUGAUUACAAUUGUAAGUUGAUGGUCAUAUAUUUCAUGCUUAAUAGUAGAAUUAUAUUAAUGGAUGAAGCUGUUGCUAUCAUUUACAUUAAUAUUUAUUUCCUGGAACUCAUUUAUAGCACAUCUCAAUGUCAUUAUUUAAAAAUUUAAAUUGAUGGUUGGUUUUGUAUUCAUUACAUCGGAUGAUUUAUAUUUAAAUAAAUUAUUUCAAUCUCAUAUCGUUUUAUUAUGGGUGAUUUUAUAUCCACAUUAAAAUUUUUAAAGUUGUUAUCAUAACUUUUUAAAAUCAGAGUUGUGUUUAUUUAUCAAUUUAAAACGUCAAUAAUCUACUAUUGGCUUAACAAUUGAUAUUCUCAUUUGGGAAUCAUCAAGAUUUUAAAAUUUUUCAAAGCCCCCAUGCUCAAUUUAUACGCAAAAAAGAGGGGGGGGGGGGUGGGUGGUAAGAUGCAUGAUCAGAAAUGAAUUUGGCAAGUAUUUGAUUGAGUUGAGAGGUCACUAAUCUCACUUAAUUUGCGAAUCACAAUAUGAUUGUUUUCAAUCGGCACCAAAACGAAGGGCUGGUUUUGGUUAUUAUAGUGCCUUGUUCUAUGAAGGAUUUUGGUUACCCACAUAUGGGAUUGAUCUUUGCUUCUACUCAGUAUAAAUUCUUGAAUUAUACUAUAUAUGGGAUUGAGACUUUCGUUAAAUUUUAAUUUAUAAUAUUUUUCCGGAGAAAAGUAAUUAGCAUGAAACACAACAGCGGUGAAUCAUCUCAUUUUUCAAGAAAUAAUAUUUGUCAGAGCUUUUUUUUUAUAUUAGUUUAUAAUUAACUUUUUUUUUUAUAUUAAUCACGAGGUAUCCUGGGGAGGGCCCCAACUGUGGGAGGCACCUUUAAGCCCGUACCACAACCCAGACUAGAAGUCCCCGCUCGAACCGGGAGGCACAGGUUCUCCCAACAAAGGCGACUUCCCUGCGACUCGAACUGGGGAGCAAACCCAGUCAAGCCACUUAAGGGGACUCCAUUGCCAGUGGAGCCAACACUUUGUUGGUUGUUUAUAAUUAACUUUAAUAUGUAAUAAUAUAGCAUAUUCUGGGAAACCUGUUGGGAUAAUUGUUUUUAAUAUUAUUAUGAUAUUACGCAUGAUUGGCAGUCGCAACUCAUCAUCAUCAUCAUCUGAAACCAUAUUAACAAACAUUUAUUUAACAAUAUUCUUUAUGUAAACAGGAUUACCCUAAACCCAAUUAAUAUCUGCAGGGAUCAGAUGACUGUUAGAACAUAUGUUAAAUUUGUAUAAUAUAUGAUUUAAAAAUUUAAAAAAUAAAUUUUUCUUUUUUGGAGAUAACAGUUGGUAUAUUUAUGAUUAGUAAAACUAAAAGUUUUAUUUUUAUUCUAUGUGCUCCAUCAUGGCAGUAGUUAUUUUUUUUGCGAUUAAACAUACUAUUUUGAUUUAAAUGGAUUACAAAAUGGCACAUUUUUUUAACCCUUAACAGUUGGUAUUUUUUUUUAAUAAGAUUAUUAAUGCAUCAAGUAAUCUUGUUUUGAUGAUUGUAACUCGUGACUGCGGGACAAUUUCUAAUGGAAACAACUCAAUUUCGGAAGAAAACUUAAUUUUGCAAGUGAUGAAUUUGAACUCGUUGGAUUGGUUGAUUUAUGAUCGACUGAAUUUCACUUUUCCUCAUAAGAUCUUUAACCAAAGUUUAAUAGCUAUCAUGUACUCCUUAAAAGCAAUUUUUUUUUAGAUUUGACUGAAUUUGAACUUGUUGGAUUGGUUGCUUUUAGAUUAUUAAUAUGAGAUAUUACAACGUAAAUAUUUUCAUGUGGUUGAGCCCUAUUCUAAAAUCUGUAUAGUUAGCUUUAGAAAGAGGGCUUUUCCUGCUGAUCUGUAAUCUUGAAAUAAACUUAGAUAUAAAUAAUGAAAUAAAAGACAACAAACAAGCAAUACUGAUACAAAGCCAACAGAUCAGAGUUUUUGGUACAAAUCCAAUAAAAGACAAUAAACUUAGGACCUUUUUUUCUUGCUUUCUUUUGUUGAAGGAUUAGAGUUUUUGGUAUUAUCAGUAAAGGUUUCAAGGAGUAAAGCCUAUAAACUUUUUUUUUGGGGGGGGCGCCGCCGCGGGGAUUUUACACCAUACCAUCGUCAAAUUGAUAAGGGCCAUGUUAUUUUUUAUUUAAUUAAUUUAAAUUUCAACUAGAGAGCUAUUGGAAUCGAUCACUGUAAAAGUUAAGUUGUGAGGUAAUCACACAAUCUUGAGAUNNNNNNNNNNNNNNNNNNNNNNNNNNNNNNNNNNNNNNNNNNNNNNNNNNNNNNNNNNNNNNNNNNNNNNNNNNNNNNNNNNNNNNNNNNNNNNNNNNNNGAAAAAUUAAGUUUUCAUAGAAUAAAAUGGUACGAUUUUUAAUUGAACAAUUGAGUGCAAUCAGUAACAAAGGCUUUACAUAUGCAAGUAAAAUUUGUAGGUUGCUUCAGAAAAAAAGGGCAUUUCUCACUCAUCUUUAAUCUGCAAGUAAAAUUAGCUACAAAGCAAAUCUAAUAAAAUGACAAACAAAAGAACAAAACAAAGAAAAGACAGGAGGCAAACAACAUUGAUCUUAAGCCAACUGAUAAUUAAACAGAGAAUUCUUUUUUUUUUUUUUUUUAACCUGUUGCUCAAGGAUUAGAGUUUUUAUAUUAACAGAAAGGUUUAAGGGGUCUGAAUAAAAGCCCACAAUUUCUCUAUUUUAUUUUUAUUUUUAUUUUUUGAAAGGAGCUUCACUAUUGGCCUUGAAUAUAAAAGAAUGAGCAAAAGAUCAAUGUCAACUGCCGAGGAAUGUGAGUAAAGAUUUCAUCAGAGUAAGUAAUACAAAUGAAUUGUAAAAGAACAAGACUUAAGCGUGCACCCCGUGUUUUGUUUUAUUGUACGUAUAAACAUAACAUGUUCAUUUUUAACAAAGUGGUCAAUAACUCUUUUUUUUUGGUACAAAGACGUGCCUAGCAUAGACUAGGGCAAAACAAAACGGGGGUGUGAAACCCCAAUACAAUCAUGACGAAUCCAAAACCCAGCCCCUAAAGGAAGAGAAUUGAAAAGGUGCAAUUCAACAGGUAGUGAAAGAGCAGAGUUUGCAGGAAAGUCAGCUGCAAAAUUUGAUUCUCUGUAAACAUGCUUGACCUGCACUUGCCAGGUUCUGUUAAGCAAUUCCUUAAUACCCCUGACAAGAGAAGCAUGUGCAUUUGGCCUAAUCUCGUCAUCCGCCACCAAACGAGUAACACAAAGGCUGUCAACCUCCACCUGAAGCUGCCGAAUUCCAUUAUCCCAAGCCAUACAUAACCCUUGAUAAAGGCCCCAUAACUCAGCACCAAUGAUGGUAACCACACCAACAUUCAUUCCAAAACCAAUUAUCCACUCUCCAUAACAGUUUCUAAUCAAGCCACCCGUACUAGACAGACCAGAACUUUUACGAGCUCCAUCUGUGUUGAGUUUAAAACAAGGCCAAGUAGGUGCCACCCAUCCAAAAUAUUUCUAAAUCUUCAUGGCAGCAGGAACCAAACAACUCUGAUUAACCUUUUGAAUUUCUUCUGUACGGAUCUUAAUAUCCAUUACAACAGUACUCUUGCUGGUAAAAACACCAUUAUGCAGAUUUUGGUAACGCCAAAACCAAAGCCUCCAAACUGUGACCCCAAAAAGACACGGCCAGUCAAACAUACCAUCAUACUUCCACAAGUUCCUCAAAUUAUAUAACGCCCAAUCUCGGAGAUUCAAACUAAAAAAUUGAUGACUAAUCCCAUGGGGUAUCAAUGACGACCAUACAUGCUUAGCACUGGGGCAAUCCCGCAGCACAUUAAGAGUAUUUUCAACAACACAGCCACACCUUGCACAACUCAUAUCAUCAACAAUAUGUCUCCGGAAAAGUUCUGCUUUAGUUUUAAGUCUAUUUUGACCCACCACCCACAGAAAGGUUUUGAUAUGUUGGGGACCUCUCCACUGCCAAAGAAUGCGCCAAAAGGAUUCUUCAUUGUGAACCUCCAUUUUUGACAAAGCCCUAUAUGCUGAAUUAGUAGUGAAAUCUUCUGACUUAGAAUAUGCCCAGUACAUGUAAUCAUCCUCAUCAUUUACACUGGGAGGCUUGGUGGCUGCAAUUUUGAGAAGUAAAUGAUGGGGAAAUAAAUUCUCAAAAAGCCGCCAAUUCCAAGUACCCUCAACAGUGAUAAACCUCGCCACACACUCCUCAAGCUGCUGUAAACGUAUCGGCUGCAAAGCGAAAGUAUACAAAGGGUAUUCCUCUGUUACCCAAUUAUCCCACCAAAAUCUAACUCGGUUGCCAUUUCCAAUGUCCCAUUUGAUCCCUUUUAAAACCUCAUGCCAAAUGCCUCCCACAGCCUUCCACAUGUAAGAGCCAUAUUUCGUAGGUAAUGUGCCGGGGAGGGCUUUAGGAGCCAGCCCAUACUUAGACAAGAGAACCUUCACCCAUAAACUAUUUGGAGAAGCAAUUAAAACCCACCCAAUCUUCAUGAGCAGAGCAUCAUUCAUUAAAUUAAGCUGCUUAAGACCAAGGCCUCCGCUAGGUUUCAGUUGACAUAUUGUAUCCCAUUUCACCAAACUGAUUUUCUUCUUGUCUGCUGCCCCGCUCCAAAUAAACCUCCUACAAGCCUGAUCAAUUUUCUCCCGAAUACCAAACGGAAUCUUCGUGGUCUGCAUUGCAUAAAUAGGAAUUGCCUGGAUUACCGAUUGAGUGAGAGUGAUCCUACCCGCCAAGGACAAAUGUAUCGCAUUCCACCCCGACAAACGUUGGUUCACUUUGUCCAAAAUUCCCUGAUAAGUCAGCUUAUUAACCCGUGAAUGAAUAAUUGGCAUUCCUCAAUAUUUCCCUAGGUUUUUUGUGACAGAAAAACCCAAGGAAUCACCAAUUUCCUUAGCCUCAGCAGACUUUAUGUUGUGGGAGAAAAAAACUUGUGUCUUUGUUUUACUAACUUUCUCUCUAGAGCUCAUACAACAAACAUUCAACACUUCAUUAUAACCAUUGCUUGCCUACAGGAAGCCUCUGCAAGCAAGAUAAGAUCGUCAGCAAAAAAUAAGUGAGAUAAAGAGGUACCUCCACGAGACAGUUUAAUAGGUUUCCAGUGCCCUCUCUUCACAGCGUCAUUUAUUCCAUGGCUUAACCUUUCUAUACAUAACACAAAGAUAUAUGGGGAAAUGGGGUCUCCCUGUCUAAUACCCCUAGAAGGGGUAAAAAUCUCUGUAAUUUCUCCAUUCCAUAGAAGUUGCAUAGUCGCCGUUGUAAUACAUUCCAUAAUAAGCCGAACCAAAAUAGUAGGCAAUCCAAACUCCCUCAAGGUUUCAUAAAUAAAAUCCCAGCUUAAACGAUCAUACGCCUUUUCCAAAUCCACCUUAAUGGCCAUCUGCCCAAUCCUCCCUUUCUUACGUCUCAUCAAAUGAAUAACUUCCUGAGCAACCACUAUGUUUUCCGUUAUGUGUCUCCCCCGGAUAAAACUAGUCUGGGUAGGUCCAAUGAGGUCAGGCAAGAUAGAUUUCAGCCGGUUAGCUAAUAACUUAGUGAUAGUUUUAUAGAUAACCGGGCAAAGACUAAUCGGACGAAAAAGCUUAAGGCUAAUAGGAUUAUCCGACUUAGGAACCAACACAAUCAGAGUUUUGUUCAACUCCUUAGGGAUCUCGUUGCCAUUAAAAAUACCUUUUAUAAGACUACAGACAGAUUUUCCCACUACAUGCCACUGGGUCUGGUAAAAGAGAGCAUGCAACCCGCCUAUUCCAGGGGCUUUCAAAGCCUUCAUGCCGAAGAUCACAUUCUUAAUUUCCUCAUCCUCCACUGCUUGUCCCAAAGCUUGCAUUCGACUUUCCUCAAGGACUGGGAAGGCGUUAACAACAUGGUAUGGAUGAUAGAUUGCAUCCUCUUUGGAAUAGAGCUUUGAAAAGAAGGACACAGCAUAAUCUCUAAUCUCAUCAUUAUUCAACAACCAAUAACUCUAUUCGUUAUGAAAUUGAUAUUGUACCCAAUUUUAAGAGAGCAUAAUAAUAACCAUUCAAUGCAUAAAUUUAGAAUUAGGAUUUUUUUGUAAUUCUUUAUUUAAAUAUAAGCUUCAAUGGAAAAUUAUAAAAAUUUAGAUAUAAAAUUUUAAAUCACCAGACCAAAAAAAAAAAAAAAAAAAAAUAGGGGAACGGAAAUAGAGGAAUCUUGCUUUACCUUUUUUCCCUUUAACUCUUGUUCUUAUAUAAAUAAUUUUGUUUUGAUGAUUGUAACUCGUGACUGCGGGAAAAUUUCUAAUGGAAACAACUCAAAUUCGGAAGAUAAGCUUAAUUAUGCAAGUGAUGAAUUUGUUCAAUUGACUCUGUACUUGAACUAGUUGGAUUGAUUGAUUGAUGAUUGACUAAAUUUGAAUUAAGUUUAAUUGCUUAGCUAUCAUUUACUCCUUAAACGCAAACGUAAAUAUUUUCUUGUGGUUGAGCCCUAUUCUCAAAUCAGUAGGUUGCCUUUGAAAAAGGGCUUUUCUCACUGAUCUUUUUUUUUUUUCUUUAAUUCACACGCACUUGAUUAUUGAAUUCUUUCAUGAAGAAAUAAACUUGUAAUGACUUAAAGAUUUAAUUUCAAGUUAGAAUCAAUACCAAAAGACGGAGGUUUAACAAAGCCGUUUAGUGUGAUAAAAGUACUUUAAAAAAUGUUGUUCGACCCAAUUAAGUUGAAGAAAUAAUAAAGUUUUCAUGGAAUAAAUACCGGUUGUGCCUUAAUGAUUUUGGCAUAGACGUUGCUUGUGUACUGUGAAAUUGAAAUGAAUAUUAAGUGACUGCGCGAUGUAUAUGCCUAAUAAAAGAUCAGCAAAAGCUUGGAUGAAUGUUUGAGGACCAAAACUUUUAUAAAAGCAUUUUUGAGAGAAACUAAACACCAAAUUAUCAAAGUAAGAUCAACAGUAUAUGAUUUGAUUUAUACAUAUUCAAAAACAAAAUAAUGAUUAAUAAUAAAGUUUGAUUUUGUAUUGCCAACGAUGCUUUUUUGUUGUUUCAUUUGUUCGACGUGGCCUUAUUUACAAAUUGGUUUAUGUUAACAGAAACAUGAAAUUCACAUUACACAAAAUUGCAAGAACAAAUAUUAAGAGAACGUAAUAAUAAUUACUCAAUGCGUAAGGAUAAAUUUAGAAUUACAUAUUCUUUUUUAUUUAAUAAAGUCCCAACGGGAAAUCAUAAAAAUUUAUAUAUAAAAGCUUUCAACCACCAAACAAAAAACAGGGGGAAUGAAAACACAGGAACUUGUUUUAACUUUUUUUCAUCUAACUCUUGUUCUUAUAUAAUAUUUUCCCUAGUAUUUCAGGCAAAAAAAAAAAAAAAAAAAUCAAUAAAGAGCAAGUUGCUCAAAUUGAUUUAUCUUGUUUUUCAGGCAAUCUUGUGAUAUGAUGAUAAAGCUCAUGAAUGCUAGAAAACUUCUAAUGCAAACAACUCUAUUUGGGAUGAUAAGCUUAAUUUUACAAGCGAUAAAUAUAAAUAACUUUUUGUGGUUAAUUGAAUUUGUAAUUACUCUUAGCCCUAUUCUAAAAUUUGUAGGCUGCCUCAAAAAAGAAUAAAAAAAAAUUUCUUACUCAUCUUUAAUCUUCAAGUAAAAAAAAAAUCUAAUAAAAUGAAAAACAAACAAACAAGUAAAAGACAGCAAACAAACAACAUUUAACCAACUGAUAUUUAAACAGGGAAUUCUUUCUUCUUCUUCCCCCCCCCCCCCCCCCCCCCCGGGCUCAUGGAUUAGAGUUUUUGCUAUUAACUGAAAGGUUUCAAGGGUCUGAAUAAAAUCCCAGACUUUUUUUUUUUAAUUAACCAAAGCCAUAUAAUAAGAUCACAGACUUUUAACAAUGAACAAUAAUUUGAAACUCAAGCAAAACCAAUGACAAGAUUAAAACAAACCAGAGAAAUUUUUUCUUGGAAAGUAGAUGAAAACUAAGUAAGAACUGCUAUUAAAGGAUAUUAUUAAAGGAUUUAGAACAUGUAUACCUCUUUAUUUAUAUGGGAUCAGAGAGUCGAUGACCUCCUCUAUUCGCUUCGGAUAUUAAGUAAGAAUUGCUAUCAAAAGAAUGAAUUGAUGAGAGUAAUAACAAUGAAUUGCAAAAGAGGAAGACUUAAUCACGUACCCCUAUUAUACCCGAUUUUUAAGAUUUAAUUUUGAAGUCCAGAAUCAAGACAAAAGACGAAGCCUUAACAAAUAUGCAGUGAGAAUAAUUAAGUUGAAGAAAGCACUAGUUUAUGGCUCAGUGUUAAGUUGAAGUUUAUGAAAUAAUUAACUAGUUUAUUAUGCUCAAGUCAGUUUUUGGGCCUUUGCCAAAAAACUUGUGCCACCACUCAUAUGGCUUAAUAAACAUUGUCUUAAAAACCAAAAGCUUUUUGAGUAAUUUGCAGAAAAAUGAAAUAGAGUGUAAAAGAAAGGAUUUUCCAUGAGAAGAAGAGAGAAAAAGAUGCCUUGCAGACCCCGAAAAAAUAAAUAAAUCCUCCUUUUAAGGUCACGCCCCACUCUCCUCUUUUCCCCUUUGUUCUCCUCCACUUACGGGAGUUAAGGAUGAGAUAAAAGUAAUGCCUCCACUCUCCAUUUUUUUCUCCUUUUUCCGUUACCAAACAUCAGUCCCCCAGUUUCUAGUGUUGAGAGUUUUAACGAAUCAAGACUGGAAACUAUAUGAAUUUUAAAGUGACAUCGAUGUGGUUGGCAUAAAUCGGCUCGGGAUUGCUAAAAUUAACCUUACUAUUAGCAAAAAAUUUCAAGUUUUAAACUUUUACUUGCCUUUAAAUAUACCAUUUUCCUACUCGCAUAAUCAUGUAAAGCAGGUUUCAUAAGUUCACGUAUUUAUCUCACCUGAAGUAAGUUUUGAGACUUAGUCAUUUAUCUGCUUUAGAAUAUUUUUCACUCAUAUAACUCUUGCUCGCCUAAUCUUGGUCGGGCAAGAGCAGGCAAACUUUGACUUCGUCUCACUACGAGGAGGUUUAGAGACUGUAAGCCUUUCACUUGAAGUACCCUUUUUUUUUUUUUUUUACUUUCUGCUUGCCUUCACAUGGUUGAGCAGAUUCUGGCAAGCUUGACUUCUUGUCUCGCCAUCGAGCAAACUUUGAGACUUUGAAGUCUUUUAUGUGCCUUAGAAACUUUCUUGGGAUUUUUGUUCUCUGCUCGCCUUUACAUGGUCGAGUAGAUUCUGGCGAGCUUGGCUUCCUAUCUCGCCAUCAAGGAGGCUUUGAGACUUUGGAGCCUUUGCUUGCCUUAGAAACUUUUUUGGAACUUUUGUGGUUUGCUCGCCUUCGCUUGGUCCAGCAGAUCCUGGCAUACUUGGCUUUCUGUCUCGCCAUAAAUAGGCUUUGAGACUUUGGAGCCUUUGCUUGCCUUAGAAACUUUUUUGGAAUUCUCAUUGUUUGUUCGCCUUCACAUGGUCGAGCAGCUUCUAGAGAGCUUGGCUUCCUGUCUCGCCAUCGAGGAGGCUUUGAGACUUUGGAGCCUUUGCUUGCCUUAGAAACUUUUUUGGAACUUUUGUGGUCUGCUCGCCUUCGCUUGAUCCAGCAGAUCCUGGCAUGCUUGGCUUCCUGUCUUGCUAUAAAAUAAGCUUUGAGACUUUGGAGCCUUUGCUUGCCUUAGAAGCUUUUUUGGAACUUUUGUGGUCUGCUCGCCUUCGCUUGGUCGAGCAGAUCCUGGCUCCUGUCUCACCAUAAAAUAGGCUUUGAGACUUUGGAGCCUUUGCGUGCCUUAGAAGAUUUUUGAAACUUUUUUGGUCUGCUCGCCUUCGCUUGGUCGAGCAGAUCCUGGCAUGCUUGGCUUCCUGUCUCACCAUAAAACAGGCUUGGAGACUUUGGAGCCUUUGCGUGCCUUAGAAGAUUUUUGAAACUUUUUUUGUCUGCUUGCCUUCGCUUGGUCGAGCAGAUCCUGGCAUGUUUGGCUUCUUGUCUCGCCAUAAAACAGGCUUUGAGACUUUAGAGCCUUUGCGUGCCUUCAAUGUGCUCUUAUUUGAGGUUUUUGCUUUAAAUCCUAAAAUAUGGACAACCAUCAAAAAUUUAAUUUCGGACUUGUAACUUAUAACUUGUCCAGAAAAUAGCUCACAUUUACAACUUGCGCUUUAGCUAUUUAUAUAUGUUUGGGCCUUUGAUGGAUAAACAUCCUUGGUGUUUUUAUUACCAUCUAUAAUAUUUGGUUAGCAAUAUUAUUAAAGACCUUUGCUAAAGGUGCGGAGCACCAUUUCCCAACACUAAAGAUAUUAAAAUUUAUAUAUAAAAUAAAUCAUAUUAUAUAAAAUAUGUAAUCAACAAAUAAAUGGUACCAUAAAAGUUUAAGCAAAGUCAUAUCACUGUAUCAAGGAAAUACGAUCUCAUGCUAACCCAAGUUCCAUCAAUCCUUCGGUCAAGCAUGUUGUGUGCUAAUAUAUGACUAUGCUAUAUAUUCUAUAAUAUGUAAUCCUUCGGUCAAGCAUGUUGUGUGCUAAUAUAUGACUAUGCUAUAUAUUCUAUAAUAUGUAAUCUUAACUAUUUUCUAUUAACGACUUAAUAAGUCAAAACCUCAUCCAUCAGAUUUUUGAAGUCAGGUAGUGGAUUUAAAGGAUAAAUAUAAAACUGGGGUUUUAGAACAAGUGCACCUGAGAUUGUGCUCUGCAUUAUUUCAUUAGUACUUCAUCAAACAAAUCCCGAGCUUGACUCUGCUUUGCUCCCUUCUUAGAAUUAUUCUUGCAAUAUUUUAACACGGGCACAAAAUGAAUAAAAUAUGAAGGAAACAAAAAUCCAACUUCAUCAAUUCUUUGAAGCUUGAAGACAUGCCUAUCAAUUCUCAUCAUCAAUAAAAAUUUGUUUUGUUUUAAAACCAUUAUUAAGGUUAGCCAAAAUACCAAUACUCGGCCUCAUCCAGAUUAUGCUAAUUAUACUUCUUCCAACACUCAUUAACGAUUAUGAGAAUUUGUGCAAUGUGGAUGACAGGUACUAUCAAAAGACAGCGAAUAUAUGCAUAAUUUCUAAUGUUCUCUUUGCGAAAAUAUAAUAAAGCUAUGGUUAAGAAUAACUCAUGCUCUCAAUCAGUUUGAUACUUAUAUUAAAUAAACUGAAACAGAACCUGGGUUUAGAUCUUGGCUCCUGGGCAACAUUCUCUCAAGCAUAUAUGUAGUGUAUGUAGUGUAAUCAGCAACAAACUCACUUUUGAACUUUCAUAUCCCUUGAGGCGAUUUAACGAACAGCUCCUGAUUUGAAUUUUAACAAUUCUGCCUCAACUUGUAAUGAACCGAGUUUUAUACCAGAAUUGUCUAUAUACUUUCCCUGCAUAGUCUUCACAUGAAAACUAGCUGCAUGAUUGAUUGAUGGGGUGUAAAACCAGUAGGAAAUAUCUUGAAGAAACCAAAGAUCCGUGGAUUUUUAUGCUUACCACCAAAUGAAUUUAACAAUUUGUGUAAUCUUUAUUUUAAGAAAUUGAACAUUGAUAAUACCGCAAAUCGAUUGCUCUUUUGAACAGACUUUAUAUCUUGAGUUCGAUGAAAAGAGAACAAUCAAUCAAGAAAUAUAAAUACAUCAGCAAAAUAAUGAUGGUAGUAGCAUUACACAUCUAAUUAGCCAUAACGAAGCCGAAUAAUUAGCCAUAAUAAAUCUGAACUGUUAACAUUAUGUCAAGCAUGUUGUUGGAAAAUAUUAAAUUAAUUCAUUUGCAAGUAUAAUAGCAUGUAAUCUUGAAUUAUGAAUGAAGCCCAUUCUAACAAGCUAAUUUUGUAAAGGAACAUUAUCAACGAAUUCCAAGGGAUAAUAUUCAAUUUCAGCAAAUAUAUCAUGCACGGUAUUGAAACAUGCAUGUUAUUAAAGAAUUUCCAAGCAUCUCUCAUUUGAUAAAUCAAUAAUCAUAGCAAUUGGAAAUUGAAUUUUAAUGACAAUAUACUUAAAGCAAUAAAUAAGCCAAAACCUUUACAGGUAAGCAUUCCAUCCAGCCUUGAUUGGCUUCCGUGUUUGAGCCAGCUUAUCAAUUUGUGCAUGAUAAUAUUCUGCCUUUGGCUUGGCCGGAUGAAAAAUUGGUAGAGACAAGAAGUUGGCUUUUUGUACCGAUUCCCCACAGACAGUGCCAAAUGUUGAUGCCCAAAUCUGAUCUAGUCUAUUAGCGACUUAAUAUCAAACUUCUACACCAGCAUUAGAUUUAUUUGGUAGAGAAUCGAUUGGUCAAUCGUCAAGAUGUCCUGCAACCACUAGCGAUUAACUUGCGAAUACUUAAAAUCAUAGAAGACGGUCAGAGGCGCUGAAAGUUUUUCCGACGUGAACCCUCCGACACUCAAGUCAGUUUCUGGGCCUUUGCCAAAAAACUUGUGCCACCACUCAUAUGGCUUAAUAAACAUUGCCUUAAAAACCAAAAGCUUUUUGAGUAAUUUGCAGAAAACUGAAAGAGUAUAAAAGAAAGGAUUUUCCAUGAGUGGAAGAGAGAAAAAGAUGCCCUGCAGACCCCGAAAACAUAAAUAAAUCCUCCUUUUAAGGUCAUGCCCCACUCCCCUCUUUUCCCCUUUGUUCUCCUCCACUUACGGAAGUUAAGGAUGAGAUAAAAGUAAUGCCUCCACUCUCCAUUUUUUUUUCUCCUUUUUCCGUUACCAAACACCUACAAAUCUUAUCCCUACUAAUAUGCUCUAUAAGCCAUUAUUCUUCUAAAAUUAUUAAAUGCCAUUCUUCAUUCAAGCUUUCAUGGACAUUAUUUACAAAUUGUUCUUGUAUUUGACAGAAAAAUGAAAACUCCUCGUCAUACAAAACUGCAUGAACAAAUCUUCUGUUUAAUUAUGAUAAAAUAAUAAAUUCCAUUAACAGAUUCUGCUGUAUGUUAAUGUGAGGGAUUUGAUCAGAUGAUCAUAUAAUUUACUACACGCUUUAAGAAGAACAAAAAUUGAUGACUUAAAAAUUAAAAAAUAAACAUAUAAAGAGUAGAUACAAAGAAUGUUAUUUGCAAUCAACAAACUGAAGAACAGGGGAAUGAUAACAGAGGACGGUUGCUGCAACAUUAUGAAGUCAAAAUUAAGAAAGGCAUUUUUUUCUUUUUUUUUUACAUUAUUCUAUUUAAUCUUAAAUUUUUACAAUCACCAAAUGGAAAAACAGGGGACUGAAAACAAAGAAGCCCUGUUUGCAGAAACAGGGGAGUUUCCGGGUUUCUGGAAACAAACUCAGAAACGAAUGAACUGGCUGCCGGCGGUACUUUCUAGAUAAAUCUCUUGGUGUAUAUAAGCUUUCAUGAUCUGGUUUUAGUCUGGUUAGGUUCAGCCACUGUGACUGUUAGGGAUUCUCGUAAACUGAAUUUAAAGUUGCGGCUUAAAGUGUUUACCAACUUAAAACCAGAGCUAUAAAGUGUUUGAUGAAUUAUUUUUUAAUUUAAAAAAAUAAAAAACUGAUUUAGCGGGAUAAAAUAAUGCUCCAUUCUGUUUAGUAUGUGAAGUCCAGAGUAUUACAAAGAGAUAACUGAAUCUUCAAUGUAAUAAAAUAAUGAUCAGCCUCAGAGGAUACAUAAAAAGCUCAUUUAUCACAACCAUAUCCUAGUGCAUCAUAAACUUGAUUAUUUAAUUUUACUAUUAGGAAACCUACUUAUAUAAGGCGCACACCACAAAUUCUAAAUUAAAUUUCUAACUAAGAAUAAAAGGUAAAGCCUAGCAAUUUUCCACCAGGUGCCGUGUAGCCUGCAUCAUAAAUUUUGAUUUAAAUCUUUGUAAUCACCGAACAGAAAAACCGGGGAAUGAAAACAGAGGAGCCCUAUUUUUCCAUUUUUUUAACCCUUAACUCUUGUUCUUCUAAUUAUAUUUUUGCUUGGAAUUUCAAGCAAACGAAAAAAAAAAAAGUGACAACUAUUUAGAGAGAGCAGGUGGAUGAUAGCAAAAAUAUUUUUAAUUAAUAUGCAUGAUUAACUCUUGUUCUUCUAAUGUAGUGGCUUGAUUAAUAUUUUUAAUCAAGCCACUACAUUAUUGGUAGUCUCUGUGGGCUCAUUUCGUCUCCAGACCUGAUAUUGUAUAUCUCUUUUUGAAUAUGUUUAAUUAAUAUGCAUGCUGCUGAAUAAAGACGAUGAUUUCCAAAUUUUUGUUGCUUUUUUUUUUUCUUUUUCUGCUUUGGUACAUGAAGAAUGUGGAAAUAGAAAUAGCUUUCGAAGUUUAAUGGCUUGCUUCAUUAGUAAAGAAAGACUAGGAUAUCUGUCCCUUUUUGUUACUGAAUUAUUGAUCAAUUGACGGUUGAAGUGUCAAAUGUGUUCUUUCCUUACAAUUGUAUAUGCUAUUAUUAAUAGAAAUUAUUAAAGGAUUUAGAACAAGUUCGCCUUUUUAAUUAUCUGGGAUGAUGAGUUUCUUUAUUCACCUUGAAUAUGUAAUAACAAUUUUAGUGAGCAAAAGAUCACUGGUAACUGCAGAGGAAUGUGUGAGUUAAGAGCUUAUUAGAGUAAGCAAUACAAAUGAAUUUUCAAAUUAUGUACUUGGUCACUGUUGUCCUACUGUCGCACGUAUUUUUUCAUGAAUAAUUGCCAGAUCAGAAAAGAAUAAAUUCGGUUGGCUGAAGUAAGUAAAACAAUCUUCAUAUCGAACAUGAUUCCAAUUAAAUUAAGCUUUUUGUAAGAUGACUAAUAAAAGAUAAAAGUAGAAGCUUUGAUGAAUGAACGAGGACCAAAACUUUUGUAAAAGCGGAUGCCGAUAAAAUAAACAAAAGGCACUUUAAAAAGAAACUAAAGUGCGAUCAUCAAAGUAAGAUCACUAAUGAUGCUUCGCUAUUACAAGGUCCGCAUGGACAUUAUUGAGUUCUGCUAUUUGAACUACGCGAAGACAAAACAAAGACAGAAAAAUUGACACUGUUACUUCAACGGCUGUUUAUUACUUUUUGAAUUUAAAAAAUAAAAUAAUCAAAAGAAAAAGGAAAAGGAAAAGUAACGAAAAAAAAGAAAUAAAAUAAUCAAAAGAAAAAAAAAAGAUUACUUUUUGAGUUAAUCUUUCUCCAUCUCUCAUCUCUGCUAUCUGCGUUCACGCACAAAGAAAAAACUCUUCAUCUCACCAUUUUCAUCUCUUUGCAUCUCACCAGUUCCGCAUCUCAGUUACCAUAAGGAAGAAGUUAGAUCUAGAUCUAUAAACAGAGAUUUUGAUAAAAUUAGUACUGAUUAAUUAGUAAGUUAGUGACUCUCACUAUAUUCAAAUAAAAUUUUUAUUGUGUUCUAUAUAUUUAAAUGAUUAGAAUAUUUAAUUUAAAUUGUAAAAAUUCGUAAAUUUUUAUUUUUUAUAUAUUUAAAUUGUUAUGAAUUGUUAUGAUUUUUUUAAUUUAAAUGGUUGUUAAAUAAUGGAAUAGAUUAUAACAAUUUCUGAAUGUGUUUUAUGAACUUUAAAUUUUUAAAAUUAUGUUAGAUUUGACUUUAAAUCUUUGAAAUUGUAGUGAUGGAAUAAUAUUUUGUGUUAAAUUAAAUUUUUAAUUUUUGAAAUUAUGUUAGAUUUGUUUAAUUUUGUCCGCUUGCAAUUUAUUUGUUCACGCUAUCAUGAAGUGAUAUUAUAUAGGCAUCGAUGGUUUUUUAAUUAUUACAAAAUAUUAUUUUUUAAUUAUUUAACAAAAAUUGAUACAAAAUAUUAAUUUUGUAUGACUGAGAGAUACAUAGGGUUAAACAGGACGAGUAGAGAAAGGAACGAAUGAAAAAUAAGUGGAAUGAACAAAGUAAUUAACGAGAAUGAAUAGAGGGGACAAAGUGGAGAACGAGUAGUUGAGGAUGAGAAUAAGUGGAUCAGAUUUUAAAUAAUAAAGAUAUUUAAAAAAUUUUCAUUUUUUAUUAUAAUAUUUGUUGUUGGUCCCACCAAAAAAUUGGAUGAGAGCAGGCGUGAAAGAGCAUUUUUUUUCAUUUUUAUUCUUUAUUUUAAUAAUUGUUAUCGGUCCCACAAAAAAAGAAAAUUGAAUGAGGAAAGGCGUGAAACGGCAGCCAAUUUCUGUCGUCCCAUCGUCGUGCUUUCGUCUAUUUACCAUUUCUCGACAUUAUUUACAAAUUGUUCUUAUGUUUCACAGAAAAAUGAAACACUGUUCAUCAUACAAAAUUGCAUGACCGAAUCUUCAAUUUUUAUAAUUAUAAAAUAAUGGAUUAUGUGUAUGUUAAUGUUACGGAUAUGAUCAGAUCAUCAUAUAAGUUACUAGACGCAUUAACAAGAACAAGAUCUAAUGAGCUAAAAGUUUUUUUUUUAAAUUAAAUAAAUAAAGAGUAAAAGUAAAAAAAAAUGUUAUUUGCAAUCACUAAAAUGAAAACAGAGGAGCCCUGUUUUUCCUCUCGUUUCUCUUUCUCUCUUUUUCAAGUAGUAGAAAAUGAUAACAGAGUUUGAGAGCUCACUGCUUUCAUUAGUUGGAAAGUGUCGCCUAAAACACUUCCUCUGCUAGGUGGAAUUGUUGGCUUGAAGAGAAGAGUUCUUGUUACAAGCACAAAUUUUAGCUGUACAUUAUUUCCUUUUAAAUGCACCAUUGUUGCACAGAUUUGAACCCUAUGAUCAUUAGUUUUUUGUUUUGAUUUGGUUAGUUCGUGAUGACAAAUAAAUUAUUUUCAUCACAUUAUGGUAAAAAGUUGCCCUCUUUGUUACUUCCACAGCUAUUUAGUUUAAUAUUUUGUAAUAAGAUCACAAAGUGCAUGGGACCUAUUGUUCGGGUACUUAGCCUAAAAUGAAGAUCUAUUAAAAAUUUCCCUGAUGUCAUGAUAUAAAACAAUAAAAGGUACCAACUUCAGCUUAAAUUCAUAUAAAAUUAAACCUUACCACAUACUGUAUUGAAACAAAUUACUCAUCUUUAUUGGUAACAUCAUCACCUUCAUAAAAUAUAUGGUAUCGUACAAAGUUCUUGCGCUGGGUUCGGGCAUCUAACAACGAGGACACAGCAACCUAUUCGCUAGGUUAGAGACCAAAGAGCCAACAGCAAAUGUGCACGACGCAUGUCACUAUCAUGAAAACAACAUUCUUUUUCUUUUUUUUUUCUCCUCAAUAAUUUCAGAUAUAAUAUUUUAACUAAGUUUGUAACACUGUUGAUUGAAAUUAUCAAGUACGAAUGUGUGUAGAUUUUAACAUGUGCACUCAUAAUUAUUAUUGUGCAGUUUUAGACUUAGUUGGGUAUUGAGGUGCUAAAACUUUUGCCGUAAGAAAAAAAAGUUUUAAGUAUAAAAUAAAAUUUAAUAGUAUCUAAUAAAUUUAGUUUUUUAAUAAUAUGUUGAGUACAUAAAAGCCCCAGGUCGGCCAUGCUACUAUUUUCACCCCGGCAUGGAUCACCUUAGCCAAAUGGUAUGAGCAGAACGCAGGAUAAACACGAGCCAACCAGAGACGAGUACCGGCCAGGGUAAUGUACCGACCAGAAUCAUAUACCGAGCCGACACCAAUUCCCCAAAAAAGCGGGAACACGAUCCCACAGAAUCACGGUAGUUGCGCUUUUCCCAGAACCGUUGUGGGAGAUGCGAGAUCCCACGUUUGCCCACAAUGUAGCAGUUAAAAUCCCAUGAGAGGCUACCACUACCCGAGAAAGGGGGGGAUGAAGGGUGAGUGAAAACGUGGGACAGCGGCUAUAAAAGAAGAAGAAACCGAUUAAGAAGGGGAGAGAAAAAUUGAGAGAGGGAAAACGCUGCCAAAUUGCAAUCAUGCCAUUUUCUGACAAGACUCCGAAUAAUUUAGAAACCAUUUUUAGAUCUAAAUUGCACUGUUUUCCCGUAAACACCUUGAGCUAACUUAGGCAUUGGAGGGUUUUCGCCGGCAAAACCACCGGCGACUCUGAUCCGUUUUUGGUGAACGCAGGUCUAGUAAGAGAAAGGAGGGUGAUUCCAACCUCAGAGGUUCGAGCAACAGUCGAUAACGUAAACGUUGGUGAAAGAAUCUGGUCGGUCAAAAGGCGAGCAGAUUUAAGCAUCAACAUUUUGGCGCCGUCUGUGGGGAGCUGGAUAAAAAGCUACCACCGAAUUAGUAGUUACCGGAGAAACAACGAACGAUUAGACAUGGAUUUGCCAAGGAAGGACGCUUUGAGGGAGGAUAACGAAUCGGGGGAGACAAGCACCCUUCGGGAAAUUGCAAAUGAAGCCCGAGAGAGGGUGAUGCAAGAUCGAUUGGAAUAGAUGGAGAAGCAAAUGGAGACUCUCGCUACCAUACUGAAUGAGCUGAGAGAUGAGCGGAGAAGGGAUUGCGAAAUCCCCGUGGGGAGAGAUGAUGUGGGAGCAGAACCCAACCUCCGGAGGCGUAGAGUCGAGGAGAUCCCUCCGCCGGUGGACCAACCUUAUGGGGUGCAUCCCCACAGAAGCACUGGUUGAGUUCCUGGAGAACAAAUAGAUGAAGGGAGGAACUAACCUCGCCCCAGGCGAGCACUGGAAGCUGAUGGCCGAGGAGCCAGUGCUGAUGAAGGAGAGUUAAGACAGCGGUUGCAGAAUGUCGAGCAGGAGCGAGAUCAGAUAGCUGCACGUGAUCCUGACCGUGAUGUAGAAUUGGAGGGAGAGGUGCGCAGAUUAGCGCAAGUGAUAAAGGAGAUACAGGGUAAGAGGAAGCCCCCGAGCUGGAGGAUAAUGCUAGAUGAAGAAUCUCCACUAUCAACUGAGAUCGUGGGUACCAUAAUCCCAAGAGAUUUCCGCUUCCCCGACCUCAAAUACUCCGAGCGAAGUGACCCGCUGGUGCACAUUGAGCGUUUCAACGACAUGAUAGGUGUGCAGGGGCUGACACCAGCUCAGAGGUGCAGGGUGUUCCCGUUGACAUUAGAGGGACGAGCCCGAGAAUGGUACCGCAAGCUGCCCCGAGGAAGUAUAAAGGGGUAUGAGCAGAUGUGCCAGGAGUUGGCCGAGUAGUUCCGAGGGGCAGUGGCCCCAGAGGACGACAUGAUGGAACUGAUGAGGAUGAAACAGGAGGAGCAUGAAUCCCUUCGAGAUUUUGUAAAACGAUAUCACCGAGCCGUGCUAGAUCUGGGGGCUUUUAAUCACCCGCAGGCGUUGAGGGGAUUAAAAGAAGGUGUAAGAAUCGGCCGACUGUGGUAUAACUUAAGAAGCCCCCUUGUACAGAAUUACUCGUCGGGGUAUGAGCAGGCGAGGCGAGAUAUAGAAAUCGAAGAGGAGAAAUCAGCAAGAAUAAAAAGUGAACAGCUGGACGAGCUGAGGCGAAAGGAACGGAGAGCCCCAACAGGGAGCGGGUCGGGAAAACGAGCUGGAGAAUCUUCAGUGAUGGGCGGAAUAUCGGCUCGGUCCCGCCCUUACCCCAUAGCUCCGAGAUCGCAGCAGUUCCAGCACAACCGGGCUCAACCUCCGCGUCCCCCAUUUCCGGAUCGGCAACGAGAAUUCCGGCAGAUGGCUGCCCACCCCUAUCACAACACUCCCAGAGCAUUACAUGCAACCAAUUCCAGGGCUAGUCGACCAGAUCAGUUAGCAACUGGGCCAGCCUGAGGUGACAUUCAUGAUAGCCGAGCAGUUCAGCUGGUAGACCAGAGCUUGGCGUAUAGACAGUACACUCCAUUAAAGAUCUCCAUGGAGGAAUUGUAUGAGAGGAUCGAGGGACGAGGCUUGUUAUACCCUCCAGCCCCUAUAACAAAACCGGCUCACCGACGGGAUAAGAGCAAAUUCUGCAAAUUCCACGACACUCAUGGUCACACUAUCAGCCAAUGUCGUGACCUGAAAAUUCAGGUGGAAGAUUUGGUGAGAAACCGUUAUUUGGACGAAUAUGUAGAUGGAAUGUCCCCCGUCACUGAAUCACAGUACACGCGGGAUGAAGGAGCUGAGAUGGGCCUGGAACGUGAACAGCCGACUAUCCGUAUAAUAGCAGGGGGGCCAACAUUGGCUGGGGAUUCGAACAGGGCACGGGAGAACUAUGGGAGAUAUGCCCUGACUAGCAAAGAAGUGCUUUUCAAUUUUCCGGCAACCAAGAAGGCAAAAGUGCGGCAAGUUCCCAUUAUGUGGACAGAUGACGAUGAAGAGGGUAUCUUAUAUCCGCAUGAGGAUGCAUUGGUGAUCAAGGCAAUGGUGGCUGGUACAGAAUUGCGACGAAUACUAAUAGACACAGGCAGCUCGGUUGACAUCCUGUUUAAGUCGGCUCUAGAUGAUAUGGGGAUUGCAGACUUGAAAUUGGAGCGGACAAAUACAUCCUUAAAGGGAUUUGGAGGGGGAUGGUUAACUCCCAUGGGGAUCACCGAACUCCCAAUUACUAUGGGGACAAAGCCAUUUGAAAGAACAAUGAUGCUGGAUUUUGUCGUGGUAGAGAAAAGAAGCCCUUACCAGAUGAUACUGGAGAGACCGUUCAUGAGGAUAAGCCAAUGUGUUGUAUCCACGCAUUACUUGGCACUGAAAUACAGAGUAAAUGGGGUGGUUGGCGUAGUAAAAAGCGACCAGAGGAUGGCAAGGAGUUGUUAUGCUACAGCAGCCAAGGAGACACUGCAGGUUACUUCUCUAGAUAAUCGAGGAAAGUCUAAAAAGGGCCGCCAAGAGCCUGUUGAGAAGCUGGAGGAAGUUGCGGUAAGCAAAAGCAACCCGAGCAGAGUAGUGAAGAUCGGGUCAGGAUUGGUUGGGGCAGUAAAAGGCGAGCUGAUAAAUUACCUACAGUCUCAUGCGGAUAUAUUCGCCUGGUCUCAUGAAGAUAUGCCCGGAAUUGAUCGCGGGGUAGCUUGCCACAAGUUGGCAAUCAAGAAGGGGGUAAGGCCGGUGAGACAGAAGAGGAGAUGCUUCAACCAGGAAAGGUACGAGGCCAUAAACGCCGAGGUGGAGAAGCUGUUGAAAGCAGGAUUUAUAAGGGAAGCCAAGUACCCAGAAUGGAUUUCAAAUGUCGUCCUGGUAAAAAAGGCCAACGGGAAGUGGAGAAUGUGUGUGGACUUCACGGACCUCAAUAAGGCAUGCCCAAAGGACAACUUUCCCCUACCCAAAAUAGAUCAGCUGGUGGACUCAACAGCAGGUCACAGUCUGCUCAGUUUCAUUGAUGCCUUUUUCUGGAUACAACCAGAUACCCAUGGACGAGCAGGAUGAGGAGAGCACUGCCUUUAUAACUAACAUGGGUUUGUUUUGCUACAGGGUAAUGCCUUUCGGCCUAAAAAAUGCAGGAGCCACCUAUCAAAGGUUGGUAAACAAGAUCUUCAAACCGUUGAUUGGACACACUAUGGAGGUAUAUGUGGAUGAUAUGAUUACGAAGUCCAAAGAGCCGAGGGAUCAUGUGAAGCAUCUAGAAGAGACCUUUGAAUUGCUGAGGAAGUAUGAGAUGAAACUAAACCCGGAGAAAUGCGCAUUUGGGGUAAGCUCGGGCAAAUUUCUGGGAUUCCUGGUAAGCCACCAAGGGAUUAAGGCCAACCCCGAAAAAAUACGAGCGGUUACAGAUAUGAGAUCUCCGCGGACAGUUAAAGAGGUGCAGAGCCUUACAGAGAAGUUGGCAGCAUUGAACCGAUUCAUCUCGCGGGCCACAGAUAAAUGCCACCCUUUCUUCCAAAUCAUAAAGAAAGGGAGAAAGAUGGAAUGGACAUUAGAGUGCGAGGAAGCAUUUGGGCAACUGAAGGAAUAUCUGGCCCGUGCACCGUUACUGUCAACUCCGAGAGAGGGUGACCAGCUGUUUUUGUACUUGGCAAUCUCCAAGCAAGCUACCAGCUCAGUCUUAGUCAGGGAAGAAGAAGGGAAGCAACACCCGGUAUACUACACGAGCAAGGCCCUGGUGGACGCAGAAACCAGAUAUCCACUAAUGGAGAAGUGGGCGCUGGCUCUGAUAACGGCAGCACGCAAACUCCGACCAUAUUUCCAAGCCCACCAGAUCGUUGUGAUGACUGACCAGCCCCUUCGGCAAGUGCUUCAAAAACCAGAUGCGUCUGGUCGGUUAGUAAAAUGGUCAGUGGAGCUGAGCGAAUUUGACCUGACCUACAGGCCCCGAGGAGCAAUCAAGGCCCAAGCCCUGGUAGAAUUUAUGGUAGACCGAGCUGAGCCAGGGGAAGGAGAUCGGGAGUAGCAACCGUUAGAGCAGGAGAAAACAGAGGGGAUGUGGUUGGUAAUGGUUGACGGAUCAUGUAGUGAGCAAGGAUCCGGAGCAGGAGUUGUAAUACGGAGCCUAGAAGGAUCCGAAAUAACGUAUGCAGUAAAGUUUGAAUUUCAGCUCGCAAACAACCAAGCUGAAUAUGAAGCCUUUAUCACCGGGCUCGGACUCGCACAUGCCUUAAAAGCAAAAAGGGUAAAAAUUCGAGCAGAUUCCCAAUUGGUAUGUAAUCAGCUCAAUGAUCAGUUCCAAGCAAGGGGAGAGAAGAUGGGCCUUUAUUUGAAGAAGGCGAAGUAGAUGGUCGGGCUUUUCCAAGAGGUGGAGGUGAAGCAGAUAUCUCGGAAUGAGAAUUACCGAGCAGAUAUUUUGGCUAGGAUGGCUGCAGUUGCAGAUCCGAAAUUACCUAAGUCGGUUCCACUAGAGGUAAGGACCUCGCCAAGUAUAGGAGAGGAGGUAGAGGUGAUGAGAGUAUGCAUUGGAGAAUCAUGGAUGGACCCGAUUCGCGCAUAUAUCCGGGAUGGAAUCUUACCAGAGGACAAACAGCAAGCCAGGAGAUUAAAAUGCCGAGCAGCGAGGUACACUCUACUAGAUGGAGUGCUGUAUCGCCGAGGGUUCACCUUACCCCUUUUGAGAUGUGUGGAUGAUGAGGAGGCAGAUUAUGUACUGAGGGAGAUUCAUGAAGGAAUAUACGGCAAUCACUCGGGAGCAAGAACUUUAGCCUUCAAGGCACUCCGGCAAGGAUACUUUUGGCCAACUAUGCACCAGGAUGCGAAAAGGAUGGCAAAGAACUGUAAAACCUGCCAAAGCUUCUCUAAGGUUCCUGCACAACCCCCAGAGAAGCUGACCACUAUGACAUCCCCGUGGCCUUUCGCUCAAUGGGGAAUCGACUUGAUUGGUCCGUUACCUAAGGGCCGAGGAGCGGCGACACAUGCAAUUGUGGCAAUAGACUACUUCACCAAGUGGGUAGAAGCGGGAGUCCUCAGCCAAAUCACCGAGAGGAAGACAACAGAUUUUAUUUGGAGAAAUAUCAUUUGCAGAUACGGGAUCCCCUAUGCCAUCAUUACAGAUAAUGGGAGACAAUUUGACAACAGCAACUUCAGGGAAUUUUGCCGAAAUUUGGGGGUGGACCUGAAGUUCUGCACCCUCGCACACCCCCAGGCAAACGGACAAGUGGAAGCAGCCAACAAAGUAAUAAAAAAGCUUUUGAAAACUAGAUUGGGAGAGAAGAAGGGAGCCUGGGUUGACGAACUACCAGGAGUAUUAUGGGCCUACCGGACAACUCACAAAACCGCCACAGGGGAAACCCCGUUCGCUUUAGCCUUUGGUCAUGAGGCGGUAAUCCCAGCAGAAAUCGGAGUAGGAACACAUCGAACAGAAUAUUUCGCUGAGGAGAAAAACGACGAGCAGAUCUGCUUAAACCUGGACCUGCUGGAGGAGAAAAGGGAAGGGGCCUCGCAGAGAGUGGCCCAGUGUCAGCAACGGGUCAUGCGCUAUUACAACAAGAACGUACGCGUGAGGCAGUUCCGAGCAGGAGAUUGGGUACUUAGGAAGGUGAACCAAAACACCAGGAAUCCUAACCAUGGCGCUCUUGGCCCAAAGUGGGAAGGCCCGUAUAGGGUGGUACGAGCCACUGGACCAGGAGCUUAUAAGUUAGCGUACCUAGAUGGACGAGACGUGAGGAGGUCAUGGAACGCCGAGCACUUGAAGAAGUAUUUCCAGUAAGCAAAGUGCUCUACCAAAUCUUCAUUUUGACAAAUUGUUUGUGUUAACUGCAUGAUGGCUUGAUGCAUAUGUAUGUAUUCAGUAUUUUUGUAACACAUUCAUGUUUCAAAUAAAGAUGAAUUCAGCAUGAAAUCCCCCUACUAGCAAAGCCAAAUAAAAAUUCUACGAAGGCAAGCAAAUGCCUACUUCUGCUUGGUCAACGAAAGACCAGCAGCUAAUUUUACGAGAAAUUCACUAAGGAAAGUGAGUGCCUGUUUCUGCUCGGUCAACGAAAGACCAGCAGCUAAUUCCGCAAAAAUUCUAUUAAGGCAAAUAAGUGCCUAUUUCUGCUCGGACAACGAUAGACCAGCAGCUAAUCUACGAAAAUUCUACUAAGGCAAGUAAAUGUCUGAUUCUGCUCGAUCAAUGAAAGACCAGCAGCUAAUCUACGAAAAUUCUACUAAGGCAAGUAAAUGCCUGAUUCUGCUCGGUCAAUGAAAGACCAGCGGCUAAUCUACGAAAAUUCUACUAAGGCAAGAAAAUGCCUGCCUCUGCUCGGUCAACGAAAGACCAGCAGCUAAUCUACUAAGGCAAGUAAAUGCCUGCCUCUGCUCGGUCAAACGAAAGACCAGCAGCUAAUCUACUAAGGCAAGAAAGUGCCUGCCUCUGCUCGGUCAGCGAAAGACCAGCAGCUAAUCUACGAAGGCAAGUGAGUGCCUGCUUCUGCUCGGUCAACAAAAGACCAGCAACUAAUCCUACGAAAAUCCUACUAAGGCAUGAAAGUGUCUACUUCUGCUCGGUCAACGAAGGACCAGCAGCUAAAUUUAUGAGACUUUUACUAAGGCAAAUAUGUGUCUGCUCCUGCUCAGUCACCGAAGACCAGCAGGCGAUUUUGCGAAAAUUUUUACCAAGGCAAACGGAUGCCUAUUCCUGUUCGAUGCACUAAAGAACCAACAGGCGAAACCAGACAAAAAAGCCAAUAGAGAGCAUUUAAAAAAUUUUAUAAACGUUCAAAUGUUUACAAAGCAAAUGAAAAACUAGAGUCUUUACAAAAAUAGACCUAAGGAUUAGGAGGAUCAACGGCCUCAGCAGGUGAAGGGUCAGCUAUCUCGGGAGGUGGAAGGUCAGCAAUAUCGGGAGGAGGAGGCACGGACCCCUGCCCCACUUCAAAAACACGCUGCCCAGCUUCUCCCUCCUGCACCCCAUUCAAAGGAACCUCCACCUGCUCCUGCUCAUCCUGCUCCUUAUCUCCUUGGCCGGCCCCAGCCAUAUACCUCUCCACCCCAGAUUCCAGCUUGCUCAUGUCGAGCUCGGGGUAUUCUUCCUUGAGUACAGACAUGAUGCACUUAUAGCUGAAAGCAACCCCGGAGUUAUACUCAGCAUCCAACCGAUCAUCCACAUCAGCGGAUUUGCCUUUCUCUUCAGCCAGCUGGUCACUCAGGGAUUUGAUCUCUCCCUCAAGGGCGGUCCUCAGAGUAUCUCUUUCACUUUGAGUAGCCUGAAGAUCGGACUUCAGAUCACCCAGCUCACCCUCAAGCUUGGAGGAAGUAGACUCAGCAACCGCAACUUUCUCCUCAAGCUCCGUAAGCUGCUUGUUCAGCUCGGCCAGCUUCUCUUUGGACCGAUCAGCAGAUUCGGCUUUCUUUUUCAACUCCUGGUUAUCAGCUUGAAGCUUCCUCUCAUGACGCGCGGACCCGGUCUUGUAGCACGAGACCAUUGUGGCCAGCCUGAAAGAGACUCUUUGAACAGAAGCAGCUAACUCGGAGAGGUCCAUGCUCUCGAUGUCCUUCACCAUCUUGGGCCCAACCGAUUUUUUGUAAUCUUUCUGGUAUAGGCUCAGGUAGUCACCUUGAUCCCGAGAUGGAAGAGGAGCAGAUCGGUCCCCAGACUGCAAGCUGACCUCAGGACUCUUGUCGGAGGUUUUCUCCCCACCACUCUUACAGGGUGGGGGAGGGGGCAGAGCAGGGACAGGAGCCUUGGAGGGGCCGACACUAUUCUUCUUUGGAGGAGGAGGAAGGUUGCUGGAGCUGCUUGGAGCCCGACCACGCUUCCUGCUCAUUGCGCUGAGGAUCUUGUUAUCCAUUCCAGCGGCUAUGUCCACUAGGCCCGAACCGACCAGGUUUGUUGGUGACAGGAGGUCUUGGCAGGUAGACGCGUUCACCAGAGCAGUUUCCACCUGAAGCAAAGGCCGAUCUUCAAGCCCCUUUAUCAAACCCCACGACUCUGAAAGAACAAACAAGGUUAAAGAACCCAAUAAGUAACAAGUCGAGAAAGAGUAUAGGCAAAAAAUAAACGACCUGGGGUGACAAAAUGUGUUGGAAGGUAAAUAUCACCACCCAACGAAUGAGCUGCUGGACACUAAGCUCCUCCAGCAAAGAAGAAUUUGUUCUUCCAAUUUUUGCACGAGGAGGGGAAGCCGGUGAUUGGUUUCCUCUUCGCAGAGCUUGACAUGAAGUAAUACCAGCUUGCUUCCUUCGGGCUACUCCUCAGCUGGUAUAGAUGCUUCACUUCAACGAGGGAGGGCUCCUCUGAUCCACACCUCUUCCACAACACAUAUAUAGCCGAGAGAACCCUCCACCCAUUGGGAUAUAGCUGACCUAGGGCCAGAUGCAUACCACCCAAUAUCUUAGCGAAAUAACGUUAAAGGGGCAGCCGAGCUCCUAAUUUGAAGCUCUCCAGGUGCAUCGUCACAUACCCCCGCGGAGGCCGACUAGGGACGUCACCUUUUCCUGGAACUACCAGGAGAAUCUCCGCAGGAAUGUCGUAAAGGUUCCUCAGCUUGAACAGAUCAGUUUGGGUGGUGACACAAGCUGUGUAGUCAAUAGGGUAAAAAUCCGCCUCUACCCUAUGACCAAGGUGCCUUCUCUGAGGAGGUCCGCUCGGUCCAGAGCUGCUCCCCUCACCAUCACCAACUCCUUCAAGGAUCCCAACCCCAUCAAAGCUGUGCUUCUCACCAGAGCCCGACGCAGGUCCACCUCUAUUCCCUACAAGCUCUAGUUCGGGGGAGGGAGAGACAACCAAAGGGCGUGGGUACUCAAGGGUAUCCCUGCCAUGGGAAGGACCUACACUACUGGAGGGACCUAAGAAAUCGGUGGGUAUUGGCACGUUGAGGCCCGAAUCCCCUGAUUCUUCCUCGCCCUCAUCAACAAUUAACUUUCUUUUCCGGUUUGACAUAUCGGAAUCCCAAAAGAAAGCAAAGAAAACUCGAAUGUACGGAUACAAAAGGGGGCAACACGGAACCCAAUCAACAACAACAAGAGAAGAGAUUAAAAGCAGUACCUGAGAUUAACUGGCCCUGAUAGCGCUGCCGUGACAGAGAAAAAACCAGCAAGUAGAAACUCCGGACGCAGGAAGUGUGAGUAAAGUUCAGAGAGGGGGCUGGUUAACGGUGGAGAAACGGAUAAACAAAGCAAUGAGGAUUUCAACCUAGGGAUUUGAAGUGAAAAGGGGAAAGAUAGAAGCAUUUAAGUGAUGAGGAUGCCAGCUCACUCACCACAUAUCGAGGGUGGAUAGCCCGUCGUUUCAAAUUUCAAAUACGAAGAGUCUGGUGAUGCCACGUCACUAACCGUUACAAGAGGCCAGGAUAGAUGUAAGCCCAGAUAUGCAAUGGACAUGUUCACUUAGGCCCAUGCUCAGGUCGGAGUCUCCCCAGAAGAAAAAUGGUACAUCAGGUCAGGCCCAUCCCAAUAAACAGAGGACCAGAUGAGAAGCUCCCCGGGUUGGUGAGAUUUGACCAUCAGUUUCUACUCUUAACUCAUUUCACUCGCCAGACCAGAAACUGGGGGACUGGUGUUGAGUACAUAAAAGCCCCAGGUCGGCCAUGCUACUAUUUCCACCCCGGCAUGGAUCACCUCAGCCAAAUGGUAUAAGCAGAACGCGGGAUAAACACGAGCCAACCAGAGACGAGUACCGGCCAGGGUAAUGUACCGACCAGAAUCAUAUACCGAGCCGACACCAAUUCCCCAAAAAAGCGGGAACAUGAUCCCACAGAAUCACUGUAGUUGCGCUUUUCCCAGAACCGUUGUGGGAGAUGCGAGAUCCCACGUUUGCCCACAAUGUAGCAGUUAAAAUCCCAUGAGAGGCUACCACUACCCGAGAAAGGGGGGGAUGAAGGGUGAGUGAAAACGUGGGACAGCGGCUAUAAAAGAAGAAGAAACCGAUUAAGAAGGGGAGAGAAAAAUUGAGAGAGGGAAAACGCUGCCAAAUUGCAAUCAGGCCAUUUUCUGACAAGACUCCGAAUAAUUUAGAAACCAUUUUUAGAUCUAAAUUGCACUGUUUUCCCGUAAACACCUUGAGCUAACUUAGGCAUCGGAGGGUUUUCGCCGGAAAAACCACCGUCGACUCUGAUCCGUUUUUGGUGAACGCAGGUUUAGUAAGAGAAAGGAGGGUGAUUCCAACCUCAGAGGUUCGAGCAACAGUCGAUAACGUAAACGUUGGUGAAAGAAUCUGGUCGGUCAAAAGGCGAGCAGAUUUAAGCAUCAACAUAAUAAUUUUGAUAAAAUUAGAAAAGAUAUAAUAAUUUUUUUAUUAUAUAAGUGUAAAAUCAAAUCAUCUUAACUUCUAAACUACAACAACUAUAACAUUUGAACUAUUCAAUCUCAAUUCCUAAUAGACUCUUAAUUUAUAAUUAGAUUGUCACUAAAAGAUUUUAAGUAUGUAUUUUAGAAUUUAACGAAUACACUUUUAAACUACCUUUGCCGGAUGAAAUGUUGGGAAAUUUUUAUUAAGAUCCAAAAGUAUUUGAAAUAAAUUUAUGUUUUUAUGAUGCCAAAAAAAAUAAAAAAUUAUGAACAUUUUUGUGAAGCUUAGGCGAAAAUUUUUGUUAGGCUCUAUUGGGCUAGAUGAGCAGCUCGGGCAGUUAAUUGUCGCCCAAGAAGCCCAACCCAGAUUACAACAAGCUGGGAUUUAGUUAGCUCGUUGACGGCCAUUUGGGUAUGCAUGAAUUGGGUGGAUGAUUAAUAAAUACGUUUUAUUAAUUAUUUCGCCGAUUGGGAUAUUCUCCUAAUUUAAUCUUUUCUAAUAUUAUAAUAAAGAGAUUUUGACAUGUGUAAUACAUGUGUUAUUUUAAUAAUCCAAUAGAUAAUAUCUACUUUAUUUUUAUCUUUCGUUAUUAAAUACAAAAACACUAAUAAAAAAAAAAUGACUUAACUCUUUUUAUAUUUUUAAUUUUUAUUUAUUUCCUUUUAUUGCUUUCCUAGCAAUGUUCAUCUUUUUACUAUACAACAUCCAUAACCUUAACUUUGGAAAUAAAAGAGAAUAUGUGAAAGUAUAAGUAGGAGAAAGACUUCAUUGAAAUCAAACAAAUUGGGCAACGUUAGAUUUUUCUUUAAAAUUCUCAUGAGAUAUUAAUUAGUAGUAUUAUCACUGCUGCCUGCCUAUUUCUAACCUCAACCAAUAUAUGAUCAAUGCUUGAUUUGGUCAAUCUAAAUAAUUAUGAUCGAUGAUUGGAUAUUGUUGAAGGGCGGCCCUAAGGAUGAGAGAGGGGAAUGCGUGUGCAAGCCACAUGUGUGAAGAAAAAGAAAAAGGCAAGAGUGAAGAUGACGACGAUUAAAAUCUUGUUUGAUUUCUUUUUCUGAUAAUUUUGUUAAUCUGCUGUUGUUAGUUCCAAAAUUUUAGUUAGCAACAAAAUGACAUGUUUUUGUGUUUAAUAAGGAAAAAGUAAAUAAUAUAUUUUCUAUAGGAUUCUUAGAAUGGAUUAGAUUAGACUACGGAGAGAAAUAUAUUUGAGAAUAUUAGUGUUGAGUUAUUCUAAUGUCUUUAAUAGUAAAUUCAAUUAAGACUAUUUUAGUAAUAUAUUUUUUUUAUUGAAAUUAGAGUGUUCAAAGUUAUAAAUAAAAAAUUCAAUAAUUUUUUAUUGAAUUUAUAUAACUCUGGAUUCUUUUUUUUUUUUUCCAACACUGAUAUGGUUCUGUUCUGUGUAUUUAUAUACAAUUUAAUGUUUACAUACAAAUUAAAUAAGAUCAAUUUAAUGUUUAUAUACAAUCCUUCAAGUCGUAACUCAAUUUUAUGGAGGUUUAUACAUCUGCACGCAUUCCUUGAAUUUCUCCUAGAUUGGAACUUCUUAAUUGAUCCAAUGCAUUUUUCCAACAGUCAAGAUCCUUAGUUGUCAGAGCAUUUGCAAUCGUACUCAGUGCACCAGGCAAACCUCCGCAUCUUUCAACGAUCGAGGAGUAUUUUUGUUGAAUCACCGACUAUAUUCUCAAAUAACUGCAAUGCUUCUUUUUUUGAUAACGCAUCGAUCGAGGAAUUUUUCUGAGAUUUCAUAUCAUUGCACAAUAAUAAAUCUCGACUUCUAGACGUCAAUAUUAUUUUGCAUUGUCUCUGAUCGUCAACAUCCCCGGAAGUUAAUGAACGGAAUUCUUUUAUCCUUUCUAUCUUUCUCAUCAACAUCCCCGGAAGUAACCACAUCGAACAACUUAUCUUCCCUCACUUGCUUUGCAACAUCUUGGAAUACUUUCAUUCUGGAAUCAAAGGCUACGUAAUCUUUCACUUGCACGUACUCUGUACUCUCUGGAGCAGGACGGUAGGAAACAUGAUUACAGAUGUUAAAUUCGCCUUUUUUCACAAGUUUAUCAGCUUCGUUUGCGGCCUCUGCUGCUUGUUUACCAAGCUUGUAACGAGAAAUCAAAUUUGGGCACAACCCUUUGAAGCAGAACAUCUUAGCUCUAUCUUUAUCAUCAAUCAUGGAUUUUGCAACCCCUUCACUGAAUUCAGCAACUCUAUUUAGCCAGUCUCAGACACCCUUAUAAAUCUCAUCUCCUUGUAGAGUAGCCUCUCUAACCAGCGUUUUCACCCUUUCUCUUAUAUAUUCCAGCUCCUUCACUCAAUCUUUUAGCCCAUCUAUGUAGCUUUGGUAUUCGAACACAUAAGAUAUGUGCCGCAUAAUCGGUUCGAAUAAUGCUUUUGAACCUUGUGAUACAAUGCUGGAAAAAGCAGGGAGACACCCUUCAACAGCCAUUGCCUGUUGCUUAACAAUAUAUAUAUAUAAAUACAAGUGUCAAAGAAAGGAAUGCAAAUAAAUUAAAAUGAACUAGAGGGAAAGAUAGAGAAUGAAAAGAUCACAAACAAUAUGGCUAUAUUGAUCUUGAACCAACUAAUAACUAAAUAGAGAAUUUCUUUUUCUUUCUUAAGGAUAAGAGGUUUUACUAUUAACAAAAAGUUAUUUUGAGGGUCUGAAUAAAAAACCAACCAUAAAUUAUCAAAAGCUAGUAAAAACACAGACAUAAAUAAUGAACAAUUACUUAAGCAAAACAAACUAUGAAACAAAGAAAAUCUAAUAAAAUGACAAAGAAAGAAAGAAAGAAAAUACAACAAAAAGUAUUGAAGUAUUGAUCAUGAGCCAACUGAUAUUUAAACAGAUUUUUUUUUUAAUUUUUAGUCUUUUGCUAAAGGAUUAGAGUUUUUGCUAUUAACAGAAAUGUUUCAAAAAUCUAACACUACUAGAAAAGUAUUAAAUAAUGACAGAAAUUUGAUGACAUAUAUCGUUGUGUCACGAAUGUGUCAUAAAAAUAUGAUAGAUUCAUAAUAUAUAUUCAUAUGUCCAGAAUAUAUGACAUAUUCAUGACUUAUAAUUUAACCGUCCUAGAUAAAUGAUACAUAUAAGUCAUGCUUAGGUUUUGUGAACUUAUAAGAUUGUAAAACAGUGUUGUUUAAAUUAACGACACCGUUCUGUAUAACUUAAAACACAUCAACACUUACAGCCAAAUUUUGGCUAAGCGUUGAAUGAAUCCCUCUCUCUCCACUGGCCACUGCAACCUAAAAUGAAUGUUUAAAUUAACGACACCGUUGAAUUAAAGCCUAGCUCAAAUUCCUUUUUUCAAUCGAAAUAAAACGUAGCCACAAAACCCUAAUUCACCACACCAAAUUAUCUCUGCUCGGUAUUCAUUUAAACCCUACCUCGCGGUUCAAUGUCAUUCAAUACGAUUGCAGAUGCCGUUUCAACUUGUCAUUUAGUUAGCGCCAUCCAGUUCCCUAUGGUAAGCCUUAACCCUAACGCUAGUAAGAUUUGCUAAAAAUUUCAUAUUUUGUAUUGUUC